CAAAGAAGGAACAAAGAUUUUGCUUCAUCACUUUCCAAGAAAUCGUAACUCAAUUUUAUGGAAGAAUACACAUAUGCAUCCAUACCACGAAUUUCUCUUAGAUUGGAACUUCUUAGCUGAUUCAAUGCAUCCUUCCAAAUGUUAAGACUCUUAUUUUUCAGAGCACUUGCAACUGUUCUCAGUGCAACAGGCAAUCCCCCGCAUUUUUCAACGAUCUCAUCUGCAGUGGGUUGAAAAUCAUAUGUUUUUUUUGAAUCACCCACAAUCUUCUCAAAUAACUGCAAUGCUUCAUCUUUGGAUAAAGCAUCGAUCCAGAAAUUUUUCUGAGAAUUCAUAUCAUUGCACAAUAAAUCUCGACUUCGAGACGUCAAUAUUAUUGUGCGUCUACUCCGAUCGUCCUCUCUAUCAUAAGGAAUUCCAACUUUAUCGAACUCAAGUUUUGUCCAAAUAUUAUCCAGUAUAAUGAGGAGCAGCUUCUCUUGCUUCAACCUUUGACACAGUCGAGAAGCUCUUUGAAAUUCAUUCUCAUUCAAGUCAAAUUCCAUGCCUAAAUCAAAAGCAAGUUUGUCUUGAAUUUUAUGAUGAUCUGGUGUCUGUGUUACCUCAGCCAUAACGACCUUAUCGAACAACUUAUCUUCCAUCACUUGCUUUCUAACUUGCUUGACUAGCGUGGUUUUACCCACGCCGCCCAUCCCGUAGACCCCAAUUAUUUUGAAACUAUCAUCCUUCAACGCAUCCAAAACAUCUUGAAAUACUUUCGUUCUUGAAUCGAACUCCUCGUAAUCUUUCACUGGCAUAUAUUCUGUACUCUUUGGAGCAGGACGGUAGGAAACACUAGAGAAGUUGCCUUUUCCCACGAGACUAGCGGCAGCUUCUGCGGCCUUUGCUGCUUGUUUACUAAGCUGGUAACGAGAAAUCAAGUUGGGGAACAACCCUUUGAAGCAGGACUUCUUAGCUCUAUCUUCAUCAUCAAUGAUGGAUUUUGCAACCCCUUCACUGAUGAAUUCAUCAACUUUAUUUAGCCAGUCUAUGACACCCUCAUAAAUCUCAUCCCCUUGUAGUCUAGCAUGAUUAACAGGUUGUUGCACCGUUUCUCUUCUAUAUCCCAGCUGCUUCACUUGAUCUUUCAGGCCAUCUAUGUAGUUCUGGUGCUUGAACACAUAAGAUAUCUGCCGUAUAAUCGGUUUGAACAGUGACUUUGAACCUUCUGAUACAAUGCUGGAAAAAGCAGCCAGACCCACUUCUGCCAUUGCCUGCUGCUUAACAAAUCUAAUAAUAUGUCAAAGAAAGGGGAAAGGAAUAGAAAUAAAUUAAAAUAAACUAGAGAGUGACAAAAAAGGAAAAGACAGCAAACAGAAUCGCAAAAUUGAUCUUGAAUCAACUGAAACAUGAACAGAGCAUUUUUUCUUCUUUCUUAAGGAUCAGAGUUUUUGCUAUUAACAGAAACGUGCUUCAAGUGUCCCAAAAAAAAAAUGAUAAAUGAACAAGCCAUAGAAAUUUUAUCUUGGAAAGUGGAUGGAAAUUAAGAAAGAAAUGGUAUAGAGAUCAAGCAUCAGAGAUUAUAUUAUUAAAAGAAAUUAAUUGAAGGUUGUGGAAAACCUGUUUAAUUAUGGAAAGUUGAUGAGCUUCUGUAAUCGCCUUGAGUAUUUAAGUGCAAUUUUGAUGAGCAAAAAGUUACUGUUACCUGCAGAGGAAUGUAAUUAUAGAGAGCUUAUGAGAGUAAUGACAAUGAUUUGCAAAAGAAGAAGACUCAAUCAUGGAGCCCUUAAUAUUUCUUUUAUGAAUAAACUGCCAGCAGGAAAAAUAAAAAAAAGUGGUAAAUUUACCAAGUCUUAUUUUAUUUUUAAUUUCUUUUAUUUUCAUUCGCCGAAGAGGGAAUCUCUUUUUUUUUCGUAAGGGAAAUAUCCUUUCCUAAUAUGUCAUGAUUAAAGCAAUCUAUAAAUAAUACAAUAAUCAUAUAAUGUAAUAAUUAAAAAGACCCACAUAUUUAUAAUAUUAAUGAUGGGAUCCAUACGUUCCUACUGAUUAAAUUGGUGGACCAGAAUUUAUUUGACCUUACUUGUUUUAUAUUUAAUUAAAAAUUGAAACGACAGAGAAAAAUUGUCGUAAUGAUGGUUUCGAUUGUGGAGUUCAGCUGUGGAUAGCACUUGCAAUACUGAAAAAGAAGCUUUCGUCAACUUUCUCACAUGGACGCGCACCAUCACGCAUAAUUGCAUAUUGCAUUAUUUCUCUAGAAAAGCAAAAGCAAGAUUUAUUCUUUUAAUAAGCAAACGCGUAGGUGGGAAUCCAUUCAUUAAACAAGUGGAACAGCAAUAUAUUAAACCAAUGAUAAGCAUUCUUAAGUGGGAAACCAAUUAUGACGGAUAGUUCAAAAUCUGAAUCCGCCUGAUGGACGGGUUUGACCGCAGAGCUCAAGAUAAUCUGAACCAUUCUCCUUUCGUAACUUAUAGAUAAUUUGAAAACAGGGGAAUGAAAACAGAGGAGCCCUGUUUUUCCUUCCUUUUUUUUUUUUUUUUUUCUUACCCAACUCUUCUUCUUUUGUAUAUUUUCCUUGGAAUUUUAGGUAAACCAAAAAACUUUGAGAAUGAUUUCAAGAGAAUAGGUGGGUAAUAACUAAAAUAUUUAUCUAUAUAUUUAUAUAAAGUUGGGACUACAAGAGAUGAUGUGGCAUCACCAUUUCUAAUUUUUGUAUAUUCUCUAUUAUCUAACAAAUAGAGAAAUUUUCUUUCAGAUUUUAUUUUUCAUCUUUUCAUAAUUAAUUUGACUGUUAUUAUACAAUCAAUAUGUAACAGUUCAUCAAAAGACCCACUAUCUUCUUUAAUUGAAACCUUCUUGAUCAGGACUACAAGAAGUAAUGUGGCACUACCAUUUCUCAUCUUUGUAUAUUCUCUAUUAUCUAACAAAUAGAGAAAAUUUCUUUUAGAUUUGGCUUUUUAUCUUCUCACAAUUAAUUUGACUGUUAUCAUACAAUUAAUAUGUAACAGUUCAUAAAAAAACUCACUAUCUUCUCUAAUUGAAGCCUUCUUGAUCAUAAAUUAAGCAAUAAUUUAUAAAUAUUUUUAAUCACUCUUCUCCUCUGACUCACCUAAAUUUAUAAAUAACAACAAAAAAUAUGAUAUCUCAUGUAAAUAUAAAAGAAUAGAAAAUAGCAAUAGCUCUAAAACAUUUUUUUUUUCAUUUUGGCCCUCACUUGCCUGAUCAUGGCAAAUAUUACAAAUGCAACCAGUAGGAAUGAUUGCCUCAACAACAAUAUGAAACCAGGCUACAAUCUUGCAACAAGACUUGAAGUUAGUGGAGGCCAAAUGGAGUGUUGGAACGUGUUAAUGGAGCUGAAAUCAUGCUCAAAUGAGAUUGUUAUAUUCUUCAUUAAUAGUCAGGCUGAUAUUGGCCCUGACUGUUGUCGCACUGGCCUGCAAUGCUCACCUCUCUCGGAUUCACGGCUGAAGAAGGGAACAUACUGAGAGACUACUGUGAUGCAUCUUCUGCUCCUUCUCCAGGUGGCCUCGCGGUGAUAUAUCAGCUUCAGGUUUCCAAGGUUUUUUGGCUUAGACAGGGUGCAUCUAUGGUACUUCAUAAUUAAAAAAAGUCUUUUUGGUUUUAUCUUUUCUUUAUUUUUUUAUUUUUUUUUUGGAAGUCUUGCCUCUUAAUCGAAUAGAAUAAAUUGUUAAAAUUAGAAUAAGAAAAAAAGGAUAAUAUUAUUUUUUUUCAAAGCCGCGCAAAGGGCGGUUCUAUUUCCUAGUUUUUAUAUAUUUGAUAAGCACGCUCACUAUUAAUAAAACCCAUUAAAUGCUAUAACUUAAAUAACUUCUUGUAGUUGAUUGAGAGUAUGUUUGGAAUUUCUUUUACUUCCCAAUAAUUAAUUUUUACCUUGAUUAUCAGAAAAUUAAUUUUAUGAAUAAUUUAGCCGGGUGUUUGGUAAAUGAUGAUUAUUUGACAAUCAGUUUUUAAAUAAUCUAUUAUAUAAAUAUAGUAAGUGAAAAUUAGAAGUAUAAUGUUCAUGUAGAAAUGACAAAAAUGUACUCAUUUACUUAUUUGUAAUUUAUUUAGAAUAUUAUUAUUUAAAUAAUUUUUCUUAUUCAUUGGAUUUUUUAAGAGCAUAUUCUAUUUUCUUGAUUACACAUUUAAAUAACUUUUUAUUAACUAUUUUAAUCUGCAAUAAAAAUUAACUAUAUUAUAUUUAACUAAAAAAUUUGUUAUGUAGUCCGUAAUAUACACAAAUACUUGAAUUUAUUAAUAAACUUAACUGCAAAAAAGAAAAUGCAUUACAUAUAUCUAAUUUCUUAUUUUCAACGAUUGAAAGAUGUUAUUUAGGAAACUUGUACGAGAUAAUUUAAUUUUGGACUAUUGACAUUAUAUUUACUUAGAAGUGGAAAUAGUGGGUGGAUAAAUUUAAUUUUUCAUUAAUUGCUCAAGAAGCAAGAGGAUUAGUGAUGGAUGGAGAGUUAGUGUAGAAUUGUGAGGCCAUUUGAUUACUGCAAGCAUUAUAAAUUUCUUGUUGCUGAGAUUAAUCUAAUUGAAUUAAUGACUCCAUGAUAGACUUAACAAAGGAUUCUUGUGGCAAGAUUUCUAUUUAUGAGGCCAUUUGAUUACUGUAAGCAUUAUAAAUUUCUUGUGGCAAGAUUUCUAUUUAUGACUCCAUGAUAGACUUAAGUUUUAGUGAGACAAUUGCUGCCUGUUGCAGACAUGAUACCUCUAGUACUUCAGAAGAUAGCAUAUCACGAAACACAUCCAGACUAUACUGAGGUUACAUCGAAAAUUCCUUGGCCCAUCGUGCGAGUGUGUGACAUCCCGCAACAAAAAUUAGGGUAUGUACUAUAUAUAUAAUGUGUUUUGAACAUAAUAAUAAGAAUGCUGAUUUUUAACAAUUAAUUUAUUUUACUUUUUUUAGUGGUGAUUGUGGAGAAUUUUUGUUGCGGUACUUGGAGGUCCUAACCCAUGGACUUGAUGUCAAUUCAUAUUGCAAACAAGAUCAUGUUAUACAAUUUCGAAAAGCCUUGGUUGUCAAAUUAUUUGGGCAUAGGUCAUGGAAAAAAACUUUGUAGUGUACUACCCUUAAAAACUUUGUUGGUGUGUCAUUUUUGGACCAUGAGAUGUGAUAGUUAUAAUGAGGAUGUUGUUGAUAUUUGAUGUCAUUAAAGAUAACUUGACAUCAUUAAUAUGUUUUAUUUCUUUGUUAACUAUAUUAAUGAUAGUGAAGAUAGUUUGUACAAUCUAUGUAAUGUAACAGGAUUGCCAUAUAUGCUCAGGGAAUACUCUGUAAGAAAAUACACGACUGCUGUUAGCUAUUUGCACGGAUACAUGACUGCAGUCGAGUAUUUACAAAUAUACAUGACUAGCUCUCUGUAAGAAAAUACUCGACUGCAAUUGGGUAUUUACACAGAUACACGACUGCAGUCAAGUAUUUAUAAUUGUACAUAACCAGCUCUCUAUAAGAAAAUACUCGACUGCAUUCGGGUAUUUACACAGAUACACGACUGCAAUCGAGUAUUUAUAAUUAUAUUUGACCAGCUCUCUGUAAGAAAAUACUCGACUGUAGUCGGGUAUUUGCACAGAUACACGACUACAGCCGAGUAUUUACAAUUAAAUAUGACUAGCUCUCUAUAAGAAAAUACACGACUGCAGUCGGGUAUUUGCACAGAUACACGACUGCAGUCGAGUAUUUGUAAAUAAACAUGACCAGUUCUGUAACAGCCAAAAUACACGAUUGUACUCGGGUAUGUGGACACGGAAUAAAAAAUCAACUAAAACAUUCAUUAUAUUGAUGACACAAUCAAUAUAAACUUUAACAUAUUAAAUUUCAAAUAAAUGAAACUAACUGUAGUCUGGUUGCCUAUCAAACAACAUAAAUCCAAUACUUAUUCGAAUCGUAAAUAAGUCAUAAUACAAUAAAAGUUGUUUAACAAUCAUCAUAAUUUUUUUGCAUUUUCAACCCAAACACUCGGUCCAUAUUUUAUAAGCCUCUAGUAAUUUGGUUGCCUAUUAAAUAACCCGAGAUACUAUUUCUAUCAAUUGUGCAUACGUUGUAGAAUAGGGCACUAUGAUCCCUCUUGCCUUUGUACCAUUAAAUCUAUAAUGGCCGUUUUGCUCAAUCCAUUCACCACAAAACAUAAUUGGCACACGUACUGAAGUCAUUUCCUGUAAUAAUACAACGGUUGAUUAUACAACAAAUACAAAAAUAAAAAUCAAGCAAUGUAUAUAACGAAGUGUGGAUCUGUCUGCCUAUUUACAUGACUCACGUCGUGUAAUUGGUAGUUUACACGACAAUAGUUAUGUAACUUGCUAAAAUACACAACUAUAGUUCUAUAAACAGUCAGAUGAUAUAUUUAGUAAAAAAAGCUGUAAUCUUUGUACUAAUCGAAUGGUAGGUGUCAUAACAGCUACUAUAUCUUCCAAACUUGCACGAUUGUUGUCGUGUAAAUUCAUACAUACAUGACAAAAGUCGUGUAAGUUGCAAAAAUAUAUGACUCAAUAAAUAAUCAGAGGACAUAUUUCUUCUUAAAAAAAUAUUGGGAUCUGAUAACAAUUGGAACAUUUUACAUAUAUACACAAUUAUAGUAUGUAAGUUCAUACGUACACGAUAGUAGUCGUGUAACUUAUUAACACACACGACUAUAGUCCAGUAAUAGUAAAAGGAUAUAUAUAGUGAAAAAAAAAAUAUUUUUUGCACCAAUAGAAUGAUAAAGUGUCAUGAUAAUUGGAAUCUUUUGCACAUUUGCACGACUACAGUUAUGUAAAUCCAUACAUACAAGACUGAUGUCGUGUAUGUCGGGUGCAGAAAAAAAUUUUGGCAACAACUUCAGGUUUUAACGAAUGUAGUUAUAAAAUCCAUCAAAUAACAGUCAUAUGAUGCAAAUGUAAUGAAAUAUGAGUUGCUUUAGUGUUUAUCACAAACCAAACAAAACCCUAAAAAUAAUAUAAUGUCAAUUAAAUGAAUAAAUAACACAAAAUAAAAAAAAAUUUCAAAUACCUUAUUCAUGGGAUGAAUAAUGCACCCAGCUGCAAAUUAAAAUCUCAAUGCAUUAGCUGUUUGUGAGUGAUUUUGAGUAUGGAGUGAGUUUUCGUUGUGUGGAGUUAAAAAAAGUGAGAAGUAAAGAGUGUUAGAGACGAGUUGUGUGUGUUUUAUAUAUUUUUUUAAGGAUAUUUUAAACAAUGUAUCACAUAAAAAGGUAUAUCUAGAUAAUUUUCAAGCAUGUGAUAUAUUUAACUAAAUACCCUACUUUUAAGGUAUCUUUAAUUAAAAACCCUCUUAUAGUUGAUUGAGGGUAUGUUUGGAAUUUCUUUUACUUCCCAAUUAUUAAUUUUUACCUUGAUUAUCAGAAAAUUAAUUUUAUGAAUAAUUUAGCCGGGUGUUUGGUAAAUGAUGAUUAUUUGACAAUCAGUUUUUAAAUAAUCUACUAUAUAAAUCUGGUAAGUGAAAAUUAAAAGUAUAAUGUUCAUGUGCAAAUGACAAAAAUGUACUCAUUUACUUAUUUGUAAUUUAUUUAGAAUAUUAUUAUUAAAUAAUUUUUCUUAUUCAUUGGAUUUUUGAAGAGCAUAUUCUAUUUUCUUGAUUACAUAUUUAAAUAAUUUUUUAUUAACUAUUUUAAUUUGCAAUAAAAAUUAACUAUAAUAUAUUUAACUAAAAAAUUUGUUAUGUAGUCCGUAAUAUACACAAAUACUUGAAUUGAUUAAUAAGCUUAACUGCAAAAAAGAAAAUGCAAAAAUUUAAUCUCUAUAUAAACUUUUAUGUACACAAAACUAUUGUAAUAAAGUAAUUCAUAGAAAUAUAAUAUUAUAUACAUGUGUAAAGAAAUAUAUAACUAUAAUAUUAUCCACUUGUAGCACUAUUAUUUUUCAAUCUCUCCAUCUCUUGAUCUUCAAGAACGUUAGUACCAUGAUCUGCUUCUUGAGUUCGACCUCCAUUUCCACAGCAUCAACAAGGCAAUCAAUUUGCCGUGAAAGCCUUACAGCUCCUCCCACUUUCCUCCUUUUUGUAGCCACUCUUUUUCCCUUUCUUUAUUUAGUAGCUUCUAUGGAAAUGUUGUGAAAAUUUUAAUAUACUCGCAAGCGCACGAAUCUAGAAAUAGAAUAGUAGUAACGAGGUCGAUCCCACAGGGAUUGUUAUAAAUUAAAAAGUCUAAUUUAAAUCUAAAAUUAAUAUUAAUUCUAACCUAGUUGAGCAAAUUGAGUUUUUAAGAAAAUUAAACCAAUAAAACUAAGGAAGCAAUUAAAAUAAAGGAGAAUUCAAUAAGAUAAGAAUUACCAAGGUUUUAGAAUCCACCACUAUUCAACUAGUAAUUAUCUAAUUAUUAAUUAAUCCCCAAUUUUGGAGUGACAACUCGAAAUCAAUCUAUGUCAUCUCAUGGAUAUAACAAUUAAGCCCAAGUAAUUAAAUCUAAUGUAAGUUCUUUUUCUGCUUAAUAAUAUGACAUCUAAGAAUCUCAUGUAAACAUAUUGAAUAACAAAGAGUCAAAGUUUUCCUAAGCACUCUAUGUAAACAAUUUAAUGAAAGACAUAGAAUCAAAGAUAAUCAUGUAUAAACUUUAUAAAUUCAAGCAUAGAUUUAAUUGAAUAUUAAUCCUAACAAUCAAUAAUGCAUGACAGAAUUGAUGAAAAGAUUUUAUUAAUAUCUAAUUAAUCAUGUGAAAUAAAAACCAUAAUCAUCAAAGAACAUAUAUAGGGAAUUAAUUAAAUAAAAAGAUAAUUAUUUCAUUGAAUAGGGUUUCAUCCUUAACCUCAGUAUAAGAAAAUUAGUUAGACAUACUUGAAUUGAGAGCAACAAAAUAAAUAAAUUCAGCCAUGGGGAAGCCGAAUUGCUGCAGAUUUUCUUCUCUGUCUUGAAUCCUUGCGUCUCCAGUUCUCCCUUCUGACGGCUCUCUUGCCUUUAUAUAAUGUUACUAACUUGCUUAAUCCUUAUUGGAUUCUAAUUGCAUUAAUUCUUCUCCACCGACUUAUAAAGCCCACUCACCAAGGCCUUUUAAAAUUAUUUCCUUACUAAACUUUGAAAGCAAAGCACACGUUUGACCACAAAAGCAAAAGGCCAAUUAAUGAUUUCUUCUUUUAAUGCCCAGCACAUGCAUUCCAAAUUGCCAAAUCUUUGCUUUCCAAAUGCAUGCCCACCGUUCAUCCUUUGAAGAGAUUGACUUCCAAUUUUGGUCUUCUUGACUUCCAUUAAUUCUUGGUUGCAUUUUUGUCUUCCAAUUUAAUCUUUAUUCCUUCUCAAUUUGAAGUGUUUUCAUGCCCUUUUUAUCAACAAUCUCCAAUUAAUUCCCUAUUCAAUAAAACAAUUCAAUUAAUUAAAAAUAACAAAUAAAUAUAACUAGCAAUUAUAUUAUUAAGGGUAAAAUAUGUAUAUAAAUUAUGCUCAUCAGGAAACAAACUCAUCGAACUACCAGUACAUUUUUCAAUUAGAUAGGACUGAUAGUAGAUAUUCAGUACUCUCAGAUGGUGUGCAAACAUGAUCAUCAGUGAUUGUUGUCUUAAAAAGCAUUCUAUUUAAUUGUUCCUCUGACUCUGGCAUGCAAAAUUUCUUGAUUCACGAAUUUCCUACGUAUGUUGAUAUCAUAUUAAAAUGAAUUCAAUAUCACAUNNNNNNNNNNNNNNNNNNNNNNNNNNNNNNNNNNNNNNNNNNNNNNNNNNNNNNNNNNNNNNNNNNNNNNNNNNNNNNNNNNNNNNNNNNNNNNNNNNNNGCAUGUUGUGAGCUUAUUACCAAAAAUGAGACUAUAUAUUUAAGCCGAAUGGUAAAAAACUUCGGAUGGAGGAUGUGCCAUCUUUUUAUUUUAGAUGCUUUCGGAUGGAGGAUGUGCCAUUUUUUUAUUUUACAUGCUUUGUAAGACUUUUAAUGAUCGAGUGCAGUCAAUUAACAAAAGCUUACAUAUUAUUUGUUGAAAAUUGAUUUUAAAAAAAGAAGUCAAAAUGAUGGGUGGUUGAGCCUGUUGGGGAAAAAUCAGGUUUUUAAAUUUUUAUAAAACCUUUUGAAGAUCGCUCUCAUAUAAUAUAUAAGAAUUCGUAUUCUAGAAAUCGUACCUUGUAAAUCUGAGUUUGCUUUUUCCGCUGAAGUGAUUUAGGCUCCUAGAUCACGAUCCGCCACCACCACUCCUGUUAGAUCACGAUCCGUCACCACCACGCUUGUUAGAUCACGAACUGUCUCCAAUGAUCUUCCAGGUUAUGACUCAGGUUCGAUCUGCACUUGACGUGUGGGCGCCUUUAUCACUACCAAAGCAACUAGCACGAGAAAAUUUUUCUCUCAAAAAUGGAGAGAAAAAUCUUAUUCUCUGAUUUGUAUAAAGUGGCUUCUCCACUUUUUCUUUAGAGAAAAAUAAGCCUUUUAUAUCACUCUUUAGUGAAAACCCUAGGCUCCAAAUAAAAUAAAAUCAAAACCCACGUUAUUUACUUUUUCAAUAGGGGACCCACCUUGUAAAAUAACAUAAGGCCCGUUAUACAAAAGCUAAUUAAAUGGAGCCUCCCACUAAAUGAUAUAUUUAGGCUUUUGACCCAAAUUGCUAGUUAUCUUACUUAUUAGUCCAGUAGUGGUGCAAUCAAUUAAAUGAGCUAACCCGGGGAUCAUUUGGGAACAUACAAUAGUGGCUACAAUAAUUAGGCAUGUAAUUAAACUAGCCCAAUUAUUUAAUUCCAAAUCUACUCCACUAAAAGAUUGGAACUGACUUCCAUAAUUGUAUGCUCGAAUAAUAAUUCGUCCCAAGCCACAUUGAUUUCUUUACUGCACAAUCCUUUGUACCACAUCGUUAAUUAAAUUGAUAUCUCAACUGUCCAAUCAAUUUAAUAACAUCUUAUUCCUUGAUCCUUACUGGUUUUCUCUAAUGAUCAUUUUCAACAUACUAAAUAUGUUGACACACUCUGGCCAGAGAAUUCUAUGAUCAAGUACCGAAAACCUAUCAAGAGAUGUGUUGUACAAAUUCUAUAUUGUUAAUCCAUAACUCCAAUACUCAUAAUUGCUCCCACCAAGAUACCGGGUAAUCUUGACCACAAGGAUGUGUCGUGCCCAUUGGUAACUCAAAUGGAAUAACAAUCACAAUCAUGAAAUCAUAAUUAACUCAAGAUUAAGAUUACAGUAAAAUCAAUGCCUAUGAGAUUUAAUAAGUCUGACAGUUAUUACAAAGUUAAUUAAAUCUCAUAUGUGAUCCUGUUCAAUGUAGUCGUACUACAUCAAUAAAUUCAUACAUGAUUAAGACAAAUCAUUCAAUGAAUUUAUUACAGUCUAUACCUAAAUAAAGUGCCCAACUUUAUUUAUCAACUGCGAACUAAAUUUAUUUAAUCAUAAGAUAACUUGUAUUUAUGUCUUCUGUGAAUCCACAUGGUGAUCACAUAAAUACAUAUAAUAUGAUUAAAUGGACUUUAAUACAAAUAUUAAUGCAAUUAAGAUAUUUGAAUAAAAUACCUCAUUAAUUUUAUUAAUCAGAAAAAAUGUUUAUUACAAUUAAAUAAACACAUAUGCUUUUAAAGAGCAUAUUUUCCCAACAGAGCCAUCAUCUUUGAAUUCAAAGAUGGUGGGUGGCCAAGUUAGCCACCAUCAUUGAACAAGAAAAAAUGGGUGGGUGCCGCCCAUGCAAUGAAGAAAAGGGAGAAAAUGAAGCCAAAGUUUGGCUAUAAAUAGAGGGGUUCUCCCUCUCAUUUUUGUAUCCCAGAGAAGAAAUCCCAAAAUUUGAGAAGCAAGAAUAUGUAAGAGAAGCAUUGAGAGCUUCCAACAUGGGAGAGAAAUAUUCUUAAGCAUGUAUUUAUAUUGAAAGAGCAUUUGGCUCCUCAAUAUGGGUAUUACGGGUUUGAUUUGUUAAGGAAUAUUUCUCGCAAUUAUGUAUUUGGGGCUUGGGUGAGAGAAAAUUAUUUAUGAGAGUGUGGUUGUAAUAAUUUUCCACAUAGUGAAAUUUUUUUUUUCUGGUUGUCUCUUGACAACGGCUAUGGUUUUUCUCCGGAUUUGGAGUUUUCCACGUAAAUCUUGUGUUGUGUGAUUGUUGUAUUCUCCAUUUAAAUUUUUUGUUAAUUUGUUGCUUGACAAAUUGCUUGGAGUGAUCUUGGAAGGAAACUCAAUUUCCUAACAGUGGUAUCAGAGCCAUUGAUUGAAGUUUUGAUGUCGAGGUACUGUUCACGUAGACAUUACUAUUUCACGUAUACGAUAUUGUUCAUGUAUACGGUAUUGUUCAUGUGAAGCAGUGGGAGCCAAUCUAAAUUGUCCGUGGUGAAGAGUAUAGGGUCAUUAUAAAGCAAAUAUGUCAGUAGCUGGUAUUUUUCAAACUUGGUGGAGUUUGAUGUUGUUCAAAAAUUAAUGGGAGAAUGAUUUUUUGUUGGCUUGUGGAGAAUUCAAGUCAAAGGUGUAUCCAAUCUGGUAUGCACAAAGAUUUGAAGGUGUGGACAAUUUUGGCACCUCAAGAAAAUUGUCAAGAAGGUGGAGCGGGCUCGACAAAUUACUCCAGAAUCAGUAAAAGAAAUACUGAUAUUUCUCGCAGAUGGUGAAUUUGUUUUUGAUAAGAGAUUGGAUUAGUUCUUUUGGCAUGUAGAUCUCCAAGUUACCAUAAAAGAGAACAUGUUAUUAUCAGUGGGGUCCACAAGUUUGCACGAGGGCAUUGGCUUGGUAUAAAUGCAAGGUGUGUGGUGGAAAAGUUAUGUCAUGGCUGAAGAAUUCUCAGUGAAACCAAGCAUGAGAAUUGCACUAUAAAUUUCAGCAGGAUAUUUUGAUAUGUGCCGAGAAAAAUCUUAGAAUAGUUGAUUCUAAGUGGUAUACUCAUUAUGGUGUAGUGUGAUAAUUCUUUAUAUUGAGAAUUAUAACUAUUGGUGAAGACAAUGUUUUGUAGUAGUGACUAUGAAAUUCUUUUUUUUAAUCAUGGUAGAGAUUGUUGAAAAUUGAUUUUAAAAAAAGAAGUCAAAAGGAUGGGUGGUUGAGCCAUCAUCUUUGAAUUCAAAGAUGGUGGGUGGCCAAGUUAGCCACCAUCAUUGAACAAGAAAAAAUGGGUGGGUGCCGCCCAUGCAAAGAAGAAAAGGGAGAAAAUGAAGCCAAAGUUUGGCUAUAAAUAGAGGGGUUCUCCCUCUCAUUUUUGUAUCCCAUAGAAGAAAUCCCAAAAUUUGAGAAGCAAGAAUAUGUAAGAGAAGCAUUGAGAGCUUCCAACAUGGGAGAGAAAUAUUCUUAAGCAUGUAUUUAUAUUGAAGGAGCAUUUGGCUCCUCAAUAUGGGUAUUACGGGUUUGCUUUGUUAAGGAAUAUUUCUCGCAAUUAUGUAUUUGGGGCUUGGGUGAGAGAAAAUUAUUUAUGAGAGUGUGGUUGUAAUAAUUUUCCAAAUAGUGAAUAUUUUUUCUUUGGUUGUCUCUUGACAACGACUGUGGUUUUUCUCCGGAUUUAGAGUUUUCCAUGUAAAUCUUGUGUUGUGUGAUUGUUGUAUUCUCCAUUUAAAUUUUUUGUUAAUUUGUUGCUUGACAAAUUGCUUGAAGUGAUCUUGGGGUGAAACUUAAUUUCCUAACAUUAUUUAGGUGCUGAGAUGUCUGUUCUUGAUAAAGUAGAUUUAUUUACACCCAAGCCAACGUAACAAAAGCCUAAUAUACACAAUAAUUAUUUUUGUUAGACUGAUUUCUAGCUAAUGAGAUCUUUGAAAGCAUUCAAAGAAGCCACAGAACUCAUAGGAAAGCCCUGAUAAAAUAUACGGCGAAGCAUGUGAGCUCGUUUUUUAAUCUCUUGAUCACUCAUAAGCUUUUCUAUACCAAUGACUAUAUCAUUCUUUUGAAUCGAUUUUGAUUGAUCAUUAGAAAUCAUGUACCCCACCUUUAGAUGAUUGAUCACCAAUUUGGCAUUGUAAUGUUGAUCAUCUCUAAUUGGCCAUGCUAAAAUUGGAACCCCACACCAAUGGCUUCUACCAUUGAAUUCCAUCCACAAUGAGAUAAAAAUUCACCCAUUGAUUGAUGAUUCAAUAUCAAUAAUUGUGGCGCCCAUCCAUCUAUUAUCAAUCCCUUUUUACUGGCUUUACUACCCAAACCACUAUGAAAAUAAUUGCCUUCUGCUGGUCUGUCUAAACCAGUUAAAUGACACGGAGGAUCCAAUCUACCAGCACCAGUUUGAAUUACCCAAAUAAAUGGUUCAUUUGAUACUUCUAAAGCAUUGGCUAGUACUAAAUACUCAUCUAACUUGGACCCACUUCGAUACCAAAUGACACAUAUAACACAGAUCCUCAUGAUUUCAAAUCCAACCAUUGAAUGAUCUCAUCUUCGUUCAUGUUAGAACUCCACCGAUUGGUUCUCAUCUCACGAUCACGAAGCACUGAACCCGCCCCAUUUGUAAAAUUGUUCAAGUAAUAAUGGGCCUACUCCCCACAUUGGCUUUCCCAUUCGAUUGACUAAAUAAUGGGAGAUUGCCAAUUUUCCCCUACUAUAAUCAAUAUAUAUCAUUUAUUCAUUUACUAUUUUUAUAAUGGUCAAAAAUCCCCUUGACAGUAUAAGUUUAUAAUAUUACUUUUAUUUUUAAUUGCUCUUUUAUUUAUAUUUAUUAUAAAUAAAAUAAAUCACAUGAAUAAAAAAUAAAUAAAUAAUUAAGUAUUAAAAACAAGAAAUAUAUGUUUUAAUAUGAGCAAAAAAUUUAAUAAUAAAUUUUUCUUGUAAUUAUUUAUUUUGUGAAUAUUUUCUUAUAAUAAACAUUUAUAAUAUUUUAAAAUUAAAUGUAAAAAGAAUAGGCAAAAUAUUUUAUUAUUUAUCUUAUAAUAAAUUUUUAUUUGUCAUUCAAGUUUUCUUAUAAUAGUUUUUUAUCAUUUUAUAAUAAUUUUCUUAUAUAUUUAUUAUAAGAAAAUUUUCAAAAAAUAAAUAAGUACAAGAAAAAAUUACAUUAUUGAUUUUUUUGCUCAUAUCAAAACAUAUAUUUGUUAUUUUUAAUGCUUAAUUUUUUAUUUAAUUUAUAUUCAUGUGAUUUAUUUAAUUUAUAAUAAAUAUAAAUAAAAGAGUAGUUGAAAAUAAGGAUAAUAUUAUAAACUUAUGUUAUCAGGAAGAGUUUUUGGUCAUUAUAAAAACAGGAAGGAGGUAAAUGGUAUAUAUUGAUUACAAUAGGGGGAAAAUUGGUAAUCUCCCCUAAAUGAUUAAUAAAUGGUCCCUCAAGAUCAUCACAGGUGUUGAACAUCAAAGCCAUCCAUUCCUCCACUUCCUUCAUCCAGUGUGGUUGAUCACGGGGUUCGAUGGACUCAUUUUCUCUGAACCGGGCGCACCUCGCAAAGGUAGUGGACCACGAGGAAGGGGCCCGUGAGGCCCGUAUUUAAGCUACGAUUCGAAUAAAGCCAUAUCCUUGGGUAACCCAGGAAGUAAAUGGGCCUCUCCCGGUUUGACAUCUUGGAUGCGAGCCUGCUACAUGGCACACUCCACGCUGCUGAGCAAGCACCAGAAGUGAAGAACCCAACAAUGGGACCUUCAAAAUUCUUGAAAACAUCAGCCGUCCAGCCCAUCAUAACGUCGAUGACUGCACAAAUGGGUCGGGUUUCGGGUUCCCGGGUUGAAAGGGGUUUUGAAGGCCUUGAAGCAUUUGACUGUGCAUGACAACAUGGUGGUGGUGGUGGCAGUGGUGGAGAUGAGGAGAGUAUUUCAGUAAUUUCGAAUAGAGGGUAUUGGUGAAGAGGGGAAGGGAUGAUGCCGGUGCCGGAAAUGUGAGAGGGAACGAAUAUUUUAACAGGGACGGAGCCAGCGUGGGACGAGGUGGGGCACAGGCCCCAGCUGGCUUUUAAUUUUUUUUUAUAAUUAUACUAAAAUAUGUAUUUUAUUUGUUAUUUAUGAAAAAUGUCUCAGCUGAAUUGUAAAAUUUAAAAUUGACUCCAGUAAUUUUAAAAUAUUUCAUACUGUCCCUAAUUUAUAUUUUUAAUUAUAAAUUAUUUAAUUAGUUAUUAACAUUUCAUGAAACUUUAUUAAAGACACGAGAACAAAUAUUAAAAUAAAAAAUAAUCAUAACAAAAUGUUAGUAUAAUGGUUAAUGGACUAGUUUUUAAUCUUUUUAUUUUUUAUUCAAGUAAAAUUAAUUAUUUAGUCUUUCAACACUGACCAUAAGUUGUAAGUCUUCCUAAUUCUAAUUUAUAAUUUUCUAAUUAAUCUUUUAUCUAGUUUUAAAAUUUAUAAUUUUAUCAUGCAUUUCAUAUUUGUUCUGUGUGUUGCAAUAUUUGAAUAUUUUUGUUAUUAUUAAAAGAUUUUAAGAGCAAAUUAAGUAAUAACCUAGUCUUGUAUAUUGAAAAAUAUAUUUUUGCUUAUAUUGAUAAUUCAUUAUUUUCAACUCAUAAAAUCCCAUUGAGGAGAUUUCGCGGAGAACCAUUGUAAUAAGUAAAUUUAUUAUCAAUGAAUAUUAUAGUUGUAAUGCUAUUUAUUGAUAUCUAAAUUUUUAAAAAUGUAUUAUACUUUAAAUAUGCUUUCAAUUAGAUGCAUACAGACGCACUCUAUAAGAAGUACAAUUGUACAUGUAGCAAGCUCCCAUUUAGAGUUUAUAGGGCCCACAAUACAGUUUCUCAAAUGACGACUUAUCACACGAGCAAUCGUACAUUCGAGUCAUCUUUAAUUUUAAAUGUGCCCCAGCUCUAUCAAAAUCCUGGCUACGUCCCUGGGAACGAUGAGGGUAGAUUUGUAAUUACGUGAAGCGAUUUACUUGCAUAAUUCAAUGCAUGGAAAUAGAUGUCCCUGACCGAAGAAUGAGACAAUCCAAAUCUCAGCCUCAGCAGCAUUAACGACAGAGCUUGACAUAUUUUAUUAAUCAUUUGAUACUUAAUUAUUACUGACUGCUUUUGCCACCUUUCGUAAAACAUUCUUGGUUAUAUAUAAAAGAGAUGAUUUGAUGGCGAAGUGUGUGUUUUACUUUUACAGUUUUACUAGUCGGUGAGCUAUGAUUUUGAUAAUUUGAUUGUUAGUUUCAGUUGGUUAGUUAUGAGAAAGCAUCUUUCAAAAAAUUCAUUACAGUUUCAACUAAAAUUAACAAUACUAUUCAAAUUAAUUACUCGAUAAAUAAAUAGUCACAGAUAAAUCUAUCCCUAAUCACACAUUUAUAAAAUAAGGAUUGAAAUGAGUUUCUGUGGCUUCGAACCCACGCCCUCAAGCCCAGCGGCUGGAUCUUGACUACUUUGACAUAAUUAUUAUUAGUUUUUGUCCAUCUUUCACCAGGCAUCUUUUGUUAUAUAAUGAAGAAGAUAAGUUGACGGAGAAGAGUUCUACUUUUACUAGUAGAUGAGCAUUGAAGGUUAGUUUUAGUUAGUUAAAUAUCUACCAUCCAAACCAAAGUUCCUUAGACUAUUAUUCAAGUGAGAUGUUUGAGUAACAUAUGCUUGAGUUAGUCGGUGCCUAACAAUUCAUGUGAUACAUGAAACCAACCAAAUGAAGUUGGUAGGAUUAGAUUAAUUUAAAUGAAAAUAAAAAUUAGUUUAUGCUAUUUAUUUAUCUUAUAAUGUUGAAACUUGAAAGUUAACUCUUCAACCUGUCAAUUGGUUCAUGACAUGAUCAAAUAUUCAAGUAAAUAAAUUUAUCGGUUAAAAUUAAUUUUUCAUGUGGUAAAAGCAAUACUAAAUAUGGAGUGGAGAGAAUCAUUUGUAGGUUAUACCCCCACCUUUUAUUUCAUUUCAUUUAAAAAAAAAAACAACAACAACAACAAAGGCUUGGUCAACAUCCAAGUAAAAUUAACAAUUCCAUGAUAAAAUUGCCUGAGAAUAAAAAUUAAAAAAAAAAAAAAACAGCAACUCGAAAACGAGAUACAAAUACCGCACAGAAGUUUUUCGUCACGAGAUAUUUUUGGGUUGAGACAACGCUUGUAUAACAGAGCAUACAGCUUGGAUGACGGUGAGAAUAAGAAGGAAAACGGCACCGCAGACCGAAAUUCCAGCCCAUGGAGUAUUGAAGUAAUUUUGUUUCAAGUUUGCCCUCCAUUUGUAGCACGUUCUUUUGCAGUGAUCAUUCAAUCCUUUGCAUAGCCCAGAAAAAUAGAAGCUAUCAGACAGCAGAGUAGUACCUCUAGAAAGGUUAUUUAUAAGCGUUGACGCUGCCUCUUUAUCCGGCAACCAGUUCUCAAUGAUUCCGUUCUGAACAAGCAACUCGACGUCCUUCGCUGUGUUCACGAGAUUAUGAAUAAGGAACACGUAAUCAUUUAUGUAAUUCUCUGAGUAAUGCCGUUGUUCAAAGGCAAUGAGAUUACGAAAUAAGGAUUCCGUUUCCAGCUGUAGCUUCAGUUUCGGAAUAUGCAAUGUCCUGUUUUUGAAUUCUAUGGCGAACAAAUCAUUGCUCUUGCUCAAACUGAAGUGGACUCCAGCUUGGUGGAGAUCAGUCACACUUGGUGCGGUUUUACCUUUGUGGUAUUGCUGACCUUCUUGUUUUUCCUGAUUCCUUGAUGAUGGUAGAUGACAAAUCCUUAGAAAAUCAAGGAAAUGCUCUACCCUAGCCUCAGUGUAAGGAGGGAAUUUUUGCCGAUUACCUUGUACUGCCUCUAAACCCUUGAAAUACUCGUAUGUGACUGUGAUGAUGGUUGGAUUUUCAUGUUGGUCGGGGAUUUCAAUUGCCGCUAGAGCAAAAAGAUCCUCAAGAGUGAAGAAAGGAAGCUGAUUCUCAAGCAACCACAUAUCAUACCAUAUAUCCUCUAUUAAAUAGGGUUUUAUGAAAUAUAUGAUCAUCCUUUUUUUGAAGUUGACGGAAAUGAUACCUCAAUAAGAGUUCAAUGAUGAAGGCAGCAUCCAGCAGAAUCAUUUCAACAAAUUUAUCACUACUUAGUUCGACUUUUCUGCAUAAGAACCUCGUAAUUCUGCUUCUCUGAACUUUAUAAUUUGAACAAACUCGUCAAAGCUUAUUUUGGUCCGUUGAAGAAAGUAAUGCAGGUACCGCUGUUUAUGUUCUUCCAUUAACUGUAAGUUUGCUUUGCCAUGGUGAAGAGGGCCAAUUGAGACUACCUGAGGUGUGUAUACCUUUUCAUUUAUCUGACGUAAUCGCUCUGGAACUCUGUAGAUGCAGCAGUUUGAGGGCAAUGGUGAUAAUUUUUUCAACUUAACUUGCAAGCAUUCUUCCAUGUUAUAAACUGAAAACAUGGCGCGAAAUUUAAUCAAUUCAACGCUUAAUAAGGCAUAGUAAUUAAAAAAGAAUUAAAAAAAAAAAAUACAAGAGCAUUCUUACAAGUACAGAAGCACCUCAAUCCCUACUAUUUGCAGAGCUGUAGCCAGGAUUCAAUGAUAGACCGGACUGAACUAAAAGGAACAACUUUCUUAGGAAUAUGUUAUCGGCAUUUUCUCUGGCCUCAGGCCAUCAACAAAGCAGUUUCAGUGCUUCUUAUAUAAUUCCAUGGAUUAUUCCUUGCCUUUACAGAUGAUAUAAGUCACAAUUCAUAUAUUAAUUUCUCCAGAUUCCGUACAAGUGGACCAUAACUAUGGAAAAAUUCAAAGAAUGCAACAGCCAUUUGAUUGGUCCAUGUCAGAAGUUAAUCUGGGGAAAGAAGCUUGAUCUAGCUGUAAAAUUCUCUCCUUCAAUCAGUCAGUUUGGGGCAGCAACAAGAUCAAAGCCACCACGCAAACAUUUACUAAAGUUUAUAUAAUAUUCUUGAACCUCAUCUUAAGUAAAGCAACAAAAGCCUUCACUGUUUCUUAACAACUUUAUUGCUCUAACACAUAGCAUAACAUUUUUAAAUUUGCAUAAAGCACAAUAGUACUUCAGUUUGUAACAACAGCACGGAUAAUAAAUAGCAUUUUAUAGCUUUAACAAAAGCAUACAAAAUUCUUAAACCUUGUUUCAAGCAAUCCAUUAAUGCCACAAGGAUAUCUUUUUGCUUCCUACAGUUUUUAUUGAAAUUCAUAUAUUCUUCUUUAUCAAAUUAAGUAAUUUUCCUUUUUCAAAAAAUCAAGAAGGUUUCGACUGCAUGGAAAUACAGCACACAAUUACUACUAUUCCCGGAGUAAGAAAUUCAUAAAUGCAAUAUAAACAUACAUUUUCAUAAGACAUCAGAAUCAAAGAAUCAUCAAUGCAUCAAAUCUGUACACCCAAAAAAGUUGAAAGCAUCAAGAGAAAAUUAUACCGCAUGGACCCUUUACAACCCUUAUAACGAGUUCAGACAGCCUAAUCCAAUUUGAUAGAUUUGAGGACAGCUACAAUGUGCAAUACAAAAUUUCCCAAUACUAUUUAGAACAAAGUCUAGAAAACAAAACUUAUAUAUUGUACAAAAUCAUGAAAACCAGAAAUGACGAAAAACCUGCAAAUGUAAUUUUUGGGUUUCUUCAACAUAUCUUCCAUCCAAAUCAAACAAGAAUCGAUAAAUCAACAACAUUCAUCUUUAAACGACAUAUUACCACAAUAAAAUUGUCAACCAAGCCUCAUAUAAACCUUUUUUGUGUUUUUUGGUAAAUAUGUUUGUUUUUCUCUAAGAAUACUAGGGAAAAAAGAAACCCACUUUCUUAAUCAAGAAUCAAAUAAUAUAUAUGAAUCUAAGCUGAAGUAAGUCUUGGGUUUGAUGAAAUAGCUUGCAUUGCGAUUUAGAUUGGAAAGGAAGUUGAUUUUUACUGGUUGAGAGAGAGAGAUUUGAGACUUAAGAGAGUGUUGCUAAUCUUCAAUCGUGUAAACAAGGGUAACUGGGUCAUAGUUCAAAAUAAGGGUCCAAAAUUUACUAAAGCUAUUAAGGAGCCCAAAACUCAUAAUGGCUUCCCCAAAAUAAAUAAAAUUUUCUAGCAUUAAGUUUUUGUUUCUUCUUGAGAUUUCCUUGUCGUACUUACCCAUAUUUCGAUAUUGCCUCCAAGUAAACUUAUAUAUAUUGAUUAACAAUAUAAACAAGCACUAUGAAGUUUUAGGCCUGAAAGAACAUUAGGAUUGAAAUGAAAACCAUCUAUUUAAGUAACAAAUUCUUCUGAUAAUCUGAUGCUUAAUUUAGAGAAGAGAUGACAUAUCAAUCACGUUAUGAUGUGGAAGUUAUGAUUAUAUUCAUCUUAGAAUAAGAUCUUUCAGGCACUGGCAGAUUAGUAUAAAAAAUACUCAGCAUAAGACCUACAAACUAGAAAUCACGCACCAAUUAUUGAACUCAGCACAUAAGUUGAUCUUUUAUAAGCUAUAAAACAAAUCUGCUAUAACAUAAGAAAGUGGGAUUUAUCACCAGACAAGUAUUUUGGUGAAACUCAAGCUGACGGAAGGAUAUCCAAAGCAACCUCCUUAAGGGAAGGCAUCACUUCCUGCUGAUGCAAACAUAUAUAUUUAUUACUCACUUUCUUGAGGACCUUCUAGGAACCUGGGUAGCACCUAACAGAAAGUGGAAAAGAAUAAAAUGUAAAAUAUAAGUUAAACAGCAGGAAAACAGUGAGUGAUACUAGGCAAGCAUUAAUAUGUUGCCGCAAGAAAAGUGUCAGUAACUAGCUAGCAAACCUGAAAAGGGUUCCUCCAUUACGACCCUUAAAAUUGUGAAUGUAAUAUAUGGUCUCCAUCACAGGAAAAAGUGUUUUGGAUAGUGCAGCCAGCUUAGGGUAGAAGAAUGACGGAUAAUCUUAGCUCAUUUAAGGAAAUCCUCUCUGAUCCUUUCAUUGCACAUUCCAAAACAACUCUACUACAACCAAGUUACCAAUUCUUUUUGUUAAGUCAUUGUUAUUUGUUAAAAAAAAAAAAAAGUCUUCCUUGUAACAUUUUAUUGAAAGAUAUAACAUGAUCAUCCCUAUUAAUUCCCUUUUAGAUUUCUGUGAGUGAAUUUCAAAUUAUUGUAUUAAAAAAUAGAAGCAAAAGACCCACUUUACUUUCAAUUUCUGCAACAAGAUACCAAUUGAAGGACCAAAAAGUUGUAAACAAGCAAUUCAAUGAGUGGACAUCUAGAAACUGCUAUAUAGCAUCAAAAUCAUACUAAAUUUACAGAAAGCACGAUAAGAAUGAAAGAAUGGUGAAGGAUACACCCAGACCUUAUCCGGUCAAGUUCUCCAUUGAAUAUAAUCAGUUUCCGGGCAGUAUUGAAGACAGCUUCUUUGUAAAGCUCUUCAACGACAAGCAUUUCUACAAGACAAAAGAAAAGCAAAAUUAAUUACCUUAAGGAAUGAAUAUCAAUGAGAAGACAAGGUGUAAGACUACCAUUGACAUUAAAAUAUGGAUAGGCGACUAGAAACAAUUCAUCUUCCGGCUUCACACGGUCUGCCAUUUUAACCUUCUCAGUGAAUCCAAAAUCCUCAAAGAAUGAAGGUUUUGUUAGAUAGUCCAACUUAAAUGAUGAUCCUUCAAAGACCGAUUUUCUUGCAAAUUUGACUUCAUUUGCCUCUGGGAAAAACUAAAAACCAAAUGACAGACCAAGAUCACGAAACGAAUCAUGAACGUAGAUAUCAGAUAAUCAGAAAUGGGCAUUAAACAGACUACUAACAAGUAGGAAAUGCAUACAGAAAACAUUAUUCAUACACCUUAUGCACAUGAAAUAUAUAUGCAGAGGGAUCCUCUUGUGAAUUUAGUUUAUAUCCUAAUAUGAGACGAUGAACAAUUGGAUGCCAUCUAAGGGCUAACAUUUGUUUGAUUAUUAUAUGAAAAAAAAAAAAAACAGAGUUGAUUGAUGGCCUUUGAUGGAUUGCCUACACUCCUAAAGUGCAGAGAGCCUGAUUGAUUGCUUUACCUGCCCCCCACACACACUUGAUUUUAUUAUCUCUCUUUUCAAAUAUAUAAUCAUUGCCUGUCUUUCAUCCUGAUCCAGCUCUCCUUCCAGGCACCAGCUGUGUUUUCUUCAAUUCAGUGAAACAUUCACUUUCAGGUAAGAAUAAACUUGUCCUUCCUCAAAAACCAACUUCUCACCAUGAAGCUUUCUUUUUUAAAACAAUUACUAGUCUAGCAUAAUUGAAGACAACUCAGAAUUGAAAAAGCCAUACUUUAAUGUCUGCUGUUGGGACCUCAAGACCAGGAACAAAAAGCUUCUUUCUAACCGUUGGAUUAACAAGUAGAAAUAGCUUUUUUCUGAAGGACCCAACAUUGCAUUGAAAAAUUCAACAAAAUGACUGGCGUCAUAUUUAGUCCUGCUAGAAUUUUGUGCACUUAACACAAUGGCUAAUAAUUGGCCCAGCGGACACUUUGUCGAACUACUGGCAACCUUGACUGUGGAAAUGCAUAUUUCAAAUGUUGGCAGGCUCUAGCUUCUUGAUGUACUGUUGAUAGAAAUGCCUAUUUCAAAAGUUGGCAGGCUCAAACUGCCGAGACUUUGGUUUCUUACAUUUCAAACCCACAAAUAAAACUUUGGCAGAACCCCAGAAAGAGCUACACCUCCCAAAUUUGAUGACAUAUGAGGAGACCAUGCCUAGUGCUUGGUUCGGCAAAUGAGUAAGUUUGAAAGAAAUUGAGGGAAACCUUUCCCACAGAGAGUCAUAUUGAAGGUUACAAUUUGAAGACUUUGUCCCCUGUCGCCCGUAACCUUCUUUGAUCUCUUUUCUUAGUCAUAAAUAAUCAAACAUGUGUUAGUCGUUGGAUGCAAUCCACUCACUGACAUCUCAUGUCCACAAUCAAUCAACCAUAUUUUAAUAGAAAUGAAAACAUUUUAAUUAAAAAAAAUGAGAUAGGAACAAAAUCAAACUUGGCAGACAUGGUCUAUGAGAUUUUAAAGAUGCUUGGUGAAAGUUGUAUUCAAGAGUUCAACAGUCAGUUCUAUCACCUAUGGCAAAGUAACCACCGCAACUAAAGCAAUUACAAAACAUCAAGAAGCUUGAACUUGGCAAGAGGUCUCAUUAACAGUAUACCUCAGAAAUUAAGACAGACUUAAAGUGCAAGCUUUUGGAUUUAUUUAAACACUGAAAAUAAUAUGGGUAGAAGCUCCUAUGGUCACAGCAAACAAUUACAAAGCACAAAACCCAAAAAACAGAUAUGCAAAAAGCUGCAAAAGAACAUUAUUAGCAAUUGACAUCUGCUUUUGCUCAGACAAAGGUUCUCAUAACAAAGGACUUAGUGAUUAUCUGUCAUAUGUUUAUGUUAAGGGGAAAAAGGAAGUUUGUUUUAGUCAAUCUCACGUCUAAUGGCAUUUAUAAGGAGCCCAAAAAUAAAAGAAAAAAUAAAGAGUUAGUAGGUGUUUCUUGCAGCACAAAGAAAAUUUAUCAUUCAUGAAAAACUUAGUAUGGAAAAAGCUAACUCAUUUAUCUGCCAAUGGAGAAAAACUUGUUGUCCACCCACUAAGGACCCACCAUUGGCAGGUCUGAUGGAUCCCAUGGAUGGGAACCGCAAAUAUUUUAUUCUAAAUGACAUGUGUAUUGUACCCAUAUCAUUUAAUUUGUAGAUUCCACUGAUGGAACUCAUCAAACUUGCCAAAUGGCAGGUCCUCCGUGGGUAGGCGCAUCACUUCAGCAUCCUUCUCCACCGAUGACCAAAUUUGGACUCAUUUAAAAAGAAUACAAAGCAAAACUAACUGACAUAAAUUGCAUAGAGAUCUAGGAGCCAAAUCAAUGUUGUUAACUCAUCCAAUUAAUACAUUCUCUUAGAGGCAGGGACGGAGCCAGCGUGGGACGAGGUGGGGCACAGGCCCCAGCUGGCUUUUAAUUUUUUUUUAUAAUUAUACUAAAAUAUGUAUUUUAUUUGUUAUUUAUGAAAAAUGUCUCAGCUGAAUUGUAAAAUUUAAAAUUGACUCCAGUAAUUUUAAAAUAUUUCAUACUGUCCCUAAUUUAUAUUUUUAAUUAUAAAUUAUUUAAUUAGUUAUUAACAUUUCAUGAAACUUUAUUAAAGACACAAGAACAAAUAUUAAAAUAAAAAAUAAUCAUAACAAAAUGUUAGUAUAAUGGUUAAUGGACUAGUUUUUAAUCUUUUUAUUUUUUAUUCAAGUAAAAUUAAUUAUUUAGUCUUUCAACACUGACCAUAAGUUGUAAGUCUUCCUAAUUCUAAUUUAUAAUUUUCUAAUUAAUCUUUUAUCUAGUUUUAAAAUUUAUAAUUUUAUCAUGCAUUUCAUAUUUGUUCUGUGUGUUGCAAUAUAUGAAUAUUUUUGUUAUUAUUAAAAGAUUUUAAGAGCAAAUUAAGUAAUAACCUAGUCUUGUAUAUUGAAAAAUAUAUUUUUGCUUAUAUUGAUAAUUCAUUAUUUUCAACUCAUAAAAUCCCAUUGAGGAGAUUUCGCGGAGAACCAUUGUAAUAAGUAAAUUUAUUAUCAAUGAAUAUUAUAGUUGUAAUGCUAUUUAUUGAUAUCUAAAUUUUUAAAAAUGUAUUAUACUUUAAGUAUGCUUUCAAUUAGAUGCAUACAGACGCACUCUAUAAGAAGUACAAUUGUACAUGUAGCAAGCUCCCAUUUAGAGUUUAUAGGGCCCACAAUACAGUUUCUCAAAUGACGACUUAUCACACGAGCAAUCGUACAUUCGAGUCAUCUUUAAUUUUAAAUGUGCCCCGGCUCUAUCAAAAUCCUGGCUACGUCCCUGCUUAGAGGUCAUACCUUGGUAACUCAUUUGAAAAGAAAUUAAAAGAAAAACGACUGCACAAAUUGUACUGAGCUCAAGAAAACCUGUUCAAGGUGUUCACUUGUCCAACUAAUAAAAGUCAUCAAGGAUUGUAUCGGGGACUUGGGACCAAUCCUGCCUUAACGAGAGAAAGGGAAUUUAGGAGGAAGAAGAUAACCUCUUUUCCUAGAACCCUUGAGAAAAUUAUUGAAGAAAUAUGUAUCUCCUUUUCUUAUUUUUACAAUAGGGUUACACAAUACAUAUAUAUAUAUUCUAAACUACAUAAUGUGCUAGAGUAGGAAAGUAAACAACUAACUGCAGACCAAGAAACUAGGAAACAAACUCUAUCUAAAAAACUGAAAUUCUAUCCCUAUCUUUUUUCUUUUCUAUCCCUAUCUUUUUUCCUUAAAAACAGGAUAGAAAACAAGUGACUUUUCCACACUCCCCCUCAAGCUAGUUCGAAGAUAUCAAUCAUUCCCAGCUUGCUAGUUAGUGACUCAAAGCUUGAUUUAUGAAGUCCUUUAGUAAGAAUAUCAGCUAGCUGCUUUGUUGUUGGAACAAAGGUCAUGCAUAUCAAACCACUUUCUAUUUUCUCCUUGAUAAAAUGACGAUCCACUUUGUUGAGUGUUAGAAAAUGCAUAUUUAUAAAGGAGAAAACCAUCAUUUUACAUUUCAAGUCGUACUAACAACUCUUACUUUUAUGUAUUUAACCUUCUUGUGAUAUAAUUACGUGUGUUUUAUUUUAAUUAAGUAUUUUAUGUAUUUUAGGGGCAUUAUAGUCAUUUCACAAUAAAGGAGAGAUUAGACGGCAAAACGGACAUCACUUUUGAACUCAGGACGGUCGAAAACCUUAGGAGGAGCAUAAAAGGAAAAAUGGCACUAUUCAUAUGUACGGUACUAUUCGCGUGUACGGUAUUAACUACGUUACUGUUCACAACACUGUUCACAACACUGUUCACAUAGACGGAUCGAUGACGUGGCAUUGACCGAUGAUGUGGCAUUGACUGAUGAGGUGUCACGAUCCUGUUGGGCUAAAAUUCUUAUGUACUGUUGAUGGUGACGUGGCAGCAUAUCAGUGGAUGAAAAAUCUCGCGUACGGUACAUGCAUCACACAUGAUUAUUCUCAACCAAACCGUGUUACUGUUUAUCCGAGUCAAACCGUGUUACUGUUCAUCCACGUGGUCAAACCGUGGACUGUUGACUUAUGACGUGGCGCAAUCCUGAGCGUCCAAACUGUUUUUAAUCUGAUGGCCAUGAUUUACUCCAUGUAUCUAUAAAAAGGGGGCCUUCCCCCCCUAAUUUGAUAGCUCUGAAUCCAUUUUUGGGAUCCAUUUUCUGUAAUUCCUUCUCCAUCUUGUAUUUUCUUUGUAUUUUAAUAAAUUCCCAUUUUGCCCCUAGUUCAAUUAUGAGUGGCUAAUUUUCUUUCAAGCUUGGGUUGAAGGUGAAGUCUCAACAUGUGUCAUGGGCUUAAUUUGGUAAAUUUAUUUUCUCUUCCCCUCUAGUUUUUGUGGAUGUUUUGACUUCUCGUCGACAAAUAAUAAUAAUCUUGUCUAGAUACCGCCUUGGUUACACCGGCUCUCUAGUAUAAGGUUAUUAUUAUUUGGCACGAUAAGCCCUUAGCACCAUAUUGAUUAUAGCGUGGUUCAUGAGGUGUGGAUUCCCCCCUCAUGAUUUAAUUGGCAUUAAUAAAGAUUAUUUAGCCCAUGAUGCAUGUUGAUACGGAUCCAGAUACCCAAGUACGUCAUUUUAAUAGAAUUCUCUUCAAUUUAUUCUCGCCAUUUCAAUUCCAAUUUUAGAAUUUAUUCUCGCCAUUUUAAUUUAAGUUUUAGCAUAUCCCAAAUCAUUUCCACCACAAAUCCAAUCACCCAUUUACAAAAUUAAUUCUACACAAUUAAAAUCCACCUCCUCGUGGGAUCGACACUCGUCACCAUUAGUCUAUACUACAAUAGAUUCGUGCGCUUGCGAGUACAUUAAAAUUUGCACAACAAGUUUUUGGCGCCGUUGCCGGGGAGGUAAGUAAUUUUAAUUCAUAGAAUUAAUUUUUGUGAAUAAUUUCUUUUAUUUAUUUUCUUGUAUUUUUUUUUAUUAUUAAAAAAAAAAGUAAAUCUACAUUUAAAGGUUAGUAUUUCUUUUCUUUUUCUCUUCUUUAAAAUUCUGUAAUUUAAUUUUCAAUUUAUUUUUCUUUGUAAUUUUUUUUUGUUUAUUUUAUUAAUUUAUUUUUAGUUAAUUUAUUUCACGUAUUUAUUUUUGUGUAUUUUUAUAGUAAGGUUGUAAUAGCGCAAUAAGGUUAGUAUUGUAAUUUCUCUCUCUUCUUUAUUUUUAUUUGUUUUGUUCCAUCUUUAUUUUUAUUUUAUUUAUUUUGUAUGCAUGGUCGUAGGUCUUUAUUACCUAAUCUUGAACCUAUAGACCUUGAACUUGAGAAAACACUUCGCACACACAAGAACGUUAAAAAUAAAUUUGAAAUGGAUUUACAAGCACCACAGGAGAGGCCAUUUAAGGACUAUUUUAGUCCCUUAGCUAAUUUGAGCACAUCAUGCAUAAGAUACCCAAAUGUAGCUGCUAGGAGUUUUGAAUUAAAACCUAGUGUGCUAAAUUGUCUCCCCACAUUCUAUGGCCUAGAAAAUGAGGACCCAUAUAAUCAUCUGAAUGAUUUUCAUGCCAUUUGUCAAACUUUUAAAUAUGAAAAUUUUUCAGACGAUGAUGUUAAACUUAGAUUAUUCCCAUUUUCUUUAAAGGAUAGAGCUCGUUCAUGGUUAAAUACUUUGCCUGCUAAUAGCAUUGCAUCAUGGGAACAAAUGGUUACAAAAUUUCUAAAUAAAUAUUUCCCAGUGCAUAAAACCAAUUCUAUUCGCAGGGAAAUUUCAGAGUUUACACAAAGAGAGGACGAGCAGUUUUUCGAAACUUUGGGAGUGAUUCAAUGGGCUACUCUUGAAGUGUCCACAUCAUGGGUAUGAGAAAUGGCACCAAUGCCAAUACUUUUUGGAGGGAUUAUUGCCAAAUGUGCAAGAAUGGCUAAUGGCAACAAGUGGAGGAGAGCUAAUGUCAAAAAGCGCAACAGAGAUUUGGGAAUUCUUCCAGCGACAAGCGGAUAAUUCCCAACAACGGAGUCGAUCACUCAGGAAUACUAGAAGAAUUAAGGGAGUAAAUGAGGUUCAAAUUGGCGAGUCAACUUCGGGAAUCAAAGAAGUCAAGGAGAUAGUUGAAGGUCUUGCUCGACAAAUAGCAUCGUUGUCGACUGCUAAAUCAACAGAACCACAUGACCAUGACUCAUACUCCGAUCAAGCCAAUGCCAUAGGUGUAAUGAGAAAACCAUCGAAUUACAACCCAUACUCCAACACAUAUAACCCUGGAUAGAGAGACCACCCCAAUUUUUCAUGGUCUCAAGGAUUCCAACAGAAUGGACCAGCAGCUCCAGCUCCACAAAUUCCUCAAGUUCCUCAAGCCUCUCAGCCCCCAUUUAGACCAUUUAAUCAGAACCAGAACUACUCUCAACCCAGACCAUGGGAGGAUUCAUUCCAGAAUCUCAAGAAUCUUACUCACUCCACGAUUGAGCAGCAGAACCGCACCGUUGAUGGACUACGAAAUGAGUUGAGAGCAGGCUUCAACUCACAAGAUCAAUCAGUUUCAAACCUCGAGAAAAUGGUGGGACAACUUGCUUCUUCAGUUCAGACCUUGGCAAUGACUGUUGAGAAAGGAAAAUUUCCAAGUCAACCAGUGCCUAAUCCUAAAGGAGUGCAUGAAGCAAGUACCAGUUCACCACAGCAGCAUGGGGAGGUCAAAGCAGUCAUGACCUUGCGAAAAGGAAAGGAAGUCGACAACAAAGUGGAGAUGCCGGUGACAAAAGAAAAUCAAAUUGUACCUGUGAAUGUUGAGGACUCACCACCGGAGGAAAAAGAAGAAACCAACCCACGAGAAUAUGUUCCUAAAGCUCCAUUUCCUCAGAGGUUAGCGAAAGGAAAGAAGGGAAAUUCCACAGGUGAGAUUCUCGAAAUCUUCAAACAGGUAAGUGUUAACAUCCCUUUACUUGAUGCUAUAAAGCAAGUUCCAUCUUAUGCUAAGUUUCUUAAAGACCUUUGUACUAAAAAGAGAAAUAUGCAUGUUCAAAAGAAGGCAUUUUUAACAGAAAACGUUAGUUCUAUACUCCAACAUAAAAUUCCUUUAAAAUGCAAAGACCCAGGCUCCCCCACUAUCUCAUGUAGUAUAGGGAACCACACAAUUGAGAAUGCUUUGUUGGAUUUAGGAGCUAGUGUAAAUCUUUUGCCUUACUCUGUAUUCGUGAAACUUGGACUGGGAGAAUUACACCCAACUCCAGUGGUGUUACAGCUUGCAGAUCGGUCCACGAAAAUACCUCGUGGUAUUGUGGAGGACGUGCUUAUCCAGGUAGACAAGUUUUAUUUUCCUGUUGAUUUCAUUGUAAUUGACACUCAACCAAUACAGGAUUCAAGGAAGCACAUCCCCAUUAUUCUAGGCCAACCUUUCUUGGCAACUGCGGAUGCUCACAUUCAAUGCAGGACUGGAAAUAUGCAAUUGUCCCUCGGCAACAUGACUAUGGAGCUGAACAUCUUCAAUAUUGCCAAACAACCUCAUAAUGCAGAUGAUAGAAUUGUAGACGUGGAUUUAAUUGAAGCAUUAGUUGAUGAUACUUUUGUUUCAAACCUUAGUGAUGAUCCUUUACAAACAUGUUUAACUCACUUUGGUUUGGAUUUUGAUAUUGACAGAUCGGUCGAAGAGGUCAACGCCCUGCUUGACUCAGCACCAUACAUGGACACUAAUAAAUGGAAGUUAAGAGUUGAACAACUAGCACCAUCAGAGAAGAAACUCAUCCCAUCAUCAGAAUCACCACCGAAACUCGAGGUCAAACCAUUGCCCAACACAUUGGAAUAUGCAUUUUUGGGAGAAGAAAUUACUUUGCCGGUAAUCAUCUCAUCAUCCCUAAAUGACGAACAAAAAGGUAAGUUGUUGGAUGUUUUAAAAGAGCACAAAGGAGCAUUAUGAUGGACCAUAGCAGACAUAAAAGGUAUAAACCCAGUAGACUGCAUGCAUUACAUUCACCUUGAUGAAAAUGCUAAAUCUACUAGGAAAAUGCAACGUCGGUUAAAUCCUAAUAUGAAAGAAGUUGUUAGAACAGAAGUCCUUAAGCUAUUAGACGCAGGUAUCAUUUACCCAAUUUCUGAUAGUUCAUGGGUCAGUCCUGUACAAGUUGUCCCCAAAAAGUCAGGAGUCACAGUAGUUACGAAUGCUGAUAAUGAAUUGAUACCCACUAGAGUAACUACAGGAUGGCGUGUAUGCAUUGAUUAUAGAAAGUUGAAUUCUGUCACACGUAAAGACCAUUUUCCUUUACCAUUUAUUGAUCAAAUGCUUGAUAGAUUAGUAGGCCAUGAAUUUUAUUGCUUUCUAGAUGGCUACUCAGGAUAUAAUCAGAUUCCCAUAGCACCAAAAGAUCAGGAGAAAACUACUUUCACUUGCCCUUUUGGCACAUUUGCAUAUAGGAGAAUGCCAUUUGGAUUAUGUAAUGCACCUGCUACAUUUCAACGAUGCAUGUUGAGCAUUUUUUCUGAUAUGGUUGAACAAUUCCUUGAAGUCUUUAUGGAUGACUUUUCUGUUUUUGGUAACUCGUUUGAUCAAUGUUUACAUCAUCUAACGCUAGUUCUGCAGAGAUGUAUCGAGAAGAAUUUAGUCUUAAAUUGGGAGAAAUGCCAUUUUAUGGUAAAACAAGGUAUUGUUCUCGGUCACAUCAUUUCGAGCAAAGGUAUUGAGGUUGACAAAGCCAAGGUGGAUCUCAUUUCUAAUCUUCCUCCACCUAAAACAGUCAGAGAAGUACGAUCUUUCCUUGGACAUGCUGGUUUCUAUAGACGUUUCAUUAAAGAUUUUAGCAAAGUUUCUAGACCCUUAUGCAAUUUACUUGCUAAGGAUGUACCUUUUAUCUUUAAUGAUUCAUGUCUCAUGGCGUUUGAAAAAUUAAAGCAAUUGUUGACAUCAUCACCCAUCAUUCAGGCCCCAAACUGGAGCUUACCAUUCGAGCUCAUGUGUGAUGCAUCUGAUUAUGCAGUAGGAGCAGUAUUAGGACAAAGAGUUGAUCGAAUUCCCCAUGUUAUUUACUAUGCUAGUAUGACAUUCAAUGAUGCACAGUUGAAUUAUUCAACUACUGAAAAAGAAAUGCUAGCAGUAGUGUUUGCAUUAGAAAAAUUUCGAUCUUAUCUCAUUGGUUGUAAAAUAAUUAUAUUCACAGAUCAUGCUGCUCUUAAAUAUCUUCUCACAAAGAAAGAUGCAAAAGCUAGACUAAUUCGUUGGGUAUUACUUUUGCAGGAAUUUGACUUGGAAUUCAAAGAUAAGAAAGGCACAGAAAAUGUCGUGGCGGACCAUCUCUCUCGUCUCCAUUUUGACACAAUUACAGAGCCAUUAAUAUUAAAUGAGUCAUUUCCAGAUGAACAAUUAAUGAGUGUGGAAGUAUUACCUUGGUAUGCUGAUAUAGUUAAUUAUCUUGUUACAGGUAAACUUCCAGAGCAUUGGACCAAGCAAGACAAGGCUAAAUUCUUUGCGGAAAUAAAGAAUUUCUUUUGGGAUGACCCAUAUUUGUUCAAGUAUUGUGCAGACCAAAUUGUUAGACGAUGUGUCCCUGAAAAUGAAAUUCAGAAUAUUCUUUCAUUCUGCCAUGAACAAGCUUGUGGAGGCCAUUUCAGUGCUAAGAAAACAACGACUAAAGUUUUACAAUGUGGUUUCUAUUGGCCAACUAUAUUUCGAGACGCUUACACUUUCUGUUCUUCAUGUGAUAGGUGUCAACGAAUGGGGAGCAUUACACGAAGGAACAUGAUGCCACUAAAUCCAAUUUUAGUGGUUGAGAUUUUUGAUGUAUGGGGUAUCGACUUCAUGGGACCCUUUCCCUCUUCUUUUGGCCAUCAAUACAUAUUGGUUGGUGUUGACUACGUCUCAAAAUGGGUAGAAGCAAUUCCAUGUAGAACCAAUGAUCACAAAGUGGUGAUAGGAUUUUUGAAAAGCAACAUUGUCUCACGCUUUGGAUUCCCUCGAGCAAUAAUCAGUGAUGGUGGUGCCCACUUUUGUAACAAAGCAUUCAAAGCUCUUUUGACAAAGUAUUCAAUCACACACAAAGUGGCAACCCCUUAUCAUCCGCAAACCAGUGGCCAAGUUGAGAUCUCCAAUCGAGAAAUAAAGCAUAUAUUAGAAAAGACGGUGAGGCCAGACAGAAAAGAUUGGUCAUUAAGACUUGAUGAUGCAUUAUGGGCAUAUAGAACGGCUUUCAAGACCCCGAUUGGGAUGUCACCCUACAGGCUAGUGUAUGGAAAAGCUUGCCACCUACCUGUGGAACUCGAGCAUCGUGCAUAUUGGGCCAUCAAGAAAUUCAACUUUGACAUGCAGCAAGCCAGCUCAGAAAGAAGAUUACAACUGGCAGAACUUGAAGAAAUUCGCAAUGAUGCAUACGAAAAUGCCAAAAUUUACAAGCAACGAAUGAAAGUCUUUCAUGACAAGCACAUUAUGAGAAAAUCGUUCACUCCAGGUCAGAAAGUGCUUUUAUUCAAUUCUCGCUUGCACCUAUUCCCAGGUAAGUUACGCUCUCGAUGGUCUGGUCCAUUUAUUGUUCAUACUAUUUUUCCACAUGGGGCAAUUGAAAUUAAGGACCCAAAGAACGGUGUCACGUUUAAAGUUAAUGGUCAAAGAUUAAAGCCAUAUCUUGAGUACCAACCACAUGGAGAAGACACCGAAAUAAAUUUGAGUGACCCACCAGAUUUGAAUUGAUUUUUUUUCUUUUUGUUGAUUUGAUUUUUCUUUCUUUUUAUUAUUCUUUUGCUAAUUGAAAUUAUUUUUGCAUAAGUGUGUUUGUUUUACCAUUAAGUUUUCUUUUCUCUUAUCAUUGUUAAUCAUGAGUACCAUACUUAGACCGUUCCUCCUGAACAUUCUUAAACCACUUCAACGUGUCAAAACUCAUCUCAAAAAGCAGAUUCAAUUUUGUAAAACACAACGCAUUUGGGCUCUACAACCACCAGAGUUAGUAGCCUAUGUUGAGGGUUUAGAAUGCCAACUCAGAGACAUUGAGAGAAGUGUUUACGACAUCCAGUUAGAGCUUGAGGUAAAUUCAAUAAGAGGACGAUUUUAAUUUUCUUUGUGUGUUUUAAUUUGUUUUUCUGUUUGUGUGUUUUAGUUUGUUACCCCGGUGAAAUGGCGGAUAACGGUACUCCGUGACAAUCAAGUCGGUUACUUCAGUUUCCCAUAAUAACUGACAUUCUGAGGCGAAAGUAUGGACAGAAAAGAGAUUCUAGCAAAGCUUCACAAGCGAUUCCCUUCACUUCCUCAGAAUGCCCUCCUUACGAUCUAUAAAGCUCGGUCCGAACGCAUGCGAUUACUCAUGAAGAAUAACAUACCUGCUGACAUCCGUUGGUUAAUCGAGGCUAAAGUACGAUCGGCAGGUGAGUUUCCUCCAAAAUUUAUUGCAUACAUGCCUGGUUGUGGUAAAGGAAAUUAUGCAAGAAAACGACGAGCUCGAAGAAUUUCUGUUGCUUGUCAUAAGUGUGCUAGAAUGAGUUGCGAUAGAAACCCAUGUUCUUUAGGAAUGGUGUCUGAUAACAGGGAAGAUAAGAUUUAAUUCAUUAGGGAUGGCUUGAAUAAGGAGUCAUUGGAUGAUAUCCUUUUGUCUCUUGAAACGCAUCCUAGUGGAUAUGUGCAAGGAGCGAUUCUCCAGUUAUGGCCAUUAUUCCAGAAAGAGCAUGCACGAUAUAGUCUCGGGAAUCUGACUAUAAACGACCCUGUUUGCCAGUUUAUAAGAAAACUGGAUAGGAAGCCUAUCCUCGACCCAUAGAGGGCGUUCAAGCCGUUUCUGGACGUAAAACCAGAGGAAGAUGUGAGCCACAGUCGCAACUACGUGUAAAUAUCCUUUUACUUUACUGUUAUUUUAUUUCAUUUCACUGUUGUUUUAUUGUUUGCAUUAUUGUCUUUAAUAAUUUUGUUACUGUUUGCUUUUUCCUUUUUACUGUUUCCUUUUUGACUCACGAGCCACGUGCUUAACGCGUUAUUUGACACUGACAUGCCACCCCAUACACAGUUGUGACCCACUGUCACCAAGAUUCUUAAAUAUGACUUUUUGUUAAGCACUCACAAAUUGUUUCUGAGAAAUAUUCCAAUGGCAGCUACUCCUAAUAGACAAUUCAAGAACAUUUGUGUGCUUUCUGGAUUUACCUAUGGCAAACAUAAAGAGUUCGUGGAGGCAGCCAUAGAUCUUGGUCGAAGCAUAGCAGCGAGAAAAUUACACUUGGUGUAUGGAGGAGGUAACCGAGGGUUAUCAAAAAUGGUCUCAGAAGCAGCUUUUAUCAGAGGAAGUCAAGUGUUAGGCAUCAUCCCAAGAGUCCUAAAACCAUUGGGCAGUUCGUCUGACUCAUCAACUGGAGAAGAGUUAGUCGUCUCAGGUAUGCAAGAAAGAAUAACUGAAAUGCUUAAUCAUGCUGAUGCUUUUAUUUUCCUUCCAGGAGAUCUUGCAACACUAGAGGCACUUAUGACACUAGCAUCUUGAGCCCAUCUACACAUUCACCAGAAACCCAUCGGUUUGUUAAAUGUCAAUAACUUUUAUGAUGGCUUUAUCGCAUUUCUUAACCAUGCAAUAAAAAACUAUUUCAUUCCUUCUAAUGUGAAAAAACUCUUUAUUUGUGCUCACACUGCUAAUGAGCUACUUGAUAUGUUACAAGCUUAUAAACCGGAGCCAGACCCCUGGACCUUUGUGUUGGAGCGACCAAAUAAUGAUGGUAACAGUAGCCGCAGUAAGAAGUACAAAUUAGAUUUAACUCUCCGCCUGUAAAUAUUUUCUUCUGUGUUGCACCACCCAGGUGAUGUCUUCUAAACUCUACUUCUUUCAUUUCAAACAUUGAGGACAAUGUUUCGUUCUGGUUGGGGGGAGGGAAUAGUCGACAGUUGUGGAAUCUUGGUUAAAUUUUUACUGAUUUUUUGUUGUAGAAACUAACUGUUGCUAACUUUUUAUGUUGAAGAUGGCUGAAUAUGGAGUGUAGUGACUCUAGAAACGCAUUUUCAUCGUUUAAAAAAAAUUAAAAAAAAACUAAAAAAAAAUUUCAGACAGUUUCUUUUUUUUUUCUUUCUUUAUUCUGUUUUUAUGUUUAUUUUUCUUCUUUUUAAUUUCUCCUCUAUAAAUAUACAUUUUCCAACUUGUGAGUCGAAGAUGGCUGAAUAUGGAGUGUAGUGCCUCUAGAAACGCAUCUUCUUAAAAAAAAAAAAAAAAAAAACCCAUUUUCUUUUUCUAUCAUUUUACGUGUAACUUUUCUAAUUAGUUUUUAUGCAUCAUUUUCACAUUUCUGCAUGCAUAUUUUCCUUUCAUGUUUAGAAUAGGUUGGGGGGUAGAAUGUUGUUUAAAAAAAAAAAAAUUGUGUUAUUUGUUUUAACAUUGGAUGACAUGAUUAAUUUCAAAUUUUAGUAUUUGUAUUAUCUUUGGUCUUAAGUGAUGUUACGCUAUGUUUGCUACUUUACAUGUUGAUGUCGGAGACAAAUAUGAGUUGCUUGAAGGAAUGAACAUGUCAUAAAUAAGUGCCAAGUGAGUUGUUGAGCCUAUCAUUUUCUUGGAGAGUAACACUUUUGCCCAUUCUCUAUACAGCUUAGCAGUUUAUUAGUUUAUACACGAUCUCUAGAUUUCUUUUGAGUUAACCCUUUAAAAAAAAAUGUGUGUUGCUACAUUGGGAGACCCAUCUAACUAGUAGAUAUGGAUAAUUAUUUAGAGCCCUAAAAGACGAUGGAAAGGCCAUAUUUGAUCCGUUUGAGCCUUUCUAGCCAUCCCUUUUAUUAAAUAUCCAUAGUUACCCCUUUUGAGCCUUUUUUUAAAAAAAAAAGAGAACAAAAACAUUUUCUUUGUCAACUUAUCAUCUUGACCCACUCCGAUUUGGAGUAUUACCCAAUGUCUUUUAAGUUCCAUCACCUAUUUAUGUUUGAGAAAAUGUAAAUAAUGAUGUUGUUCAGUGAAGUUAUGCCAAAUAAAAGCAAAAAAAAAAAAAAAAAAACAAAAGUUGUUGUUUCAAAAGAAUAAAAAUAACAAUAAUAGGUGAAAUCCACCUUGCAACUUCAAAAAAAAAUAUAUAUAUUUCUGCAUUUUUCUCAAACAUACACUUUGUUUUCCUUAUUUCCUUUCUUUGUUAGCCAUAUCCCUAGCCUACGUUAUGUCCUAAUAAAAGUCCUUCUUGAUUUUAGGGAACUAUAGUUUGAAGUAGAAGCUAGUUAUAUGGGCUAAAAAGAUGUAGUGAUGCAUAAUAAAAAAAAAAAAGAUAAAUAAAGUGGGUUGACUAACAUUUUAUUUGACUUGAGAUCGUAUUAUUUCUAAGCUAAGGGCAUAUUUAUUUCAUCUUGGUGAGAGCAUGUGAUAUCACUUCUUCAUUAUUUUCUCUCAAUUACCAUUCAUUGGAGUGACUAUUUUUUUAGGUUUAAUUUCUUUGUGAGAGUGUCACUACUUCCAGUGAGAUUUUGGGUUUUGACAUGUCAUUCUUGAAAGUAGUUAUAACAAAGUCUACUGGCCGAUUCAUGUGGAUGGUUGAUGUGGGUGUGAUGUUGUUUUAGACUGGAGAUAAUACUUAUACUUUUAUUUGAUUGCUAUCAUUAAUCUGAUUGAAUAAACACGAGUGUUUCUAAAAAAAAAAAAAAAAAUUAUUUUGAAUUUGAAUUUUGUUUUCGCUUUAUUUGCUAGGGACUAACAUUAAGCUGGUUGGGGGGUGUGUUGAGUGUUAGAAAAUGCAUAUUUAUAAAGGAGAAAACCAUCAUUUUACAUUUCAAGUCUUACUAACAACUCUUACUUUUAUGUAUUUAACCUUCUUGUAAUAUAAUUACGUGUGUUUUAUUUUAAUUAAGUAUUUUAUGUAUUUUAGGGGCAUUAUAGUCAUUUCACAAUAAAGGAGAGAUCAGGCGGCAAAACGGACAUCACUUUUGAACUCAGGACGGUCGAAAACCUUAGGAGGAGCAUAAAAGGAAAAAUGGCACUAUUCAUAUGUACGGUACUAUUCACGUGUACGGUAUUAACUACGUUACUGUUCACAACACUGUUCACAUAGACGGAUCGAUGACGUGGCAUUGACCGAUGAUGUGGCAUUGACUGAUGAGGUGUCACGAUCCUGUUGAGCUAAAAUUCUUAUGUACUGUUGAUGGUGACGUGGCAGUAUAUCAGUGGAUGAAAAAUCUCGCGUACGGUACAUGCAUCACACAGGAUUAUUUUCAACCAAACCGCGUUACUGUUCAUCCGAGUCAAACCGUGUUACUGUUUAUCCGAGUCAAACCGUGUUACUGUUCAUCCGCGUGGUCAAACCGUGGACUGUUGACUUAUGACGUGGCGCAAUCCUGAGCGUCCAAACUGUUUUUAAUCCGAUGGCCAUGAUUUACUCCAUGUAUCUAUAAAAAGGGGGCCUUCCCCCCCUAAUUUGAUAGCUCUGAAUCCAUUUUUGGGAUCCAUUUUCUGUAAUUCCUUCUCCAUCUUGUAUUUUCUUUGUAUUUUAAUAAAUUCCCAUUUUGCCCCUAGUUCAAUUAUGAGUGGCUAAUUUUCUUUCAAGCUUGGGUUGAAGGUGAAGUCUCAACAUGUGUCAUGGGCUUAAUUUGGUAAAUUUAUUUUCUCUUCCCCUCUAGUUUUUGUGGAUGUUUUGACUUCUCGUCGACAAAUAAUAAUAAUCUUGUCUAGAUACCGCCUUGGUUACACCGGCUCUCUAGUAUAAGGUUAUUAUUAUUUGGCACGAUAAGCCCUUAGCACCAUAUUGAUUAGAGCGUGGUUCAUGAGGUGUGGAUUCCCCCCUCAUGAUUUAAUUGGCAUUAAUAAAGAUUAUUUAGCCCAUGAUGCAUGUUGAUACGGAUCCAGAUACCCAAGUACGUCAUUUUAAUAGAAUUCUCUUCAAUUUAUUCUCGCCAUUUCAAUUCCAAUUUUAGAAUUUAUUCUCGCCAUUUUAAUUUAAGUUUUAGCAUAUCCCAAAUCAUUUCCACCACAAAUCCAAUCACCCAUUUACAAAAUUAAUUCUACACAAUUAAAAUCCACCUCCUCGUGGGAUCGACACUCGUCACCAUUAGUCUAUACUACAAUAGAUUCGUGCGCUUGCGAGUACAUUAAAAUUUGCACAACACACUUCAACAUGUUUAGUUCUGUCAUGAUGAAUAGGGUUAUGAGCAAUGUUUAUUGCUGCCUUGUUGUCACAAUACAACUUCAUAGGAACAUCAAUGAUAAUCUUCAAUUCUUCAAGUAGCUUCUUUAACCACAAAAGUUCACAAAUACCAUAUGCUACUGCUCUAAAUUCAGCUUCAGCACUGCUUCUUGCAACCACUGAUUGCUUCUUACUCCUCCAAGUUACCAAGUUUCCUCCCACAAAUGUGCAAUACCCUGAAGUUGACCUUCUAUCAAUAAUAGAUCCAGCCCAAUCUGCAUCAGUAUAUACUUCAACUUGCAUAUUGUUAUUUUUCUUGAAUAGCAGGCCUUUUCCUGGAGUUUUUUUCAGGUACUUGAGAACCUUGUAAACAGCUUCUAAGUGCUCUUUACAUGGAGAGUGCAUAAAUUGACUAAUAACACUUACUGCAAAGGCUAUGUCUGGCCUAGUAUGAGACAAGUAUAUCAACUUACCAACCAACCUUUGGUAACUUUCUCUAUCCACUGAUUUUCCUUCAAUUGCAUAUCCCAAUUUGUGAUAAGGAUCAAUAGGAGUGUCUCCAGGUUUGCAUCCCAACAUGCCAGUUUCCUUGAGUAAGUCUAAAGUAUAUUUCCUUUGAGAAACAAAAAUGCCUUUACUGGAUCUUGCAAUUUCCAUGCCCAAAAAAUAUCUUAAGGGGCCAAGGUCCUUCAUCUCAAAUUCUCUAGCAAGAACCUUCUUGAGAUUUUCCAUUUCUAUUACAUUGCUUCCAGUCAAGAUGAUAUCGUCUACAUAUACAAUGAGGAUCACAACACUACCAUCAGUGAAGUGUUUAAAAAACAUUGUAUGAUCUGCUUGACUCUGUAAAUAUCCAAAGCUAUGAACAGAUUUGGUAAAUCUGUCAAACCAAGCUCGAGGAGAUUGUUUUAAGCCGUAAAGUGAUCUCUUCAGCUUGCACACUUUUUCAAUACCAUAUUCAUUCUCAAAACCUGGUGGCAGAUCCAUAUAUACCUCUUCUUCAAGCUCUCCAUUAAGAAACGCAUUCUUAACAUCUAAUUGUUGUAGUUGCCAUCCUAAGCUUGCUGCAAGAGACAACAAAACCCGAAUGGAAUUCAUUUUUGCCACGGGAGCAAAUGUUUCUUGGUAGUCAAUGCUAUAUGUUUGUGUAAAACCUUUCGCGACAAGCCUAGCUUUGUACCUCUCAAGUGACCCAUCUGCUCUGUAUUUAACUGUAAAAAUCCACUUGCAACCCACUGGUUUUUUUCCUUCUGGUAAUUUAACUAGUUCCCAAGUUUUGCUUUUUUCUAGAGCUCUCAUCUCUGCAUACCCAGCAUCUCUCCAUUCUGGAAUAGAAAGAGCAUCUUGUACAGAUUUUGGAAUUGCUAUGACAGACAGGUUAGCUGCAAAAGCUCUAAAAGAUGGAGAUAAUCUAUGAUAUGACACAUACUUAGAAAUUGGAUGAAGAGUACAAGACCUAGUUCCUUUUCGUAGUGCAAUUGGAACAUCUAGAUCAUUUGUAGUUUCUAAAACAGAUUCUGAAAUAGGAUUAGAAUGAAUGUUACCUGCAAGUUCCAAGUUGCCUGUGUUUGGAUCCGAGUCUUGGCAGUGAGGAGAGGAAUGAUGAUUUGACCUUUUCGAAUUCCGUCGUGUGUAGACUUGAAGCUAUGGUUCUGGAACUCUCUCUAAUGAUUUUUCAUUAUUCAUAAUUGAUGGCAUUGUAGAAGGAACAUGAGGUACACAAGACAUAAUAGGCAUUGGAAGAGAUAAUUCCCAAAAAUGAUCUUCCGGAGUAUGAUUCUCCCCCUGAAGAGAAGUUUUGGGAAAGAAAGAUCUAUUUUCAAAAAAUGUGACAUCCAUUGUGAUGAAGAAUUUUUUAGACAAUGGAUCAUAACAUUUGUAGCCUUUUUGAGUAGGAGAAUAGCUAAGAAAUACACAUUUUAAAGCUCUAGGAUCAAGUUUGCUCAUGUUCUAUGUAUGAAUGUGAACAAAAGCAAUGCACCCAAAAAUCUUGGGUGGUAAAGAUGUGAAAAACUUAGCGGUAGGAUAGAAUUUUGUGAAAACAUUUAAUGGAGACUGAAAAUUAAAGAUUCGGGUAGGCAUGCGAUUUAUCAAGUAUGAUGCUGUGAGAAUGGCUUCACCCCAAAACUGUUUUGGCACCCUAUUUGUGAACAUAAGAGAGCGUGCAACUUCUAACAAGUGUUGAUUUUUCCGUUCAGCAAUACCAUUUUGCUGAGGAGUAUCUACACAAGAGGAUUGGUGCACAAUGCCAUUUUCCAUGAAAUAAUGACCAAGGGCAGUAGAAAAAUAUGCUCUCCCAUUGUCAGUUCUAAAGACUUGGAUUUUUGCUUGAAAUUGUGUUUGAAUCAUGGUAUGAAAGGUUUUAAAAACUGUUGCAGUUUCUGAUUUUUCUUUAAGCAAGUACACCCAACAAACACGAGUGUGGUCAUCAAUAAAAGUUAUGAACCAUUUAGCCCCCGAAAUGUUUGUAACAUGAGAGGGUCCCCAAAUAUCACUGUGUAUGAGAGAAAAAUGUUCAGAUUUUUUAUACGGCUGUGAAGGAAAAGAUACACGAUGAUGUUUGGACAAUACACAAAUUUCACACUGAAACAAAGAAGGAUUUUUAUUCUUGAACAACAAAGAAAACAAGUGUUGUAAAUAAGAAAAACUAGGAUGACCUAAUCGGAGAUGCCACAACAUUAUUUUAUCUUUAAUAGAGAAAGUUAGUUCAUUAUUUGUUGCCUGAGCUUCUCCACACAAACUAACAUCCUCCUCGAAGUAGUACAAACCAUCUACCUCUCUAGCACUGCCAAUUUUCUUCCCUGAACACAGGUCCUGAAAUUCACAAUAGGAAGGAGAGAAUUUAGCAAUGCAAUGAAGAUCCUUGGUAAUUUUGCUAACAGAUAAAAGAUUACAAGACAAAUUAGGAACAUGAAGAACAGAUGUUAACACCAAAUUUGUAGAGAUAGGAAUAGAUCCUUUUCCUGCUGCAGAAGAUAGUGAACCAUCAGCAAUUUUAAUUUUUUGACUACCAGGACAUGGAAUAUAUGAAUAAAAUAAUUUAGAAUGGCUAGUCAUAUGAUCGGUUGCUCCUGAAUCGAUGAUCCAUGGAUCUUUUUUCUCAUAAACAACUCCUAAAGCACUGAAAUCAUUACCUUUCUGGGCUAAAGAACUAGAAGAUGAAGGAUUUGGGAGAGAUUGUGACUGAUUAAGAAACUUGUACAGUUGCUCUAACUGUUCUUUAGUGAAGAGUUGAGAUUCGGAUUCUCCAGUGUUGAUUGUCGGCUGAUUCUCCCCAAAAACUUGAAAACCUCGACUAUGUUUACCAGAGAAUUUAUUGUUUUUCAAAUUUGGAGGUUUUCCAUGAAGCUUCCAACAUGCAUCUCUGGUAUGUCUUGGCUUGUGACAAUAAUCACACCAAACUCUGUCCUUCUCAUCACUCUUCUUCAGGUUUUUUGUUCCCCCAAUCAGUGGAGCUUCUGGUGUAACAGAGAUCAAGGCUGAGUUCUCUGCUGAAGAACCUCCCAUCAUCACAUUCUUUCUACUUUCCUCUCUUUUUACAUAAGAAAACACUUCCCUGGUAGAAGGAAGAGGUUCCUUGCCAAGUACUCGCCCACGGACUUCAUCAAGGUCUGAACUCAAACCUGCUAAGAAUUCAAAUACACGCUCUUUUUCUAACAUCUUCUUGUAUUUAGCACUAUCAGCAGCACAUUCCCACUCGCCAUCAUAGUACUGAUCUAACUCUUGCCAUAAGCCCUUCAAAAUAUUGUAGUAUUUAGUCACUCCUUGACUACCUUGUUUGGUUUCUCGAAUUCUGGUUUUCAGAUCAUAAAUCUGAGCAGAAUUUCCCAAAUCAGAAUAGGUCUCGGUGACAGCAUCCCACAAAUCCUUUGCUGUUGGCAGAAACAAGUAAGUUUGACCUAUCUCCGAUUCCAUUGAAUUCACUAACCAUGACAUGAUCAUUGAGUUGUCAGCAGCCCAAGUAUGAAACUUUGGGUCUUCUUCAGUUGGUUCUUUAAUUGAACCAGUAAGGUAACCAAUCUUCCCUUUACCUCUGAUAAACAUCUUCACAGAUUGGGACCACUGAAGAAAAUUUUGACCAUUCAAUUUAUGGAUUGUGAUCUAAAGUGAUGGACUAUCAUUAGAAACAUAACUUGAUAGUUGUAGAUGUCGUUGCAAUUGCUCUGAAGAUAACUCAGAAGUUUCUUGCUCGCUAUACUUUGAUAUUGGUAUUCAAAUAGAAUUGAAAACUAAAUCCAAGAAUCAAAGAGCGACUCUGAUACCAUGAGAAAAUUAUUGAAGAAAUAUGUAUCUCCUUUUCUUAUUUUUACAAUAGGGUUACACAAUACAUAUAUAUAUAUUCUAAACUACAUAAUGUGCUAGAGUAGGAAAGUAAACAACUAACUGCAGACCAAGAAACUAGGAAACAAACUCUAUCUAAAAAACUGAAAUUCUAUCCCUAUUUUUUUUCCUUUCUAUCCCUAUCUUUUUUCCUUAAAAAUAGGAUAGAAAACAAGUGACUUUUCCACAGCCCUUUUGGACAAAAAUGAUUUCCUGCUAAUUUUGAGAAUAAAACCAUAGACAUCUAACUUCUGAUAUCUAGUCAAUCUGGUAAAAUCUUGGCAGUUGCACUUGGGGCAUAAAUUAGUUCCACCUUGGUUUAAGGACAGAAAUUCGUCAUAUGCAUGUAUUUAUUUAUGUUUUAUACACACACACAUGCAUGUACACACAAACACUACCUUCACUUUGAAGAAAAGAUUAAAAUAACACUGCUCACAUACACAAUACUUACUAUUCUAGUUCGUGUAACUUUCUCCGGAGUCACAAACAGGUCACAGAAUUCACGUAUUAACCGCAUACUUCUAGUCAUUUCUAUUCCUCCUUCACCAUCACUUGUCCCACAAUUACAAAAAGUGAGAGGUAAUAACCAACAUAUUUGGGUUGCUCUUCGGUAAGGGGUGGGAGGUAAGGGUUAGUUGUGGAGGGCACCUAGUACAGAAUCAAGGCCAGCUGUUGGGAAUUUGAUCUCCUGUAACAUAUACUUGUUCAUCAUAAACUAUAUACUUAUUCUGCAGUCGAUGUGUGCAUAUAGCUCUUCAAUUAUCCAGUAAUAACUCACCAUCAACUUCCUGCCAUCUUUCACGGCUAAUUCAGCAGCCAUUUUUGCCUGCUUAAAGGUCAAAAGCCCAAACUAAGCAGAUGCUCCUACUCCGAUACUUAUUAUCUAACUACUACAGAACAGAUGAUACGCAUCAAGUUGUAUCAAGAGAGACACCAAGUUGUGUUUUCCAAGAGGUUCCAAAGAGGUUUUGUUUCUUUGUGUAAUUUUUAGACUGCUUUGACAACUCAUCUUAAAGGUGCCACUCAUCCAAUAUGAUGUGGUGACAGUAGUUUAGAGUUUUAAACUAAAUGCAGAGCUAAUAGUAUUUUGGAAUAUAAUCAUCCUAAGAUACUAUAACACAGGGAUUCUUACACAAAAACAACAACUUCGAUGUAGAGAGAAGAUGAUUUCACAAAAGCAGAUGUUUUGAUUUAAGUCUCCAAAACCCCCACCAAAGAAAUGUUCAACAGAUAUAGAAAUAUGAUCCACAUAUCUGUAACUUAAACUGUGAAAGUUGUUGAUGUUGUUCUAAAAUUGCCACAAUCUAUCUACCCCAUGAAUGUUUUUGGAUAAAACAACAAGCAGGACCCAAUGCCUGUUUUCUAAUAGCUUCAAAAAGGCCAAAUUGGUUUUGAAAUGUCUCCAGCUUUUCAUUUAAUAAGAGAGAGAGAGAGAGAGAAGAAUCGCUCCCCUUUCAAAUACCGUGCUCUUUUGUACCUGGGAAUUUAACUAAUUCUUGCGAAUAAAAAAAUUUAUAAAUUUGGUAAAUUAUUUAUUAAAAAAUAUUGAGAGGCUGUGCAUUAUUUUAUUAGUAAAGAUAUAGUUAUCAUCAAAUUAGUUAUAUUAAAAUAGUUUUUGACUCACGUAAUUUAUUUUUAUUAUUUUUAUAUAUAUAUUUAAUUAAUAAAUUUAUGUUAUAUUCAUUUGUAUAAAAAUGUACAGUUCUAUCCUCACUCUUAUUUUAUUUUUAUUAUUUUUUCAGAAAAUGGUAUGCGUUAUUAAGGUUAAGGGUGACAACUGGGAUCAAUAUACGGUUUAUUCGAGUGCUUAAAACCUAAUAAAUAUCCACUAACUCAUAUUUAAUUAAAAUAUAAUUAUUUUUAAAUAAAAAAAUUUAAUAUAAACUAAACAAAUUGAUUGGAUUUUGUUUCUAAAGGUACAUCAUUAGAACGUUACCUUUAAUUGAACAAAAGCACACAUAACUAGCACAUUCGCCACAAAAGCCUCAGCUUAGUGGUCGGCUUAUUAAUUAUCUUAAUAAAAUCAUGGUCAUAAAUUUGAGUCCCCGUAGGAAUUAUUAGGUUAGGUAGCUUUUUUAGACUACAAAAGCUUUUUUAGACUACUCAUUCAUUUAAUUUUCCGUUAUAUAUAUUCAUCUUUUUUAGAGGCCAAGAAGUCUUCGACAGAAAUGUGAUCUUUUUCUAGUUGCCUCCCGGUGAUGAGCUUCUCCCAAGUUUCAAUUAAUUCGCUUUGAGUGAGGAUAUUUUCUGGUGGCCUCAAAUACAAUGUCUUGUUCAGCACUCAAGGGUCAUCUAUUGUCUUAAUAGUAUAUGUGGCAACAUCAUCAAGAUGCACUAUAGAAAAAAAGAUAAUCAUUUUGUUUAAUAUGAACAUAAAUUCUUACAGUCUAACUCAUAUUAUAGUGAACGAUGCUGUUAUGUGGUGCGUGCAUGCACUAUCUAUAGUUUUAAUAUUAUUAAUAAAGAGUUAAAAGUCUUGAUUUAAUUUUAAAUUGUCAUUCCUCUAACUUCACCGUCUUCAUAGAUGCAGACUUUAUCUUUUGAAGGGUGAGGGUAGCUAUAUUUGAGAGAGGUGUCUAGGGAACCAACCAGCAAAAAACAGCUAGCAGAAACAUAAAUGACAGGGAUUUGAGCAGCCUUGAUUGCCCUUCUCACACAUGCGCUCUGCGUUCUCCCUCCCGCUCUCACUCACUCACGCCCAAAUCUCACCUCACUCACGCAUCUCUCCUUCUGACCGGUGGUUUUCUCUCUCUCGCCGUGGGUCUCAAGGCUGGCAGGGAUUUCUCGACUUGACUACUAAAACAUAAUCCAAAAACUACUAAGAGAUGUAUAUAUUACUCUGAUAUACACAAUAUGAAGAAACUGCAGUUAUAUUUCAAAUAUUAUAUGAAGGAAGAGGCUGUAUGGAUUAUCUAAAGGUGCUGAAAUUAAGAGACCUAUUGAAAAGUCAUGCAUGUGGUAAUUUUUCAAAGAGCUACCAAACAUUUGAAGAAAAAAUGGAAAGUUGGCAAAUUUGUCAAAUUUGCCAAAUGGACACCAUUGACUAUUGGCUUAGGUUAGGUGGAAUGGUAAAGGGGUUGGUGCAAUAGUGCCAUUAUUUUUCCUAUAAAUAGAUGGCACUUUUUCCAUUCUUUUGCAUCCCAAAAUUGUUAAGCUUAUAAGUUUCUAAGCUUUUGAGAGAAGUGAGAGAAGUGUGUCUGGGGAAUUUAUCUUUCCUGCAGAGUGUGAGAGUACUGGGUAUAUUUUGGGUUUCUGGGAAGUGAGAUUCGUUACUCAAAUAUUGUACUCUAUUAAUUGUUAAAUAAACAAUUAUUCUUUCUUGCCUCCGUGGAUGUAGGUUUAAUUACCGAACCACAUAAUUCUUGUGUCCUUUAUUUUUUCUAUAAUUAUUUGGUGCGCUUGAUUCCGCAUUCCAAGCACAACAAGUGGUAUCAGAGCCGAAGGUUCGUACUUGGGGGGAUACGGUACUGUUCACGUAUACGGUACUAUUCCCAUAUACGGUACUGUUCACGAAUACGGUGGAGACGGCCAUUUGUACUUGGGAGACAGUCUAUUGUAAGUAGUGUGUAUUUUUGCAUGUUUAGGAAAGUUCUGUCAACAAAGGCGAUAAGAGUCUAAGGAUUCUGGUUUUUAAUUGGGACCGAGUUCCCGUCCAGUUUCUUGGGAACUUUCCUGGUGCAUUUAUUCAUGCGAAAUUAACAUCAUAGAGACUGUUUUUCAAGUGGAAAUAGUUCGUUGAGAAAAUGGUAGAAGGUGAAACUUCCAGAAUUGGGGAGAGAUCUACCGAGACUAUUUCAGGAGACACUUCAGGUGGGAGACGAGAUUUGUCAAAUCGCUAUUCAGCACCUGUUAUAGGAGGUCAGAAGAUCGAUGUUGAAAAGUUUGAUGGGAAAAUCAACUUCGGCAUGUGGUGGCGCGAAGUUAUGGAUGCCCUUAUUCAAAUCGAUCUCGAUGUUGUUCUGAAAAAUAAAAGACACUUGUAUGAUGAAGAAAUUUGGGAUCGUAUGAAUGAAAAAGCUUGUGGUUAGAUCAGAUCUUGUUUGACCAAGGAGGUGAAAUACUUGGUGAAAGAUGAGGAGUGUGCGGUAACUUUGUGGCGUACAUUAGAGGAAAAGUACUUGGUGAAAAGUCCUGAAAAUCGCCUUCAUGCAAUGAGCCAAGUAUAUGGUUUUCGAAUGAAGCCUGGGGUGUCAAUGCACGAUCAUGUUUCAAGAUUUGAAAAGUUACUUGCUGAUUUGAAGAAUCUUGAUGAAGAUAUUAAGGAUGAAGUCAAGGCUAUGAUUCUGUUACACUCACUACCAGAGGAAUAUAGCCAUUUUGUGACUACUUUGAUAUAUGGGAAGAGUGUGAUCGUCUUCAAAGAUGUUUGCACAACAUUGACUAGCUUAGAGAUUCGGAAUAAUGAUAAAAAUUCUGAACGAGCAUCGUCUGAAGCUUUAGUGAGCAGAGAUUGGGCGAUGGAGAAACAGAAGAAGCGUGGUGGAAAGAACUCUCGAUCCAAAUCGAGAAGCAGAAAUAUAGCUCGAGAUGAGUGUGCCUUUUGUCAUGAAAAGGGCCAUUAGAAGAAAGAUUAUCCAAAUGCUCAAAAGAGAGAUGGGAAGAAACCAGCAGCAGCAAACAUGGCACGGAAAGAUGAGGGAUCUGAUUAUUCACUAAGUAUUACUCCUGCAGCAUACGUGGCUAGUUCGAGCGAGUGGAUACUUGAUACUGGAGCAACCUAUCAUUUGUGUCCCAUUAAGGAAUGGUUUACGGAUUUCAACGUAUUGGAAUCUGGUGCAGUUGUGAUGGGGAAUGAUCAACCUUGUCGCACAAUGGGGAUAGUAACAAUUCGGCUCAAAAUGUUUGAUGGAAUGGUCAGAGAACUCAAAAAGGUUAGAUUUGUUUCAGCUUUAAAGAAAAAUCUAAUUUCUGUGGGUGCUUUAGAAGCUAAAGGCUACAAGGUUACCAUUGAAGAUGGUAUAAUGAAGUUUACACAUGGGGCUAUGGUGAUUCUGCAAGGGGUUCGGCGUCACAAUCUGUACUAUUUGAAGAGAGGUACAACUGAUGAAGCAAAUGUUGUUGAGGCACACAGUGACACCACCAAGCUAUGGCAUGUACGACUAGGACAUGCUAGAGAGAAGUCUUUGCAAACUCUGAUAAGGCAUGGACUCUUAAAAGGUACCAAAACCUGUAAAUUAAAUUUUUGUGAGCAUUGUGUAGUAGGCAAGAAAACAAGGGUUAAGUUUGGUACAGCUAAUCACGAUACUCGUGAGAUCCUUGAAUAUGUUCAUAGUGAUGUAUGGGGACCAACCAAGACUGCAUCAAUUGGUGGAAGCCAUUAUUUUGUUACAUUUGUUGAUGAUUUCUCUAGAAGUGUGUGGGUGUACACCAUGCGAGCAAAUGAUGAGGUUCUAGAGAUUUUCGUGAAAUGGAAGAAAUUGGUGGAGACUCAAACUGGAAGAAAGAUCAAAGUAUUACGAUAUGAUAAUGGGGGUGAAUAUACUUCUGAUCCAUUCUUGCAAGUAUGCCAGAACGAGGGUAUUAAAAGACAUUUCACAGUGAGACAUACUCCGCAACAGAACGGUGUGGCUGAGCGUAUGAAUCGUACUUUACUGGAGAAGGUAUGGUGUAUGUUAUCUAAUGCUGGUUUAGAUAAAAAGUUUUGGGCUGAAGUUGUGAGCUACGCAAGUCACUUGGUAAACCGGUUGCCUUCUGCUGCAAUUGGAGGUAAAACUCCUAUGGAAAUGUGGUCUGGAAAGCAUGCACAAGACUAUGAUUCCCUUCGUAUAUUCGGGUGUCCAGCUUAUUAUCAUGUCAAAGAUGGUAAACUAGAUCCUCGUGCUAGAAAAGCUAUCUUUGUGGGAUUCAAAGGUGGAGUAAAGGACUUCAAGCUUUGGGAUCUCGAAGAUAAAAAGUUUGUGUGUAGCAGAAAUGUCACAUUUGAUGAAGCUUCAAUGAUGAAAGCUUCAAGUUCUCAGCAGGUGGAGAACAAGACCAAAGAGGUAUUGCUGCGGGUGGAGUUUGAUGCAACUCCAUAUGUACCAGUUAGUUCUACAUCAAAGAAGAGUUCAACUAUAGAGGUGACACCUAGAGUUGAAGAAGAGGUUGUUUCUUCUGAUGUCCCACAAAAUGAAGAAACAAUUGAUAAUGUAGAUAAUGAUGAUUUUAUAGCAACAAGGAGGCUAAGAAGAGAGAUAAAGAAACCCGGAUGGCUUACUAAAGAUAUGGUGGUAGCCUAUGCACUUCCAGUUAUUGAUGAUGACAUCCCCAACACUUUCGGUGAAGCAUUACGCAGCAGUGAAAGUGAUCAGUGGAAGUUAGCCAUGGAGGAAGAGAUGAAAUCUCUCCAUCAAAACCAGACUUGGGAACUUGUAAAGUUACCAAAAGGGAAAAAGGCUAUUGGCAAUAAAUGGGUCUACACCAAAAAGCAAGGAUCUCCGAAUAAAAUAACUCCUCGAUACAAGGCAAGGCUCGUGGCAAAAGGUUUUGCUCAAAAGGAAGGUAUUGACUACAAUUAAGUUUUCUCUCCAGUUGUAAAACAUACUUCCAUUCGUAUCCUACUUGCCUUAGUUGCAGAAUAUGAGUUAGAGUUGGCUCAAUUGGAUGUUAAGACCGCGUUCAUACAUGGAGAUUUGGAGGAGGAAAUCUAUAUGAUUCAGCCUUGUGGUUUCAAAGUUGCUGGAAAAGAGAAUCAUGUGUGUAGGUUGAUUAAAUUUUUGUACGGACUGAAGCAAUCGCCAAGGCAGUGGUAUAAAAGAUUUGAUCAAUUUAUACAAGGGCAGAAAUUCACCAGAAGUGAACACGAUCAUUGUGUUUACUUUAGAAGACUACCAGAUAGAGCUUUCAUCUAUUUGUUACUCUAUGUCGAUGAUAUGCUUAUAGCUUCGAAGAAUAGAGAUGAGAUCGAAAGAUUAAAAAAGCAACUGGCUUCUGAGUUUAAGAUGAAAGACUUGGGUGAUGCACAGAGAAUACUUGGGAUGGAGAUUCGUAGAGACAAGAAGAAUGGGAGCGUAUGGUUGACUCAAAAGUCUUAUUUGAAGAAAGUGCUAGAAAGAUUCGGUAUGGAUGACAAAACUAAACCAGUAUGUACACCUCUAGCUUCUCAUUUCAAAUUAAGCUUUUCUUCAUGUCCUAGAUCUCAAGAGGAGCGUGAUUAUAUGGCUCGUGUUCCAUAUGCUAGUGCUGUGGGUAGUCUUAUGUAUGCUAUGGUAUGCACAAGGCCCGAUAUAUCUCAAGCAGUGAGCAUGGUUAGUAGAUACAUGCAAAAUCCGGGUAAAAAUUAAUGGCUUGCGGUAAAGUGGAUUCUCCGAUAUCUGUAUGGGACAGUUGAUGUUGGGUUAUUGUUCAAGAAGGAUUGUGGUCAACAAUGUGUUGGGUAUUGUGAUUCUGAUUUCGCUGGAGACCUUGACAAGCGAAGAUCAACAACGUGCUACGUAUUCACAUUGGGUGGAGGUCCGGUUAGCUGGAGGUCGAUUCUACAAUCGACAAUUGCUCUGUCCACUGCGGAAGCAGAGUAUAUGGCAGCAACUGAAGCUAUAAAAGAAGCUAUCUGGUUGAAAGGUUUAUUAGGUGAUUUGGGAGUAAUCCAGGAGAACAUUGCGGUCUUAUGUGAUAAUCAAAGUGUGAUAUUCCUUGCGAAGAAUCAAACAUAUCACGCUCGGACGAAGCACAUAGAUGUGAAAUAUCAUUAUGUGAGAGAGAUUAUCGAGAGCGGUGUUGUGUUGUUGAGAAAGAUCGAUACCAAAGAUAAUCCAUUAGAUAUGUUGACGAAGGUAGUUUCUGGAGUUAAGUUUCAACAUUGCUUGAAAUUAAUUCAAAUCCUUCGAUUGUGUUAAGAUAUGUCCUUCGGGAAUUUUGAACUACGGUUGGCUUGAUCCCAAAUUUUGGGUACGUAGGCAGUCAUAGAGAUGCAGCCACUUUGGGGAUGAUGAUUGGUUGGUAGUCGGCUCAGAUUUGGACAAAUUUUCACCGAGGUGGAGAAUUGUUGAAAAGUCAUGCAUGUGGCAAUUUUUCAAAGAGCUACCAAACAUUUGAAGAAAAAAUGGAAAGUUGGCAAAUUUUUCAAAUUUGCCAAAUGGACCCCAUUGACUAUUGGUUUUAUGUUAGGUGGAAUAGUAAAGGGGUUGGUGCAAUAGUGCUAUUAUUUUUCCUAUAAAUAGAUGGCACUUCUUCCAUUCUUUUGCAUCCCAAAAUUGUUAAGCUUAUAAGUUUCUAAGCUUUUGAGAGAAGUGAGAGAAGUGUCUGGGGAAUUUAUCUUUCCUGCAGAGUGUGAAGUACUGGGUAUAUUUUGGGUUUAUGGGAAGUGAGAUUUGUUACUCAAAUAUUGUACUCUAUUAAUUGUUAAAUAAACAAUUAUUCUUUCUUGCCUCCGUGGAUGUAGGUUUAAUUACCGAACCACGUAAUUCUUGUGUCCUUUAUUUUUUCUAUAAUUAUUUGGUGCGCUUGAUUCCGCAUUCCGCGCACAACAAGACCCACACCAACCGACAGACCCCCGGUGAUAGAGAGAAAGUCGACUGUGAGAUGCAUUCAAGACGGGGGAAGAGUGAGAGAGAAAACUGCCCGGUCAGAAGGAGAGAUGCAUGAUUGAGGUGAGAGAUUUGGGCGUGAGUGAGUGAGGAGUGAGGGAGAGGGUGCCGCGUGUGUGGGAUGCGUACAAUGACAAUUUAUACUUACAUCAAAACGCCGCGUUCGGUGCCAUGUGUAGGGCUAACUGUGGUUUGAAUCUCACUUUGGUAAUGGAAAUGACUUUGCAAUUGACAGUUUUUGUCAAAAGUUCGCACUGCAUGAAACUAGUGUUAAUAUAAUUUAAAAAAUUAAUUUCAGUAUUAAUUUUUAAAGUUUUAAUUAUUAUAUUUAUUUUAAUAAUAGAUUUAUAUUUAUUAUAAAAAUUUUAGUUAAAUAUUUGUGUUAAAUGGAAUUUAUAAUUAAUAUAAUAGAUCUUAGGUAUUAAUAUAUUAUAAUUAUUCUAUAUGCUAUUGAAAAUCAUUUAUAUUUUUAGACGUUUAUUUUCAUAUUAAGUUUCUAUUUAUUUUAAAAUUUAGUUUAAUAUAAUAUAAGCAAGUAAAGUAUUAAAAUAUUUUUUAGUAUUAUUUAAAAUAUUAAAAUAAUUUUAAAAUAUAAGUCAAAUUUUUAAGUGAAUAUAACUAAUAUUUACAGCUAUUUGAUGGCCUCAACAAGCUAAAGCAGCAUCAAAAUUUGUGGCUCGUUAAUUUAUUUUUUCCCUUUCAAAAAGGGAAGAGGAUAAGUUUGGAAGAAUGAUUAUAUUUUUAAUAAAUUCUUUUUUAUUAUAAUACUUUUUGUCUUUAUUAAUUUAAAAAUAUUGACUCUUAUAUUUUAAAAAAUAUAAAUAUAAUAUUAUAAUAAAAUAUAACAAUAUAUAUCAAAUAUUUAAAAAAUUUAAUAUUUUAAUAUUUUAUAUUAUAUUAAAAUAAAUUUUUAAUAAAUAAAAAUAAUCUAUUAAAAUAAAGUACAAAAAUUUAAAUUAUUUUCAAUAUCAUCUAAAAUAAUUUUACUAUUAUUAAUGCAUGAAAUAUAUUAUAGUAAUUGUAAAUUUCAUUUAACUCAAAGAUUUAUUUAGAAUGUUCAUAAUAAGUCCAAAUAUAUUAUUAAAAUAAUUAUAAUAAUUUACAUUUUAAAAAUUAAUACUGAUAUUAAUUUUUAAAUUAUAUUACUCUACCAGAAAAAUUAAACUAUUAAAUUAUAUCAAUAUUUAUUAAAAAAUUUUGAAAUUAAUUCUUGUUAUAUUUUUAAUUGGAAUUUUUUCAUGUGAUAUAACCAGAAUUGCUACAAUUUUUUUCCCUAAUUAAAGAUGGAGUUAUAAAUUAUUUGUAUAAGUGUCUGUGUGGAAACUAAUGUGACAUGAAAGUAAUAGCUGAAUAACAAUAAUGGGCCGAUUUCAAUUCUUAAACAGACUUGUCCUUCAUCCCAAUUUAUUUACCCCAUUUGGGCCGGUUAUGACAUAAACAUAUUCUUGUGGAAUGAAAAACAUCAUGAGAAGAAAAUGUUUUAUUAUAAUAGAAAAAAGUGGUCCAUAAGUCUAUUCAUUACUUUUUUUAUUCAAUAUAAAUGGCUAACUUUAAAAAUGGUAAAAAUCACAUAACGCGCAAACAUAUUUUAGAUUUAUAUUUUUUAAUACUCUCCGAGUCUCUCUUUCUCUUUUUCUUUUUUUAAAUAAAUGUCAGUAUAAAAUUUAAAAAAAAUUUAGAUAUAAAAUUUGGCAAUGACCAAACAAAAAUUGCAGAGGAAACCUUGAUAUCAUUGAAAUACUGAUAAUAGACACUACAGUAUAAAUAACUUGUUGUGAUCCACUCAACUUGUAACACUUUAAUCCAUAUUCUAAAAUUUUCAUGUUUGUUAGGAUUUUUAUUAUUGAUACUACUGUAUCAAUAAAAUUAUAAUUUAUUCAUAUGGAAUGAAAACAUCAAGAAAGGACCUCUGAUGUUUAUUGUCAUAGAAAAAAGUGGUCCAUAAGUCUAUUAAUUAUUUUAUUUAUUCAAUACAAAUGGCCAACUUAAAAAAUGGUAAAAAUCACACAAUGCACAAGUAAAAUUUUACAAUUACAUUUUUUAAUUCUCUUUGAGUCUCUCUCUCUCUUUAAAAAAUAAACCUCACUGUAAAAUUAGAAAAAUUUUAGACGUAAAAUUUGACAAUCACCAAAUAGAAAACAUAGGGAAAUGAAAAUGGAGGAGCCCUAUUUUCAUUAGAAUAUUGAUCAUAGAUACUAUAAUGUAAAUGAUUUGUUGCGAUUCCUUCAACUUGUCACACUCUAAGCUAUUUUCUAAAAUUUGUAAGGUUUAUAGGAUUUUUAUUACUGCCAUCAUUGUAUCAAUAAUAUUAUAAAUUAUAUAUUCUAUUGUAAUGAAAAUUUGUGUAAUCUUAGGUAUUUAUUGUAUUAAAUUGUGUGGAUUAAUUAAGAAUAUUUUUGGAGACAAAAGAAGUGUGUGUACGUAGGAUUAAUGAUAAAAAAUUUCUAAAUAAAGGUGAUUGCUUCAUUGACAAGUACAUAUUUAUAUUCCUCUAUUAAUAUUUGGGUUGUAAACUCUAUAAUAAAGUUGGUUGGUGUGAGUGGUUCGGCACUCUCACUCUUUAAGAGAGGUCGGGAGUUCAAGCCUCGCUCUCGUAUGGAGUCACCACUUUGGCCAGCACUUUACCUCUUAUGGGCCGACCCGGUGCGAGUGGGAAUUAGUAUGGGUUGUGGUAUGGGCUUAAAGGUGUCUCCCACAGUUGGGGCCCACUCAGGACCACCUCGUGAUUCAAACAAAAAAAAAAAGUGAAUAUAUUGUGGCAAGUGAUGUGGGCAAUAUCGGAUGCGAAAUAUUGAGAGAUCAUUAACGCAUAUAUUUAUUGAAGAUGCGUAUAGAGGAAAGAGUGUAGAUCCGGCCGUAACAAUUACGAAGCUUUCCCCAAGUAUACUCAUGCUUCCUUAACUGUUUCGAAGUAUUUUUCAUAGUGUGCAGAUUUACUUUAUGGUGUCUUUAAUUCAUCUUAAAUGAUUACUUUAUUGUUUUAGGAUGCAAUGUCAUUUAUUGUGUUAAUUUAAACAAUAGAAAAAAUAAGUAACAGUAACGAAAGACUAAUUUGUGAUAUUGAAGCGUACGGGCUUAACUCAAUCCAAAAAUUAGUAAAUUAGCUCAAGAGUUAAGAGUUGUCCAAAUCUUAUAUGAUGAACCCAAGUUUAAUACACAAUUGAUGCGGGAUGUUAUUCCUAACACCUCCCGUCAUGUGUAGGAUUGGCAAAAAAACUCGGGUCAGUCCCGCCUAAACCUACGAGCUUUAUGCAUGGCUCGCAUGAUGAAGUUACGGAUAUUAACCUAAAAAUUUGAAACUUACUAUGAAUGGCCUUGCUUAAAGACUUUUGCAACUUUAAUUUAUAACAAGUAUGUAUAUCUACACACACAUAAGCUUAGAUUGCAUUUGGAUGGCUUUUUUAAUCAAUUCAAACAAUCUGAAAUUUAUCAGAUUAAUCCAAAUCUUAUAUGUAUCCAAUUUUGCCCGCCCCUACUAUAUAUAAGCCCAAGUGACUCUCUUUUACUAAUUAAUAAGAGAAUUUUUGACCUUAUAUCCUUGUUGUGGCGUUAGACUGUUGGUUAUUUUGAUUGUUUCCUACCUUCCAUUUACGCCAGCUAUAACAUUGUAUUAUCACCAUUUUAGCCAUUUAAAUGAAAUUUUAUUUUUCAUUUUAUUGUGUCAAUACUAUCAUAAUUUAUUCAUUUUAUUGUAAUGAUAAUUUGUCUAGUCUUAGGUACUUACUAUAUUAAAUUAUGUAAAUUAAUUGAGAAUACUUUUAGAGACAAAAGAAACACGUGUAUGUAGGAUUAAUAAGCGAAGAGUUGUAAAUGAAGGUGAUUGCUUCAUUGAGAGGCAUAUUAAAUAAUUAUGGAGAGUUGCUCUAUUUCGGAAGCAUAUAUUUAUACUUCCCUAUCAGGAUUUGGGGUAAGCGAGGUGCUUUAUGUAUUGCAGUAACCAAAUGUGGGCAAUAUCAGAGCCGAAAUAUUGAAAGAUCAUAACGCAUAUAAACGAUUAGUAUAUUGAAGACACAUAUAGAGGAAAGAGUGCAGAUCCGGCCGUAACUAUUAUGAGGAUUUCCUCAAGUAUUCUCAUGCUUCCUCAACUGUUCUGAACUAUAUAUUCCUCAUUGUGGGCAGAUUUACUUAAAUACCAACACAAUGAUUCAAUACUUCAAAGGUCAAGGAAAUGUCAAAAUAUGAAAUGAAAAUACUUAAAUACCCUUCUACCUAACAAAACUUAGUACUUCUAACUGCCUUAGCAGAGAAUCUAUAAAAUUAAAAAAAAAAAUUCAUCCAUGAAAAGCUUCGUAACAGAAAAACCGUCUUUCAAAAAAUAAAAAAUAAAAAAUAAAAACAGAAAAACCGACUCAUUUAUCUGCCAAUGAACCAGUCAGGACUCAUUUAAAAAAGAUUACAAAGCAAAAGUAAAUGACACAAAUUGCAUAGAUAUCUCGGAGCCGCAUCAAAGGACAAUGGUGUUAAUUUGUCCGAGUAAUAAAUUCUCCUUGGUCAAAAGCAAUUAACGAUGAAAACUUUCUUCAUUAAGGUUCUGGCCUACGUAAAAAAAAAAAAAAAAAACCACCCCAAGGUCAAAGCACAACGAUAAGUUUAGAAUUGCAGUUUUUAAUUUUUUUUAAUAAAUCAACGUGUAUAAAAAAUAGAUAAUAAUUUUAAAUAAAUUUUAUUUGAUAAAUAUAGGCAUAAAAUUUUAAAAUCACCAAACAGAAAAACAGGGGAAUUAAAACAGAGUCCCUGUUUAUCCUCUAUUUUGCUUGUUAUUAAACAGGGAAAUGAAAAGAUCACAAGCGGAAAUUUUGUUUCUGCGUUGUCUCUUCUCAAUGCUACAUGCAUUCAAAUUAAACCUUACAUAUGCUAGCAAACUAGCUACCUGCGUUUAAGUGUUAGAGUGCAAUUUAUGCACUAAUUUUGCAUUGUUUACUUCUUUUAAUAUCGAUAUUUUGCACUUAAUAAUAGUGAUUUACUUGUAUUUUAUUUUUGUAAGUGCAAUUCUAUUUAUUGGUGCUAAAAUUGGGCUACAAGAUGAUGUUUGAAGAUGAUUGUUUUCUUGGAAAAAUUAUGAGUUUCAGAAGAACUUUGUUGAUAAGGCGUGGGCGCUGGCUGUCAACUACGGACCUGUAGUUUUUAGUUUAACGUGUUUUGUCUUUUUGGUUAUUUUUGUAAUCACGAAUUUAAUAUUUAGAUAAUAUUUUAGAUAUUAGUAUUUUAUUUUAAAAAGAACUCUAGAAGAGAAUUUAAGAGGGGAAUCUAUGGUCAAAGGAAAAAAAAGAAAGGAAACCCUAGAUCUAAAUUUUUCUCUUCUCUCUAUGAAGAACUAAACCUAUUAUUCUGGUUAAAGGUUAAUGGAGCUUUGAUUCAUCAUUACUGUGAGAUCUUUCUUAUGCUUUAAUUGUUUUAUUGAUUUUUGGGUAUUUGUUUAUUCUCUAAAUUAUUGUCAUGAUUAUGUUUGUUAAUUAGAUAAUUAGCCAUUAUUUAAUUAUCAACUUAAUCUAUUGUCAAUUAAAGGAUUCAUCGUAUGAAGAUUUUAAUGUUUGUGACAAAUAGCAUAGCAGUUCGUUAUGUUAUGAGAAUAAACAAUCUAAUUUAAAUGAACCAUCGUAUGCGUUUGUUGAUUAGGAUUUGGGUCUCUCUGGUUUUUCAGGUUGUCAAUUGAUUAAAUCCUAUGAUCGUAUCUAGGGUUGUCUAUUGAUUAGGGAAAUAACCAAUGGUCGUACCUUGGUUAUCGACUAGUUAAGGAGAGAUUGGCUAUUAGAGGGUCUCAGUAGCUAUAACCGGUCUAUUCAUAAGUAGUAAUGAUUUAUAUUUGAAUCAAUGAUCAAUAGUCGAAUCAAGCUGAGUUAAUUCCUUCAACCAGAGCUUUCCCCAAUUUUAAUUUGCAUUCUUGUUAUUUUAAUUUGAUUUUUAUUAUUGUCAACAAUUCCCCCAUUUUGCAUUUUGCAUUUUAAAAGGAUUUAAAUAAUUACUAAUCUCUGUGGACACAACCCUACUCAAUCACUAUACACAAUUUAUUUAGAGUAUGUAUUUAUUUUUGCUGGCUUCGACAACCAUCAAUAAGUUCUCGAUAAGUCCAAAUAAUAGAAUAAUUGUAAAAUGUUCAAAUUCAGUAAUUAAUUAUACAUAUUUAUUUAUUCAAAAUUAUUAUUAUUAUUAAUUAUUGUCAAUAAUAUAUUAAUAUACUAAUUAAUUGUAAACUUUUUUAUCAUUCAUAACAAUGAUGAUGAUGAUGAUGAUGAUGAUGAUGAUAAAAAAUUCAAAACAUAUUAAUUAAUUAUAAUAAUAUAUUAAAUAUUUAAUUAUUUAAUAAUAAUAAUAAUAAAUGCACAAUGUAUAAAUUGAUUAGAAUAAUUAUAUUAAUUAAUCAUAAUAAUUUUUUAAUUGAGGACAAAAUAGAUAUUUUAUAGUUUGUGAGAGGGGGCAAAAUGGUCAAUCUUGGGAAUGGGGGAUUGAUUCCCACCACCUUCCUUAGGAAUCAAUCUUCCAUUCCUCAUUCCUAAUUUGGGUGGUCCCCAUAGUUCUGAUUCGGAUCCCAGCCUCCAUUUUAUGAAGUAAACAUCAUUAAGAUUUCGAUUCCGGAUUCCGAUUCCCCAAUCCAAGAAGUACAGGCACCAUUAUUGUUGAUUGGUUCAAAUGCACAAAGAGAAUGUACCAUGUAGCUAGGCGUCAAGGUUGUGCUGCACAAGUAACCUUUUUCUUUUCUUUUCUUUUUAUUUUUCUUAUUUUCCUUAAUGUAUCGGAAGAAACUGGUGCCUUUGAGAUACUACCAUGUAAAUAAGUACUUAUGGUUCAUUGAAUCUGUAACACUCGGUACCCUACAAUUGCUUUUGAAAAAGGGCUUUACUCACUUAUCGCUAAUAUUCAAGUAAGUUUGUUUCAUUUCAGAAGGUGCAAAGUUUCAAACUUGUUGUAUUGAGAUGUAACAAACUUUGGCCUUAUAUGCUUGUUGUGACGUUUGACUGUUCAUUUUGACUGUUUCCUACCUUCCACUUACGCCUGUAGCACUGUAUUAUUCACCAUUUUAGUUGUUUAAAUGAAAUUUUAUUUUGUCAAAAAUGAAAUGACACCAUUAAAAUUUAAAAAAAUAGUCAUGGAGAUCCCAAAUUUUUACUAAAGAACACCAAUAUUCCCCUUGACUAUAAUACCCUUAGCAGGUGGUAAUAAAAAAUUGACUUAAAAUUUUUUGCGAAAUGUAAAUAUGAUUUAAAUAAUUUAAAUUUUCCAAUAGACUAAUAUAUAUAAUUUAAAUAAUUAAUUUCAAUAUUAAUUUUUUAAAUGUAAAUUAAUAUAUUUGUAUUUAUAAAAUAUUUGCAAUUAUUAUAAAAAUUUUAAAUAAAUCCUUAGGUUAAUAGAUUUUACAAUAAAUAUAAUAUUUCUCAUGUAUUAAUAAUAUUAAAAUUAUUUUAUAUGAUAUUGAAAAUAACUUAAUUUAUAUAUUUAUUUGAAUAUUAUGUCUCUAUUUAUUAUAAUUUGGUUUAAUAGAAUACGAGAUUGUAAAAUAUUAAAAUAUUUUAGAUAUUGAAAUUUUAAUAUGUAUAUAUUAUUAUAUUUAUUUUAAUAUAUUUAUAUUUAUUAUAAAUUAUUAGAGUCAAUUUUUAGUUAAUAAAUUUAAAAAUAUUAUAAUUAAAAAAAAGAAUUCUUAUUGUCUGUUAUUCACAAUAUGAGGUUCUACAAAAUUAUUUCUCCAGACGGGUGUCCUUUUCUUAUUUGUAAAAGGAAAAAUAAGUUCAGGGAUCUUAAAAAAUUCUAGUCCUAUCGACCACUAUGACUAAUGGGAAACGACAUUGCAAUUGACAUUACUUUUCGCAAUAUGACAAAUUUUUGGAGGGAUACGGGAGAAUCGUCAAACGUUCACACCACACGAGAGCUUUAGGUGGGAUCGGGGAGGAUUGUCAAGAGUUCACACCACGAGAAAUUAAUGAUAGGCCUAAUUUCGCUGUCAGUUCUUUAUUUAUUUAUUUUAUUUAUUUCAUACAUUAUUAUCUUGUUGGUAUUGUUUUGUAAAGGUAUAAAAGUAAAGUAAAAUACUAGGGGUACCAUUAAGUUACAGCUGAUGUAACUUACAGUGUUUUAAAAAAUAAUAUAAAAAAUUUAAUAGCUGGUGGGAUCCACAUAUUUUUGAAGAGACUUAAGUUACAACAGUUGUAACUUAACAAAAUCCAAAUAUUUGACAAUAAUGCAUAUAAUUUGGAUUUGAUUUUUAAAAGAUUAUUUGAGCACCACCUAUCCUUAUGAUAUUAAUGUGAAUAUAUCUUAAUAUUAAAUAAUCAAAAUUUGUUUAAUUAUUAUUUGUAUUUCAUACAUUACCUAUUAGAUUUGUUUGAAUUUUACGUUCUUGCUAAUAAAUAUUUAUGUUGUCAAAGUCAAAUUCUAAUGAUUAAAAGAGCAACUAUCCCUUAAAUUUUAAUGGUGAAUUGUAUAUAGUUUUUAAGAAAGUAAGGAUAAGUUGGAUAAUUGACUUAAAUUCUAAUGAUUAAAAGAGCAACUAUCCUUUAAAUUAAAAUGUCAAUUUCUUUAAUUAUAAUUUUUUUUUCAUGUGAUAUAACCACAAUUGCUAUAGUUUUUUUAAAUAAUAAUGGGAGUUAUAAAUUAUUUAUAUAAAAUUUGUGUAGAAUCUAAUGUAACCUAAAAGUAGUUGCUGAAUAAUAAUAUUUGAAACUCUAGGUAAUUUUCAUAUGAGCCCUUUUUAUAUUCAGCAUCUUGAAUCGGGGGAAAUCCGACUUGAAUUGGCGGCUGAUUUUGGUGAUGUAGCUUUCGGUUUAUGGUUGCCUUACAGUGGCGGACGACUGAUUUACGGUCGCCGACUGCUAGGGAUUAUGGUGGUGGUGUAAAUUGACGGAAAAAGUAGAAGGUUUGGUGGCGGCGCGUGUAGGAACCACUCGUGGGUUGUCGUUUCGUGUGGUGACUGCGGGUGGCGAUCAAGGGCUGACGUUGGUCGGUUUUUGGUCAACGGAGGGCGGCCAGUUUGUUGGUGGAGGUGGCUGGCGGUGAAAGUGGCUGAAUGGUGGUGGAUAUCUUGGUGGAGCUACGGGUUUGGGUUGGUGAUUUGCGGCUGUUCAGGCGGCGGUUGAGGCAGCGAUAGCUGCGGCUUGGUCGGCGGUGGCUAGCGAGGUUUGUUGUGGUGUUGGCUGGCUGAUCGGUGGUGGUGGGCGGCGGCGGUGGAGGUUGAUGCGGCGGGUAGGGUUUUCAAAUCGGUUUUUGAUAUUUUUUUUUUUUUUUAUGAAUUUGGUGUGGAUGGGUAUAGGGUAAGAAACACUAGAUAUCAUUCUAGUACUGGACCAAGCCAACGCAAUUAAUUUACCAUCUAGUCGAAGGGUGAUUAGAUAUCGUUCUAACCCAAACGAUAAAAUGAGAUUUUUAACAACGCGUAAUACAAGAUUAGAUGAUGCUCUAAUCCAAACGACUCUACAACGACUCUAUAAGAGAGAUUUUGAUAGAUAAAUCUAGGGAAAAUUAUAAAAGAUGGGUUUUAUUUAAUAAUUAAACCUAAAGUUUUGAAAACAAUGACAAGAUAUUUUUAUUUAUAAUACAGGAAAUCUGCUUCCCUAAGAUAACCUAAAAAAGAAAAGUAAAUCAUAAUUAUAAUAGAAAUGAAAGAUUAAGAUACACACCAUAAUUGACUCAAACUAAAAUAGAAAAUCUUAAAGUAAUAAAUAUUCUAAAAUUGUAAAUUAUCUAAAAUAACAAUAAUUAACUUCCUAAAUCAUUUCUUUGGUGUAAAUCAUUUUACAUCCAACCUCGCUUUAAAGGUUUGAACCAGCGUUACCAACAACAAUGUAUCAAGUUCCAAUCUAGCUUAAGAUCAUGCUGAUACAUCUACUGAUAUCUUUAUUUGAUUAGACAAUAAUGAGUCUAUCUCAUCACUUGUUACCUCUUUCUUGAAGGCUGCAUCUGUUGAGCGAUAACCUCGUUGAAAGUUUAAAGAUCUUCCUCCAUGUUAAAUUAAAUGGGCAUUUGAUUAAGAACUUUAUCUCUAUCUCCUUCUAUCAAAUAACAACCAUCCAAAGGGAAAAAAAAAUUAAAAAAAUCCAUGGGUCACAAUAAUUUCUGGUCAGCCCACAAACCCCCCAUUAUCUGCCACUAUCAAUCAUGAAAAUGAAAAUAAAUGGCAUAUUCCCAAAAUGACGAAAGAUUUUGGGGGAUAUGGGGGAAUUGUCAAAAGUUCACACAACGCGAAACAAGUGUUACAUCCAAUUUUAUUUCGUCAUAUAAUGAUAAUAUCAAAUAAUGACAACCAUCCAAAAGUAUGAUGGGUCUUCCAAAAUUUUAAAAAUGUCGUCAACAUUUAAUUUUCAAUGCUAAAGAAAAUGAAAUGCCCAAAAAUGACACGCAAGACCCACUCACAAACUAAAUGGCCCUUGACCAUAUGUAACAAACUUUGACCUUAUGUCCCUGCUAUGGCGUUAGACUGUUGGUCAUUUUGAUUGCUUUUUACCUUCCAUUUACACCCACUGAAGCAUUGUACGAUUAACCAUUUUAGCUGUUUAAAUGAAAUUUUUAUUUUUUUCAAAAGUAAAAUGACACGCUUAAAAUUUUAGAAAAUAGCCAUGUAGACCCUAAAAUUUUAAUAAAGAACACCAAUACCCUUUUUGACUAUAGUACUUUUAGUCGAUGGUAACAAAAAAAAAAAAUGACUUCAAAAUUUUUUACUAAAUGUAAAUAUGAUUUAAAUAGUUUAAAUUUUCUAGUAGACUAGUAGGUAUAAUUUAAAUAAUUAAUUUAAAUAUUAAUUUUUAAAAUGUAAUUUAAUAUAUUUAUUUUAAUAAUAUAUUUUUAUUUAUUAUAAAAUUUUAAAUAAAUCCUUAGGUUAAAUAGAUUAUAUAAUUAAUAUAAUAUUUCUCAUGUUUUAAUAAUAUUAAAAUUAUUUUACAUGCUAUUGAAAAUAAUUUAAAGUUUUAUAUAUUUAUUUGAAUAUUAUGUCUCUAUUUAUUAUAACUUGGUUUAAUAGAAUAUGAGAUUGUAAAAUAUUAAAAUAUUUUUAGGUACUGAAAUUAUUUUAAUAGGUAUAUAUUAUUAUAUUUACUUUAAUAUCCUACUUAUAUUUAUUAUAAAAUAUUAAAAUUAAUUUUUUUAGUUAAUGAAUUUAAAAAAUAAUAUAAUUAAAAAAAGAGUCUUAUUGUCCGUUAUUCACGAUAUGAGGUUUUACAAAAUUAUUUUCAAAAGGAAAAAUAAGUUCAGGGGUUUCAAAAAAUUCUAGUCCAAUCGACCACUAUGACUAAUGGGAAACGACAUUGCAAUUGACAUUGUUUUUCGCAAUAUGACAAAAUUUUGGAGGGAUAUGGGAGAAUCGUCAAAAGUUAACACCACACAAGAGUUUUAUUUAUUUAUUUAAUUUAUUUCACACAUAUAUUGUCUUGUUGGUAUUGUUUUGUAAAGAUAUAAAAGCACAAGUAAAAUAUUAGGGGAAGUAAAGUAAAAUAUUGGGGGUGCUGCUAAGUUACAACUGCUAUAACUUACAGUUCCUUCAAAAAUAAUGUAAAACAUUUAACACGUGGUGGGACCCACAUUAUGUUUGAAUAGUCCGUAAGUUAUAGCAGUUAUAAAUUAGUAAAAUCCAAAUAUUAGACAAUAAUACACAUUAACAAUGCAUAUAAUUUGGGUUUAAUUUUUUUUAAAUUAUUUGAGUAUUACCUAUCCUUAAGAUAUUAAUGAGAAUAUAUUUUAAUAUUGUGAAGCUUUCCUCAAUUAUUCUCAUGCACCCAGACCUUAUCUGGUCAAGUUUUCUGAUUCAAUACUGACGACAGCUUCUUUGUAAAGCUCUUCAACCACAAGCAUUUCUACAAGGCAAAGGACAAGGACGUGUUGGAAUGAAUAUCAACAUGGGAAUGUCUUAUGAAUUUAGUUUAUAUUCUAAUAUAAGACAAUCAAUAAAUAUUGGAUGCAAUCUAAGGGCUAACAUUUGAUUGAUUAAUAUAAGAAAAAAAAAGGGUACAAAAAUGCAAAACAGAGCUGAUUGAUGGCCUUUAACAGUCAGUUCUAUGACAAAGUAACCACCAUAACCAAUGGAAUUAUAAGACAUCAAGAAACUUGAACUUGGCAGGAGGUCUCAUUAGCAGUAUACCUCAGAAAUUAAGACAGAGACUUUAAAAUGCAAGCUUAUGGAGCAAUUUAAGCACUGAAACUAAUAACAGUGAUGCCAAAAAAGGUGCAGGAGUACGGUAUUAGCAAUUGACCUCUGCUUUUGCUUGGACAAAGGUUCUCAUCACAAGGGACUCAUUAGUUGCCCUUGCCUCACACGAUUGGAUGCUAAGGGGGAAAAGGAAGUUUGAAUUAGUCAAUCUCAUUUCUAAUGGCAUUCACAGAGAACCUAUAAAACAAAAAAGUAAAUAAAAAUUUUCAUCCAUGAAAAGCUUAGUAACGGAAAAACCGACUCUUUUAUCUGCCACUGACCUAAUCCGGACUCAUUUAAUUAAAAAAGAAUUCAAAGCAAAACUAAAAGACACAAAUUGCAUACAAGUCUAGGAGCCAUAUCAAAGGCGUUAUAUAACUUGUCCAAUUAAUAAAUUCUCUUAGGGACCAUGCCGUGCUCACUCAUUUCCAAAGCAAUUAAUGAUAAGAACUUUCAUCAUUAAUUGAUAUGGCCAGUGUAGAAAAAAAUGAAAAACCCCUCCAAGAUUAAAGCACAAGGAUAAGUUUAGAAUUACACUUCUUAAAUUUUGGUUAAUAAAUAAACGUCUAUAUGAAAAUAGAAAAUCUUUUUGGAAUAAAUAAACGUCAAAUUUUUGUUUCUAUCUUACUACCUUCUAAAUCCGCAAUCCCAAGUACUUAGAAGUAAAUGCUACAUAGUACAUGAGAUGUUUCCCGUUCAAAUAGCUCGUCCGAUACCAUUAACAUGUUCAUCUCUCUGUAAUUGGUGUAAUUACGAGAUUGGUGGUUGACAUGGCUUUCCUUGUACAGGUAUGUAUGAUUGUUUUUUUUUUUUUUGGCACUUCUAAAUGGAUACUGUUGAAAAGCUUAAAAUUGAACUGAUAAUUUUGUUUGGAAGCUCAGAAAAUUCAUGAGAAAGUGAAAUAGAAUAUGCUGGAUUUCUUUUCUUUCCAUAACAUACAAAUGACAAACGUAGCAGUAUUUAUACUCGUUGCUUACAUCAUAAAAACAGAAUUAAAGCAAGGUACACAACUAUAACAGCAUCAAAAGCGUGCUUAACUAAUUGGCUGAGCUGGCAUAUACUUCUUUAACUAACAAUGCUGCUGACUGGACUUUAGCUCACACAUGCUUAUCGUGCAGCUACUCUUAGUUCACACGUGCUCAGUGUGCUUCCUUAACAGACACAAGGGAAAAGACAUGAUUUUGAGAUAUAACGCUUGAAUGUUCUCGGAAUGGCAUAACGCUUCGUGUGUCUCGGAGCGGCUGAUUGGUGCUGUACGUGUUUCUCAUAUAGAACUCAAGUCUGCUGUUGUCCCAAAGUUGGAACCAGAGAUAUCAUGACUCUGGUUUCAUUUCACCUCAACUGUGUUUUUUUUUUUAAUUAAAAAAAUAAUUUUUUUAGGUAUACAUACAUGUAUUUUGAUCCCAUUUUCAUGGGAAUUUUGCAUUAAAAAAUGAAGAAUAGCUAAUAGGGAAUUUCCUGAUUCUUUAGUUACUAUUUUUGGAAUGAGGGUAAUUAGUAGUAAAGUUGGUUUCUACUCGCAAACAAGUGAGCUGCUCGAUUCCCAAGUGGUAUCAACCAGUUUUCAACUUUUUAAUAUACACAAAUUGUUAUUGUUUAAUAGCUACUACUAUUAAAACUCAACAUCUUACAAAAAUACUUAAAAAAAAUGAUUUUUUCUUAUGAUGCUGUAAAAAAAAUUACGGGUUUACUUAUUUCCACGAGAUCUUGUAUAGUGUUCUUGUAUAGUGGAAUUAAGAUUGUCUUCCCGAUGGUGCAAUUCACCCUCUUCCUUUACAGUCACUUGCACUUUGUGCAGCUUUGGUGUGGAUACGAUUCCCAGGGAAAAAGUCUUCAUGUUCGGACAAUGUGUCACAAAUACUCGUUCCAAUGAUGGGAAUUCAAGAGUGUAAUUCUCCAAACAAAAGCUGGUAAGCCUUGGUAAAUCAUCAAGUUCCAAAAGUUUUAAUUCACUGAAAGCAAUACGAUUCUCCUUCACUUCUUCUCCAGCAUGUCCUACGAUUUCUUCUAAUUUUUUGCAGUUCCAUACAUAAAGAUUCACCAGACUAGUAGGAAUUCCAACCUGAAAAUAAGCAGAGAGAGUGUGUGUGUAUAAAUAUUAAAAAAGUAAAAAUGUAAGAGUAUCAUUCAACUAGGCUCAAAGUAUGUUUGAUCAUACAAUUAUACGUUUUAUGAACAUAACAAACUGUGAAAUGUCUACUAGAUAUUUUUUGUUAAACAAAAAAGGUAACAAGAUAAAUAAAUAAAUAAAUAAAAGCCAGAUAAACAAAGAUGAUAAAAAUGUAUUUACACAAUUAGUAUUAGGGACGUAGAAAGAAUUUAAGGCAAUUUCUAAAUAUUUUAGACUUAUUUUGCAUCUUGAUAUAAGUUUUUAAGCAUAAAUUUGCACAUUUCAACUAUUCCUUUAAAAAAAAACUCAACUAAAAUGCCUCUUUUUCCCUUUUCCUUGGUCCCCUUUUUUUUAUGUAUAUAUAAAAAUGGAAAAAAAAAUUUGGAAAAGACUUCCUAGUACUGUCAACAAGGGAUUGCUGUAAAGUGGAUCUUUAUUAAGUACUUCCAGACUCGAGGAAAUUUCUUUACAAUCAAGGGUCAGUUGUAAACAAUCAUGAAUUUAUGGUUAAGUAAUGGCAUAAUCAAUUCUUAACUAAACUGGAGAUAUUAAUUAAAUUUGAAGACUUUUUUUUUUUCCCAAUCGAAAUGUGAAGAACUAAGGAAAAGAGAAAUAUAUAGAUGAAUUUGUGAACUUAUAAGAUGAGUGACUAUCCUUUAAUUUUUGAAAAUCGUACUUAUUAAGAUAUGAGCAAAAACAAUUAAAUUGAAUUAUAUUAUGCUGUUGAAUCUGUUUAAAAAAAUUAUAUUGUUGAUUCUAAUGCUGGUGAACCUAAAAACUAGACUUAAAACGUAGAUUUCAGAGUGGUGGUUUGAAGUACAAUAUUUGAAAUAAAUAAUUAGUGGCUGAAUAUCAUUUGUAAACACAGAAAUGAUUAAAAAAUUGUUGAAUGUUAUUUGAAAAAAAAAAUCGAAAUGAAUACAGAAACCUUACCAAUGGAGGAAAAAUAUUCAUUAGCUUAUCACACUCUUCUAUCUCCAAAUUCUUCAAUUUCCUGAAAGACUCCGAAGCAAGCUGGUGGUGCCAUAUUGUUCUUAGGUUAUCCAUCCACACAAUAUAUAAUACCUCCAACCUAGGAAGUCGUACCUGGCAAUUAAAGAUUAAAUAACUAAUUAAUCAAUUAAUGGCAUAAUCAAUUGAUAACUAAAUUAGAGGCGGAUAUUAACUAAAUUUGAAGACUCAAGGAAAAGACAAAUCAAGUAUUGUGACUAAAAUUAUUUUUUUAAUUAAAAAAAAAAAACUUUUCAUCAAAGAGAGGAGGAGGUUGCAUUUCAGAAUGAAUAGUGUCUUCUGGUGAGCUCGUAGAGAUGAAUCUUAACAUAUUACUGCAACAACCAAUCAUGAGGUUUAGCAAAGAAGGGAAUUCAACAACUAAAUCUGAAUGAAUAUGUCCCAUAUUGGCAAAACCUUUAAUUCAAUCAACUUUCCUUCAUCUCUUUCUGACCAUCCCGUGGUGUCGACUACCCCUUCCAUUGACUCACAAUAGCUUAUCUCAAGAUGUUGGAGUUGCAAAAGGCUAUUAACCAUAGAAUAUGAAAACAGAUACUUUAGACGAUAACACCUUUCCACAGUCACUUUUGUUAAAUUUUGACGAAAGUACAUUCCUUGAUUAUGAUCGGCCCAUAAUUUUUUCAUGUUUCUUAAGUCCCUGAGAUUCAAUUCCUCUAAGCUCGGAAGAAUAACCUGCAAAGAAAACCCGUACAUUUUUGUUCCUUCAAGUACAACCGUCUAGUAUAAUAUUCUUUUGAUGAUCAAAGAUUAAUUGUGAUAAUAAAUUAAUCAAUUAAUUAUUGAACAGAAAAUUAUCACCUUUGGAGCAGGAUCAUCAUCAGCAAUGAUUUCGUUGAAUCCCAAAGAAGUUGUUGGUUUGCUAAUUGUUGCACCAAAGAAGUAAGAUUUGAAACUUGUUUUUCUAGAGAAGUAGUACUUACCUCAUUGACUCGCUUAGGUGGCGGCAGUAGAUCGUUCCUAGUGUUGAACUGUUGGGAAUUAGCAGCCAUGUUAGCAAUGAGAUUUCGGGCUGCUUCUGGUGUCUUAUCCACGAGUGCUCCUCCACUAGCGGCAUCAAUCAUACUCCUAUCCAUAGGUAGUAGAACCUCAUAAAAGUAUUGAAUAAGAAGUUGAUCACUUAUCUGAUGGUGAGGGCAACUAGCACAUAGCUUUUUGAAUCGUUCCCAAUAGUCGUAGAGCGACUCUCCAUUAUACUGUCGGAUUCCACAAAUUUCUUUUCGAAUGCUGCCAGCUUUUGAUGCUGGGAAAUAUUUCUCCAAAAAUAGCUGACGCAUCUCAUUCCAUGUAGUGACAGUACCGGAGGGAAGAUAGUACAACCAUUCCUUGGCUGAAUCCGCCAAAGAGAAUGGGAAGGCCAUUAGCUUAACUUGCUCUUCAGAAACUCCGGCUGGUUUCAUUGUGGAGCAGACCACAUGGAACUCCUUCAAGUGGUUAUUUGGAUCCUCUCCUGCAAGACCAUGAAAAGUAGGAAGAAGAUGAAUCAUCCCAGAUUUGAGUUCAAAGUUUACUUGAGGGUUUGGAUUCUCAAUGCAUAAGGGUUGUUGGUCCAAGUUAGGAGCUGCCAACUCUUUAAGUGUUCGGUUGUUAUUCUGAGCCAUUGGUUGGGGUUCUGGGCUGCUUGGNNNNNNNNNNNNNNNNNNNNNNNNNNNNNNNNNNNNNNNNNNNNNNNNNNNNNNNNNNNNNNNNNNNNNNNNNNNNNNNNNNNNNNNNNNNNNNNNNNNNNNNNNNNNNNNNNNNNNNNNNNNNNNNNNNNNNNNNNNNNNNNNNNNNNNNNNNNNNNNNNNNNNNNNNNNNNNNNNNNNNNNNNNNNNNNNNNNNNNNNNNNNNNNNNNNNNNNNNNNNNNNNNNNNNNNNNNNNNNNNNNNNNNNNNNNNNNNNNNNNNNNNNNNNNNNNNNNNNNNNNNNNNNNNNNNNNNNNNNNNNNNNNNNNNNNNNNNNNNNNNNNNNNNNNNNNNNNNNNNNNNNNNNNNNNNNNNNNNNNNNNNNNNNNNNNNNNNNNNNNNNNNNNNNNNNNNNNNNNNNNNNNNNNNNNNNNNNNNNNNGCUAGUCCCCGGCAACGGCGCCAAAAAUUUGGUAGUGUCGUUAAGGUGCACCAAAUUUAAAACCUUACCACUAAUAUAAAUAAUUAGUACAGAGCGAGUAAGGAUCGAUCCCAUAGAGACUAUGCUAGUUAUAUUUAUUAUUAACUCCAAAGCAAGAUUUAAAAUAAAAUAAUAGUAAUAGUAAUAAUAAUAUAAAUUAAUCUAACUAAAGAAAAUGCCAAUUAAAAAUAAAAGGGGGGUUUAUGAAUUUUUAACUAAAUAGUAAGAAAUAAAGAAAUUAAAAUUACGAACAAGAAUUUAAUAAAAACUCUAAUUAAAGGAGAAAGAAAUAAUAAUGAUGAAAACUUUGGUUAAAGGAUCAUUCGCCACCACCAAACAUGCACAUAAUAAAUCAAUUCUAUUAUCAAUUUAUAUUGAAACUAUCAACCAUAGACAACAAUAAGCUCUGUUAGUCUCAAUCUUUCCUUAGUGUGUCGUUAGGUAAAAUAAGCUCUUCACCUAAUCUAUAACCAUUAAAUAAUUUAAAACAAGCUCUUUAAAUUUAAGAUAAUGGAAGCAUUAAACAAAGAAAGAAAUUAGGUUGAUCUAGGCAAUAAACACACAAGCUCAGAUUAUUUAACCUAGGUUAUGUUCUCCAAUUGAAAUCAUUAAUUCCAACCUGCUACUAAUGAUUAAAAUAUCAAGACAAUUACGGAUCAAGAAUUUUAAUCUAGCAAUAAAAUUUAUUCAAGUCCUAUCUAAUUGGCCACUCAAACAAAACAAGAAUAAACCAUGAACAUUAAUUAUAGAAGAACAUAAACAAUCUCAAUUAAAUAAAUUGAAUGAUAGAAUUUAAAUUUAAUUGCAUAGCAUGUUUAGGGUUUUGAAUUCACCCUCAACCAAAUAAAAAUCUAGCCUAACAUAAUUGAAUUGGGAAUAAGAGAAUUGACAAAACCAAUCAUAGAGAUUAAUUCAAGCGGCUGCCUUUUUCUUCAAUUGAAUUCCGGCUGCUGAUUUUUUCUUCUUCUUGCGGCUAUUGAUUUUCCUCUUGCUGCCGAAUUGGAUUUGCCCUCCCAAAGUCUCUUGCUGCCCGAAUUCUUUUCCCUCUAUUGCUUCCGCUUGAUCCUAUUUAUAAUGCUUCAAUUGUGGCUUUUUUUAAAUCCUUGCCUGGAAAGAAUUAAAUUCAAAGCUCAAAACCGCCACCUCAUGCUUCAAUUAAUAAGCCAAUAAUGAUUUCCUAAAGCCAAAAGGCUUUAUUCUCUUUCCUUUCACGUGGCAACUUUUGGUUUGCAUCUUUGUUUUCCAAUUUUGCUUUCAUGUGAUGGCUUGGCUUGUUAAUUGGCUUGGCUUCCUUUUUGACUUCCAUUUUCUAAUUUUAGCUCCAUGUGCAACAUUAAUUUUGCUCGGCCCAUACAAGCUUUAAUUAAAUUUAUUUUCUAAUUCCUUCCAAUUCUUGAUCUCUUGUGCACUUUUGUCUCUCAAUCUUCAAUCAAAUUUUUUUUCUUGAAUGCUCCGAUUUAAUUUCUCUUUAAUUCCAGAAUAUACCUAAAAUAACAAAAUAAAUAAAACUAAGAUAAAAAUUAACAAAAUAAAAUAUAAUUUACUAAAUUAAAAAUUAACUAAAAUAACUAGAAUAUUUAAGACCAAAACAAGAAAAAGAUAGAGAAAUUAAUAGCAAAAUAUAUGAAAAAUAUGCACUUAUCACAAGCCUCUCAUUUUUCAAAGCUUUUGCAAGGGUAAUAAGUGCAACAGGCAAUCCUCCGCAUUUUUCAACGAUCUCAUCUGCUAAAGGUUGAAAAGCAGAUGCUUUUGCAGAAUUACACACUAUCUUUCCAAACAAUUGCAAUGCUUCUUCCUUUGAUAAAACUUCAAUUGAGAAAUCCUUCUGAGAUUUCAUAUCAUUGCGCAAUAAAUCUCGACUUCUAGACGUCAAUAUUAUUGUGCGUCUUCUCCGAUCGUCCUCUCUAUCUUUCUCAUCAACAUCCCCAUAAGGAAUUCCAACUGUAUCGAACUCAAGUUUUGUCCAAAUAUUAUCCAGUAUAAUGAGGAGCCGCUUCUCUUGCUUCAACCUUUGACACAGUCGAGAAGCUCUUUGAAAUUCAUUCUCAUUCAAGUCAAAUUCCAUGCCUAAAUCAAAAGCAAGUUUGUCUUGAAUUUUAUGAUGAUCUGGGGUCUGUGUUAUCUCAGCCAUAACGAACUUAUCGAACAACUUAUCUUCCAUCACUUGGUUUGCAACUUGUUUGACCAGCGUGGUUUUGCCCACGCCGCCCAUCCCAUAGACCCCAAUUAUGUUGACCUUGUCAUCCUUCACCGCCUCCAUAACAUCUUGAAAUACUUUCAUUCUUGAAUCAAACGCCUCGAAAUCUUUCACUUGCAUAUGUUCUGCCCGCUUUGGAGCAGGACUGUAGGAAACAUUGGAGAAGUUGCCUUUUCCCACGAGACUAGCGGCAGCUUCUGCCGCCUUUGCUGCUUGUUUACUAAGCUUGUAACGAGAAAUCAAGUUUGGGCAUAAUCCUUUGAAGCAGGACUUCUUAGCUCUAUCUUCAUCAUCAAUGAUGGAUUUUGCAACCCCUUCACUGAUGAAUUCAUCAACGCUAUGUAGCCAGUCUGUGACACCCUCAUAAAGCUCAUCCCCUUGUAGCCUAGCAUGAUUAACUGGUUGCUGCACCAUUUCUCUCUUAUAUCCCAGCUGCUUCACUUGAUCUUUUAGCUCAUCUAUGUAGCUCUGGUACUUGAACACAUAAGAUAUCUGCCGUGUAAUCGGGUUGAACAGUGACUUUGCACCUUCUGAUACACAGUUGGUUAAAAAAGCCAGACACGCUUCUAUAGCCAUUGCCGGUUGCUUAACAAUAUAUAUCUAGUUUUUGGCUGUUGAAAAAAAAAAUGGAUUCAAAUAAAUUAAAUGAACUAGCGGGGAAGAAAAAGAAAGAAACGACAACAAACAACUUUUUAGAAAAAGGUUUCAGGGGCCUGAAUGGAAAACCAACAAUUUUUUGAAGAAAGAAAACUUUUUUGGAAGAUGGAUGCAAAUUAACCAUUAAUAAUACUGCAUAAGAACACAGAAGUUAACAAUAAACAGUAACUUAAAACUCAAGAAAAUUAAAUGACAAGAUUAAGACAAACAAGAGAUAGUUUUUGUUGGACAUUAAGAAACAUCUGCUAUCAAGAUCAAAGAUUAGAAAUUAUGCUAUUGAAAGAAAUUAUUAAAGUAUUUAGAACAAACGCACCUCUUCAAUUAUCGAGGAUCACAGAGUUUAUGAGCUUCACUCUUGGCCUUCGAUUUAUAAGAAAAAUUUUAAUGAGCAAAAGAUCACUGUUAACUGCAGAAGAAUGUGAGUAAAGAGUUUAUGGGAGUAAGCAAUACAAUUGAAUUGUAAAAGAACAAGACUUAAAGCGUGCACCCCGUGUUCAUAUAAACAGAACACAUGUUCAUUUUUAACAAAGUGAUCAAUAACUCUAUUCGUUAUUUAAUUGAUAUUGUAACCAAUUCUAAGAGAAUAUAAUAAUAAUCAUUCAAUCCAUAAAUUUAGAAUUAGAUUUUUUUAACUCUUUAUUUAAAUAUAAACCUUAAUGGAAAAUUAUAAAAGUUUAGAGAUAAAAUUUUUCAAUCACCAAACGAAAAAAACAGGGGAAUGAAAACAGAGGAAUCUUGUUUUAACUAUUUUUUUCCUCAACUCUCGUUCUUAUAUUAAUAAUCUUGUUUUGAUGAUAGUGCUCGUGACUGCGGGAAAAUUUCUACUGGAAACAACUCAAUUUCGGAAGAAAACUUAAUUUUGCAAGUGAUGAAUUUGAACUCGUUGGAUUGGUUGAUUUAUGAUUGACUGAAUUUCACUUUUGCCCAAAAGAUCUUUAACCAAAGUUUAAUAGCCAUCAUGUACUCCUUAAAAGCAAUUUUUUUUUUUAGAUUUGACUGAAUUUGAACUUGUUGGAUUGGUUGUUUUUAGAUUAUUAAUAUGAGAUAUUACAACGUAAAUAUUUUCAUGUGGUUGAGCCCUAUUCUAAAAUCUGUAUAGUUAGCUUUAGAAAAAGGGCUUUUCCUGCUGAUCUGUAAUCUUCAAAUAAACUUAGAUACAAAUAAUGAAAUAAAAGACAACAAACAAGCAAUACUGAUACAAAGCCAACAGAUCAGAGUUUUUUCUUGCCUUCUUUUGUUGAAGGAUUAGAGUUUUUGGUAUUAUCAGUAAAGGUUUCAAGGAGUAAAGCCUAUAAACUUUUUUUUUGGGGGGGGCGCCGCCGCGGGGAGGGGGGGGGGGGGGAGAGCAUGCAAAUUAACCAAAAGAAAUAAUAAGAGCACAGGCUUUAACAAUGAAUACUGACUUAAAACUCAUGCAAAAUAAGUUACAAUAUUAAAACAAACCAGAGAAAAUUUUUUCUUGGAAAGUAGAUGGAACUUAUGAAAGAGCAGAUGUCAAGGAUUUAGAAAACGCGCACCUCUUUAAUUAUCUGGGAUUAGAGAGUUGGUGAGCUUCUCUAUUUAAGAACAAGUUGAAAGAGGAAAAAGAUCACUGGUAACUGCUGAGGAAUGUGUGAGAAAAGAGUUGAUGAGAGCAAUAACAAAGACCUGCAAAAGAAAAAGAAUUAGUCAUGCACCGCUUUUCUAUAUCAUGUAUUUGGUUAUUGUUGCCCUGUUGACGCAUGUUGAAGAAGAAAGCACUAGUUCACAACUCUACGUUUUCAUAUAUUCUAAAGAAAUAAUUAAGUUUUCAUAGAAUGAUACCUGUUGUGUUUGAGUAAUUUUGGUAUAUACAUUGCUUGUGUACUGUGAAAUUGAAAUGAAUAUUGAUGGAAUGACUGAAUUUCACUUUUGCCCAAAAGAUCUUUAACCAAAGUUUAAUAGCUAUCAUGUACUCCUUAAAAGCAAUUUUUUUUUUUAGAUUUGACUGAAUUUGAACUUGUUGGAUUGGUUGUUUUUAGAUUAUUAAUAUGAGAUAUUACAACGUAAAUAUUUUCAUGUGGUUGAGCCCUAUUCUAAAAUCUGUAUAGUUAGCUUUAGAAAAAGGGCUUUUCCUGCUGAUCUGUAAUCUUCAAAUAAACUUAGAUACAAAUAAUGAAAUAAAAGACAACAAACAAGCAAUACUGAUGCAAAGCCAACAGAUCAGAGUUUUUGGUACAAAGCCAAUAAAAGACAAUAAACUUAGGACCUUUUUUUCUUGCUUUCUUUUGUUGCAGGAUUAGAGUUUUUGGUAUUAUCAGUAAAGGUUUCAAGGGUCUGAGUAAAAGCCUAUAAUCUUUUUAUAAACUUUUUUUUUUGGGGGGGGGGGGGGGGGGGGAGCAUGCAAAUUAACCAAAAGAAAUAAUAAGAGCACAGGCUUUAACAAUGAAUAGUAACUUAAAACUCAUGCAAAAUAAGUUACAAUAUUAAAACAAACCAGAGAAAAUUUUUUCUUGGAAAGUAGAUGGAACUUAAGAAAGAGCAGAUGUCAAGAUCAAGGAUCAGGGAUUCUACUAUCAAAAAAAAAAAAAUUAUUCAAGGAUUUAGAAAUCGUGCACCUCUUUAAUUAUCUGGGAUUAGAGAGUUGGUGAGCUUCUCUAUUUGGCCUUCAAUAUUUAAGAACAAGUUGAAAGAGGAAAAAGAUCACAGGUAACUGCUGAGGAAUGUGUGAGAAAAGAGUUGAUGAGAGCAAUAACAAAGACCUGCAAAAGAAAAAGAAUUAGUCAUGCACCGCUUUUCUAUAUCAUGUAUUUGGUUAUUGUUGCCCUGUUGACGCAUGUUGAAGAAGAAAGCACUAGUUCACAACUCUACGUUUUCAUAUAUUCUAAAGAAAUAAUUAAGUUUUCAUAGAAUAAUUUUGGUAUAUACAUUGCUUGUGUACUGUGAAAUUGAAAUGAAUAUUGAUGGACAGAGCAAUGCAUAUGCCUAAAAAAACAUAAAGCAAAUCCUUGAACGAAUGAUUCAGGACUAAAACUUUUAUAAAAGCAAAUACCGGAAACACACAAAAAGCAUUUAAGAGAGAAACUAAACCGCAAAUAAUCGAAGUAAGAUCAAUAAUAUAUGAUUUGAUUUAUGCAUAUUCAAAAACCAAAAUAUAAAAUAAAAUACAAAAUUAAAGUUUGGUUUAUUCUUUCCACAAAAAACAGGGGAAUGAAAACAGAGGCAACUUGUUUUACCAAUUUUUUCUUCUUAAUUUCCGGCAAAAAAAAUCAAUAAACAGGGGAAUGAAAACAAAGGAACGAAAACAGAGGAAACUUGCUUUUCAGGCUAUCUUGUGACAUGAUGAUAUUGCUCGUGAAUGCAUGAAAAUUUCUAAUGCAAACAGCUCAAUUUGGGAUGAUAAGCUUAAGUUUGCAAGUGAUGCAUGAUAAUCAGAUAUUUGUGGCUUUUAAAACUCAAGAAAACUCAAGAAAAUUAAAUGACAAGAUUAAGACAAACAAGAGAUAGUUUUUGUUGGACAUUAAGAAACAACUACUAUCAAGAUCAAAGAUUAGAAAUUAUGCUAUUGAAAGAAAUUAUUAAAGUAUUUAGAACAAACGCACCUCUUCAAUUAUCGAGGAUCACAGAGUUUAUGAGCUUCACUCUUGGCCUUCGAUUUAUAAGAAAAAUUUUAAUGAGCAAAAGAUCGCUGUUAACUGCAGAAGAAUGUGAGUAAAGAGUUUAUGGGAGUAAGCAAUACAAUUGAAUUGUAAAAGAACAAGACUUAAAGCGUGCACCCCGUGUUCAUAUAAACAGAACACAUGUUCAUUUUUAACAAAGUGAUCAAUAACUCUAUUCGUUAUUUAAUUGAUAUUGUAACCAAGAUCAAGGAUCAGGGAUUCUUAUGCCUACUGAUAUUUAAACAGAGAAUUCUUUCUUCUUUUUCUCUUCAUGGAUUAGAGUUUUUGCUAGUAACAGAAAGGUUUCAAGGGUCUGAAUAAAAUCCCAGAUUUUUUUUUAACUUUGUUUUUUGUGGGAAAAUGGAUUCAAAUUAACCAAAGCCAAUAAUAAGAUCACAGACUUUAACAAUGAACAAUAACUUAAGCAAAACCAAUGACAAGAUUAAAACAAACCACAGAAAUUUUUUCUCGGAAAGUAGAUGAAAAGCAAGUAAGAACUGCUAUUAAAGGAUAUUAUUAAAGGAUUUAGAACAUGUAUACCUCUUUAUUUAUAUGGGAUCAGAGAAUCGAUGACCUCCUCUAUUCGCUUCAGAUAUUAAGUAAGAACUGCUAUUAAAAGAAUGAAUUGAUGAGAGUAAUAACAAUGAUUGCAAAAUAGGAAGACUCAAUCAUGCACCCCUUUUAUACCUGAUCAUAUUAAGAAGUCGUUAAAGAAUAACGACUAAAUUAGGAAUUAAUUCUGAAGUUCAGAAUCAAGAACAAAGACGAAGCUUUAAUAACGCAUGCAGUGAGAUACAAGAAAUGGAUCUGGUAAAAUACAUUAAAAAAAUUUGUUCAACUUCAACCUAGUUAAGCUGAUGAAAGCACUAGUUGUUGGCUCUACGUUUCAUAUGUUCUAAUGAAAUAAUUAAGUUGAAGUUUUCAACGAAUAAAUACCUGUUUCGCUUGAAUAGCUUUGGCAUAUACAUUACUUGUGUCCUGUGAAAUUGAAAAGGUUAUUGAUUUACAAAGCUUAUUAGUAGAGAAAAGCUACGUAAGAUGCCUGAUAAAAGAUAAAGCAAGAGCUUGAAUGAAGAAUGACAUUUUAGAAAGAAACUAAAGUGUAAUCAUCAAAGUAGGAUCAAUAAUGUACCACUUUCCUUGCAAAUCUGGUGGGUUUUCUGAAUAGAUUUUUACAUUAUUCUAUUUAACCAUUUUGGGUUUACCCUAAGCAUUCUUGGUUGGCAUUGUCCUGUAAUCUGCGUGCCCUGGAUACGUGUGAGGGAAAGAUGAGGGUAGAUAUGCAAUUUCAAGAAGCGAUUUGCUUGCAUAAUUCAAUGCAUGGAAAGAGAUGUACCUGACCAGAAAAAAAAGGGCACCAUCCAUAUCUGAGCUUGACUUUUUAGAUGGAUAAAUAUUCUUAUUACUGUUGAUAAUGGAGAAGGGUUCUACUUUUACUUUGCCAUCUUUGAUAUAAAACAGCAUGAUUCCUUUUUAUCAAACACUUGCCUAAGUCUAUUUUUUAUUUUUCUUAUUUUCAGAAAGAGAUUAGCUUAAUUUAAAUUAUAUUCAAGUACAAAGUGUUAUACACUCAUAAAACGAGAAAUAGGCAUGUAUUGAUCACGCGCAAUCUAGUUUUUUUUUUUUUUCUUUUUUUUUAAUCCAGUCUUCUUAUUAAAAAAAAAAGAAUUUAUUUGCUUUAUUUUAAAUUAUUUUUUCAUGCGGUAAAUGCAAUACUGAGUAAUGGGUGAGCAAAAUAUUUACAGGCACACCCCCUUUUAAUGAUUUCGUACUAAAAUUAAAAAUUGACGAUUCCAUGAUAAAGUUCAAAGAGUAAAUGAAGACCCAUAAAUGUUUUUUGGUCAUGAGCAAUUUUUGAGUUGGGACAGCACUCGUAUGAAAAAAAAUAGUUUUUUUUUUUCUUUAAGCAUGAGGAUAUUAAUUCUUUUUUUAUAAAUCAGCGUGAAUAUAAAAUUAAAAAAAUAGUUUUGAAUAACUUCUUUUCUUUUUUCAUAAAUAUAGAUAAAAAAUUUUAAAGUCACCAAACACAAAACCAGGAAAAUGGAAAGGAAGCCCCUGUUUCUCCGCUGCUGCAAGCACAAAUUCGGUUUCUACAGGAGUACCUUCUAAAUGCACCAUUUGUAUUGCUUUGUUUCCACGUAAGCUAACGGAAUUUGAUGAAGACAAAAUAGAUAUGAGUCGUGCUAUUCACACCCCUCGAUAAUUCUCUCAAAAUCCCCUUUCUAAUUAUACCGCCUUGAAUAAUUUCAAAACUGACUUUUCCUCUUAUAAUACCACCUUCAAUUCCCUUAAUACCCUUGUUCGCUAUGAAAAUAAGGAAAAUGCCUACAUAAAAAGCUGGCUCUGAUAAUCUACCUGAAUUUACAUUAGAAAAGAGUGGACUUUGAGAAAUAAGAAGACAAUAUAGGGAAUUUUACCAAAAUAAUCCAUUUUUAUAUACAGGGAAUGGUAUUUUCUAAUAUAAGGAGGAGUGGAGAAAUUAAAUUUAGCAAAAUAAAGAACCUCCAUCGAGAAGCAAAAAUGAUGAUAUCUUUGUCGUGAAGAGAUUUCAAUUCAAUUGCAUACAUUGACGAAACAUUAAAUACGGAAAAAACAAAAAAGAAAUAAUAGAACAUGGGGAUUUCGAGAACUUCUAAAGAGAGAAAUGUAUUUAUAAGCAUUGAAAAUUAGCUCAUUAAAUUUGACAGAAUAAUAUACAAUCUCACUGUUGGCCAGAAAAUAAUAGUAAGAACUUGUGAACAUAUAUAAUCAAUUGCUUAUUACUUAAGCUUUUUCUCCGUUAUUUUGAAUGGGUGCAAAGAGGAGAAGUUUUGUACCCAAAUUCCAACUCGAAUUGUGUAGGCUGCUUGCAAGAGCUUCAUUAGAUUUUUAUUUGUCUUUUAAUAGUGCUACUCGAUAAAUACAGCUAGCUAUCUGUCCUUUUUGUUACUGGACUAUAGAUCAAUUGACAGUUGAAGUUAUAUUAAUUUGUUGUACUGGAAUUGAAGCUUGUAUCUUAGCCAUUUCGUGAAGUGUCAAAUAUAUUUUUAAUUUCCUUAAAAUUGUUCAAAAUAUGUUUACACUUUUAAAGUCACUAUUAUACAUGAGUGCCCUAAAAUCAUUUCCUUAAAAUUGUUCAAGUGGGAUCCUAGUUCUCUAUGGCAGUUGAAGAGGUAAAUGCGCAUAGAGCUAUGCUCUAUCAUAGGCCUCGGCCACUAUAAGAAAUUUGAUUUUUUAAGACGAUAUUUUUUACAACAACUUUAAAUUUGGUCACAAAAUGGUAUUUAUUGUGACAAAUUUUUUAAAUCGUAGCUAAUAAUCUUGUCCUAACUUAUAUUUUUUUUUGUAACCAAUUAUUUUUAUUUUGAGACUUGUUCAUUGGUCAUUAAUUAAAUUUUUUUAUACCAAAAAUUAUUUUAGUCACCAAAAGAUAUAUUUUUUUGGCGCAAAAUCUUCCCUCCAAAAGUGAUUAUUUUGAGACAAUAUUUCACUAUUUAUGACAAAAUAAAUAGUCAUGAAAUAUAAUUAUAGGCGACCAAAUUAUUUGGUAACUAAAAGAGGGGUGUAAAAUUAACUAAACAAUCUAUGACACAAAAUAUUAGUAGCCAAAAUUAUUGUUCUUUUGGCAUAUUUUAAGACCAUUUUUUUGGUCAUAUAUAAUUACCUACAGUGACAAAAUUAAAAAAUAGUCGUUGAAUGUUUUAUCUUGAAUAAUUUUAUAUUUGAUAACCAAUUUUUUUUUCUUUUUGAGACAUAUUACUUGGUCCCUAUUUCAACUUCUUUUUGACUAACUUUAUAAUAGUCACAAAAGACAUUUUUUUUUUUUUUGGCAUAAAAAGUCUGUCCAAAGUUAGCUCUUUUGGGACAAUAUAUAAUCUUUUAUGACAAAAUAUAUAGUGGCGAAAUAUAAUUAUUUUUUACAAAGUUAUUUCGUAGCUGAAAAAGAGGUGUAAAUUUAGUUAACCUAUUUGUGACAUAAAAUAUUAGUCUCCAAAACUAUUAUGCUUUUAGCCAAUUUUAAGACCCGAUUUUGUUGUCAUGGAUAAUUACCUAUUUUCAAAAAACUAAGAGAUAGUAAUCAAAAGUUUGUCUUGAUUGACAUUGUAUUUUAUGAGCAAAAUAUUUUGUUUCAGUGACACUUUACUUGGUCUCUGAUUAGACUUGUUUGUGAUGAUCAAUAGAAAUAUAUAAUAACCACUAAAUUUUUUUGGAUUAAAUUUUAUAGAUACUAUUAAUUAAGUUGUUGACGAAAAUGAUCGAACCAAUACUAAUAUGGGAUACCAUCAACAGCCGUAAUACUUAUGAACCGAGAAAUUAUAAUAUGUAGUGAAAAAGUUUUAACAGUAGUCCCUAGUAUUUAGAAUUAUUUUGACUACUUUAUUUAUUUCCAAAACAUAAAAUUCUCAACCCAAAAUUCCCCGCAUUGUGUUUUAUUUUGUCUCCUCACUCAGUUACUCUUAUUAACUCACGGCUUGACAAAAAAAAGAAAAAAAUUCUCACAGCUUGAUGUUCUCCUCUCUUUAAAAAUAAAAAUCCCCAGUUACUCUGCUCAAACUCGUUAAUAUUUGUUUCCACCACCAAAGCAGCCACUCGUAUCUUUUAUUAAGCAUAACGUUUUUCUUAAAACCUAAUUGAUCAUUCUUUAACGUCUCCAGGAUUAUAUUUGGCACGCUAUUUUUCUCCUUCAAUUGAAUAGAAGUCUAGAACCUUUUUUUUUUCGCAAUUCACUUUUGCUGUGUUUCGUGGUUUGGACUAAGAUCAUGACAAUUAUUGAACGAUGGGGAUAAAUAUCAAAGAAGGAGCUUACAUGCCCUAUAUAUCUCUCUUUGGAUGAAUAACGAAUGUGAGCUUUCAAAGUACAGAGAUUUACAUGUUUUAAUUGUCAUUUACAUUGCUGCAUGCCAAUUGCUUGAUAAAAUACUGCAACAAAUACGCAUUCUCGAUUUUCUUAUAAAUUUAUUUUCUUAAUCUGAAAAAAAUUGAAUGUUCAGAGAAUUUUGAAGGUUUUGGUGUAUGCAUUAAUAUUUCGAUUCUAUUUAUGUUGUUUAACUAAUGAAGAUGAUACAUCUAGCCUCUUUUUGCCCCUUGUUGUUUUUAUUCUUGUGCUUUAUAUACGGUUCAAGUGUGAUACACUUUAGUUUUUCUCAAGUGUUUGUUAGUAUUUCCCGAAGCAAAAUUUGUCACAGACUUUGAGUUCAAAAGUUGAAAUCAUAACUAACAUACUUCGAUUUUUUAUUUUCCUUUUUUCUUCGGUAUCCUUCUAUAUGGCAUUGGUUGAGAAAUUGGUGUACUUAGAUCGUAAUAUUCUGUAGAAAUAAGCCAAUAUUUCAUUACGUACAUUGUUUAAUAUGAUGAGUAUUGUAUAGAAGUUUUACAUAUAAGCUCCUUAUAUAUUAUGCAUUAUGUUUUUAUCAUAUUGUUGCUUGGAACUUUGAAGGAUUGGCCACAGGGCUUUAGUCCUACAUGGACAUUUUAUAUUUAAUAGCUGGUUAGGCAUUUUAUUUGAUGUUAUUUGGACUUGUAGGUGUUAAAAGUUUUGUUCAGUAAUUUUAUAAUUCAGAUUCCCAUUGUGAUAAGAUAGCAAUUUUUUGUGUGUCAGAUUCUGUCAACUGAUAUUUAGCUAAAAUAUCUCACUAACCCCUAUUGGUUAGGUAUUAUUUUAAAUCACAUACUUGAUUUUUAUUUUCUUUUUAUCUGUGGAAUCCCAUGUAUCAUUCAUAAGAAACAAGCUAUUAUAUAAUCUAUUCUUUAGAUCCAUUUAUAUGUAGUGAGCACUCUGAUUUCUAUUAUUUGAAUUUUUUGCUACUGUUACUACUCUUUCGGCCCUUCAAAUAGGGGUUAACAGAAAUGGUGAGUAUAUUAAUACAAAUUCAAACUUUCUUUUUCUAAUUUUAUCCAAAAUAACCUACUAUUUUAUUUUAAUUUCAAACUUUUGUCAUAGUCUAAUGGGCAGUUGUCUUGUCAUUAUUUGGUUUCAAGUAAGAAGAGAGAAAGUUAGUGAGAGGAUGAAAAUUUUGCAAAAACUUGUUCAUAGCUAUGGUAAUUAAGUAGUUUGAGUUCUUUUUUUUGUUGUUUUCUAUGUUGGUUUUGGAUCAUUGUAGUUGCUGAUUGUGAUUUAUUGUCGCCUAUGGUUGCUGACUUUUGUUUACUGUGGCUACUUUAUUAAAGCAAUUUUGGAUAUUGAAGUUUAUGGCCAACUUUUAUUAGACACUUCUGACCUUUAUCGAUAUAUUUUCUGAACCUUUACACUUAAGAUGUGUGUGUGUGUUUUUAAAAAAUACAUGUGAAUGAAAUAGUACUUGAAAUAAUAUAUUUUCUCAACUUUUAUUAGAUAUAGUGAAAUAGUACUUGAAAUAAUAUAUUUUCUCAACUUUUAUUAGAUAAUUCAAAGUAUAUCCCACUUAUUAUCGAUAUAUUUGCUCAAGUCUCAUGUGCAACAUGUGAAUGAAAUAGUACUUGAAAUAAUAGAGACUUUGUUUUAUGACUCAUAUUUUUACAUUUCUUUGCAAGGAACCAUACUUAAUUGUACCUAAUAGAAGAGAUAUCUUUUCACUAUAUAGUCUUAGUAUAAAAAGAUACAUCUUCUAUAUAAGGCACAAUUGAUGGGACAUAUCUUUAUACUAAGACAUCAUUCAUAUUUAUCACACAAUAAUAGAAACUGCAAUGGUAGGUGGAAUAUUAUGAAGUCAAAAUUGAGAACGACAUUAAAUCAUGAAUUCUUUAUGUGUUUACUCGAAUGCCUGACAGUAUUUAGUUCAAUUAACACAGAUUGGAAAUCCAAAUGAUUGAAGAGUUGUAUGAGUUCAAGUUCAGUAUUUAAUUACUAUAUAAUUAUACAUAAAUGUGGAUUUUGCAAGCUUGAACCCAUGUGUGUUAGCCCAUUUCGGCCCAAUAAACAUAUUGUUCUGGAUAAAAAAUAUCAGGGGAUCUCUGAUGUUUCUUUGGUUUAACAUAAAUUUAUUCCUAACUCUAUAACCAUGCAUUAUUUAGACAAAAAUUUUUGCAAUCACCAAACAGUAAAACAGAGAAAUAAAAACGGAGGAGCUCUUUUCUAAAACAGAAGUAGGUGUUUUGUCUGAACGUACCACUUUCUGUUUAAUUAUUAUGUUUACGGAAUAGAUUUUUUUUUAUUAUUCUGUUUUAUGUUUCCGUCUUUACCCUAAGCAUUCUUGGUUGGCAUCGCUGCAUUGUCCUGUAAUCUGUGUGCCUUGGUGAGGAGGGGAAUGGAUAACUGUGGUGCUGGAUACGUGAGAGACAAUGAUGAGGGUAGAUUUGUAAUUGCCAGAAGCGAUUUGCUUGCAAUAAUUCAAUGCAUGGAAAGAGAUGCCUCUAACAAAAAAUGGGACUAUCCAUAUCUGAGCAUUAGAGCUCUACGUCUUAGAUAAAUAAAUAUACUUAUUAGUAUUGUUUUUGCAUAUAUCUUUCACAAAAUUAUUGUAUUCGCUUAUAUAGAGAGGACGAUUUAGAUAAGUUUCAACUAAAAAUUGACAAUUCCAUGAUAAAGUUAAAAAUCACCGAAUAAAAAACUGGAAAAUCCCCUGUUUCUCCUCUGCUUUCUUUUGAUUAUUAUUAAAAAGGGGAAUUAAAAAAUGAGUUGCAAGCACAAAUUUUAUUUCUACAGUAGUACCUUCUAAAUGCACCAUUGUUUGAUACAUUAAAAUUAAACAUUACUUAUGCUAGUAUAUCGGUACUUCACAUGUCCGUUCUUCAUUAAUGUAUAUUCAUUUACACCCAAGCUACCUGUCAGUUUUGCGAAAACUGAAUUUAAAGGUGUGGCUUAAAUUAAAAUAAUAAUCAGCCUCAUAGAAUACAGAGAAAAAAGAUAAUUUAUCACAAUCAUAUCCUAAUGCAUCAUAAAUUUAGAUUAUUUAAUUACUGUUAGGAAAUCUGCUUAGAUAAGGCGCACACUACAAAUUCUAAAUUAAAUUCCUAAUUAACAAUAAAAGAUAGACCCUAUUAAUCGUCCACCAGGUACCUUGUAGCCUGCAUCAUAAGUUUAGAUUUAAAUUUUUGCAAUUACCAAACGGAGAAACAGGGGAAUGAAAACAAAGGAGCCCUAUUUUUUCCAUUUUUGUCCCCCUUAACUCUUGUCCUUAUACAAAUAUUUUUCCUUGGAAUUUCAGGCAUACGAAAAAAUAUUGAAAAUUAUUUAAAGCAAACAGGUGGAUGAUAACAAAAAUAUAUUUAAUUAACCAAAUCAAGACACUAUAUUGGUCGUCAAUGUUUCGGCAUCACUGUCUUCUUCAGAUGUUACUUGUUUUUCACAUUUAUUUUGCGCUGUUGUGGAUUAAUAUGGUUCUGCUGGGUGCACAUUUUUACGUGCUACUGUAUUUUCUCUCAGUCCUUUUUAAAAGAACAUACACCCACAUACUAUGUAGAGUGACCUUUUUUAAUGAGGAAUCUGUCAUUUUAAUAAAAUGAAGAAUAAACUAAAAGGUAGAAGUACACGAACUCUAAUGCAAUAUACCUUUUCUUUUCUUUUACCUUUACUAUAAGAUAGGGAAUGAUAUAAUUGAUAAUGGAACUUGGGGUCAGAGCAGCGGUGUAAUUUUGAGAGGAUUUACAAGAUGGUAAGUGCAAUAAUUAACAGGCUCAUUUAAUAUAUCAAACUGCUAGAUAAUUGUACUAGUUAAACAUAAUUUUCAGAGAAUCUUUUUAAGGGUUUAUUUAUUAAUAUUUUGUUUCUUUCCAGCAUGAACACUUUGUUUUGACACGUGCUUAACAACCUUCAACGAACUGGAACAACCUUCAUCACAUGCUUCCUCACGUGAUUACUUAAAUUGAUAUGUAAAACGUGCUCCAUCCAUGUCGUUUCCACUAAAUCGUUUUUUGUUAAGAAUCAGCUGAGCAGCACGUGAGCUAAUGAAGCUUUUACGGCUUCAAAACGCAGCCGUUUCUGGGAACCAAACUUGAUUCAUCAUCUCACAACUACAGAUGAAUUAUCGAAGUGGCUGAUUGGUGCUGUACGUGUUUUUCGUAUUGAACUCAACUCUGCUAUAAUACAUGCGUGCAUCUGAUACAUGCACAAAAACCACCACUCCCACUCCCACUCCCACUCCCACGCCCUCGCGUCACGCGCCUUACCACUCCCUCGCCUCACCUCACCUCUCUUCUUGUUCCACGGCCAUCAACGGCGGCACGAGUCGGCAACGAUCAACUGCGGCUGUAAAUUGACCACAAUCAUCUCUCUCUCUCGGCUUUGCUCAAAUUUGGCCGAUCUAUGCGCUUGCUUAAGCUUGGCCGAUCUAUGCUUGCUCAAUUACUCUUCCUAUAUUCAGUCGGAGUCAACUGUUUGACAAGAGUCGAAGUCCAAGGUUCUUUUUUACAGGAUUUGAGCUACUUCUUUUAUUCUUCUUCCAUGUUCACUGAUACGAAGCUUUGAUGUGGUGUUCUGAGAGCGGGUGGAAUUUGAGAUUCUCCUUUCUUCUCUAUAUGAAGGUGCUUGUCAUGUGUCAAGAAAAAUAAAAUUAUUUACAAAAGAUUAUUUUAAGGAGAUUUAUUAUUAUUCGUGGAUCGGGAAGCUCAAAAAAUUUUCUUAUGUAGACUCAAAUCAUUUCUAUAGGGCGAAGCAUAUGAAUGAUACAUAUUAUCUUUUUUUGGCCUUAUGUAUUGUUAUUUGCAGUGUGAUUUGGUCUAGCUUAAGAGCUUAAGCUUGCAGGCUGGAUUUGUCUGACAUGGAACAAUUUAAUUUGUUCAUCGUGAUGUUUAUAUCCAUUUUGUACUACUAUCAAUUUCAAUCAUGGCUAAUUUUUAUAUGUAUUUCUCGUGGACUCUCAGGUUCAGUGCACAAGAGGAUGAAGACGAUGGACACCCAAAUUUGAUGUGGAGAACAACUAUUGCAAAUGGUCCUUGAUUUACUUCUCCAAUUGACUUGAAUUGGUUUGACGCAAUUUAUAGUGUAUUUUUGUCAUCUUUGUAUGACUGGCAGGUCGUCCUGAUUUGGUACAUGACUGGACACAGGAAUUGGACUCAUAUUUUUCAAACCAGAAUGCCAACAAUCAAGCAUUUUCUUUUGAAAGCACUGGCGUCUUCUUCAGUGCCAAAAAGGUUAGAGAUUUUCUGUAUCCUGUUUUGUAUUUGAUCAGUUUAGCAUGUGGGUGGCAAUCAAGAAAAGUUAUUAUAACAUUUUUGUGUUCCCGAAAAACUGCUGCUGAUGUGUAGUGCAGGAAAUGAAUUGUUUGUGACUUCUUUUUAUUUGUAUUCUUUCUUUUUUCUUUUCUCCCCAACAGAAUUACGUAUUUCUGAAGAGCUUCUUGAAGUUGAUUACCAUGUAUGCCACUUUCUUUACUCUAUGCUCAGGAUGUGAUUUUGUUUAGGUCAGAACCAUCAUCUAAAGUUUACUUAAUGCUGCCGAGAAGCUGUAGUAGAGCAAUGAAGGCUGUUGGUGUUAUGAAGGCCAGCUGUGAAGAAAUAUUUGAACUUGUAAUGAGCAUGGAUGGGACACGAUACGAGUAUGCUUCUUUUCUAUUUUUUAUUUUUAGUUACUUUAACAUAAUCAAGACUAUAUUGGCUGUCUGUGUAAGCUGAGUAUUAUAUUUCCUCUUGUAUGCUGUGAAAUUCACAUUGUCUCCAGUCCCGAUUCUGUAUGUGCCUUUUUGAAUAUAUUUAAUUAAUCUGCAUGGUGCUUUCUAAAGAUUAUUACAAACUUUUGUUGCUUAAGUAUAUGAAGAAUGUGGAAAUGAAAAUAGCUUUUGAAGUUUGAUGGAUUGCUUCAUUAAUAAAGAAAGACUAGGACUCAUUUUUAUAACUUUUCUCCACUUAGCUAAUGGUAUUUGAUGAAGACAAAAUAGAUGUAGCUAUCUAUAUUUUUUGUUGCUGAACUAUAGAUCAAUUGAUGGUUGAAGUUAGUUAUAUUAAUUUGUUGUACUAGAUUAAAGCUUGUAUCUUAGCCAUUUCAUGAAGUGUCAAAUACGUUCUUUCCUCUUUUUUUUUUUUUUCGAAACAUGUUACACUUUUGAAGUCACUAUUACAUAAAAGAGUGUUCUAAAACAGGAGAAGGCGUGCUGCCUGAAAUUACCUGUUUCCUAGCAAAUCUAGCUGGUUUGCGAAUUAGAUUUUAACAAGUCUCUUGGCAAGGUUUGCUAGUAAUGUGUUCAAAUUAUUCUAUUUAAUUUUACUGUCUGUACCCUAAUAAUUCUUGGUUUGCACCAUUGCAUUGUUCCAUAAUCUCUGUGCGUUGGCUUAUAAAGGCCAGCAAGGCUGAUCAUUUGUCGAAUAGUUAUUUCCAUGAAAUUCCUAUCAAUUUGACUCAGUAUUUAGAGGUCUUGAAGAGGGCAGUGUACUAGACAUGGAUUUCUACCUCUUUUGGUUGUACAAUUGUUGUAUUUCUUGGCCAUCAGAUCUUUUUUAUGUACCUUUCUCAAAGUUCUUGCCGCACGUACACCGUUUUUCAUGUUUUGUGCAGGUGGGAUUGUAGUCUUCUGUAUCGCAGCUUAGUUGAAGAGGUAGAUGGUCAUACGGCUAUUCUCUAUCAUAGGCUUCAGCUGGACUGGCUUCCAAUGUAAUAGUCUCUUGAUUCAAUCAUCUCAUUUAUGCUUUGGUCAGAAUAGAACAUUUAUUGUUCUUCUUUCCCCUUUCCUCUCUUCUGAUGUAAUAUGUGAGGAAAUUACCUAAAAUUUCUGUAUCCCAAUGUAAUUGUUGGCAUUCAGAAAUAAAAUAAAUACACCGUCUUGUUUUUCCCUCGGUUCAGUCCUAAGUUCUCUUUGGGCCUUCUGCAAGUUUUUAAACAUACUGUGACAGUAAAAAAUCUAGUGAUUGAGAUCAUUUUGAUGAAUUUAAUUUUAAUUCUUAGCUGAUACUUUUUCUGGAAUUUUUUUCUUAUGUUUCCUCAAUAUGACUUAAAUAUAGGGCUUAGUCAUGGAUCAUGCACCAGAGUGAUGGAAGCACCCCUUGUUUAUUAGGAAAAGCAGUUGAUUGUAACUAUAUCCGCGGUCCUAAGUAGUUAGAAGUAAAUGCUCUUCGAAUUCCUAUAGUACAUGGGAUGUGUUCCCUUUCAAAUAGCUUGUUCAAUACCAUUAACAUGGUUUAACAUUGUUCAUCUUUCUGUAGAUUGAUGUUGACGUGUUCUUCUAGAGUUGCUAAUGGAGUUUUGGGCCUUGUAAUUGGUGUAAUUACGGCAUUGGUGGUUGACAUGGCUUUCCUUGUGCAGGUAUGUAUGAUUGUUUUUUUCCCCCACUUCUAAAUGACACGAGGGAAGAGACAUGAUUUUGAGAUAUUGUACUGCAAUUUGCAUAUUUGCAUACUUGAAUAGUAACUCAAGAAUCAUUUUCAGAAUGGUAUAAUGCUUCGUGUAUGCAGGCAAAUACUACAGAUGAAUUACCGGAGCGGCUGAUUGGAGCUGUACGUGUUUCUUAUAUAGAACUCAAGUCUGCUAUUGUCCCAAAGUUGGAACCAGAGACAUCAUGACUCUGGUUUCAUUUCACCUCAACUGUUUUUUUUUUAAUUGAAAAAAAAAAUCAUUUGUUUUAGGUAUGCAUACAUGUAUUUUGAUCCCGUUUUCAUUGUAAUUUCUCAUUUACUUUGAAAGAAAGUCACUGGUGUUUUCGAAUAGGAAUUUUGCAUUAAAAAAUAAAGAAUACUUAAUAGGAAACUUAAUAAUUCUUUAGUUACUAUUUUUGGAAUGAGUGUAAUAGUAUUGAAGUUGGUUUCUACUCGCAAUCAAGUGAACUACUCGAUCCCCAACUGCGACCGCACUAAUUGUCAUUGUUUAAUAGCCUACUACUUUUAAAACUCAACAACUAAAAAAAUGAUUUUCUUAUGAUGCUGUGAAAACAUUUAUGGGUUCACUUAUUUCCACAAGAUCUAUAACAUGGUCUUGACUUCACGAAAUUCUUUUAACUUAAAGGGUUCUGGUCUGAGAAAGUUAAUUUGACGGAUUAAUUCCUUUUAAUAAUGGUCGAGUUAAUUUUACUAUACUCGUAAAACUAUUAUUAUUCUGAUAAUGCCACAAAUGUUAUGAUGUUUUCUUCAGCCAAUAAUCUUCUAUUAGGACUAGUUAGAAAUCAAAUGCUUAAAACACCAAUUGAAUGAAUAAUGCAGAAGUUUAAACAGUAUCUAAUUGAAAAUUACAUGAAGCAUGAAACAUCAAUUCAAGUCCUUCCUUAAACAGAGAAUGCAUCAAACAAAUCCAAAGUGUCUUGCAUGUCUGUAAAUAAUUGUAAAUGCGUUUAGAUUAUUCAAGUACAGGAGAACAAGCAAGUUGAAUCAUGUACAAGAGGUUGGCCUGGUUCGAGAUAGCUUCUUCACAGUACCUGAAGGGUUGGCUCAAUCUUUUCUUUAGAAUUCUGCACAUUUUGUAAUUACUCGUGUAAGCAAGCAUACAUUACAACCAUAAUAAUAAUAAGGCAAGAGUAAUGAUACGACCACAGCCUCUUGUGCACAAAUAAUAUUGUACAAACUAAUAUGACAUAAUAUGAUUGAUUAAACAAAAACAUAACAUGACCCUCAUAAUUUAUUUAUUAUUAUUUUAUAUUUUCAGUCAAGCAAUCAUAUUAUGCCACAUUAAAUAGAAAUAAUUUACUAGAUAGUGCCAACACUUCAUUGAUACUCACCAUUUCAUUGAACAAUUUUUUUAUAGUGUCAUUGAGGUUGCCUUCCCAACAUCCUUCAUCAUCACCAUCUUCAUCUUCGGUGGGUUUCACUUUGUUUAGCUUUGGUGCGUCUACGACUCCUGGAGAGAAAAUCUUCAUCGUUGGGCAUUGUCUCACAACUACGUGUGCCAAGGACGGGAACUCAAGAGCGUAAUUACCCAAACUAAAGCUUGUUAGGCUUGGCAAACAAUCAAUUCCCAAGUACUCCAAUUUCCUGAAAACAAUGCAAUCUUCCGCUUCUUCUCCAACCUGCGACUGUAUAAUUUCUUCCAUCAUUUUGCAAUCAGUUAUCUUCAUUCUUUCAAGAUUCACUAGACUUUCAGAUGUUGAGAGUGUCAAUAAAUUUAUCAACCCAUGACACUUCGAUACUUCCAGAGUCGCAAGAUUUUCCAAAUGCCACAAAGCUGGUACUAAUUUCUGCAACUUACUACAUUCAAAUAUUUCUAGACUUUUCAAGUUUGCAAACACUUUGUUGGAUUCGGCAUUUUCCUUCCAGAGAUGCUGCACUUUGUGUAAUCCAGAUAGCUUUAACUUCAUCAAUUGAGGGAAUGCAACCUGAAAAUCAACAAAAUUAAGUUGUAAAUGAAAAUAUGUAUCCAAUCUCUACAGUCUUCCCCUACAUAUUUUAUGGACAAGAUUAAUCACGGCAUUUUAUAUUUUAUUUCCAAAUUAGUAUGCUUUGCAGUAGGAUCCCAAAUAUAAGUAUCAAAUCGAUUACCCUUUGAAACACAUAAAUGAAAUCUGAUCAUAAAUCCAAUAUGAAUUAGCUAGGAAAACAAAGAUCUAACACGCAUAAUUUAUGCGAUAUAGUUCAUCACCUCCUGUCACUAGGCAUCUAAUUAAUUUGAGACAUUUUUUUAAUUCAUACUAUAAAGUUAGUUAAUAACUACAAUUAUAUUGUUAAAUCAGAUAUAAAUUAAGACGACGUGCAAAAAGAUAAGUCAUUAAAUUUGAUUUGAUUCUAAUGAAAUUACAUCUAUGCGAAUGAAAGUGAAGGGAAAAAUAAUAAUAAUGAUUACCUUUUUAUCGAAGAGAUGUUGUAUUUGAUUAGCUACCAAGAGGUUCUCUUCUGAUUUUAAUUUUUGAGCUUCCUUAUUAUCUGCUGUCAUGUGCAAUACAGAUGUAGAAUUGGAUAUGAAUGUUUCCAUGUCAGGGCAAUUCUCAAUAGUUAGAUAUCUCAACUCAGGCAGUUCAAUUAUAUUCCCAGUGAAGUUGCAGAAUCUUUUGAGUUUUGGAAGAUCAAUGAGCCUUAGAUUGGAAAGCUUAGGAAACAUGGGGCCUAUAUGUUCUUUGUCAGCAUUUAGCUCUUCCAAACGAAGCACCUCUUCUAGUGAAUCACAAUUCCUCACUUCCAGCCGUCGCAAAUUGUUCAAGCAUCGUAGCAGAUUGGCAGGAAUAGCACUCGACAUAUUCGUGCAGUCAUCCACCACCAGCCGUGCUAAAUUGUUGAAGAAGCUGACAGGCAGUGCUUGGCCAUGCCAUAUUUCUUUCAAACGUGGAAAAUGUGAGAGUUGCAAAUACCAUAUGUCACGGAAUCCAAUCUGCACAAACCAAAACAAUUGCACCGGAUAUAUACAAUUUUUUUUUUGAAAGGCAUUAUAUAUAUACACAUUAAACUUACAUGUUUUGUGUUUUAACUUCUAAAAAUAUAUAUACAAGACCGGGGUAUAUGCUUAAAUGUGCAAUUGCAGGGGAGAUGCAUAAACAAUUUGGGUGAAUCGAUUAACACAUACCAUUUCUUUGUAAUACUUUUGCAUAAUGGAAUUAAGGUUAUUGCCUUCCCAAUGGUGCAGUUCACCCUCUUCCUUUUCAGUCACUUGCACUUUGCAUGGCUUUGGAAUGGAUAAGAUUCCCUGAGAAAAAGUCUUCAUAUUUGGACAACGUAUCAUAGAAACUCGUUCCAGUGAUGGGAAUUCAAGAGUGUAAUUCUCCAAACAAAAGCUGGUAAGCCUUGAUAAAUAAUUAAGUAUCAAAACUUUUAAUUCGCUGAAAGCAAUACGAUUCUCCUUCACUUCUUCUCCAACAUGUCCUACGAUUUCUUCUAUUUUUUGGCACUUCGAUACUUUAAGAUUCACCAAACUACUAGGAAUUCCAACCUGAAAAUAAGCAAAAGUGUGUGUAUAUUAAAAAAGUAAAAAUGUAAGAAUAUCAUUCAACUAGGUUCAAAGUAUGUUUAAUCAUACAAUUAUACGUUUUAUAAAGAUAACAAACCAUGAAAUGUCUACAAGAUAAUUUUUUGUUAAACAAAAAAAGCAACAAGAUAAAUAAAUAAAUAAAAGCCAGAUAAACAAAGAUAUUAAAUGCAUUUACACUAUUUAGUAUUAGGAACGUACGAAGAAUUUAAGGCAAUUUCUAAAUAUUUUAGACUUAUUUUGCAUCUUGAUGCCAGUUUUUAAACAAAAUUUGCAAAUUUCAACUAUUCCUUUUGGGAAAAAAAAAUCAACCAAAAUGCCGCUUUUUCCCUUUUCCCUUGGUCCCUUUUUUUUAUGUAUAUUUAAUUUUGGAAACAAAAUUAAAGUGGAUCUUUAUUAAGUACUUCCAGACUCGAGGAAAUUUCUUUACAAUCAAGGAUCAGUUGUAAAUAAUCGUGAAUUUGUGGUUAAUUAAUGGCAUAAUCAGUUCGUAACUAAACAAGAGAUAUUAAUUAAAUUUGAAGACUUUUCUUUUCUUUUUUUCUUUUUCCAAUCGAAAUGUGAAGAAUUAAGGAAAAGAGAAAUAUAUAGAUGAAUUUGUGAACCUAUAAGAUGAGUGACUAUCCUUUAAUUUUUGAAAAUUGUACUUAUUAAGAUAUGAGCAGAAACAAUUAAAUUGAAUUAUAUUAUGAUGUUGAAUCGUGAUUAAAAAAAUUAUAUUGUUGAUUCUAAUGCUGGCGAACCUAAAAAAUGGACUUAAAAUGUAGAUUUGAGAGUGGUGGUUCGAAAUACAAUACUUGAAAUAAAUAAUCAGUGGCUGAAUAUCAUUUGUAAACCCAAAAAUGGUUAAAAUAUUGUUGGAUGUAAUUUAAAAAAAAAAAGAUUCGAAAUGAAUACAACGACCUUACCAAUGGAGGAAAAAUAUUCAUUAGGUUAUGACACUUAUAUAUCUCCAAAUUCUUCAAUUUGCUGAAAGACUCCGAAGGAAGCUGGUGGUGCCAUAUUUUUCUCAAAUUAUUCAUCCAGCUAAUAUCUAAUACCUCCAACCUAGGAAGUCGUACCUGGAAGUUAAAGAUUAAAUAACUAAUUAAUCAAUUAAUGGCAUAAUCAAUUGAUAACUAAAUUAGAGGCGGAUAUUAACUAAAUUUGAAGACUCAAGGAAAAGACAAAUUAAGUAUUGUGACUAAAAUUAAUUUUAUUUAUUAAAAAAAAAACCUUUUCGUCAAAGAGAGGAGGAGGUUGCAUUUCAGAAUGAUUGGUGUCUUCUGGUGAGCUCGUAGAGAUGAAUCUUAACAUAUUACUGCAAUUACCAAUCUCGAGGUUUAGCAAAGAAGGGAAUUCAACAACUAAAUCUGAAUGAAUAUGUCCUGUAUUGGCGAAGCUUGUCAGUUCUGUAAGCCAAUAGAGCUGCAGGGAGUGUAGUUUAGGAAAAACCUUUAAUUCAAUCAACUUUCCUUCAUCUCUUUCUGACCACCCCGUGGUGUCGACUACCCCUUCCAUUGACUCACAAGACCAUAUUUCAAGAUGUUGGAGUUGCAAAAGACUAUUAACCAUAGAAUACGAAAACAGAUACUUCAUACGAUCACAACUUCUCACGUACAGCUUUGUUAAAUUUUGACAACAGUACAUUCCUUGAUUAUGAUCGGCCCAUAAUUUUUUGAUGUUUCUUAAUUCCGUGAGAUUCAAUUCCUCUAAGCUCGGAAGAAGAACCUGCAAAGAAAAGCCGUACAUUUUUGUUCCUUCAAGUACAACCGUCUAGUAUAAUAUUCUGUUGAUGAUCGAAGAUUAAUCGUGAUAAUAAAUUAAUCAAUUAAUUAUUGAACAGAAAAUUAUCACCUUUGGAGCAGUAUCAUCAUCAGCAAUGAUUUCGUUGAAUCCCAAAGAAGUUGUUGGUUUCUCCCUGUCGGGUCCUGUAAACAAACAAAAACAAUAUACAUAAUUAAUCUUUGUCGUUGUCUUUUUUUUUUCAAAAUAAUUGAGGCGAAGUCCAUAAAUCCACCAACACUUAAUUUCAACACUUACCAACAGUCAUUUCCAGUUUAUUGCAGGAAGCCACUUUGACCUUUUGAAGCCGCAGUAGGUUUCUGGCUAUGGAAAAUGAGAAAAGAUGCUUCAAUUUAUCACAGGAUUCUACUUCUAUAAUCUUUAAGUUGCUGAAAAAUUGAUCUUCUCUGAGUUGGCUGUGGCAUAUGGCCUCCAAAUUGAUCAAUUUAUAGAGAGACAAUGACUCCAGCAAGGGGAAGACUUUGCGAUGAACCCGUCCAACUGAACCGACAAUGUGUAAAAUCUCAGAACACCUUUCUACCCAAAGAUGCUUCAAUCGUGGAAAACCUUCCCCAUCAUCUAAUUCAUGAACAACAUUCUGAACACCCGUCAGUUCCUCUAGACGGAUAUCUUCAGUUAACUUCAGCAACAUUUUCAUCCCAUAAUUCUCCAAAAGAGUGCUAACAUUUUCUAACCCAUGGAGCUGCACCAAUCUUGAUGUUUCAGAAUUAGCGCGCCAGAUGCCCCACGCUUCUCCUAUACAUAUCCUAUAUCUUGGCAAUUCGACAAAGACCAAAUCCUGCGGCAGCAUUUGGGCAUCCUGAACUUGUAUCUCCAAAGUAGUUAGCUUUGACAGCCCCUUCAAUUCAGCAAGACUGGCGUUACUUCCUCCUUCAACCUUAUCCCACUGCGGAAAGCUGUCACCCAUAUAUAGUUCUUCCAAUCGAGAAAAUUUUGAUAUGACAUUUGGUGCUAUCACUACAAGGCUGCUACAAUUGCUCAAAUCUAGCAAUUGUAACUGCGCCAAUUGACCAAUUUCAAGUGGCAACUGCUUAAUGUCGGAAUAUCGAAAGCUAAGAAUCUCUAAUUUCUUUAGCUGUCCAAUUGCCGCUACAUCUUCUAGUUGGCACCAGUCUAAACACAAUGUUUGAAGGUUAAUGAGGUGACCAAGUGAUGAAGAUAAUGAAGAGAAAUGAAUUCCGCUAAGACUUAAAACUUUGAGAUCUUCCGUCCCUUCAAAAAAGAGGUGUGAAAUUUCCAAAUAGCUAUCACCAUUUGCAAGCAACAGUAAUAACUUGAGUUGGGGACAUUCCAACCUUUCGGGAAGCUCUUGAAUAUCUCCAUAAGGUAUAGAAAUAGCAAUUGCACCUUUCUGUAUGAUCUUUUCUAUCUCUUCCUUCAAGUUGGUAACAUUUGGGAUACUAAACAUGAGCUUCUCUGAGGCAAUUGAUACGGCAACAACAUGAAUGACGUCAUGCAUUUUAACUUCAUCUUCAGCAUCGCCGUCCAACAAUAAGCAUGAAGCUUUGAGAUUGUCGAUCAAUGCGUCCACUCUAUUCCUUGCAUUUUCCAAUGUGCGAACAUUUUUAAACAAACCCUUACCAUAUCUCAACAAGGAAGCAACUUGUAUAGGAGUACCUUCACCAAAUAGAGUACAAAGAAGGAACAAAGAUUUUGCUUCAUCACUUUCCAAGAAGUUGUAACUCAAUUCUAUGGAAGAGCAGACAUUUGCAUCCAUUCCAUGAAUUUCUCUUGGAUUAGAAUUUCGCAGCUGAGUCAACGCAUCCUUCCAAACGGGAAGCUUCUUAUUUUUCAGAGCAUUUGCAACUGUACUCAGUGCAACAGGCAAUCCUCCACAUUUUCCAACAAUCUCAUCUGCUAAAGGUUGAAAAGCAGAUGCUUUUGCGGAAUUGCCCACGAUCUUUUCAAAAAAUUGCAAUGCUUCUUCCUUUGAUAAAACUUCAAUUAGGAAAAUCUUCUGAGAAUUCAUAUCAUUGGUCAAUAAAUGUUUACUUCUAGACGUCAAUAUUAUCGUGCGUCUCCUUAGAUCUUGCUUUCUAUCUUUCUCAUCAACAUCCCCAAAAGGAAUUCCAAUUUCUUCCAACCCAAGUUUUUUCCAAAUAUUAUCUAAUAUAAUGAGGACUCGCUUCUCUUUCGUCAAUCUUUGACAAAGUUGUUUUGCUCUGUGGGGUUUGCUAUCAUUCAAGUCAAAGUUCAAGUCUAAAUCGGAAGCGAGCUUGUCUUGAAUUUUCUGAACAUCUGGGUUCUCUGUUACCUCAGCCAUAACGACCUUAUCGAACACCUUAUCUUCCAUAACUUGCUUUGCAAUUUGCUUGACUAGCGUGGUUUUACCCACGCCGCCCAUACCGUGGACCCCAAUUAUGUUGAGCUUAUCAUUCCUCAAUGCCUCCACAACAUCUUGAAAUAAUUUCAUUCUUGAAUCAAAGGCCUCGAAAUCUUUCGCUUGCAUAUGUUCUGUACUCUCUGGAGCAGGACGGUGGGAAACACUAGAGAAGUUGCCUUUUCCCACGAGACUAGCGGCAGCUUCUGCGGCCUUUGCUGCUUGUUUACUAAGUUUAUAACGAGAAAUCAAGUUGGGGCAAAAUCCUUUGAAGCAGGACUUCUUAGCUCUAUCUUCAUCAUCAAUGAUGGAUUUUGCAACCCCUUCACUGAUGAAUUCAUCAACGUUAUUAAGCCAGUCUGCAACAUCCUUGUAAAUCUCAUCUCUUUGUUGAGUAGCCUCACGAACGGGUAUUCCCACCCUUUCUCUUUUAUAUUCUAGCUCCUUCACUUGAACUUUUAGCUCAGCUAUGUAGCUCUGGUACUUGAACACAUAAGAGAUCUGCCGCAUAAUCGGUUCGAACAAUGCCUUUGCACCUUCUGUUACAAUGCCGGAAAAAGUAGUGGAAACCAGGUCUGCAGCCAUUGCCUAGCCUGUUGCUUUCAUACAUACAUACAUACAUAUAUAUAUAUAUAUAUUAGCUGUUGGAAAAAUUAGAUUCAAAUAAAUUAAAAUGAACUAGGGGAAAGACGGAGAAAGAAAUGACAACCAACAACUUUUUAAAAAAAGGUUUCAAGGGCCUGAAUGGAAAACCAACAAUUUAAAAAAAAAAUUGUAAGAUGGAUGCAGAUUAACCAUUGCUAAUAUUACAUAAGAACACAGAAGUUAACAAUGAACAGUACGUAGAAAAUUAAAUGACAAGAUUAAAACAAACAAGGGCUAUUUUUUCUUGGACAAUUGUACCUAUUUAAUUAUUAAAGAGUUAAUGACCUUCACUGCUGGCCUUGAAUAUAUAAGAACGACCAGAAGAUGAAUAUUAACUGCAGACGAAUGUAAGUAAAGAGUUCAUGAGAGUGAGUAAUACAAAUGAAUUGUAAAAGAACAAGACUUAAGUGUGACCCCAUCUUUUGUUUUAUUAUAUAAAUAGAACACAUGAUCAUUUUUAACAAAGUGAUCAAUAACUCUAUGCGUUAUUUAAUUGAUAUUGUAACCAAUUUUAAGGGAAUUUAAUAAUAAUCAUUCAAUGCAUAAAUUUAAAAUUAGAUUUUUUUAAUUCUUUAUUUAAAUAUAAAUCUUAAUGGAAAAUUAUAAAAAUUUAGAGAUAAAAUUUUUCAAUCACCAAGGAAAAAAAAUGGGAAUGAAAACAGAGGAAUCUUGUUUUACCUUUUUUUUUUUUUCCUUAACUCUUGUUCCUAUACAAAUAAUCUUGUUUUGAUGAUAGUGCUCGUGACUAUGGGAAAAUUUCUAAUGGAAACAACUCAAUUUCGGAAGAUAAGCUUAAUUCUGCAAGUGAUGAAUUUGUUCAAUUGACUCUGUACUUGAACUCGUUGGAUUGGUUGAUUUACGAUUGACUGCAUUUCAAUUCUGCCUAAAAGAUCUUUUUAAUAGCUAUCAUGUACUCCUUAAAAGCAAUCAUUUUUAGAUUUGACUGAAUUUGAACUUGUUGGAUUGGCUGUUUUUAGAUUAUUGAUAUGAGAUACUACAAUGUAAACAUUUUCAUGUGGCUGAGCCCUAUUCUAAAAUCUGUAUGUUGCUUUAGAAAAAGGGCUUUUCCUACUGAUAUUUAAUCUUCAAGUAAACUUAGAUAUAAAGUAAAUCAAAUAAAAUGACAAACAAGCAAUAUAAUAAAAGACAACAAACUGGCAAUAUUGAUACAAAGGCAACAGAUAUUAAACUUUAGGACAUUUUUUUCCUAGCUUUCAUUUGUUGGAGGAUUAGAGAUUUUGGUAUUACCGGAAAGCUAAAAGGUUUCAAGGGUCUGAGUAGAAACCUAUAAUCUUUUUAAAAACUUUCUUUUUCUUUUUUCUUUUUUCUUUUUUUGGGGGGGGGGGGGGGGGGGGGGGGGGAAGAAUGCAAGUUAACCAAACGAAAUAAUAAGAGCACAGGCUUUAACAAUGAACAAUAACUUAAAACUCAUGCAAAGUAAAUUCAAUAUUAAAACAAACCAGAGAAAUUUUUUUUCUUGGAAAAUAGAUGGAAAUUAUGAAAGAACAGAUGUCAAGAUCAAAGAUCUACUAUACACAAACACACACAUUAGAGGAUUUGGAAAAUGUGCACCUCUUUAAUUAUCUGGGAUUAGAGAGUUGGUGAGAUUCUCCAUUUGGCCUUGAAUAUUUAAGAACAACCUCAAAGAGCAAAAAGAUCACCGGUAACUGCCGAGGAAUGUGUAAGAAAAGGGUUGAUGAGAAUAAUAACAUUGACUUGCAGAAGAAAAAGCAUUAAUCAAGCACCCCUUUUUUAUAUCAUGUAUUUGGUUAUUGUUGCCCUGUUUACGCACGUAUAGGAUAAUUAUAUGCAAUCUUUUUUUAAAAAUCCACAUGCACUUUAGGGCUUCUUUCAUAAAAGCAGAUACCGGAAACACACAAAAAUCAUUUGAGAGAGAAACCGAACAGCAAAUCAUCAAAGUAAGAUCAACAAUAUAUGAUUUGAUUAAUGCAUAUUCAAGAACAAAACAAAAAUAAAUAAAUNNNNNNNNNNNNNNNNNNNNNNNNNNNNNNNNNNNNNNNNNNNNNNNNNNNNNNNNNNNNNNNNNNNNNNNNNNNNNNNNNNNNNNNNNNNNNNNNNNNNNNNNNNNNNNNNNNNNNNNNNNNNNNNNNNNNNNNNNNNNNNNNNNNNNNNNNNNNNNNNNNNNNNNNNNNNNNNNNNNNNNNNNNNNNNNNNNNNNNNNNNNNNNNNNNNNNNNNNNNNNNNNNNNNNNNNNNNNNNNNNNNNNNNNNNNNNNNNNNNNNNNNNNNNNNNNNNNNNNNNNNNNNNNNNNNNNNNNNNNNNNNNNNNNNNNNNNNNNNNNNNNNNNNNNNNNNNNNNNNNNNNNNNNNNNNNNNNNNNNNNNNNNNNNNNNNNNNNNNNNNNNNNNNNNNNNNNNNNNNNNNNNNNNNNNNNNNNNNNNNNNNNNNNNNNNNNNNNNNNNNNNNNNNNNNNNNNNNNNNNNNNNNNNNCCCCAGGGGAAAAUCUGGAAUUCCUUUUUUUAAUUUUUUUUUUUUUAAAAAAACCCCACCGGAAAUUCUUAAAAUUUGGAAAAAAAAAUUUUGAGUCCCUUAUUCUGGGGGGGGGGGGGGGGGGGACGAAAACAGAGGAAACUUGUUUUACAUUUUUUUGAUCUUAACUCUUGUUCUUAUAUAAUAUUUUCCCUGGGAUUUCAGGCAAACCAAACAAAAAAAAAAAAAUUCAAUAAAGAGCAAGUUGCUCUAAUUGAUUUAUCUUGUUUUUCAGGCUAUUUUGUGACAUGAUGAUAUGUAAUGCUCUUGAAUGCUAGAAAAAUUCUAAUGCAAACAUUUUUGCAAAUGACGAAUGUAAAUAACUUUUUUUGAUUAAUUGAAUCUCUAAUACUCUUACCCUAUUCUAAAAUUUGUAGGUUGCUUCAGAAAAAAAGGGUAUUUCUCACUCAUCUUCAAUCCUCAAGCACAAUUAGAUUAAAAGCAAAUCUAAUAAAAUAACAAACAAAUUAACAAAAAAAAGAAAAAGAAAAAAAACAAUGUUGAUCUUGAGACAAUUGAUACUUAAACAGAGAAUUCUUUGUUCUUUUUUUACUCCCCCUGGCUCGAGGAUUAGAGUCUUUCUUUGCUAUUAACAGAGAGGUUUUAAGGGUCCGAAUAAAAACCCGCGCUUUUUUUAAAAACUUCUUUUUUUUUUUUUAUUGGGGAAGAUAGAUUCAAAUUAACCAAAGCUAGUAAUAAGAACACAGGCCUUACAAAUGAACAAUAACUUACAACUCAAGCAACAUAAAUAAUAAGAUUAAGACAAACAUGAGAUUUUUUUCUUCGAAAGUAGAUGGAAAUCAAGUAAGAACAGCUAUUAAAAGAAAUUACUAGAGAAUUUAGAACAUGUGUACCUCUUUAAUUAUUUGGGAUCAGAGAGUUGAUGAGCUCUCUAUUCGCCUUGAAUAUUAAGAACUGGUAUUAAAAGAAAUUAUGAAGAACAAUUUUAGUGAGCGAUAGAUCACUGUUAACUUCAGAGGAAUUUGUGAGUAAAAAGCUGAAAAGAGCCGUAAUAAUGAAUUACAAAAGAAGAAGACUUAAUCAAGCACCCCUUUUAUACCCGAUUUUUAAGAUUUAGUCUUGAAGUUCACAAUCAAGAACAAAGACGAAGCUUUAAUAAAGCAUGCAGUGAGAUACAAGAAAUGGAUCGGGCAAAAUACCUUACGAAGCGUUUCAUAUUUUCUAAUGAAAUAAUUAAGUUGAAGUUUUCGACGAAUAAAUACUUGUUGUGCUUGAAUAAUUUUGGCAUAUACGUUACUUGUAUCCUGCGAAAUUGAAAAGCACAUUGGUUUAUUAGAGCUUAUUAGGAGGGAAAAGCUUUGUAAGAUACCUGAUAAAAGAUAAAGUAAAAGCUUGAAUGAAGAAUGACAUUUUAGAAAGAAACUAAAGUGCAAUCAUCAAAGUGGGAUCAAUAGUGACUUGAUAUUUCAAUUGUUCUGUCCACAAAUGAUGCUUCGUUAUUACUAAUUCCAGAUGGACAUUAUUAGAAAAUGAUCUUAUGUUUAACAGAAAAAUAAAAACUCGUCAUCAUACAAAACAGCGUGAAGAAAUCUUCAAUUUGAUUAUUAUAAAAUAAUAAGUUUCAUUACUAGAUUAUGCGGACAUUAAUGUUAGAGAUUUGAUCAGAUUAUCAUAUAAUUUACUAAACGCUUUGAGAAGAACAAUAAUUAAUUUUUAAAAAAUUGAAAAAUAAAUUAAAUAAAGAGUACACGCAAAUAAUGUUACUUCCAAUCACCAAACUGAAAAACAGGGGAAUGAUAACAGACGAGUCCCUGAUUAUCCUCUCUCUCUCUCUCUCUUUUUCAAUCUCUCUCUUUGAUAUCCAUAUCUGAGCAUCAGAGCUUGACAUCUUUGAUAAAUAAAUAUGCUUACUGGUACUGUUUUUGCAUAUGUCUUUCACAAAAUCAUUGUAUACGCUUACAUAGAGAAGAAGAUUCAGAUAACUUUCAAAAUCUGAAUCCGCCUGAUGGACAGGCUUGACCACACAGCCCCGAGACAAGGAAGUCCAAGCAACUAAUCUAAACCGUUCUCCUUUAUUAGCUAGAUUUAGUAUUUGGGUUCUUUAUGUAAAACGACACUAUGAUCUUGAAAUUUUGAUUUAAUUAAUAAAUAGUUAAAUUCUUAAUGUUUCAGGAGUAGAUACAUAGACUCUCUUCUAAUUUUAGUCAUUACAAACAAUGCCAUUGUGCGGUUAUACUAUUGCUUCUUUUAUGAAACCAUUCUCACCAUCACAUAGAUCUUGGCAUAUAGAGUCUCAUAAUGUCAUCAAAUAAUUUUUUUUUUUUUUAAAAACAUAAAAUAUGAUACAUGUAUUCAUUUUUUUUCAAAUUAGGGUGUAUUAUUCUUAAAACUUAAGUGUUCUACUUAUAAAUAUCUUGAAGGUGUGAGUGUUUUCUUUUCGUAAACAAACCGUAAAAGAAAAAGAGGAACAAUAAUUUUUUACUUAUCCUUAGAGAUAAGAUUCAAUCGGGAUGUGAGUAAGUGUGUUUUUCUUUUUUUAUUAUGCUAAAUUAUCGAGUCACAAAGCAUAUUGAUUCAAAAGUAUAACUUUAUACUGAUGAUAGAUAAUUUCAAAACAAUGGAAUGAAAACAGAGGAGCUCCCCCCUCCCCCACCCCAAUCCCCGCCCCCCCCCCCCCCCCCCCCCAAAAAAAAGUUCUUCUUCUUUUAUAUAUUUUUCUUGGAAUUUUAGGUAAAAGAAAAAAAAAACUGAGAUUGAUUUCAAGGGAACAGGUGGAUAAUAACUAAAAUACUUAUUUUUAUAUAUUUGAUAUGUGCGCUCACUAUUAAUAGAACUUAUUAGAUACUACAACUUAAAUAACUUCCCAUGGUUGAUUGAGGGUAUGUUUGAGAUUUCCUUUACUUUCCAAGAAUUAAUUUCUACCUUGAUUCUGAACAAAAAAAUAAUUUUACAAAUAAUCUAUUAGGGUGUUUGGUAAAUGAUGAUUAUUUGACAAUCAAUUUUUAAACGGUUUACUAUACAAAUCUGGUAAAUGAAAAUUAAAAGUGUAAAAUGUUCAUGUACAAUGACAAAAAUGUACUUGUUUACUUGUUUGUAAUUUAUUUAGAAUAUUAUUAUUUAAAUCUUUUUUUAUUUACAAGAUUUUUUAAGAGCAUAUUCUAUUUUCUUUAUUACAUAUUUAAAUAAUUUUUUAUUAACUAUUUUAAUUUGCAAUAAAAUUAACUUCAAUAUCUUUUUAACUAAAAAAUUUGUUAUGUAGUUCGUGAUAUAACAAAUACUAACAUAUCAUUAGUUUGAUUAAUAAAUUAAGUGCAAAAAAGAAAAUGCAAAAAUUUAAUCUUUAUAUAAACUUUUAUGUACAUAAAAUCAUUGUAAUCAAACUAGUUCAUAGAAAUAUAAUAUUAUAUACAUGUGUGUAAAAAAAAAAAACAUAUGACCAUAAUAUUAUCCACUCAUUAAACUUGCUGCACUAUUAUUUCUCAAUCUCUCCAUCUCUCGACCUUCAAGAACAUUACUACCAUAAUCUUCUUCUUCUUGAAUCCAACCUCUAUUUCCUCAUCAUCAACAAUGCGACCAAUUUGCCUUGAUAGCCUUUCAACUAGAAUAGAGUUGGCAGUAGAUAUUUUAGUACUCUCAAACUAUGCCCAAACAGGGUCACCAGUGAUUGUUGUAUUAAAAGACAUUCUAUUUAAUUUUCCUCUGACUCUGGGUCGAUACCUUUUAUGCAAAAUCUAUUUACUUAAGGAAUUUUCUACACAUGUCGAUAUCAUAUUAAAGUGAAUUCAGAUCCUAUAUUAUUGACAUUAAAAUUUAGCCGAAUAGUAAAAAAUUUCCCUUUUUGUUUGUCACACAACCAUAUAGUCCCAUUUUUGGUUAUAAGCUCACAAUAUGUAAGGGAAAUGAAGAUCUAUUAAAACUUUCCCAUAAUAUUAAACAUUAAACAAUAUCAACAUUUUGUGCAUAUGGUGCCUCAUCAACAAUUUGAUGUUCAUUUUGUUGCUCGGAGGAAUAUGACUACCUAUUAAUUAAUUAGCAAGAAUUGCGUUGCGAGUCCAUGUUUUUGUCGUUUGGAUGGAGGAUGUGCCAUCUUUUUAUUGUAGAUGCUUUGUAAGGCUUUUGAUUUAAUGAUUUAAUGCAGUCAAUUAACAAAAGCUUACAUAUAUUAUUAUGUAGUUGCUGAGAUGUCUGUUCUUGAUAAAGUCGAUUUAUUUACACCCAAGCCAACGGAAUCAAAGCCUUUUCGUUAAUAAUAUACACGGUAAUUGUUUUUGUUAAAUUGAUUUCUGGCUAACAAGAUAUUUGAAAGCAUUUAGGUAGCGUUUACAUUUUGCGUUGGAGUGAGAAUCGUGAGAAAUGAGAAUCCUGGGAUUAGGAGUGUGGAGUGGGAGUCGAAGUAUGUUGUUUACUUACACUGAAAUGGAAGUAUGGAAUUGAAAUCAGAAUCCAAUUUAUUUGUUUACAUUGUCUUAGAUUGUGAGUAAUGAUUUUAAAUUACAGCUUUACUCUUAAAGAAUUAUAGUUAUUAAUUACAAAAUUAAUAAAAAUUAUAUUUUUAAAUUAAUAAUAAUUAUUAAUAUUCUUAACUAUGUAAAUCACAAUUAUUUUAUUAAUUUUAAUUUUAAUUAUAUAAAUAAAAAAUUAUUAAUAACAACAAUACAAAUGAAACAUUAUUAUUGAUAAUAUAGUACAAAAUUAAUUUUUUUAGAAUAAAAUAUUUAUUAUUAUUAAUUACUAAUAUUAAAUAAAUAUAAUAGUAUUAUUUUUAAAUAAGUAUAAUAAUAUUAUAUUUUCAAAUAAAAAUAGAAUAUAGUAAUAUUAUUAAUUCUUUAUGAAUAUAAUGAUAUUAUUUUUAAGUAAUUUUAACUUAGAAUCAAUGUAAAUUAUUAUUUUUAACCAAAAAAUUAAUAUUAUUUUAAAUAUGUUUAAUAUUAUUAUUUUUAAUAAAUUUAAUUUAUAAAAUAAUAAAAUAUUAUUAUUUAAAUAAAUAUGAUUUUACUUAUUUUAUUAAAUUUAAUAAAAUAAAUAUGUUUAAUAUUAUUAUUUUUAAUAAAUGUAAUUUAUAAAAUAAAAUAAUAAUAUAAGUUAAAUAAAUAUGAUAUUAUUUAUUUUAUUUUAUUAAAUAUAAGGGUGAAAAAGGAAGAGAGGCGAGUGAAUUUCCACUCCCACCUUCCUCCAUGGGAGUGGGAAUCUCACUCCCCCACUCCAAAAUUAGGUGGGAUCCACGGAGUGGAAUUCUCACUUCCCCUUUGAAAAUUGUAAGUAAACACUGGAGUAAGAGGAAUCCACACUCCUCACUCUCACUCCAAAAAGUAAACACUAUAUUAAAGAAGUCAUUGACUUAUAAGAAAGCCAUGAUUAAAUACACGGCGAAGCAUGUGAGCUCGUUUUUCAAUUUCUUUGAUCACUCAUAAGUAGGGGUGGGCAAAAUCGGAUUCGGAUUGGGUUCGGGUUGAUUUGAUCAAUUUCGGAUCAAUCGGGUUGGGGAAAAAAUCAUCCGAACUCAAUCCGAAUUAUUAACCCGAUCCAAUCCGAUCCGAAUAUAAUUCGGAUCGGAUUGGAUCGAAAAUUCGGAUUAAUUCGGAUUAGAUUCAGAUUUAAAAGCAUUCGGGUUAUAUAUCCAUUCUAUAUUUCUGGGUUAAUUUCAGAAGCAAUCAAGUAAAACAAUCAACCUUUUCUCAAGAUAUAGUUUUGUUUUAAGCUUUUUAAAUUAAAUUAUUUAAAACAAUAUAGUCAAUACCACCAAAAACUUGGUGACAGUGAAUGUGGAGGUGAAUUUAGUUGUAGCAGUUGUGGUAACCGGUGAAGCUAGUGGCAGCAAGCGGUAGCAGUCGAGGUGUAGUAGAUUCCAUCGGCACGUUGCGGUUGCAGCGAUGGCUUAGCUUUGAACGAUCGCGUCGGUGACUGAUGGCUGCUGGUUCACGCAGUUGCAUCUCCGAUUUGCUGGCUGCUGCUUCUUGCGGUUGCAUCUCCGAUCUGCUCGCCGCUGCUUCGCUGACAUCUCCGAUCUCCGAUGGUUUGGCUUCGCACGAUCACAUCGGUGAUUGCUGGCUGCUGGUUCGCGGCUUCGCGCGGCCGCAUCUCCGGUCUGCUGGUUGCUGCUUCUUGCGGUUGUAUCUCCAAUCUGUUGGCUGCUGCUUCGUUGUUUGGCAUCUCAACAUUUCCGAUCUCCGAGGCCAAACCUCUAUUUGUGUGUGACCGUGUGUGAUGUGAGUGUGUGUGUGUGCACUUACAGAUUAUUUUAAUUUAGAUCUAAGAUUUGCUUUUUGUGUGGUGUGAAUCCGAUUUUGUUGUGUUUGCCACUUUGUUAGUUUGUUACACAGUUUUUUUUUUAAGCCAACCCGAUCGGGUUUUCGGAUCGGAUCGGGUUUCAUCCGAUCCGAUCAUGAUCCGAUCGGGUUGGCAAAGUUACAUCCGAUUGGAUUUUGUUAACAAUCCGAUCCGAUCUGAACCCGAUAUUUUUUGGGUCAGAUCGGAUCGGAUCGGGUCGGAUAUUUUGCCCAACCCUACUCAUAAGCUUUUCUAUACCACUCACUAUAUCAUCCUUUUAAGUCAAUUUCGACUGAUCAUCAGAGAUCAUGCACCCCACCUUGAGAUGAUUGAUCACCAAUUUGGCAUUGUAACGUUGAUCACCUCUAAUUGCCCAUGCUAAAAUUGAGACCCCACAGCCAAUUGCUUCUACAGUUGAAUUUUAUCCACAGUGAGAUAAAAAUCCACCUAUUAAUUGAUAACUCGGCAUCAAUAAUUGUGGUGCCAUUCCAUCUAUUAUCAAACCCUUUUUACCGGCUUUACUAUCUAAACCACUAUGAAAAUAAGCUGGUUAAAUGACGUGGAGGAUCCAAUCUAUUUACAUCAGUUUGAAUUACCUAAAUAAUCGGUGGAUUUGAUGCUUCUAAAUCAUUGGCUAAUGUUGAAUAAUCAUUUAAGGUGGGACCCAUUUCGGUACCAAAUGACAUGUAUAACACUGAUCCACAUGAUUUCAAAUCUAACCAUUGAAUGAUCUCAUCUUUGGUCAUGUUAGAACUCCGCCGGUUGGUUCUCAUCUCACAAUCACGAAGCACUGAACCGGUCGAUUUGUAAAAUUGUUCAGGUAACAAUGGGCCCACUCCCCACACUAGCAUCAACACCAUCGAUCCCUCCACUUGCUUCAUCCAGUGUGGUUGAUCACUCGGUUCUGAUGGACCUAUUUUCUCUGAACCGGGUGCACCUCACAAAGGUUGUGGGCCACCAGGAAGGGACCCGUGAGGCCUGCGUUUAAGAUCUGAUUGGAAUAAAGCAACAUCCUUGGGUAACCCAAGAAGUAAAUGGGCCUCUCCCGGUUUGGCAUCCUGGAUGCGAGCCUGCCACAUGGCACACUCCACAGCUGCUGAGCAAGCAUCAGAAGUGAAGAACCCAACAAUGGGAACUUCAAAAUUCUUGAAAACAUCAGCCGUCCAGCCCAUCAUAACGCCGAUGACUACGCAAACAGGUCGGCUUUCGGGUUCCGGGUUGAAAGGAGGUUUCGAAGACCCUGAAGCAUUUGGUUGUGCAUGACAACAUGGAGGUAAGAAGGAGGCGAUGGUAGUAGUGGAGAUGAGGAGGGUAUUUCGGUAAUUUCACAUAGAGGGUAUUGGUGAAGAGAGGAAGGGGUGAUGCUGGUGGUGGAAACGUGAGAGGGAAUAAUGAGGGUAGAUUUGUAAUUACGAGAAGCAAUUUGCUUGCAUAAUUCAAUGCAUGGAAACAGAUGUCCCUGACCGAAGAACGGGACAAUCCAAAUCUCAGCCUCAGCAGCAUUCGCAACAGAGCUUGACAUCUUUUAUGAAUUAUUUGAGACUUAAUUGUUAUUGACUGCUUUUGCCAUCUUUCAUAAAACAUUCUUUGUUAUAUAUUCAAGUAAAUAAAUUUAUCGUUUAAAAUUAAUUUUUCAUGUGGUAAAAGCAAUACUAAAUAUGGGGUGGAGAGAAUAAUUUGUAGGGCAUACCCCCACCAUUUAUUUAAUUUCAUUAAAAAAGAAAGAAAAGAAAUAAAGGCUUGUUCAACAUUCAAUUAAAAUUAACAAUUCCAUGAUAAAAUUACUUGAGAAUAAAAAUUUUUAAAAAAAAAGUAACUCAAAAACGAGGAAUUUUUGAGUAACUGAAGAACCAUAGAUGUUUUUUGGUCAUGAGCAAUUUUUGAGUUGACACAGAACUUGUAUAAAAAAAAUAGUUUUGAAAACUUCUUUUCUUUUUUCGUAAAUAUAGAUAUAAAAUUUUAAAAUCACCAAACACAAAACCAGGAAAAUGGAAGGAGAGCCCCUGUUUCUCCUAUGUUGCAAGCACAAAUUCGGUUUCUAAAGUUGUACCUUCUAAAUGCACCAUUUGUAUUGCUUUGUCUCCACUUGAGCUAACGGAAUUUGAUGAAAACAAAAUAAUUGAACGAUAGGGAUAAAUAUCAAAGAAGGAGCUUACAUGCCCUAUAUAUUCUCUUUGGAUGAAUAACGAAGGUGAGCUUUCAAAGUACAGAGAUUUACAUGUUUUAAUUGUCAUUUACAUUGCUGCAUGCUAAUUGCUUGAUAAAAUACCGCAACAAAUACGCAUUCUCGAUUUCUUAUAAAUUUAUUUUCUUACUCUGAAAAAAAUUGAAUGUUUAGAGAAUUUUGAAGGUUUUGGUGUAUGCAUUAAUAUUUUGAUUCUAUUUAUGUUGUUUAACUAAUGAAGAUGAUACAUCUAGCCUCUUUUUGCCCCUUGUUGUUUUUAUUCUUGUGCUUUAUAUACGGUUCAAGUGUGAUACACUUUAGUUUUUCUCAAGUGUUUGUUAGUAUUUCCCGAAGCAAAAUUUGUCACAGACUUUUAGUUCAAAAGUUGAAAUCAUAACUAACAUACUUCGAUUUUUUAUUUUCCUUUUUUCUUCGGUAUCUUUCUAUAUGGCAUUGCUUGAGAAAUUGGUGUACUUAGAUCGUAAUAUUCUGUAGAAAUAAGCCAAUAUUUCAUUAUGUACAUUGUUUAAUAUGAUAAGUAUUGUAUGGAAGUUUUACAGAUAAGCUCCUUAUAUAUUAUGCAUUAUGUUUUUAUCAUAUUGUUGCUUGGAACUUUGAAGGAUUAGCCACAGGGCUUUAGUCCUACAUGGACAUUUUAUAUUUAACAGCUGGUUAGGCAUUUUAUUUGAUGUUAUUUGGACUUGUAGGUGUUAAAAGUUUUGUUCAGUAAUUUUAUAAUUCAGAUUCCCAUUGUGAAAAGAUAGCAAUUUUUAUUGUGGGUCAGAUUCUGUCAACUGAUAUUUAGCUAAAAUAUCUCACUAACCCCUAUUGGUUAGGUGUUUUUUUUAAUUCACAUACUUGAUUUUUAUUUUCUUUUUAUCUGUGGAAUCACAUGUAUCAUUCAUAAGAAACAAGCUAUUAUAUAAUCUAUUCUUUAGAUCCAUUUAUAUGUAGUGGGCACUCUGAUUUCUAUUAUUUGAAUUUUUUGCUACUGUUACUACUCUUUCGGCCCUUCAAAUAGGGGUUAACAGAAAGGGUGAGUAUAUUAAUACAAAUUCAAACUUUCUUUUUCUAAUUUUAUCCAAAAUAACCUACUAUAUUAUUUUAAUUUCCAACUUUUGUCAUAGUCUAAUGGGCAGUUGUCUUGUCAUUAUUUGGUUUUAGGUAAGAAGAGAGAAAGUUAGUGAGAGGAUGAAAAUUUUGCAAAAACUUGUUCAUAGCUAUGGUAAUUAAGUAAUUUGAGUUCUUUUUUUUUGUUAUUGUUUUUUAUUCACUUUUUCCUGUCUUAAAACAAAUAACGAGUUUUUGUGUUUUUAAUAUUUCUUAUAAACUUCAUGUUGUUUGGUAUAAAAUUAGGUAAUUGGAAAGGUCUCAUGUUGGAUGAAAUUAUCAAUUAUGUGCAGUCCCUACAAAAUCAAGUGGUCGUCAAUGUGUCAGCAUCACUUUCUUCUUCAGAUGUUACUUGUUUUUCACAUUUAUUUUUCUCUCAGUCCUUUUUAAAAGAACAUACACACACAUACUAUGUAGAGUGACCUUUUUUAAUGAGGAAUCUGUCAUUUUAAUAAAAUGAAGAAUAAACUAAAAGGUAGAAGUACACGAACUCUAAUGCAAUAUACCUUUUCUGUUCUUUUACCUUUACUAUAAGAUAGGGAAUGAUAUAAAACUGUUCGAUAAUAGUAAGUGAAAUAAUUAAAAGGCUACUGUUCUAGCUCAUUUAAUAUAUCAAACUUUUCUAGCUCAUUUAAUAUAUCAAACUGCUCGAUAAUUGAAUUGGCCUAGUUAAACAUAAUUUUCAGAUAAUCUUUUUAAUGGUUUAUUUAUUAAUAUUUUGUUUCUUUCCAGUAUGAACACUUUGUUUUGACACGUGGUUAACAACCUUCAACGAACUCGGAACAACCUUCAUCACAUGCUUUCUCACGUGGUUACUUAAACUGAUAUGUUAAACGUGCUCCAUCCACGCCGUUUCCACUAAAUCAUUUUCUGUUAAGAAUCAGCUGAGCAGCGCGUGAGCUAAUGAAGUUUUUCGUAUUGAACUCAACUCUGCUAUUUUCCCAAAGCUGGAAAGCAGAAACAUCAUCCCUUUGGUUUUAUUUCACCUCAACCUUUUUCUGAUCCCAUUUUCAUUGUAAUUUCUCAUUUACUUUGAGUGAAAGUCAUUGUUGCUUUCGAACGAGGUUUUGCAACUAAAAAGGAAAAUGGGGCGGCUACAAUACAUGCGUGCAUCUGAUACAUGCACAAAAACUGACCAUUGGAUUAAAUGGAGUGAUCUAAUGGCUGAGAUUUGUUUCAUUAUUAAGCAAUAAAAAAAUUUGAAACAACCAGAAACCUGUAAAACCGGUCAUUUGGUUUAAGGUAAAAAUAUAUAAAUGAAAAAAAAAAAAAAAAACCCACCACUCCCUCGCCUCACCUCUCUUCUUUUGGGUUUAGUAUUGCUGCUUUUAACAUAAUUGACCUAUGGCCCAAAUCAUUUCUAUAGGGCGAAGCAUAUGAAUGAUACAUAUUAUCUUUUUUUGGCCUUAUGUCUUGUUAUUUGCAGUGUGAUUUGGUCUAGCUUAAGAGCUUAAGCUUGCAGGUUGGAUUUGUCUGACAGGGAACAAUUUAAUUUGUUCAUCGUGAUGUUUAUAUCCAUUUUGUACUACUAUCAAUUUCAAUCAUGCCUAAUUUUUAUAUGUAUUUCUCGUGGACUCUCAGGUUCAGUGCACAAGAGGAUGAAGACGAUGGACACCCAAAUUUGAUGUGGAGAACAACUAUUGCAAAUGGUCCUUGAUUUACUUCUCCAAUUGACUUGAAUUGGUUUGACGCAAUUUAUACUGUAUUUUUGUCAUCUUUGUAUGACUUGCACGUCGUCCUGAUUUGGUACAUGACUGGACACAGGAAUUGGACUCAUAUUUUUCAAACCAGAAUGCCAACAAUCAAGCAUUUUCUUUUGAAAGCACUGGCGUCUUCUUCAAUGCCAAAAAGGUUAGAGAUUUUCUGUAUCCUGUUUUGUAUUUGAUCAGUUUAGCAUGUGGGUGGCAAUCAAGAAAAGUUAUUAUAACAUUUUUGUGUUCCCGAAAAACUGCUGAUGAUGUGUGACUUCUUUUUAUUUGUAUUCUUUCUUUUUCUUUUCUCCCCAACAGUAUUAUGCAUUUCGAAGAGCUUCUUGAAGUUGAUUACCAUGUAUGCCACUUUCUUUACUCUAUGCUCAGGAUGUGAUUUUGCCAAGCAUUAAAAUGGUUUAGGUCAGAACCAUCAUCUAAAGUUUACUUAAAGUUGACGGAUUAAUUCCUUUUAAUAAUGGUCUAGUUAAUUUUACUAUACUCAUAAAACUAUUCUUAUUCUGAUAAUGCCACAAAUGUUAUGAUGUUUUCUUCAGCUAAUGAUCUUCUAUCAGGACUAGUUAGAAAUCAAAUGCUUAAAACACCGAUUGAAUGAAUAAUGCAGAAGUUUAAACAGUAUCUAAUUGAAAAUUGCAUGAAACAUGAAACAUCAAUUCAAGUCCUUCCUUAAACAAAGAAUGCAUCAAACAAAUCCAAAGUGUCUUGCAUGUCUAUAGCAUGACAAAAAAGUUGUAAAUGCGUUUAGAACCAAAUUAUUCAAGUACAGGAGAACGAGCAAGUUGAAUCAUGUACACGAGAUUGGCCUGGUUCGAGAUAGCUUCUUCACUGUACCUGAAGGGUUGGCUCAAUCUUUUCUUUAGAAUUCUGCACAUUUUGUAAUUACUCGUGUAAGCAAGCAUACAUUACAACUCUUGUACACAAACAAUAUUGUAUAAACUAAUGCGACAUAAUAUGAUUGGUUAAACAAAAACAUUACAUAGCCCUCAUAAUUUAUUUAUUUAUUUAUUAUUAUAUAUUUUCAGUCAACCAAUCAUAUUAUAUUACAUUAGUUUCUAUAAAAUAAUUUUCUAAAUAGCACCAAAACUUAAUUGAUACUCACCAUUUCAUUGAACAAUUUUUUUAUGGUGUCAUUGAGGUUGCCUUCCCAACAUCCUUCAUCAUCAUCAUCUUCUUCAUCAUCAUCUUUUUCUUCUUCGGUGACGUUCACUUUGUUUAGCAUUGGUGUGUCUAAGACUCCUUGAGAGAAGAUCAUCAUUUUUGGACACUCUCUCACAACUACUUGUUUCAAGGACGGGAAUUCAAGAGCGUAAUUACCUAAACAAAAGCUUGUUAGGCUUGGCAAACAAUCAAGUCCCAAGUACUUUAAUUCCUUGAAAACAAUGCAAUCUUUCGCUUCUUCUGCAACCGGCGACUGUAUGAUUUCUUCCAUCAUUUUGCAAUCAACUAUCUUCAUUCUUCCGAGAUUCACUAGAUUUUUAGAUGCUGAGAGCGUCAACACAUUUAUCAACCCGUGACACUUCGAUACUUGUAGUCCCCACAGAUUUUCCAAAUGCCACGAAGGUGGUACUAAUUUUUGCAACUUACUACAUUCCGAUAUUUCUAGCCUUUUCAAGUUUGCAAACGCUUUGUUGGAUUCGUCAUUUUCCUUCCAGAGAUGCUGCACUUUGUGUAAUCUAGAUAGCUUUAACUCCUUCAAUUGAGGGAAUGUAAGCUGAAAAUCAACAAAAUUAAGUUGUAAAUGAAAGUAUGUAUCCAAUCUCUGCAGUCUUCCCCUGCAUAUUUUAUGGACAAGAUUAAUCACGGCAUUUUAUAUUUUAUUUCCAAAUUAGUAUGCUUUGCAGUAGGAUCCCAAAUAUAAGUAUCAAAUCGAUUACCCUUUGAAACACAUAAAUGAAAUCUGAUACUAAAUCCAAUAUGAAUUAGCUAGGAAAACAGAGAUGCGACAAGCAUAAUUGAUAUAGUUCAUCACCUCAUGUUACCAGUCAUCGAAAUAAUUUAAGACAUUUUUUUAAUUCAUACUAUAAAGUUAGUUCAUAACUGUAGUUGUAUUGUUAAUUCAUAUAUGAAUCAAGAUGACAUGCAAAAAGAUGAGUCAUAAAAUUUGAUUUGAUUCUAAUGAAAUUACAUCUGUGCGAACAAAAGUGAAGGGGAAAAUAAUAAUAAUAAUAAUAAUAAUAAUAAUAAUCACCUUUUCAUCGAAGAGGGGUUGUACUUGAUGAGCCAGCAAAAAGUUCUCUUCUGAUGUUAAUUUUUGAGGUUCCUUGUUAUUUGUUGUCACAUGCACUACAGAGUUGGAUAUGAAUGUUUCCAUAUCAGGGCAAUUCUCAAUAGUUAGAUUCUCCAACUCAGACAGUUCAAUUAUAUUCCCAGUGAAGUUGCAGAAUCUUUUGAGUUUUGGAAGAUCAAUGAGCCUUAGUCUGUUAAGCCUAGGAAACCGGGGGCCUAUAUGUUCUUCCUUAGCAUUUAGCUCUUCUAAAUGAAGCACCUCUUCUAUUAAAUCACAAUUCCUCACUUCCAGGCAUCUCAAAUUGUUCAAGCAACGUAGCAGAUUGGUAGGAAUAGCACUCGACAUAUUCGUGCAGUCAUCCACAGCCAGUUGUCGUAAAUUGUUGAAGAAGCUGACAGGCACUGCUUGGCCGUGCCAUAUUUCUCUCAAGCGUGGAAAAUGUGAGAGUUGCAAAUGCUCUAUGUCACGGAAUCCAAUCUGCAUAAACCAAAACAAUUGCACUGGAUAUAUAUAAAUUUCUUUUUUUGAAAGGCAUUAGAUAUAUAUAUACAUUAAACUUACAUGUUUUGUGCUUUAACUUCUAAAAAUAUAUUUACAACGCAGGUGUAUAUGUUUAAAUGUGGUAUAGUGGAAUUAAGCUUAUUGCCAUUACUUCGUAAUGGUGUUCGUAACACCAUUACUUCGUAAAGUGAAUCGAUUAACACAUACCAUUACUUCGUAACACUUUUGUAUAGUGGAAUUAAGCUUAUUGCCUUCCCAAUGGUGUUCACCCUCUUCCCUUUCAGUCACUUGCACUACGUAUAGCUUUGGUGUGGAUGAGAUUCCCCGAGAAAAAGUCUUCAUGUUCGGACAAUGUGUCAUAGAAACUUGUUCCAAUGAUGGGAAUUCAAGAGUGUAAUUCUCCAAACAAAAGCUGGUAAGCCUUGGUAAAUCAUCAAGUUCCAAAAGUUUUAAUUCGUUGAAAGCAAUACGAUUCUCCUUCGCUUCUUCUCCAACAUGUCCUAUGAUUUCUUCUAUUUUUGCACAGUCUGAUACAUCAAGAUUCACUAGACUAUUGGGAAUUCCAACCUGAAAAUAAAGAGUAGCAUUCAACUAGAUUCAAAGUAUGUCAAAAUCAUACAAUUGUUUUAUGAAAAAUAACAAACCAUGAAUGUCUACUAGAUAUUUUUUGUUAAAGAAAAAAAAGAAAAAAUAAAAAUAAAUAAAUAGAAGUCCAGAAAAACAAAGAUAAUGAAAAUGCAUUUACACUAUUUAGUAUUAGGAACGGAGAAAGAAUUUCAGGUAAUUUUUAAAUAUUCUAAAUUCAUUUUUCAUCUCGAUGCUAGUUUUUUAAAAUUUUUAAUUUUCAAACAUGCCUAUUUUUAAAAUAACUAAACUAAAACGCUGUAUUUCCCUUUUUUUUUUUUUCCCGAUAUUCAUGCUUUUAAAAAUGGAAAACAUUUCUGGAAAACACUUCCCAACGCCAUCAACAUGGGACUGUUAUAGAGUGAAUAUUUGAGGAAUUUUUUAAUCAACGGUCGAUUCAAAAUGACCAUCAUGAAUUUGUGCUUAAUCAAUGGCGUAAUCAAUUCAUAACUAAACUAGAGAUAUUAACUACAUUUGAACACUUUUCUUUAUUUUUUUUUAAAUCGAAAUUUGAAGACCCAAGGAAAAGAGAAAUAUAUAUGAAUUUGUGAGCUUAAAAGCUGAGUAACUAAGUAUCUUUUAAUUUCUAAAAAUCUUAUUUAUUAGGAUUUAAGGAAAAAAACAAUUAAAUUGAAUUAUAUUAUGCUGUUAAAUCGUGUUUAAAACAAUUAUAUCGUUGACUUUAAUGCGGGUGAACCUAUAAAUUAGAUUGACAAUGCAGAGUUCAGAAUGGUGAUUUGAAGUACACUACUUUUUUGCCCUCCUGAUGUUUGAAGUAAAAUACUUGCAAUAAAUAAUUUGUGAAUGAAAAUUAUUUGUAAACACAAAAAUGAUUAAAAUAAUUGUUGAAUGUUACUUGAAAUAAAAAUUCAAAAUGAAUAUAGCAAUCUUACCAAUGGAGGAAAAAUAUUCAGUAGAUUAUUACACCCAGAUAUCUUCAAUUUUUUCAAUUUGCUAAAAGACUUCGAAGCAAGCUGGUGGUGCCAUAUUUUUCUCAACUUAUCCGCCUCACUAAUAUGUAAUACCUCCAGACUUGGGAGUCGUACCUGAAGUUAAAAAUUCAAUGCAAUUAGAGAUGUAUAUUAAUUAAAUUUGAAGACUCAACGAAAAGAGAAUUUAAAAAUUCAAUGAAAAAAAACCUUUUCAUCAAAGAGGGAUUGAGGUUGCAUUUCAGUGUGAAUGACGUCUUCUGGUGAGGCAAAGCUACUUAGUUUUGGAAGCCAAUGGAGCGACAGGUAGUGUAGUUUGGGAAAAACCUUAAAUUCAUCUCUUCCUCCUAACGUCGUGGUGUUGACUACCCCUUCAAUUGACCGGCAAUUACGAAUCUCAAGAUGUUGGAGUUGCCCAAGACUAUUAACCAUAGAAUAUGAAAACAAAUACUUCAGACGAUGACAACUCCACACGGUCACUUUUGUUAAAUUUUGACAACAAUAUAUUCCCUGAAAUUGAUCGGACCAUAAUUUUUUUAUAUUUGUUAAACUGACAAGUUCCAGUUCCUCCAAGCGUGGAAAAGUAACCUGCAAAGAAAAACCAUACAUUUUUGUUCCUUCAACUACAACUUCUAAUAUAAUAUUCUUUCGAUGAUUGAAGAUCAAUCGUGAUAAUAUAUUAAUUAAUUAAUUAUUAAACAGAAAAUUAUUACCUGGUGAACAGGAUCAUCCUCUGCAUUGAUUUCUAUGAAUCCCUGAGUUGUUGUUGGUUUCUCCAUGUCGGGCCCUAUAAAUGAACCAAAACAAUAUAUAAUAAACAUCCGUUGUUUUUUUCCCCAAAAAAAGAAAAAGAAAAAAAGAAAGAGUCAAUGUCAAUAAUCCUACCAAUAAUUAAUUUCAACACUUACCAAUAAUCAUUUUCAAAUCAUCGCAGUCUUCCACUUUUACUUUUUGAAGCCGCAAUAGGUUUUUGGCCAUAGAGAAUGAGAAGAGAUACUUCAAUUUUCGACAGGAAUCUACGUUUAUAAUCCUUAAGUUGCUGAAGGAUUGAUCUUCUCUGAGUUGGCUGUAGCAUAUCGUCUCCAAAUUAGUUAAAAACAUAAGAGACAAUGCCUCCAGCAAGGGAAAGACUUCGCAACGAACCCUAACUGAACCGACAAUAUGUAAAAUCUCAGAACAGUCUGUUACGAGAAGACGCUUCAAUCGUGGAAAACCUUCCCCAUCGUCUAAUUCAUGAACAACACUUUGAACACCCUCCAAUGUUUCUAGCCAGAGAUCUUCAGUUCUCUGCAGCAACAUUUUUGUCCCAUCAUUCUCCUGAAGAAUGCUAACUUUUUUUAUCCCCUUGAGCAUCAUCAAUCUUGAUGCUUCAGAUUUGACGAGCAAUGGGUCAAACUCAUCUUCGGGCCCAUCUCCUAUACGUAUCUUAUAUCUUUGCAAUUCCACAGAGACAAAAUCCGGCGGCAGAAUUUCGGCAUCCGGAACUUCUAUCUCCAAAGUAGUUAGCUCUGUCAACCUCUCCAAUUCGACAAGACUGGCAUUACUUCCUCCUUCAACCUUCUCCCACCCUGAAAAACCGUUACCCAUAUACAAUUCUUCUAAUUGAGAAAAAUUUUUGGAUAUGACAUUUCGGUGCUAUUCACCUUCAAGCCCACCAAACAAUUGCUCUCAAAUCUAGGAAAUUGGUAACCGCGGCCAAUNNNNNNNNNNNNNNNNNNNNNNNNNNNNNNNNNNNNNNNNNNNNNNNNNNNNNNNNNNNNNNNNNNNNNNNNNNNNNNNNNNNNNNNNNNNNNNNNNNNNGCGAGGCUGAGAAUCUCUAUUUCUUUAGUGUCCCAAUUGCGCUAUAUCUGCUAGUCGCACCAGUCUAAACACAAUGUUUGAAGGUUAAUGAGGCGACCAAGUGAUGAAGGUAAUGAAGAAGAGCCAAUUCCAGGAAACUGUAAAACUUUGAGUCCUUCCAUCCCUUCAAAAAAGUGGUCUGAAACUUGCAUAGGGCCAUUACCCUCCGUAUACAACAAAAAUAACUGGAGAUUGGGACAUUGCAACCUUUCAGGGAGCUCUUGAAUAUCUCUAUGAGGUAAUGAAAUAGCAAUUGGAUCUUUCUGUAUUGUCUCUUCCAUCUUUUUCUCCAAGUCAGCAACAUUUGGAACAUUAAACAUGCGCUCCUCUCUGGCAAUUGAUACGGCAACAACAUGAAUGACGUCAUGCAUUUUAACUUCAUCUUCAGCAUCACCGUCCAACAAUAAGCAUGAAGAUUUGAGGUUGUCGAUCAACCGAUGCACUCUACUCCUUGCUUCUUCCAAUGUGUAAACAUUUUCAAACAAACCCCAACCCACACCACAUCUCAAUAAGUCAGAAACUUGUAUGACAUUACCUUCACUGUAUAGACUACAAAGACGGAACAGAGAUUUUGCCUCCUCACUUUCCAAGAAGUCAUAACUCAAUUUUAUGGAGGUGUACACAUUUGCUUGCAUGCCAUGAAUUUCUCUAGCAUCCGAUCUUCUUAGCUGAUUCAAUGCAUCUUUCCAAAAGUAACUAUCCUUAGUUUUCAGAGCAUUUGCAACUGUACUCAGUGCAACAGGCAAACCUCCGCAUCUUUCAACGAUCUCAUUUGCUAUACUUUGAAAAGCGGAUAUUUUAGUUGAAUCACCCACUAUCUUUUCAAAUAACUGCAAUGCUUCUUUUGGUGGCAAAGCAUCGAUCGGGAAAUUUUUCUGAGAAUUCAUAUCAAUGCGCAAUAAAUCUCGACUUCUAGACGUCAAUAUUAUUGUGCAUCGUCUCUGAUCAUCCUUUGUAUCUUUCUCAUCAACAUCCCCACAAGGAAUUCCAACUUUUUCGAACUCGAGUUUUUUCCAAAUAUUAUCCAAUAUAACGAGGACCUGCUUCUCGUUCUUCAAUCUUUCACGUAAUCGAUCUGCUCUUUCGAAUUUAUUCUCAUCCGAGCCAAAUUUCAUGCCUAAGUCAAAAGCAAGUUUCUUUUGAAUUUCCUGAUGAUCUGGGGUCUGUGUUACCUCAGCCAUAACGACCUUGUCGAACACCUUAUCUUCCAUAACUUGCCUUGCAACUUGCUUGACUAGCGUGGUUUUACCCACGCCGCCCAUCCCGUAGACCCCAAUUAUCUUGAGCUUAUCAUCCUUCAACGCCUCCACAACAUCUUCAAAUACUUUCAUUCUUGAAUCAAAGGCCUCGAAAUCUUUCACUUGCAUAUGUUCUGCCCGCUUUGGAGCAGGACGGUAGGAAACAUUAGAGAAGUUACAUUUUCCCAUGAGACUAGCAGCAGCUUCUGCGGCCUUUGCUGCUUGUCUACUGAGCUUGUAACGAGAAAUCAAGUUUGGGCACAAUCCUUUGAAACAGAACUUCUUAGCUCUAUCUUCAUCAUCAGUGAUGGAUUUCGCAGCUCCCUGACUGAAUUCCUUGACGCUAUUAAGCCAGUCUGCAACAUCCUUAUAAAUCUCAUCUCCUUGUUGAGUAGCCUGAUGAACGGGUAUUUCCACCCUUUCUCUUUUAUAUCCCAACUGUUUCACUUGAUCUUUUAGGCCAUCUAUGUAGCUCUGGUACUUGAACACAUAAGAGAUCUGCCGUAUAAUCGGUUUGAACAGUGACUUUGCAUCUUCUGAUACGAUGCUGGAAAAAGCAGCCAGACCCACUUCUGCAACCAUUGCCUGUUGCUUAACAAUAUAUGUAUAUAUAUGAAUAAAAUGAAUAAAAAUGUCAAAGAAAGGAAUACAAAUAAAUUAAAAUGAACUAGAGGGAAAGACAGAGAAAGAAAAGACCGCAAACAACAUCGCGAUAUUGAUUUUGAACCAACUGAUACAUAAGUAGAGAAUUUCUUUUUCUAUCUUAAGGAUCAGAGGUUUUGCUAUUAACAGAAAGGUAUCCUUUAAGGAAAGUUGAUGGAAAUUAAGAAAGAAUGGCUAUCAAGAUCAAGUAUUCUGCUACUAAAAAUAAAUGAUAUGACUUAAGAAAAGUAAAUGAUAUGAUUAAGAAAAACCAGAGAAUUUUUUCCUAGGAAAGUUGAUGGAAAUUAAGAAAGAACCGCUAUGAAGAUCAAGUAUCAGAGAUUCUGCUACUAAAAGAAUAUUACAGGUUUUAGAACAAGUGCACCUCUUUACCUGUCUGGGAUCAGAGUCGAUGAGCUGCUGUAUUCACCUUGAAUAUAGAAGAAAUAUUACAGGUUUUGACUAAAGAGGAAUGUGAGGAACGAGUUGAUGAGAGUAAUAACAAUGAAUUUCCAAAAGAAGACGACUUGAGCAUUAAGCAUGCACCCCCUUUAUCAAUCAAAUAUUGGUACGUAUGUACGUAGGGACCAUUAUGCGUAUAUGAAGUCCAUUAGUUGCAAUCAGAAACCCUGGCCCAAUUUAAUUGACACUCGAUUUUUGAUAAGAAGAAGGCAAGGAUAAGGACAAAGUCAAUCAAUCACCAACAGUAAUUACUUCAAUCUUUGUCAAUCUACUUAAAUUGUCGAUCAACAUGAAAAUUGUUUAAAUUGAUAUUUGUAAAUCAAUCAAUUUUCUAGUUACUAUGAUUAUAACGUUUCACCUUUCAUAUUGGAUUUUAUCUUUUCGAAAGUUUUCAAAUAUGAGUGUCAAUAAUUAUUGAGACUCCAAGCCGUGCUCUCAAGAUCGUGCUGACAAAUCACUAUUGACUUUGUUUAUGCAAAAUUCAAAGAAAAAAAGUUAUGGUUUUGUAUUGCCAGCCCUGCUACUUUUUGUUUUUUUCAUUUGUAUUAUUUACGAAUUAUUUUUUAACAGAAACAUGAGAACUCAUCAUCGUAUAAAAUUGCAUGAAAAAAUCUUCAAAUUUAUAAAAGUAAAUUUCAUUGACAGAUUGUGGAUAUGUUAGAAAGAAUAAGGAUAAGAAUGAGUUAAGAAAUAAUAUAUAUAUAUAUAUAUAUAUAUAUAGAUAGAUAGAUAGAGAGAGAGAGAGAGAGAGAGAGAGAGAGAGUGAAAGUAAACAAUGUUUUGGUACAUUUGGUAUUGUUUUCAAAAUAUUUUGAAAAGAAAAAUUUUCAAUUAUCCAUCUAAGAAUUAUCUUAUUAUCCAAAAAGUUAUAAAAAUUUAAAAAUAUUUAAUUUUAUACCCAUUAUUACAAUGUGUAUCAACUGUUUACUAAAAAAAUAAAGUUACUCCUAAAACAUAAUCACCACUACAAUUUUGUGUUCGGUUCUAUUUUGUCACUUUGAACGAAUAACUUUAUAUUUUUAACAGAUGUUUCAUACAAAUUGCAUACAUUGGAUGUAAAAUUAAAUAAAUUUAAAUUUUUAUAAUAAUUUUAAUAAUUGAAUAAACUUUGAGUAAAUGACUGAUAAUUUCUCUUUUAUAAGCUACAAGAAGUUAAAAAGAAAAAAGAAAAAAUAGGAUGAUAAUUUCUCUUUUAUAUGCCUCAGAUGAUUUAUUGUUUCGGGUCUAAGAUUUUAAUUAUUCAACUUAAAAGAUUAAUAUAUUAUAAAUUAAUUAAUUAAAUAAUCAUUAAGCAACUAAAUUGGGUCCCCUGGAUGUCAAUUCCUUUAAUAUUGACGCAACUAUUUUUUUCUGGCAAAUAAUUAUUAAUGCACUGACGGAACUUUUGCAUAUCUACACAGCGAUUUUAAAUAUUACUGGUAACUGCUGAGAAAUGUGCGAGAAAGAAGUUGAUGAGAGUAAUAACAGCGACUUGCAAAAGGAAAAGACAGAAUCAUUCACCCCUUUUUGUAUCACCUAUUUGGUUACUGUUUCCCUGUUGACGCAUGUAUAAAUUUGACUGGUUUUUCUGCACUUUUUUGGCUGUUGCUUAACAAUGUGUGUGUGUAUUUGCUGUUGAAAAAAUUGGAUUCAAAUAAAUUAACUGAAAGAUUAGAGUUUUGACUAUUAACUGAAAGGUUUCAAGGGUAUGAAUGAAAAGCAACAUUCUUUUUUAGAAACUAUUUUAGAGGAGAGAUGCAAAUUAACAAAUGCUAAUAACAAGAACACAGAAGUUAACAAUGAACAGUAACUUAAAUCAAGAAAAUUAAAUGACAAAAUUAAGACAAACAAGAGAUAUUUUUUUCUUGGACAUUAAGAAAUAACUGCGGUCAAGAUCAAGGAGAUUAUGCUAUUAAUAGAAAUUAUCAAAGGAUUUAGAACAAGUUCACCUCUUUAAUUAUCCGGGAUCAGAUAGUUGAUGAGCUUCUCUAUUUAGCCUUGAAUAUUUAAGAAUAAUUUUAAAGAGCAAAAAGAUCACUGGUAACUGCUGAAAAAUAAGUGAGAAAAGAGUUGAUGAGAAUAAUAACAAUGAAUUGAAUAAAAAAAGGACUUAAUCAUGCACCCCCUUUGCAUAUCAUGUAUUUGGUUACUGUUGCCUUGUUGACGCAUGUAUAGAAUAAUUACAUGUAUUAUUAUAAUUUUGGAUUCGAUAUCCUUGUAUUAGUGUCUAAGAUUUUCAUGAAGAAUUAAACUUGGAAUGACCAAAAGAGGAAGCUGCAGUGUAUUGUUGGACCCAAUUAAGUUGAAGAAAGCACUAGUUCACAACCUUACGUUUGGAUAUAUUCUAAAGAAAUAAUUAAACAGCAAAUCAUCACAUGCACUUUAAUGAUUUGAUCUAUUGUUUUCAAAAGAAAUUGCAAUUAACAGUUUUUGUCAAAAGUUCGCACAGCGUGAAACUAGUGUUAGUAUAAUUUAAAAAAUUAAUUUCAGUAUUAUUUUUUAAAAUGUUAAUUAUUAGAUUUAUUUUAAUAAUAUAUUUAUAUUUAUUAUAAAAAAUUUAGUUAAAUAUUUGUGUUAAAUAGAAUUUAUAAUUAAUUUAAUAUAUCUUAGGUAUUAAUAAUAUUAUAAUUAUUCUAUAUGCUAUUGAAAAUAAUUUAAAUUUUUAGACAUUUAUUUUAUAUUAAGUUUCUAUUUAUUACAAAAUUUAGUUUAAUAUAGUAUAAGCUUGUAAAGUAUUAAAAUAUUUUUUUCAUUUUUUUUAAAAUAUUAAAAUUAUUUUAAAAUAUAUAUAUUAACAUUGAAGCUAAUUUUUUGAGUUAAUAGAGCUAGUAGGUGUUAUAGUAAAAAAGAGUAUCUUAGUAUCUCUUAUUGAAAAUAUAUAGAUCUAUAUAAUCAUUUUUUCAAAUAUUGAGAUGUAGAAAAAUAAAUUAAAAAAUUUUAAAUUUUAAUAUGGCCAUCGUAGGGUUAGAAUCCCCGCUCCAACCCGAUUUGGAGAUUUAUGUUUUUAAAAAAAAAAAGAACAAAGAAAAAAUACACACCCGACCAAAUCAAGCACCUCAUCAAAUCAAAAAUAAAAAAGGAAAGAAAUUAAUGGCUUGCAUGCAAUUUUGGAUCUGAAAUUAAAAUUACAUAAAAAUUAAGGCUUACGUACCUUAAUAUUUACAGCUUGUUUGAUGGCCCCAACAAGUUUAAGCAGCAUCAAAAUGUUGUGGCUCCUUAAAUGACAACAUCGACUUGUUUGACAGCUCCAACAAGGCUACGAUGAUCAGAAGAUGAGCCCUCAAUCAACAAGGCUAAGAUUGGCUUCUCUAUCCUCUGCCGACAUGUCCUCUUCUCCCAACAACCAGCGCCUUGCUCUUUGUCAUUUUUCCUCUUGUUAGUUUUCUUCUACAUAUAAUUAUUACACUGGGAAGUAUACACACACUUCUUUUCUUUUUAUAGUACCUUACUAUUAUAUCUUUACAAAACAAUAUCACCCUAAGACAUAUAUGUAUGAAAUAAAUAUAUAAGGAACGGACGAAAUAAAAUUAGAUCUAACACUAGUUUCAUGUGGUGUGUGAACUUUUGACAAUCCUCUCAUACCCCAACAAAAACUUUGUCAUAUUACAAAAGUUAUCACGACCAUAGACUUUUCAAUUGCAUAUUGGAAUUGCAAUGUCAUUUUAUUAUAGUAAUGUCAUUUCCAUUAUUCAUAGUGGCAGACAAUGGACAUCACGGGACACGGCUAGAAGUUAUCACGACCAUAGACUUUUCUAAUUUAUGAAAUAAAUGAAAUUAGAUCUAAUUCUAGUUUCAAGUGGUGUGAACUUUUGACAAUCCUCCCAUAUCCUAACAAAAGCUUUGUCAUAUUGCGAAAAUACCUUUUCAAUGUUUCAAUUGCAAUGUCAUUGCCAUUAUUCAUAGUGGCAGACAAUGGACAUCACGGGACAUGGCUAGAAGUCUAUGUUACGGCUUCUGUAAGUAACAGCAGCCAAUGGGGAACUUCCAUGGGGGCUAUAGGAGAGAGAAAGAGGUCCCAAUACAAGUGUUAGAGUACAAUUUAUACACUAGUUUUGCAUUGUUUACUUCCCUUAAUAUCGAUGUUUUGCAUUUAAUAAUAAUGAUUUACUUGUGUUUUACUUUUGUAAGUGCAAUUCUAUUGAUUUGUGAUAGAAUUGAGGUAUAAGAUGAUGUUUAAAGAUGAUUGUUCUCUUGGAGAAAUUUAGAGCGUCAGAAGAACUUUAUAGAUAAGGCGUGGGCGCGUGCUGUCAACUGCGGACCUGCAGUUUUUAGUUUAAUGUGUUUUGUAUUUUUGGCUAUUUUUGUAAUUACGAAUUUAAUAUUUCAAAUAUUAUUAUUUUAUUUUAAAUAGAACUUUAAAAGAGAAGAGAGAGAGAGUAUUUAAGGGAGGAAUCUAUUGUGAAAAAGGGGGGAUUUUAAUUGGAGAAAAAGAAAGAAACCCUAGAUCUAAUUUUUCUCUUCUCUCUAUGAAAAACUAAACUUAUUUUUUCUAGUUGAAGGUUAAUGAAUUUUUGAUUCAUCACUACUGUGAGAUCUUUCUUAUGCUUUAAUUGUUUUAUUACUUUUUGGGUAUUUGUUUAUUCUCUGAAUUAGUUUCAUGAUUAUGUUUGUUAAUUAGGUAAUUGGCCACUAUUUAAUUAUCAACUUAAUCUAUUGUCAAUUAAAGAAUUCAUCGUAUGACGAGUUUAAUGUUUGUGACAAAUAACAUAGCAGUGAGUUGUGUUAUGGGAAUAAACAAUCUAAUUUAAAUGAAUCAUCAUAUGUGUUGAUUAGGAUUUGGGUCGCUCUGGUUUUUCAGGCUGUCAAUUGAUUAAAUCCUAUGAUCGUAUCUAGGGUUGUCUAUUAAUUAGGGAAAUAUCCAAUGGUCGUACCUUGGUUAUCGACUAGUUAAGGAGAGAUUGGCUAUUAGAGGGUCUCAAUAGCUAUAACCAGUUUAUUCAUAAGUAAUAAUAAUCUAUUUUUGAAUCAAUGAUCAGUAGUCGAAUCAAACUGAGUUAAUUCCUUCAACCAAAGCUUUCUCCAAUUUGAAUUACAACUUUAAUUUGCAUUUUUGUUAUUUUAAUUUGAUUUUUUAUUAUUGUCAACAAUUCUCCCAUUUUACGUUUUACGUUUCAAAAGAAUUUAAAUAAUUACCGAUCUCUGUGGACACAACCCUGCUCAAUCACUAUACACAAUUUAUUUAGAGUAGGAAUUUAUUUUUAUUGGCUUCAACAACCAUCAACAAGGUGAUGGAAAUGGGAAAGUUCGAAGCUGUUACUUUCAGCUUCUGCACCGUAGCCAUGUCCCACGGGACAAGGCUAGAAGUUAUCAUGACCAUAGACUUUUCUAAUUUAUUUUUUCCUUUCAAAAAGGGACAAGGAUAAGUUUGGGAGAAUGAUUAUAUUUUUAAUAAAAGAAUUCUUUUUUAUUAUAAUACUUUUUGUCUUUAUUAAUUUAAAAAUAUUAACUCUUAUAUUUUAAUAAAUAUAAAUAUAAUAUUAUAAUAACAUAUAACAAUAUAUACAAAUAUUUAAAAAAAUUUAAGAUUUUAUUAAAAUAAAUUUUAUAAUAAAUAAAAAUACAUUAUUAAUAUAAUUUUAAUAAUUUGCAUUUUAAAAAGUAAUACUGAUAUUAUUUUUUAAAUAUUAAUUUUUUAAAUUAUAUUACUCUACCAAAAAAAAUUAAACUAUUAAAUUAUAUUGAUAUUUAUUACAAAAUUUGCAAUUAAUUCUUAUUAUAUUUUUAAUUGGAAUUUGUUCCUGUGAUAUAACAACAAUUGCUACAGUUUUUUCCCUAAAUAAAGAUGGAGUUAUAAAUUAUUUGUGUAAGUGUCAUGAAAGUAAUAGUUGAAUAACAAUAAUGGGGCUUUAGGCAAUUUUUUUUAUGAGGUCUUCUUGCAAUUUCAACACUUAAACAGACUUGUCCUUGAUCCCAAUUUAUUUACCCCAUUUGGGCCCACGAUGAGAUAAAUAUAUUCCUGUGAGAUGAAAAACAUCAGGAGAAGAAAAUGUUUUAUUAUAAUAAAAAAACAAGUGGUCCAUAAGUCUAUUUAUUACUUUUUUUAUUCAAUACAAAUGGCCAACUUAAAAAAUGAUAAAAAUCACAUAACGCACAAGCAAAAAUUUAGAUUUACAUUUUUUAGUUCUCUCCGUGUCUCUCUUUCUCUUUUUUAAAAAAAAUAAAUAAAUGUCAGUGUAAAAUUAGAAAAAUUUUAGAUAUAAACUUUGGCGAUGACCAAACAAAAAUUGCAAGGGAAAGAAAAUAGAGGACCCUUGAUAUCAUUAAAAUACUGAUCAUAGACACUACAAUAUAAAUAACUUGUUGUGAUCCACUCAACUUGUAACACUUUAAUCCAUAUUCUAAAAUUUGUAUGUUUGUUAGGAAUUUUAUUAUUGACAUUACUGUACCAAUAAAAUUCUAAUUUAUUCAUAUGGAAAGAAAACAUCAAGAAAGGACCUCUGAUUUUUAUUAUAACAGAAAAAAGUGGUCCAUAAGUCUAUUUAUUAUUUUAUUUAUUCAAUACAAAUUGCCAACUUAAAAAAUGGUAAAAAUCACAAAAUGCACAAGUAAAAUUUUAGAAUUACAUUUUUUUUAAUUCUCUUUGAGUCUCUCUCUCUCUCUCUUUAAAAAAUAAACCUCACUGUAAAAUUAGAAAAAAUUUAGACAUAAAAUUUGACAAUCACCAAACAGAAAAUGUAGGGAAAUGAAAAUGGAGGAGCCCUAUUAUCAUUAGAAUAUUGAUCAUAGAUACUAUAAUGUAAAUGAUUUGUUGUGGUUCAUUCAACCUGUCACACUCUAAGCCAUUUUCUAAAAUUUGUAAGGUUUAUAGGAUUUUUAUUAUUGGCAUCAUUGUAUCAAUAAUAUUAUAAAUUAUAUAUUCUAUUGUAAUGAAAAUUUGUGUAAUCUUAGGUAUUUAUUGUAUUAAAUUGUGUGGAUUAAUUAAGAAUAUUUUUGGAGACAAAAGAGGUGUGUGUACGUAGGAUUAAUAAUAAAAAAUUUCUAAAUAAAGGUGAUUGCUUCAUUGACAAGUACAUAUUUAUAUUCUCUAUUAGUAUUUGGGUUGUAAACUUUGUUUAUAAAGUGAAUAUAUUGUGGUAAGCGAUGUGGGCAAUAUCGGAUGCAAAAUAUUGAGAGAUCAUUAACGCAUAUAUUUAUUGCAUAUAGAGGAAAGAGUGUAGAUCCGGCCGUAACAAUUAUGAAGCUUUCCCCAAGUAUUCUCACGCUUCCUUAACUGUUCCAAAGUAUUUUUCAUAGUGUGCAGAUUUACUUUAUGGUGUCUUAAUUCGUCUAAAAUGAUUACUUUAGUUCUUUUGGGAUGAAAGGUCAUUUAUUGUGUUAGGAUUAAACAAUAGAAAAAAUAAGUAAUGGUAACGAAAGACUAAUUUGUGAUAUUGAAGCAUACAUGCUUAACUCAAUCCAAAACUUAGUAAGUUAGCUCAAGAGUUAAGAGUUGUCCAAAUCUUAUAUGCUGAACCCAAGUUCAAUACUCAAUUGAUGCAGGAUGUUAUUCCUAACACCGCCCGUCAUGCGUAGGAUUGGCAAAAAAACUCGAGUCAAUCCCGCCUAGACCUGCAAGCUUUAUUUAUGGCCAGCAUGAUGAAGUUACAGAUAUUAACCUAAAAAUUUGAAACUUACUAUGAAUGGCCUUGGUUAAAGACUUUUGUAACUUUAAUUUAUAACAAAUAUGUAUACACACACACACAUGUUUAGAUUGCAUUUGGGUGACUUUUUUUAUCAAUGCAAACAAUAUCAAAUUUAUCGGAUUAAUUUGAAUCUGAUCUAUAUCCGAUUUUGCCCGCCAUAAGCCCAAGUGACUCUCUUUUACUAAUUAAUAAGGGAAUUUUUUGACCUCAUGUCCUUGCUGUGGCAUUAGACUGUUGGUCAUUUUGAUUGUUUCCUACCUUCCAUUUACGCCAGCUGUAACAUUGUAUUAUUCACCAUUUUAGCCAUUUAAAUGAAAUUUUAUUUUUGUCAAAAAUAAAAUGACACCCUUAAAAUAAAAAAAAAUAGUUAUGUAGACCUCAAAUUUUUAAUAAAGAAUGUCAAUACCUCUUUUAACUACAAGAUUCGUAGUAGAUGAUAAAAAGAAAAUUAACUUCAAAUUUUUUCAUUAAAUGUAAAUCUGAUUGAAGUAGUUUAAAUUUUUCUAGUAGACUAAUAUAUAUAACUUAAAUAAUUAAUUUCAUUAUUAAUUGUUAAAAUGUUAACCAAUAUAUUUUUAAUUUAUUAUAAAAAUUUUAAAUAAAUCCUUGGAUUAAAUAGAUUUUACAAUUAAUGUAAUACUUCUGAUUUAUUAAUAAUAUUAAAAUUAUUUUAUAUGAUAUUCAAAAUAAUUUAAACUUAUAUAUAUAUUAAUAUUAUGUCUAUUUAUUAUAAUAUGGUUUAAUAUUAUACGGGAUUGUAAAAUAUUAAAAUAUUUUUCAAUAUCCAAUUAUUUUAAUAUGUAUAUAUCAUUACAUUUAUUUUAGUAUCAUAUUUAUAUUUAUUAUAAAAUAUAAAAUUAAUAAAAUUAAAGAGUAUUGCAGUAAAGUAAAAAAGAAAAGUCUUAUUAUCUCUUAUUCACGAUAUGAGAUUCUACAAAAUUAUUUCCCGAAACGGGUGUCCUUUUCUCAUUUUCAAAAGAAAAAAUAAAGUAAGAAUAAGUCCAUGGGUUUCAAAAACUUCUAGUCUUAUCCCGGGACUACAUUGUCUGCCACUAUAACUAAUGGAAAUGACAAUACAAUUGACAUUGCCUUUCGCAACAUGACAAAUUUUUGGUGGGAUAUGGAAGAAUUGUCAAAAGUUCACGCCAUGUGAGAGUUUUUGGUGGGAUGUGGGAGGAUUGUCAAAAGAUCACACCACAUGAUAUAACCACAAUUGCUAUGGUUUUUAUUUUUUAAAUAAUGAUGGGAGUUAUAAAUUAUUUAUAUAAAUUUGCGUAGAAACUAAUGUAACAUAAAAGAAGUAGCUGAAUAACAAUAUUUGGUGCUUUAGGUAAUUUUUAUAUGAGCCUUUCUUUUAUUUAGCGGCUCUAGUGCUUAAACAAACUUGUUCUCGAUCUUAUAACAGAAAAGGCAUCCCAUUUAAGCCUAUGAUGACAUAAUUAAACAUAUUCUUUUGUGACGAAAACAUCAAGAGAAGACAUCUCAUGUUUUAUUAUAACAGAAAAGAAGUGGUCCAAACGUCUAUUCGUUAUUUUAUUUAUUCAAUAUAAAUGGCCAACUUUAAAAAAAUGAUCAAAAUCACACAACACUCAAGUAAAAAUUUAGAAUUACAUUUUUUAAUACUCUCUAAGUCUCUCUCUCCUGCCCCCCCCCCCCCCACCCCGUCCCCUUUUUUGAAAAAAUAAACCUUAGUGUAAAAUUAGAAGAAUUUUAGAUAUAAAAUUAGAAGAAUUUUAGAUAUAAAAUUUGGCAAUCGCUAAACAGAAAAGCAGCGGAUUGAAAAUAAAAAAACUCUAUUACCAUUGGAAUAUUGAUUAUAGACAAUAUAAUAACUUGUUGUGGUUCAUUGUAGCACUCUGAGCCAUAUUCUAAAAUUUAUAGGUUUGUUAAGGCAUUUAUUAUUGACAUUAUUGUGUCAAUACUAUUAUAAUGAUAAUUUGUCUAGUCUUAGGUACUUAUUAUAUUAAAUUAUGUAAAUUAAUUGAGGAUACUUUUAGAGACAAAAGAAACACGUGUAUGUAGGAUUAAUAAUCGAAGAAUUGUAAAUGAAGGUGAUUGCUUCAUUGAGAGGCAUAUUAAAUAAUUAUGGAGAGUUGCACUAUUUCGGAAGCACAUAAUUAUACUUCCCUAUCAGGAUUUGGGGUAAACGAAGUGCUUUAUCUAUUGCAGUAAGCAAUGUGGACAAUAUCAGAGGCGAAAUAUUAAAAGAUCAUAACGCAUAUAUUGGAGCCAUUUAUCUUCCGCAACUGUUCUGAACUAUUCUUCAUUGUGGGCAGAUUUACUUAAAUACCUGCACAAUGAUUCAAUACUUCAAAGGUCAAGGAAAUGUCAAAAUAUGAAAUGAAAAUACUUAAAUACCCUUCUACCUAACAAAACUCGCAGAGAAUCUAUAAAAUUAAAAAAAAAAUAUUCAUCCAUGAAAAGCUUCGUAACAGAAAAACCGUCUUUCAAAAAAUAAAAACAGAAAAACUGACUCAUUUAUCUGCAAAUGAACCAAUCGGGACUCAUUUAAAAAAGAAUACAAAGCAAAAGUAAAUGACACAAAUUGCAUAGAUAUCUAGGAGCCGCAUCAAAAGACAAAGGUGUUAAUUUGUCCAAGAAUAAAUUCUCCUAGGUCAAAAGCAAUUAACGAUGAAAACUUUCUUCAUUAAGGUUCUGGCCUACGUAAAAAAACAGAAAAAAACCACCCCAAGGUCAAAGCACAACGAUAAAUUUAGAAAUGAAGUUUUUAAUUUUUUUUUAAUAAAUCAACGUGUAUCAAAAAUAGAUAAUAAUUUUGGAUAACUUUUUUUGAUAAAUAUAGACAUAAAAUUUUAAAAUCACCAAACAGAAAAACAGGAGAAUUAAAACAAAGUCCCUGUUUAUCCUCUAUUUUGCUUGUUAUUAAAAAGGGAAAUGAAAAGAUUGCAAGCGGAAAUUUUGUUUCUGCGUUGUCUCUUCUCAAUGCUGCAUGCAUUCAAAUUAAACCUUACAUAUGCUAGCAAACUAGCUACGCUGCAUGUAAGUUCUCGAUAAGUCCAAAUAAUAGAAUAAUUGUAAAAUGUUCAAAUUCAGUAAUUAAUUUUAUUUAUUUAUUUAUUCAAAAAUUAUUAUUAUUAUUAAUUAUUGUCAAUAAUAUAUUAAUAUACUAAUUAAUUGUAAAAAAAUUUAUCAUUCAUAACAAUAAUAAUGAUGAUGAUGACGAUAAUAAUAAAAAUUCAAAAUAUAUUAAUUAAUUAUAAUAAUAUAUUAAUUAUUUAAUAAUAAUAUAUUUAAAAUAUAUAUAAAUUGAUUAGAAUAGUUAUAUUAAUAAAUUAUAAACAUAUAUUAAUUAAUCAUAAUAAUUUUUUAAUUGAGGACAAAAUAGAUAUUUUAUAGUUUGUGAGAGGGGGCAAAAUGAUCAAUCUUGGGAAUGGGGGAUUGAUUCCCACCACCUUCCUUAGGAAUCAAUCUUCCAUUCCUCACUCCUAAUUUGGGUGGUCCCCAUAGUUCUGAUUCGGAUCCCAGCCUCCAUUUUAUGAAGUAAACAUCAUUAAUGAUUUCGAUUUCGGAUUUCGAUUCUCCAGUCCAAGAAGUAAAGGCACCAUUAUUGUUAAUUGGUUCAAACACACAAAGAGAAUGUACCAUGUAGCUAGGCGUCAAGGUUGUGUGGCACAAGUAACCUUUUUCUUUUCUUUUUAUUUUUCUUGUUUUCCUUAACGGAUCAGAAGAAAUCGGUGCCUUUGAGAUACUACAAUGUAAAUAAGUAUUUGUGGUUCAUUGAAUCUGUAACACUCGGUACCCUAAGGUUGCUUUUGAAAAAGGGCUUUUCUCACUGAUCACCAAUAUCCAAGUAAGUUUGUUUCAUUUCAGAAGGUGCAAAGUUUCAAACUUUUUGUAUUGGGAUGUAACAAACUUUGGCCUUAUAUGCUUGCUGUGACGUUAGACUGUUCAUUUUGAUUGUUUCCUACCUUCCACUUGCGCCACUGUAGCACUGUAUUAUUCAUCAUUUUAGUUGUUUAAAUGAAAUUUUAUUUUUGUCAAAAAUAAAAUGACACCAUUAAAAUUUAGAAAAAUAAUCAUGUAGAUCCCAAAUUUUUAAUAAAGAAUACCAAUAUUCCCCUUGACUACAAUACCCUUAGCAGGUGGUAAUCAAACAAAUUGACUUAAAAUUUUUUACGAAAUGUAAAUAUGAUUUAAAUAAUUUAAAUUUUCCAGAAGACUAAUAUAUAUAAUUUAAAUAAUUAAUUUCAAUAUUAAUUUUUAAAAUGUAAAUUAAUUUAUUUGUACUUAUAAAAUAUUUGUAAUUAUUUUAAAAUUUUAACUAAAUCCUUAGGUUAAAUAGAUUUUACAAUUAAUAUAAUAUUUCUCAGGUAUUAAUAAUAUUAAAACUAUUUUAUAUGACAUUGAAAAUAACCUAAAUUUUUUAUAUAUUUAUUUGAAUAUUAUGUCUCUAUUUAUUAUAAUUUGGUUUAAUAGAAUACGAGAUUGUAAAAUAUUAAUAUUUUAGAUAUUGAAAUUAUUUUAAUAUCUAUAUAUUAUUAUAUUUAUUUUAAUAUCCUAUUUAUAUUUAUCAUAAAUUAUUAGAGUUAAUUUUUUUAGUUAAUAAAUUUAAAAAUAUUAUAAUUUAAAAAAAGUCUUAUUGGCCGUUAUUCACGAUAUAAGGUUCUAAUAAAUUAUUUCUCUAGACAGGUGCCAUUUUCUUAUUUUCAAAAGGAAAAACAAGUUCAGGGCCUCGGGGGUUUCAAAAAAUUCUGGUCCUAUCUAUCACUAUGACUAAUGGGAAACGGCAUUGCAAUUGACAUUGCUUUUCGCAAUAUGACAUAUUAUGGAGGGAUAUGGGAGAAUUGUCAAACAUUCACACCACGCGAGAGCUUUAGGUGGGAUAGGGGAGGAUUGUCAAGAGUUCACACCACAAGAAACUAAUGAUAGGUCUAAUUUCGUUGUCAGUUCUUUAUUUAUUUAUUUUUUUUAUUUCAUACAUUAUUGUUCUUGUAAAGGUAUAAAAGUAAAGUAAAAUACUAGGGGUGCUGUUAAGUUACAACUGAUGUAACUUGUAAUUUUUUCAAAAAUAAUGUAAAAAAUUUAAUAGGUGGUGGGACUCACAUAUUUUUUAAGAGACUUAAGUUAUAGUAGUUGUAACUUAACAAAAUCUAAAUAUUAUACAAUAAUGCAUAUUAAUAAUGCAUAUAAUUUGGGUUUGAUUUUUAAAAGAUUAUUUGAGUACCACCUAUCCUUAUGAUAUUAAUGUGAUUAUAUCUUAAUAUUAAAUAAUCAAAAUUUGUUUAAUUAUUAUUUGUAUUUCAUACAUUACAUAUUAGAUUUGUUUGAAUUUUAAGUUGUUGCUAAUAAAUAUUUAUGUUGUCAAAGUCAAAUUCAAUAGCUACAAAAGCAGAGAUAAUGGUAUUGUAUAUAGUUUUUAAGAAUGCAAGGAUAAGCUGGAUAAUUGACAUAAAUUCUAAUGAUUAAAAGAGCAACUAUCCCUUAAAUUAUAAUGUUAAUUUCUUUAAUUAGAUUUUUUUUUUCAUGUGAUAUAACCACAAUUGCUACAAUUUUUUUUUAUAAUAAUAAUGGGAGUUAUAAAUUAUUUAUAUAAAAUUUGGGUUGAAACUAAUGUACCAUAAAAGUGGUUGCUGAAUAACAAUAUUUGAAACUUUAGGUAAUUUUCAUGAGUCCUUUUUAUAUUCAGCAACCUGAAUUGGGGAAAAUCCGACUUGAAUUGGCGGUUGAUUUUGGUGAUGUGGCUUUUGGUUUAUGGCGGCUUUACUGUGGCGGAAGACUGGAUUUACGGUUGCCGACUGCUAGGGAUUAUGGUGGUGGUGUAAAUUGACGGAAAAAGAAGGUGUUUUGGUGGCGGCGCGUGUAGGAAGCACUCGUGGGUUGUCGUUUCGUGUGGUGACAGAGGGCGGCGAUCAAGGGCCGAAGUCGGUCAGUUUUUGGUCAACGAAGGCCGGCGAGUUUGUUGGUGGAGGUGGCUGGUGGAGAAAGUGGCUGAAUGGUGGUGGGUUGCUUGGUGGAGCCGCAGGUUUGGGUUGGUGAUUUGCGGCUGUUCAAGCGGCGGUUGAGGCAGCGAUGACUGAGGCUUGGUCGACGGUGGCUAGUGAGGUUUGUGGUGGUGUUGGCUGGCUGAUUGGCGGUGGUGGGCGGCGGUGGGGGUUGGUCUGACGGGUAGGGUUUUCAAAUUUGUAAUUUUUUUUUUUGAUGGAUUUGGUUUGGAUGGGUAUGGUGUAUCUAGGAAAGAUGUGUGAUUCGCACAGAAUUGCUUUGAUACCAAUUGAUGGAGCGAGCGUAGCGGAAGUGGAAUUGAUAAGGUAAGAAAUACUAAAUAUCAUUCUAGUACUGGAUCAAGCCAACACAAUUAACUUACGCUUUAAUCAAAGCGUGAUUAGAUAUUGUUUUAAUCUAAAUGAUUCAAUGAGAUUUUUAAUAACGCGUAAUACGAGAUUAGAUGACACUCUAAUUUAAAUAACUCUAUAAGAGAGAUUUUGAUAAAUAAUACUAGAGGAAAUUAUAAAAAAAAGAGUUUUAUUUAAUAAUUGAAUUUGAAGUCCUGAAAACAAUGACAAGACAUCUUUAUUUUUUUUAUUACAGACAUCUUUAUUUAUAAUAAAAGAAAUCCACUUUCCUAAGUUAACCUAAAAAGAAAAUUUAAAUUAUAAUUAUAAUGGAAAUAAAAGAUUAAGAUACAUACCAUAAUUGACUCAAACAAAAAUAGAAAACCAUAAAAUAAUAAAUAUUUUAGAAUUAUAAAUUAUCUAAAAUAACGUUAAUUAACUUCCUAAAUCACGUCUUUGGUGUAAACCAUUUUGCAUCCAACCUUGCUUUAAAGGUUUGAACCAACGUUACGAACAACAAUGUAUCAAAUUCCAAUCUAACUUAAGAUCCUGAUACAUCUACCGAUGUCCUUGUUUGAUUAGACAAUAAUGAGUCUAUCUCAUCACUUGUUACCUCUUUUUUGAAGCUGCAUCUGUUGAAGUGAUAGCCUCGCUUAGAGUUUAAAGAUCUUCUUCCAUGUUAAAUAAAGUGGGCAUUUGAUUAAAAAACUUUAUCUCUAUCUCCUUCUAUCAAAUAACGAAAACUAUCCAAAGGAAAAAAAAAAAAUUAGAAAAGUCCAUGGGUUGCAAUAAUUUAUGGUCUGUCCUCGGACCCCAUUAUCUGCCAAUAUCAAUGAUGAAAAUGAAAAUAAAUGGCAUCUUCCCAAAAUGGCGAAAGAUUUUUAGGAGAUAUGGGGAAUUGUCAAAAGUUCCCACAACGCGAAAUAAGUGUUACAUCCAAUUUUAUUUCAUCAUAUAAUGAUAAUAUCAAGUAAUGACAGCCAUCUAAAAGUAUAAUGGGUCUUCCAAAAUUUUGAAAAUGUCGUCAACAUUUAAUCUUCAAUGCUAAAGAAGAUGAAAUGCCCAAAAAUGACAUGCAGGACCCACUCACAGACUAAACGGCCCUGACCACAUGCAACAAACUUUGACUUUAUGUCCCUGCUGAGGCGUUAGACUGUUGGUCAUUUUGAUUGCUUUUUACAUUCCAUUUACGCCAUUGUAGCAUUGUACUAUUUACCAUUUUAGCUGUUUAAAUGAAUUUUUUUUUCCAAAAAUAAAAUGACACCCUUAAAAUUUUAGAAAAUAAUCAUGUAGACCCCAAAAUUUUAAUAAAGAACACCAAUACCCUUUUUGACUAUAGUACUCUUAUGGUAGCCACAAAAAAAAAAUGACUUCAAAAUUUUUUACUAAAUGUAUAUAUGAUUUAAAUAGUUUAAAUUUUCUAGUAGACUAGUAUGUAUAAUUUAAAUAAUUAAUUUUUAAAAUGUAAUUUAAUAUAUUUAUUUUAAUAAUAUAUUUAUUAUAAAAAUUUUAAACAAAUCCUUGGGUUAAAUGGAUUUUAUAAUUAAUAUAAUAUUUCUCAUGUUUUAAUAAUAUUAAAAUUAUUUUAUAUGAUAUUGAAAAUAAUUAAAAAUUUUAUAUAUUUAUUUGAAUAUUAUGUCUCUAUUUAUUAUAAUUUGGUUUAAUAGAAUACGAGAUUGUAAAAUAUUAAAAUAUUUUUAGGUAUUGAAAUUAUUUUAAUAUGUACAUAUUAUUAUAUUUAUUUUAAUAUCCUACUUAUAUUUAUUAUAAAAUAUUAAAAUUAAUUUUUUUAGUUAAUAAAUUUAAAAAAUAUUAUAAUUAAAAAAAAGAGUCUUAUUGUCUGUUAUUCACGAUAUAAGGUUCUACAAAAUUAUUUUCAAAAGGAAAAAUAAGUCUAGGGGUUUCAAUAAAUUCUAGUCCUAUUUGCCACUAUGACUAAUGAAAACGACAUUGCAAUUGACAUUACUUUUCGCAAUAUGACAAAUUUUUGGAGGGAUAUGGGAGAAUCGUCAAAUGUUCACACUACGCGGGAGUUUUGGAUGGGAUUGGGGAGGAUUGUCAAGAGUUCACACCACAAGAAACCAAUGAUAGCCAUAAUUUUGCUAUCAGAUCUUUGUUUAUUUAUUUUAUUUAUUUCAUACAUUGUUGUCUUGUUGGCAUUGUUUUGCAAAGAUAUAAAAGUAAAAUAAACUAUUAGGGUGCUGCUAAGUUAAGCUGUUGUAACUUACAAUCCCUUAAAAAAUAAUGUAAAAAAUUUAACACGUGGUGGGAUCGACAUAUGUUUGAAGAGGCUUUAAGUUACAGUAGUUGUGACAUAGCAAAAUCCAAUUAUUAGACAAUAACGCACAUUAACAAUGCAUAUAAUUUGGGUUUGAUUUUUUGAAAAAUUAUUUGAGUAUUAACUAUCCUUAAGAUAUUAAUGUGAAUAUAAUUUAAUAUUAAAUAAUCAAAAUCUGUAUAAUUAUAAUAUAUAGUUCAUACAUUGCAUGUUUAAUCAAAAUCUGAUUGCUUUUUACCUUCCAUUUACGCCCACUGUAGCAUUGUACUAUUCACCAUUUUAGCUGUUUAAAUGAAAUUUUUUUUUUUUCAAAAAUAAAAUGACACCCUUAAAAUUUUAGAAAAUAGUCAUGUAGACCCCAAAAUUUUAAUAAAGAACACCAAUACCCUUUUUGACUAUAGUACUCUUAUGGUAUUCACAAAAAAAAAAAAUGACUUCAAAAUUUUUUACUAAAUGUAAAUAUGAUUUAAAUAGUUUAAAUUUUCUAGUAGACUAGUAUGUAUAAUUUAAAUACUUAAUUUUUAAAAUGUAAUUUAAUAUAUUUAUUUUAAUAAUAUAUUUAUUAUAAAAAUUUUAAACAAAUCCUUGGGUUAAAUAGUUUUUAUAAUUAAUAUAAUAUUUCUCAUGUUUUAAUAAUAUUAAAGUUAUUUUAUAUGAUAUUGAAAAUAAUUUAAAAUUUUAUAUAUUUAUUUUAAUAUUAUGUCUCUAUUUAUUAUAAUUUGGUUUAAUAGAAUACGAGAUUGUAAACUAUUAAAUAUUUUUUGGUAUUGAAAUUAUUUUAAUAUGUAUAUAUUAUUAUAUUUAUUUUAAUAUCCUACUUAUAUUUAUUAUAAAAUAUUAAAAUUAAUUUUUUUAGUUAAUAAUUUUAAAAAAAUAUUAUAGUUAAAAAAAAGAGUCUCAUUGUCCGUUAUUCACGAUAUGAGAUUCUACAAAAUUAUUUUCAAAAGGAAAAAUAAGUCCAAGGGUUUCAACAAAUUCUAGUCCUAUCUGCCACUAUGACUAAUGGAGACGAUAUUGAAUUGACAUUGUUUUUCGCAAUAUGACAAAUUUUUGGAGGGAUAUGGGAGAAUCGUCAAGCGUUCACACCAUGCGAGAGCUUUAGGUGGGAUAUGGGAGAAUUGUCAAGAGUUCACACCAAGAGAAAUUAAUGAUAGGCCUAAUUUCGUUGUCAGUUCUUUAUUUAUUUAUUUUAUUUAUUUCAUACAUUAUUGUCUUGUUGGUAUUGUUUUGUAAAGAUAUAAAAGUACAAGUAAAAUAUUAGGGGAAGUAAAGUAAAAUAUUGGAGGUGCUGCUAAUUUACAGCUGCUGUAACUUACAGUUCCUUCAAAAAUAAUGUAAAAAAUUUAACACGUGGUGGGACCCACAUUAUGUUUGAAGAGGCCGUACAUUAUAGCAGUUGUAAAUUAGUAAAAUCCAAAUAUUAGACAAUAAUACACAUUAACAAUGCAUAUAAUUUGGGUUUGAUUUUUUAAAAAAUUAUGUGAGUAUUACCUAUCCUUAAGAUAUUAAUGAGAAUAUAUUUUAAUAAUAAAUAAUCAAAAUCUGUUUAAUCAUAAUAUGUAAUUGAUACAUUGCAUGUUAGAUUUGUUUGGAUUUUAAGUUGUUGCUAAUAAAUAUUUAUGUUGUGAAAGUCGAAUUCAAUAGCUACAAAAGCAGAGAUAACGGUAUUUUAUGUAGUUUUUAAGAAUACAAGGAUAAGACCAUAACGCAUGAGAUAAUGGUAUUUUAUAUAUAUUAAAAGACCAUAACACAUGUAUUUGAGCCAUUGAUAUUGAAGACACAUAUAGAGGAAAGAGUGCAGAUCCGGCCCUCAGUAUUGUGAAGCUUUCCUCAAGUAUUCUCAUGCACACAGACCUUAUCUGGUCAAGUUUUCUGAUUCAAUAUAAUCAAUUUCCGCGCAGUACUGACGACAGCUUCUCUGUAAAGCUCUUCAACCACAAGCAUUUCUACAAGGCAAAAGACUAGGACGUGUCAGAAUGAAUAUCAAUAAGGGAAUGUCUUAUGAAUUUAGUUUAUAUCCUAAUAUAAGACAAUCAGUAAAUAUUGGACUCAUUAGUUGCCCUUGCCUCAGACGUUUGGAUGCUAAGGGGAAAAAGGAAGUUUGAAUUAGUCAAUCUCAUUUCUAAUGGCAUUCACAGAGAACUUAUAAAACAAAAAAAUUAUAAAAAAAAAUUCAUCCAUAAAAAGCUUAGUAACGGAAAAACCGACUCUUUUAUCUGCCACUGACGAAAAAAAAACUGAAGUAUCAAAUAGAUAAAGAUUUUAAUUUUUUUCUUGGAAAAACUAAUAAUAAAUUAACAAUUGGAUAAUACUAUUAAUUAGAGAUCUUUAAUAUUAAGGUUAUCAAAGAUAGAAUGUGUAUAAAAAUUCUUAAUUAUAAGAUAAUUACUAACUAAAAAGAGGCCUAAAAAAGAAGAUUUGCUAUUAUAAGUAAUACCAAAAAUAAAAAAGGGAGACUUCCUAAUUGUUUAAUUGUUAAAAAAGAGGAUUUGCUAUUAUAGGCCUAAUUUGCCUAUAAGUAAUACCAAAAAUAAAACCGUUCCUGGAUGUAAAAAAUAAAAAUUAUUGUUAAAUUCCUGACUAAUAAGGUCAUUGAAAGUAUUCAAAGGACCUGAACUUAUAGGAAAGCCAGCCAUGAUGAACUAUACCACGUUGCAAGUGAGCUCGUAUCUUCAUCCCUUGAUCUGCCAUCGGCAUUUCUGUUCCACUCACUAUACCAUCCUUUUCAAUCGAUUUUUAUUGAUCAUAAGAGGCCAUGUGGCCCACCUUAUUUUUAUUUUGGAUCCAUAACCCAAAGCUGGCCCAAGUUCUGAUUCCAGAAUCAUUUGUCUACAAAGUGACCUCAUUCCGGCAAUUGGUUUAUGCUAAUAGCACGUGCAAUUUUCAUUUUCUUCUUUUUAUUAAUUAAUUUCAUCAUUAUUAUUUGCUUAUUAUUUUAAAUUAAUUAAUUAAAUUGUAUUAUUGAAAUUAGUCUUUCUUUUUUCUUUUCUCUUUCAAUGCACAAAGCCAAACAACCAUUCUUGCUUCAAAUACCGAAGAGCUCCUGACUACGGCUGUCAAUGCUUCUAUAUUUACGUGCUGUGCUGCAUCACUCUUAGCGAAAGCUUGAAUGAAUGAUUAAAGACAAAAGCUUAUAUAAAAGCAGAUGCCGGAGGCACUCAAAAAGCAUUUGAGAGAGAAGCUACACAGCAAAUCAUCAAACGUACUUCAAUGACUUUGAUUUUGAUUCUUUUUUUUUUCAAAAGAAGUAGAAAAGUCCAUGGAUCACGAUAACUGCUUGUCCUAUGCCGUGACCUCAUUGUCCGCUGCUAGUGUCAAAUAGAUUAAUCUUUCUAGUAGAUUAAUAUAAUUUAUAAUUUUAAUUUCAGUAUUAAUUUUUAAAAUGUUAGUUGUUAUAUUUAUUUUAAUAAUAUAUCUAUUUUUAGUAUAAAACUUUAAAUAUAUAUUUAGAUUAAAUAGAUUUAUAAUUAAUAUAAUAUAUCUCAUGUAUUAAUGAUAUUUAAAUUAUUUUAAAUAAUAUUAAGCCUAACUUAAAAUUUUAUAUAUUUAUUUUAAUAUUAUGUUUCUAUUUAUUAUAAAAUUUAGUUUAAUAUAAUAUAAGAUUGUAAAGUAUUCAAAUAUUUUUUAAAUAUUGAAAUUAUUAUAAAAUGUAUAUAUUGUUACAUUUUUAAUAUUGAAGUCAAUCUUUUUUAAGUUAAUAGAGUGAAAAGAUAUUAUAAUAAAAGGCUACGUAAUCUUUCACUUGCACAUAUUCUGUACUCUCUGGAGCAGGACGGUAGGAAAUAUGAUUACAAAUGUUAAAUUCGCCUUUCUUCACAAGUUUAUCAGCUUCGUUUGCGGCCUCUGCUGCUUGUUUACCAAGCUUGUAACAAGAAAUCAAAUUUGGGCACAACCUUUUGAAGCAGAACAUCUUAGCUCUAUCUUUAUCAUCAAUGAUUGAUUUUGCAACCCCUUCACUGAAUUCAGCAACUCUAUUUAGCCAGUCUCUGACACCCUUAUAAAUCUCAUCUCCUUGUAGAGUAGCCUCUCUAACCAGCAUUUGCACCCUUUCUCUUAUAUAUUCCAGCUCCUUCACUCAAUCUUUUAGCCCAUCUAUGUAGCUCUGGUACUCGGAACACAUAAGAUAUGUGCCACAUAAUCGGUUUGAAUAAUGCUUUUGAACCUUGUGAUACAAUGCUAGAAAAAGUAGGGAGACACCCUUCUGCAGCCAUUGCCUGUUGCUUAACAAUCUAUAUAAAUAAAUACAAGUGUCAAAGAAAGGAAUACAGAUAAAUUAAAAUGAACUAGUGGGAAAGACAGAGAAUGAAAAGACUGCAAACAAUAUUGCGAUAUUGAUCUUGAACUAACUAAUAAUUAAAUAGAGAAUUUCUUUUUCUUUCUUGAGGAUCAGAGAUUUUGCUAUUAACAAAAAGGUACUUCGAGGGUCUGAAUAAAAAACCAACCAUAAAUUAUCAAAAGCUAGUAAAAACACAGACGUAAAUAAUGAACAAUUACUUAAGCAAAACAGACCAUGAUACAAAGCAAAUCUAAUAAAAUGACAAAAAAAGAAAGAAAGAAAGAAAGAAAGAAAAUACAACAAAUAAUAUUGAAGUGUUGAUUAUGAGCCAACUGAUAUUUAAACAGAUUUUUUUAAAAUUUUUAGUCUUUUGCUAAAGGAUUAGAGUUUUUGUUAUUAAUAGAAAGGUUUUAAAGACCUGACAUUACUAGAAAAAUACUAAAUAAUGACAGAAAUUUUAUAACAUAUAUCGUUAUGUCACGAAUGUGUCAUGAAAAUAUGAUAGAUUCGUGAUAUAUAUUCAUGUCCAGAGUAUAUGACAUAUUCAUGACUUAUAACUUAACCAUCGUAAAUAAAUGAUACAUAUAAGUCAUGCUUAAGUUUUGUGAACUUAUAAGAUUGUAAAACAAUGCCGUUUAAAUUAACGACACCGUUUUGUAUAACUUAAAACCCAUUAACACUCGCAGCCAAAUUUUGGCUAAGCGUUGAAUUAAUCCCUCUCUCCACUGUAGAGAUGGCAGAAAAGCCCGCUCAGACCGGAUCCGGACUGGACCCGGUGCAUACGGUCCGGGUAAAACCCGGAUCGGAUGCAUGGAAAAAGCGGAUCCGGGCACGGGUCCGGUCACAGCACCAAGAAUCUGGAACCCGGACCCGUGCCCACUUUUUUAUUAAGUAAAAAAAAAAUAUAUAUAUAUAUAUAUAUAUAGUAGUUUUCCAAUCAGGGAUUAGUUAAAAGACAAAAUAAACACAUACUCCAAUGCAUUGUAUUUUAUCAUGUAGUGUAGUAAAAUUUAAAUUUUUUUGUCUUUUAGCUAAUCCAACUACUAUAUAUAUAUAUAUAACAACAAAAAUGCAUUUUGCUUUACCCAAUUUCCCCCAAACCCAACCGGCCAACCCUAAAUCGCAACAAGUCUCAGAAUCGCCACCUCCCUCCGUUUCUCCACCAACAACCACCACCCAUCUUCACCGAUGCAGUGUUGACGGCGCGGCCUCUUCCCCACUUACAGAAAAAUGCGCAUGCUUUUACCGAGAAAAGAAAGCUUUUAUUUUUUGUAUGACAUCUGGUCCUCCCAUCAAGCUUACCUGAGGCAGCGAGGCUGAAAGUCUCUGUUAUCAACCAUCAGGACACCAGAAAGAGUAAUUGCUCACAUCGUAAGCGCCAUGAACUAAUUUUUCCGAAAAGGAGGAAAUGAAGGUCACAAUGGAGCUCAUUUCCCGCGAUUCGAGAGCCCUACAGAGAGGUAGGACCCCUAACUCACUCCGUUUUAGUCACCUUUCAAUGGCUCCCUUAAUUUCCUAAAUCAAUAAGUGUUCUAAAAGGGCUUGAAAAAUCAAAAUGAUGCCCAACAUUAGUGCCAGGAUUAAGGAACUUUUCACUGCAAAGAAGUGAAUAGCUACGUGGAUGAAGUUAUGGGCCAUGCAGAAAUUCACACUUCACUCUCUCUUGAUUUGUACUCAAAAGUCGCCACCAACCUUCAAUUAUAUGGACUCAUGGAUUCAAUAUUUAGGCUUACAAUUGGACCUUCACAAAGCAAUUGGAGCACUCCAAGCUGCAAAAAAUGUCUCUUCUCUGUGACAUCUGCAGGUGGGCUAGAAGAAGGUUAUGCAUAGAUGGUCUAUGUGCGUGUGCUUACUAAAUGCAUACAAAAUGUAUAAGAACUGAGAUUCCUAUGUUUUUUCCUUUUUAAUUUUAAUAAUUAUGUUAGAUGUUUGCUUGGUAGUUAAGAUGUUUUGGUUUUGGACUGUUACGCUUUGUUAGAACUUAAAAGUAAACAAUUGUUUAGGCUGUAUUUUUUUUUACAGUGUUUUCACCUUUGAAAAUCCGGGUAGAGAAAACCCGGAAAAACCCGUGCCCGGAUAGUGCCGGGCAUGUACCCGGCCUGUAUAAAAAAAAUUCCGGACACGGUGCGGGUUCGGGUAGUUACGUGUGACAUCCGGGUCGGUCCCGGGCAGCCUCAAACCCAGACCCGACCCGGACUUUUGCCAUCUCUACUCCACUGGCCACUGCAACCUAAAAUAGUUUUUCACUUUAAUAACCCAAAAGCUUUCCUCUGUUUCAACUAAGCGAAAAUUUACAUAUUAAAGCCUGGCUCAAAUUCCUUUUUUCAAUCGAAAUUAAACGUAGCCACAAAACCCUAAUUCACCACACCAAUUUAUCUCUGCCCGGUAUUCAUUUAAACCCUACCUCGCGGUUCAAUGUCAUUCAAUACGAUUGCAGAUGCUGUUUCAACUUGUCAUUUAGUUAGCGCCAUCCAGUUCUCUAUGGUAAGCCUUAACCCUAACAACUAAUCGACUGCGGUAGCACGUUGCUUGUUAGGAGUGGGGAUACAUUAUUUGAAUAUAUGAAUUGGGUGAUGUUAGUGAUUCAUUCCCCUAUUUGUCGUGAAUUGAGAUUUGUGCAUAAUGCUAGUAAGAUUGCUAAAAAUUUCAUAUUUUGUAUUGUUCCAGUUGAAUUUCUUGCUUGUGGAAGAUAAAACAAAAGUUCAAUUUCAUGUUGAUUUAAUUCUUCUUUUCCUUCUUUUUAUUUUUCUUCUUUAUAGUCACGCUCUGGCUUUGGUGCUAUGCUUAGUGCAGUUUAUGGUUUCAAGAUUAAGUCAUGUUUAUUUGAUGGCAUCGAUUCCAUCGUUGAGGAUUGGAUUGUUGAUCAAAUGCACAUAGUAAGCUCUUCUUAUUUUAUCUCAAUUUUAAUUUUCUUUUAUUAUCUGCCUCUACCUGAAAAUGGACGUGUUUUACUAGUAAGCAUAGACCUUGUUUAUUUAAUUGAUAUUUUAAUUUUAUGUAUAAGAAUGGAGGUUUAUUUUGGAAAAAAAAAGAAAUAAAAAAAAUACUCUGUUGAAGCUAAUUAGUACUGAAUUUUUUUUGGUGGUGCGACCAGAGGUGGAAACAGGGUAUGAAAAUGUGUUACUGGUGAGGCUGCUGCUUAAGAUGAGAAUGCAUUCUUUUCAAAAAUCCUUGGAAGGUGUGAUCUAAUUAUAUUUGAUGGAAUAUUAAAUGGCUAAAAAUCUGUCAUACGUUCAAACUUUGUUUGUGUUUAGAAGAAUGGUGUUGACUGUAUAUUCGUUUGGAAGAAUGGUGUUGAUUGUAUAUUCAUUUGCUUAGCCUUUUGACAGAUGGAUUUGGAACUGACGAUAAAUGUGAUUCAAUUUACAAGGUUUUCGAGGGGCUCACAGUGGAAGGGAUAUUGAAGAACUGGUCGAAGUUAAAGCCUAUGAUUGUGAAAGAUUGGAGUGAGAAUAUAGAUGCUCAUUUAAAUCUUUUUGGCAAGGUCAGAGAUGAAUGGAUAGAUAAGGAUUUAUUUGACAACUUGGACUGGUGCUAAUAGGUAUUUUAAGCAAGCUUUUUGAGAUAACACUGAGCAAGUUAUACUACUAUUUUGCACAUGAUGAUCAAAACUCUCGAAAAGUAAAUAAAAUAAAGUAUUAACUUUUACUUUCAUCUUUUGCAUAGCAAUCAAUGUGGUGCUUGUUCUGUGACAACUUUGAUAAUCUACUUAAUUACUGGUUAGCAUUUGGACCAAAAAAGUUCUUAUGAUUUACAUGUUUUGUAGAAAUGCAUGAACCUUAAAUGUGCUGAUCAGGGAGUUUAAUUAUUGCACCUUGAAAUUCAUUUACUGUUAACUAAUUGGCUUUCCUUUGCAUAAAGCCGCUUAUAAGGCUUGAGUGGACGUCUUUAUGGGCAUAUUUUUUGUAUUUCUCGAUGCAUGCCUUUAUCAUUUAAUGUGGUGCUCGUAUUUCUUUAUGCAUGCCUUUAUCAUUUAAUGGCCAGCUCCCUUUCCUCUUUUGUAAUUUGAAUAGUAGUAUGGGCCUCCAUUUUACAAAUCUUUAACAUUUUUUGCUGUAAAUUAAUUUUUCUUUCAAAUAUUUUGGAGGUCAUUGGAAUUCCUGUAGGUCUAUUUACCAGAUUUUAGUAUGUUUAAGGUUAUAAUUUUGCUUAGACUUUAAUUUUUCUGAAAGAUUGUAGUAUUGAUCCUUAAAGUAAGAUCAUGCUACUUCAAAUUAUUUUGAAGUGUUGCUAGUUAUAGCCUUACAUAUCAAAUUCCAGUUGUCUGGAAAUUUAUUGAUAGCUGUUACAGCAGCAUAUUUUAUGACUCUACUUCUUAGUUAUGUAAGUUCAUUAUGUUUAGGUCAGAGGCAGUCAGCUGUGGGGAAUCGAUUUAUACACAGAUGACUUUGAUCUUGUUGCUGGUAUGUGGUUCUAUGAAUAAUUGUUCACAAUAAUUGUGUUUGCCUCACUGUUUUUGUUUUAUGAGAUCUAUAAUUGAUCUUGGGAUAUUACUUUUUAGUUCUCAUGCAGGCAAGUUACUACCUUCCCACUGCAUCUCCUCCUUUAUCUGCUACUCAAGAGUUGCGUGCCAUAAUCUGGUAUUACCUCUGCAAGAUUGUGAAUGAAUAUGAUGCCUCUAAAUUUAUUUUAUACAUAAUGCUAAUGCUGAAUAAUAUAUUGUAGCUCCUGUCAUAUUCUACUUUGACUUUUUAUAUUCCGUUUCAAAUAAAAAUCUUAUUCAACUUUAGUUGUUCAUGAGCAAAUGUCACAUGUAUAAGCCCAAAUGAUGUUUAAAGGUAGCGCCGCUACCUUCAGUUUGAGCUUACAAUGGGUGAAAAAGAAAUUGAAACUGAUAUUUUGCGGUUUUUCUUAUUUUUCAAAGUAUUUUAGAUCAUGACUUUUGUUUGGACUUGAUGGUUAUAGAUUGUGUCUAGAUUUGUUAAGUCGUUUCCAACACCUCGUGCCAAAUCAAAGCACAAUCUUUCUGAUUCAGAUGUUUUGUUAAUUGUGCUUCAUUUUUUCGUUAAAGGUUGGAUGGUUGAAUGGAUUGAUGGAGUUGGAGUUCAACCAAUAAUUCUAAUUUUUUGGACUUAAAAUGCCUUUUUCUUCUGUAUAAAAGCUUUAGUAAGUGCUAUUGAGUUGACAGAAGUUGAAUACUUACAGGUUGUUUCACACUUUUUAAUAGUUUUACAUAUAUGAAUUUCUGUUUUUUGAAUUGCAGAAAGGAGGUGGAACUAUUGAUUUGGAGCCUUAUCUUACUCACUCAUCAACAACGGAGCCUACCCUCGCUCCUAUGGCAGUGGAACGGACAAUGACUACUAGGGCUGCAACAUCAGUUGGUUCGGGUCUGUUUUGAUAGCGAAUUUUGAUAUGUCAAUAUAAUGUGUAAUUGUUUUGGGUUGAGCUGGUAAUUAUGCUGGAUUAGAUUGGUUUGGUUUUGGUGCUUCGCUGAUGGAACACUGGUUUUUUAGAAAAUUUGAAUGUAAUAUGAGACUACAUUUAGUUUAAUUGAACACUGCAUCUAGUCUAAUUACUAGAAGUGUGGCAUUUGGUUUGGUUUAUCCGAUAUUCUCCAGAAUUUCACUUGCAUCUGGUUUUGUUGCAUAUGUUUGCUUGCAUUUGAUGGCAGUAGCAGACUGUUUGGUUUUGUGGCAUUUGAUGGCAGUUUGGUCUGUUCUUGGUGCUGAUUUACGAUUGUUCCUGAUGUGUUGAUGUUAAUUGCAGGUGCUUGAAUCAGCUAGGGUUGCUGGUUUUUUCAGAUGGUUGACUCAGGCGUUGUUACUGGUUGAUUCAGGUGGCUGGCUCAAGUUGUUCAUUUAAUGUUAGGAAGCAAAUUAAGAAUUAAUGAAGUAUUCAUUUAACUAUAAUUAUUGUAGUUAUUUUAUUUCAUAACUGAAUUAUAAUCUAUGAUACUUGUGAACAAAUUAGAGAAUUUUUAUAUAUAAAUUAUAUAUAUGUGUGUGUAUGUACAUUUUGCUUUUUAUAUAAUAAUUUAAAGAAUAUAUUUCAAUUCCCACAAAAAAAUGGCCCCAAUUUCAAUAAUUCCUGCCAAAUAAUUAAUUUUUUUUAAUUUACCGCCAAAAUAUAUCUUAAAGAAAUGUUAGUUAUUCUUGCUAGAUUUAACAAAAAUAAUUUAUAGGAUUAACAUUUAAUUAAAAUAAUUAAAUAAUUUUACUAUUUCAAUUAAAUGUCAUGUUUAUAUCACAGACAAUAGUCAUGAAUGGGAAGUAUUAGUUACAUAUUUUUCCUUGUAGUUAUUUUAUUUCAUAACUGAAUUAUAAUCUAUGAUACUUGUGAACAAAUUAGAGAAUUUUUAUAUAUAAAUUAUAUAUAUGUGUGUGUAUGUACAUUUUGCUUUUUAUAUAAUAAUUUAAAGAAUAUAUUUCAAUUCCCACAAAAAAAUGGCCCCAAUUUCAAUAAUUCCCGCCAAAUAAUUAAUUUUUUUUAAUUUACCACCAAAAUAUAUCUUAAAGAAAUGUUAGUUAUUCUUGCUAGAUUUAACAAAAAUAAUUUAUAGGAUUAACAUUUAAUUAAAAUAAUUAAAUAAUUUUUCUAUUUCAAUUAAAUGUCAUGUUUAUAUGACAGACAAUAGUCAUGAAUGGGAAGUAUUAGUUCCAUAUUUUUCCUUGGGAUUUCAGGCAAAUGAAAAAAAGAUUGAGAAUGAUUUCAAGAGGACAGGUGGAUGAUAAGUAUUCAUUUUUGUAUAUUUGGCUAAUGUCCUCAUUAGUGGAUUUUUAUGGUAUUGAUUUUUUUUUUUUUGGUUUAUAAUUUUCAAUUAGUUGUUACCCUAGAGGAAGAGCAGGCUGAUCAAAUUGAUUUGUCUUAUUUUUCCGGCAAUCUGCGACACGAUGACUGUGAUAAUGCUCGUGACUGCUGGAAACUUUCUGGUGGAAAUAACUUUAGAGUUCGUAGCAAGCAUUUUUGUUAUGACAAAACAAAGGUUCCCCCAUAUUUUGGUUGUUUGUUAUGGUAUUUAUAUAUCCUGCAUAUGCUAGGUCGACAGGUUAUGAUGUAGUUUGGUUGGCUCUUGUGCUUUGUGCAAUUUGUAACUGCAGAUACCUGCGGGAAAACAUUUAAUGGAUCUUGUUGCUGUUGAUUGGUUCAAAGACACAAAGAGAAUGGACCAUGUAGCUCGGCGUCAAGGCUGUACUGCACAAGUAACUGAAGAAAAAUGUGAAUUGGUUCCUCUUUUUCUUACUUUCCAGAACAGUAUGUACAGGGAAUAUAUACAGCAAAAUAGGAGAGAAAAUAGGAGACUACAUCUAUCCUUUCCUAAAUAAUAGGAAACAAAAUCUGGAAAGAAUCCUAAUGAAUCUUCCCAUUAUAAUUUAACUUAUUCCUAAAAUAGCCUAGAUUACAAAUAAAUCAUAACUUUGAAUCUUUAUUUUCAACACUCCCCCUCAAGCUAGUGUGUGUAUAUCAUACAAACCCAGCUUGUUACUUAAGUCUUCAAAGUUAGGUCUUGGCAGUGCUUUAGUAAGGAUGUCUGCAAUUUGUUGUCUAGUUGGAAUGUACUUUAGUUCCACACUUCCACUAGUGACCUUCUUUGAGAUGAAGUGCCUAUCAAUCUCGACAUGUUUGGUUCGAUCAUGAUGCACUGGAUUUUUUGCGAUGCUGAUUGCUGCUUGAUUGUCACACCUCAUUAGAAUGGAUGAAGGGUUGCACACACCGAGUUCUUUGAGUACACGCUUUAUCCAAAUUCCUUCACAGAUUCCAUUUGCCAAAGCUCUGAACUCUGCUUCUGCACUACUCCUAGCUACAACUGAUUGUUUCUUACUCCUCCAGGUUACUAGAUUUCCCCAGACAUAGGAACAGUAAGCAGAUGUUGAUAUUCUAUUUGUGAUGUCUCCAGCCCAGUCUGCAUCAGAGUAGAUCUCAAUAUUCCUAUAUUCUGAUUUCUUGAAAAACAAUCCUUUUCCAGGUGUCAUCUUUAGAUACUUCAAAAUUCUAAAGACUGCAUCCAUGUGUUCCUCUGUAGGAUUGUGCAUGAAUUGGCUCACAGCACUAACAACAAAGCCUAUGUCCGGACGGGUAUGUGAGAGAUAAAUUAAACGACCAACCAGUCUUUGAUAUCUCUCUCUAUUGACUGGAACACUAUUCUCAACUGAGCCUAGUUUCUUGUAGGGAUCCAUAGGAGUAUCUACUGGUUUGCACCCAAUCAUACCAGUCUCCUUUAGUAAGUCCAGGGUGUAUUUCCUUUGGGAGACAACAAUUCCCUUCCUAGAUCUUGCCACCUCCAUCCCAAGAAAAUAUUUCAGAUUCCCUAGAUCUUUAACUUCGAAUUCCUGAGCUAGCUGUUUCUUCAACUUCUGCAGUUCUUCCUCAUCAUUUCCUGAGAGAAUGAUGUCAUCAACAUAUACGAUUAGGAGAGAGAUCUUCUUUGCUUGUGAUGUUCGGAGGAAUAGAGUGUGAUCUGCCUGACACUGAGUGUAACCAAGUCUCACAACUGCCUUCGCAAAUCUAUCAAACCAUGCUCGAGGGGAUUGUUUAAGCCCAUACAAAGAUUUCUUGAGCUUGCACACUUUAUUUCUAGUAAGAUUCAGAUCAAGACCCUGGGGAACUUCCAUAAACACUUCUUCUUCAAGAUCGCCAUUGAGAAAUGCAUUUUUUAUAUCUAGUUGGUAUAAGUACCAAUCUAGAUUUACUGCUAAGGAGAGCAAGAUUCUAAUGGUGUUGAGCUUCGCAACCGGAGCAAAGGUUUCAAGAUAAUCAAUCCCAUAUGACUGUGUGAACCCUUUAGCUACAAGACGAGCUUUGAGCCUCUCAACACUUCCAUCUGCCUUGUAUUUAACAGUAAAAAUCCACUUACAUCCAACUGGUCGUUUCCCUGCAGGAAGAUUUGUUAUAACCCAUGUAUCAUUUUUCUCAAGAGCAUUUAUUUCUUCAUGAACAGCUCUCUUCCACUCAGGAUGACCGAGAGCCUCUUGUAUAUUGUUGGGAACAUGUAGAUUAUCUAAAGAAGAAACAAAGGCUCGGUAUGAUGGGGACAAACCAUCAUAUGAGACAUAUUUGGCAAUUGGAUGAGUGGUGCAACUUCGAACCCCCUUUCUUUCUGCAAUUGAUUUAUUAGAAUCAUCCACACUUGGAACCAUGAACUCAACCGAGGCAAGACUAUCCAUACCUGUGUUGUCUUCAUAAGAGCUUGGAUUUGGUUCAGUUUCUUGGACAUGUGGCUGAGUUCUGUGCUCUAUCUGCUCUCCAGUUCUUCUCCUCCUAUAAACAUUAAGAUUAUCAACAGCAAGCUGUGGAAGAGGUGAGAUUAGAGGUUGUAGUUGAUGAGCUGAUGGAUGACGGGGUGACUCGGCUGGUUGUGGUUGGGAGGACUCAGAUGACUCAAAAGGUUGUGAAGAUGUUGGGAGGAUUGCUGAUUGUGGCUGUUGGAUAGAUUGAUCAUGUGUGGUGGUUGAGUUAUGAGGGUUUUCAUGAGGGGUUUCCAGCCAAGAUUGCCAAGAAGAUUCCCAAGGCUGAUGUUCGCUCAUACUCUCUCCCUGAACAACAGUUUUGGAAUAGAAAGGCAGGUUUUCAACAAAUGUUACAUCUCUGGAAAUGUAUAUUUUUCUGGUAUGAGGAGAAUAGCAUUUGUAUCCUUUUUUAUGUGGAGAAUAGCCUAAAAAUAUACACUUGAGAGAUCGGGGAUCAAGUUUAGUCCUGUGUUGAGAGUGAACAUGGACAUAUGCUGUGCAACCGAAUAUUUUUUGUGGUAAAUCUGCUGAAACAAUCCUAGUGUGUGGAAAGAAAUUGAGAAGAACUUUUCUUGGGCAAUGAAACCCCAAGACUCUAGAAGGCAUUCGGUUGAUUAAGUAGGCUGUAGUGAGAACAGCUUCACCCCAGAAAAAAUUAGGAACAUGAGAUGAGAACAAAAGACAGCGAGCCACUUCAAGAAGGUGUCUGUUUUUGCGUUCAGCGACCCCAUUUUGUUGUGGGGUGUCAACACAAGAACUGAUGUGAAGAAUGCCUUGAUGGAGAAGAUAUGAGCUGAGGGAGUCUUUGAAAUAUUCCUUGGCAUUGUCGGUUUUAAGGACUUGGAUUUUGGUAUUGAAUUGGGUUUGAAUCAUGGCGUUAAAGUUUUGGAAGAUUUGACUAACUUCGGAUUUGUUUUUCAUGAGAAACACCCAAGUGAGACGAGUAUGAUCAUCCACAAAUGACAAAAACCAGCGAGCCCCAGAAACAUUUUUAAUUCUUGAGGGACCCCACACAUCAUUGUGAAUUAAAGCAAAUGGACGAGAAGGCUUAUACUUAACGCUUGAAUAAACAUUUCGAGUAUGUUUUGCAAAUUGACAAAUUUCACAAUGAAAUGAUAAAGGGUUUUUAUUGAUGAAUAGAUUGGGAAAAAUUUUUGCGAGAUACAUGAAACUAGGAUGACCUAAUCGAUAGUGUAACAGAACAAUUUCACUAUCGUUAUUGACAUUUGGACUAACAAUAGAAUGAGGAUAACUAGUUGACAGACUAUUGGACUUGGCACAGUUUGCUCUCGAAUCUUGUAUGAAGGAGGAUUGAUCGCUUUUGAGUAGAUAGAGUCCAGAACAUAGCUCAGCACUGCCAAUCGUCUUCGCGAAUCCAAGUCCUGAAAAACACACAUAUUUGGAUAGAAUUUAGUUACACAAUUCUGAUCACGAGUGAAUUUACUGAUUGAAAGUAAAUUGCAAGCCAAAUUAGGCACAUAAAGUACAGAAUUAAGGUGUAACUCCUUAGUGAGUCUGAUGGAACCUGUCCCUGCUAUAUUGUGUGAGAGCCAUCUGCGAUCCGGACUGAAGUGCUGUUGAUGCUAGCUUUAUAAUCCUGCAACAUUGAGGCAUCUCCAGUCAUGUGAUCAGAAGCACCAGUGUCAAUUAUCCAGGGUUUGCUUGCUCCAUUAGUGGCUGCAAAUGCUGAAUGAGUCUCUUUCUAAGCCACUAGACUUGUCCCUGCAUUGGAGUUCAAAGUGGCUUGAUCGAAAAGCUUUUGAAGAAUCUCCAUUUGCUCCUUGCUGAAUGGAUUUGGCUCGGGUAGGGCCUGAUUGUCCGUGGUGGAUGCUGCAUGAGCACGAGAUUCACGGUCACCUUUGGAACGAGGUUUCCAAUCAGCAGGUUUGCCAUAAAUUUUCCAGCAACUCUCCUUAUAGUGGCCUGCCUUACGACAGUGAUCGCACCAUGGUCUUUCUUUCUUUGUACGAUUUUCACUAACCCCUACAGAGUUGGAUGCACGGGCAACAAGUGCAGAGGCGCCCAGUGUUGGUUCUGAUGACCCCAUCAUCACCUUUUUCCUACUUUCUUCAUGCCUAACUUCAGAAAAGGCUUCACGAGGGCGCGGUAGAGGCUUUGUCCCGAGUACACGGCUCCUAACCUGAUCAAGAUCUUUAUUGAGUCCGAGGAGAAAUUUAAACGUUCUCUUCUGUUCCACAAUCUUCUUGUACAAGGUUGUAUCGUCGGUGCACUUCCAAGGGUAUGUUUCAAAUAGAUCAAGGUGUUGCCAAUGCCUAGUCAGAGUAUUAAAGUAUUGAGUGACAGAUUGUUCUCCUUGGCGGAAGUCAUGGAGGAUGGUUUCAAUCUGGAAUAACUCUGAUGUGUUCUCAGAGCUAGAAUAGGUUUCCUUUGCAGCAUCCCAUAUGUCAUUUGCAGUCCCAAACAGAAGAAAAUUCUCACCAAUAUCAUUGUUCAUGGAAUUGAUAAGCCAUGACAUGAUCAUGUUGUUCUCUGACUNNNNNNNNNNNNNNNNNNNNNNNNNNNNNNNNNNNNNNNNNNNNNNNNNNNNNNNNNNNNNNNNNNNNNNNNNNNNNNNNNNNNNNNNNNNNNNNNNNNNNNNNNNNNNNNNNNNNNNNNNNNNNNNNNNNNNNNNNNNNNNNNNNNNNNNNNNNNNNNNNNNNNNNNNNNNNNNNNNNNNNNNNNNNNNNNNNNNNNNNNNCACGUAACAGAGGUUGAUGAGGAAGCCAUCCCGUAUUUUGCCACAGAGAAUACAACUGAUGGGAGAGGAAGGAAGGUAGAUUGUUCAAUUUAUGAGAGAAGAAGGAAAUGGCGGCUGAUAGGAGAACUAGGGUUUAGAGCCAGGCUCUGAUACCAUGAAGAAAAAUGUGAAUUGGUUCCUCUUUUUCUUACUUUCCAGAACAGUAUGUACAGGGAAUAUAUACAGCAAAAUAGGAGAGAAAAUAGGAGACUACAUCUAUCCUUUCCUAAAUAAUAGGAAACAAAAUCUGGAAAGAAUCCUAAUGAAUCUUCCUAUUAUAAUUUAACUUAUUCCGAAAAUAGCCUAGAUUACAAAUAAAUCAUAACUUUGAAUCUUUAUUUUCAACAGUAACUAUUCUUUUCUUUUUAUUUUUCCUUUUCUGAAAGAAACUUAGUUUUGUAUUGUUUGGCAAGCUAGAAAAUGAAAGAAAAUAAAAGAAAGCGCUGUAAAGAAGUUUGUAGAACCUUUAUUACUCUAGCAUUACAACUGAAUGAAUACAGACUGAUAUUUCUAUUAAGCUACAAUUUUCUCAACACACACACAAGUUUGUUACAUCACAUAACCAUUUGCUGCAUAACUAAUUUGACACAUCAGCUCAACCAGCUAACUAACUUUGCCAGGUCAAGCCUAGUGAGUUGAUCUGCUAAAGUCAGCUACACAGCAACAUCAUGCUCUGCUCCAACUUCAUUCAAUUCACUAACAUCCCCCCUCAAGCUGAAAUGUUUAGGAUGAACAUUCAGCUUGCUUCUUAAGUAACUAAACUGUUUGAGAGUAAGCCUUAGUCAACACAUCUGCUGUUUGAUCUUGACUGGGCACAAAACAUACUUCAAUCUCUUUUGCAGUAACUUUAUCUCGAAUAAAAUGUAUAUCCAAUUCGACAUGCUUAGUUUUAGCAUGAUAGACUGGAUUGUAAGCUAAAGCAAUUGCUUCUUGAUUAUCACACCACAUCAUAGGAGUAGAGCUCAAUUUGAUGUUAAGUUCACCAAGUAAAGAUUGUAUCCAGGGAACCUCUGAAGCAGCAUGAGCAAGAGAUCUAUACUCAGCCUCUGUGCUGGACCUGGAAACAACAACUUGUUUCUUUGAUGACCAUGAGACUAGAUUAGGGCCUAGGUAAACAGCAAAGCCAGCCACUGACUUCUUAUCAUCACGAUCACAAGCCCAAUCAGAAUUUGAAAAACAAUGUAGUUGCAAAGUUCCUUUGUUAUUAAAUUGCAGCCCAAGAUGUAUAGUGCCUUUUAAGUACCUCAAUAACCUUUUGCAUGUUUCCCAAUGUUGUGUUCUAGGACUUGAAAUGAAUUGACUUAGGUUGUUUACAGAGAGAGCAAUGUCAGGUCUGGUAAGAGUAACAUAUUGAAGAGCUCCUAUAACACUCCUAUAUUGAGAAACAUUAUCAAUUAGCUCUCCUGAUUCUUUUGUGAGAUAAUAACCAGUAGACAUUGGAGUAGGCACAGGACUGCAAUCUGUCAUGCCAUGUUUAUCCAGAAUGUCAGUAAUAUACUUUGCUUGUGUCAAGGAAACCCCUUGUGAAGACUUGCUGACUUCAAUCCCCAGAAAAUAGCUAAGUUCCCCCAUGUCUUUUAAAGCAAAGGCUUGAUUCAUAAUCUUAAUAACUUGCUGAAUUAGUGUUGGACUGGAACUAGUGAUGAUAAUAUCAUCAACAUAGACCGAAACAAGAGUUAGAUGACCACUGUUCCAGGCAUGAAACAGAGAGUUAUCAGACCUUGAAUGCUAGAAAUGCCGUUUAGAGAUCAUUGCAUCCUUGAAUCUAUCAAACCAGGCUCUAGGUGCCUGUUUUAAGCCAUACAAAGCUUUAUUCAGCUUGCAGAUAUGAUUAGGUUUAGUUGAGUCAACAAAACCUUCAGGUUGAGCCAUGUACACCUCUUCAAUUAAAAUGCCAUUUAGAAAGGCAUUAUUAACAUCUACUUGCCUAAUCACCCAUUGAUUCAAUACUGCUAAGCUAAGAAUAACUCUAACAGUUGAAGCUUUAACUACUGGACUAAAAGUUUCUGUAUGGUCAAUCCCAUGUGUCUGAUGAAACCCCUUUGCAACAAGCCUGACUUUAUAUCUUGAAACUGAACCAUCUGAGUUAUACUUUAUUCGAAACACCCAUUUGCUGCCAACUAUCUUCACUGGAGUAGCAUGUAAAACUAAAUCCCAGGUGUGAUUAGUUUUAAGUGCUAGAUACUUUUCUUGCAUAGCCUUAUACCACAUAGGAUCAGAAAGUGCUUGGGAAACAGAAGUUGGUUCUGAUUUCUGGGCUAAUAAAGCUGACAAAUAAAUUUUUGGCUUGAAAAUACCUGCUUUUGACCUGGUUAUCAUUGGAUGACCAGUUGAUGCAGGUUGUGGCAAUGUAUGUGGAGGUGAAUUAUGUGGUAGUGAAGAAGAAGAAGCUGAGUUGGAAUUAUCAGAAAAAUAAAGUGGAGUAGAAUUUGGUGAGGGAGUAGGAGCAUCUGAAUGAUGAACAUUUUGAUGGUGUUCUGAUGAUGCUGCUAAAGGUGCUUGUAACUGAGUAAUAGAAGGAACAGAGGAAUUGAAAGAAGACUUAUAAUUUUUUGUUGACUAACAACUUGAAGAGAGUGAAGAAAAAUCUGCUCCAGACUCAUAAGGAAAAGAAUUUUCAUCAAAGGUGACAUGAUUUGAAAUGUAAACCCUCUUAGAAGAGUGAAGACACUGAUAUCCCUUGUGUUGUGAAUUGUAGCCAAUGAAUAUACAUCUGGCAGUUCUGAAAUCAAACUUAUGUCUAUUGUAUGGUCUGAGUGUUGGAUAACAAGCACAACCGAAGGUUUUAAGUGUUGAAUAAUCUGGUUGAUGAUGAAAUAACUUUUGGAAAGGAGAAAUGUUGUUUAGAAUUGGAGUUGGAAGUCUGUUUAUCAAAUAGACAGCUGUGUGGAAUGCAUUCCACCAAAAUUUGAGUGGUAAAUGUGCUUGAGCUAAUAAGGUCAGACCUACAUCAACUAUGUGUCUAUGUUUCCUCUCAAUUCUUCCAUUUUGAUGAUGAAUAUGUGGGCAAGGGUGUCUAAAAUGGAUACCAGAAGCAGUGAGUAAUGAGGAAAAUGUUCUGAACUCUUCUCCCCAAUCAGUUUGGACAGUUUUGAUUUGAAGUUGAAGAUGCUUUUCAAUAAAAAUUUUGAAAUUGGUAAACACUUCAAGAGCAUCAGAUUUGGCUGACAAUGGAAAUAUCCAGGUAAAUCUACUAUAAUCAUCUAAGAUUGAUAAGUAGUAAUUAUAUCCUUGGGUAGAACAGACAUGAGAAGGACCCUGAUGGCUGUCGAAGCCAACAAAAAUAAAUUCCUACUCUAAAUAAAUUGUGUAUAGUGAUUGAGCAGGGUCGUGUCCACAGAGAUCGAUAAUUAUUUAAAUCCUUUUGAAACGUAAAACGUAAAAUGGGGGAAUUGUUGACAAUAAUAAAAAUCAAAUUAAAAAUAACAAGAAUGCAAAUUAAAGUUGUAAUUUAAAUUGGAGAAAGCUCUGGUUGAAGGAAUUAACUCAGCUUGAUUCGACUACUGAUCAUUGAUUCAAAUAUAGAUUAUUAUUACUCAUGAAUAGACCGGUUAUAGCUACUGAGACCCUCUAAUAGCCAAUCUCUCCUUAACUAGUCGAUAACCAAGGUACGACCGUUGGUUAUUUCCCUAAUCAAUAGACAACCCUAGAUACGAUCAUAGAAUUUAAUCAAUUGACAGCCUGAAAAACCAGAGAGACCCAAAUCCUAAUCAACACAUAUGAUGAUUCAUUUAAAUUAGAUUGUUUAUUCUCACAACACAACUCUCUGCUAUGUUAUUAGUCACAAGCAUUAAAUUCUUCAUACGAUGAAUCCUUUAAUUGACAAUAGAUUAAGUUGAUAAUUAAAUAGUGGCCAAUUACCUAAUUAACAAACAUAAUCAUGAAAAUAAUUCAGAGAAUAAACAAAUACCCAAAAAGUAAUAAAACAAUUAAAGCACAAGAAAGAUCUCACAGUAGUGAUGAAUCAAAGCUUCAUUAACCUUCAACCAGAAAAAUGGGUUUAGUUUCUCAUAGAGAGAAGAGAAAAAUUAGAUCUAGGGUUUCUUUUUCUCCAAUCCAAAAUUCCCCCCUUUCACAAUAGAUUCCUCCCUUAAAUACUCUCUCUCUCUUCUCCUCUAGAAUUCUAUUUAAAAUAAAAUACUAAUAUCUGAAAUAUUAAAUUCGUAAUUACAAAAAUAACCAAAAAUACAAAACACGUUAAACUAAAAACUGCAGGUCCGCAGUUGACAGCACGCGCCCACGCCUUAUCAAUAAAGUUCUUCUGCCGCUCAUAAUUUCUCCAAGAGAACAAUCAUCCUUAAAAAUCAUCUUGUAGCUCAAUUUUAUCACCAAUCAAUAGAAUUGCACCUACAAAAGUAAAACACAAGUAAAUCAUUAUUAUUAAGUGCAAAACAUCGAUAUUAAGGGAAGUAAACAAUGCAAAACUAGUGCAUAAAUUGCACUCUAACAAAUUCCCCCACACCAAGAUGAUGCUUGUCCUCAAGCAUAUAACUCAAGAUUAAUCCCAAAUCUCCACUCAAUUCUCAUCUCAACUCAUCCAAAAAUAGAAAUUAAGUCGAUCAACAUUCGAGAGACAAGGAUUUUAAAGCAUAGAAUCUCAUAAGAUAGAAUAAGAACAUUCAACCACCAAGAAGAUCCAUUCAAAAUUCAAGUGCAACAAGAUGUAAUAGCCCUCUCAAUAACUUCACUCCAUGCACUCAAAGUGUUUAGGGUGUCAUUUAUCCACUCAAAUCAAAUCAAAGAAUGCUAUUACCAUAAGCUUGCUCAUAUAUCACAUCUCAAUCCACAAAACAUGAAUAAAAUGCAAAAAUCUAAGGGUCUUAAAAGGAUUGUAAUGGGGUUAAAUGGGUUAAAUGAAAAAGAAAGGUUUACGAAAGAAAAAGAGAUCAAAAUGAGAAGAAUGAACUCAUUGAAUGAACUUAUGAUAUCAAAAUGCUUAUUUCUACUCAAGUCACCAAGAAUGUAAACAUUUUUUUUUUCGAUUUUUCUUUUUCUUUUUUUUUCUUUUUCCUUUUCUUUUUCUUUUUUUUUUUCAUUUUUUCAUUUUUUUUUGUUUUUUGUUUUUUGUUUUUUUCGAAUCAAACAAAAGAAACGAACCUUGCACAAUUUAAUUCAAGCAUAAUGCUUGUUGAUCUAAUUGAGAAACUUCAAUACAAGGUAGAAAAAGCAACAAAAUAUAUCCACACAAUGAGUCCAAAAAUCUCCUUAAAUUGAGGCUCAAAAAGAAGAAAAAUGGUUAAGUAGACGGAGAGAAUUAGAUGGGUAAUGGUUAAGGCUCAAACAAAGGUAGCAAAUAAAGGUCUUCGGGUAGAGAAAAAGGAAAAUGCGAGAAUAGAAAAAUGGUAAAUGGUUUGCCCUUAUCAUUUUAAUGCCUAAAAUCCCGUAAUGUGGCUUCAAUAUGCAUAACAAAGCAAAUUCUAGAAUAAACAAACUAGGAUUGAUAUUCACAUAACAAAAAUAAUUAGAGCAAAGUGGUUGCUCAUAGGCUCAAAUCCUCACAAAGUUGGUAAAUUUGCCAUCAAAUCAUGUACACUCUUCAAAUGAAUCAACCAUCAAUAGUGGUGUAGAAUGAGAAGAAGGUAUGAGUGAUAUAUAAAAGAAAAGGUAAAAAUUAUAAGAAGUGAGAAAGAUGUAUGUAGUAAUAUGAAAAGUGAAAGAUAAAAUGUGAGUGAUGAAAGAGUAUGGUAAAAUAAAAAUAGAUAUGAAUAGUUUGAGAUAGAUGGGAAAAAAGUAGUGAGAAAGAAAAGAAAAGAAAAUUAAUAAUAUAUGAAGCAUACUAACUCCAAAAUCAUUUAAGGAUGAGUAGAGUGAAAAUAGAUGAGUAGAGUGAAAAUAAUAAUUCCAGACAUCAAUAAUGCAAAAAUCCCUCCCCCACACCAAGAACUUACAUUGUCCCCAAUGUAAGAUAAUCAAAGCUCACAUAAAAAUUAAAGCGUAAGGAUAAAAGAUUAAGGGCAAAAAAAAAAACUUCCCUGAAUUGUGAGCUUUGAUCCACAUAACGUCUAUGGGCUUGGCGGAAAUGGUGGGGUAAAUCCCACACUCUCGAAGUAUGCGGCCAAAUUCUGCUCCAUCUUGUUCAGCUUGUGCUCCAUUUUCUCUAACUGAAUACUCAAAGGUGGUGCGGAUGUAGAAGGAAUAGUUGGCGGGGCAGCAGUGUCGUCGUCAAACUCGUCAUCAGAGGUAGCACCACUCCUAGCAUAAAGCUUCUUCGGAAGUUGAGUGGGUCCUGGUUCAGUAAACUGAAAUCUCCCCUCCUUGAAUUCAACCACACCUGUUCUUUCAAACACAGACAUAUCCAAAAAUUCCUUUUUGCAAGCAGGAUGCAAAUCAUUAUUGUCGGGAUCAAGAACACAUAGGUUUAUAGCUAACAGAGUAAUGUAUGGACCAAGAAAUAAAGUCCUAUACCGUUUAAGCACAUUUUGAAAUUGAUCCGCUAACCAAAAACCUAAAUUAGGCCUCACAUCAUUUAACAUGCACCAGAUAAAAUAAAAUUCAGUUUUAGAGAAAAUUCCCGAGUGAUCUUUCUUGCCUAAAAAAUUAUAUGCUAAGAAUCGAUGCACACAUUUCAAAACAGGAUCACGUAAGAAAGAACUCUUUGAUUUACUCGGGUCAUAGGCAUUGUGAUCAACAGAUAAAUUACGCCAAAGACCAUAAGGCUCAAAAUUUUCGCUAAAGUCACAAGUUGUUCCUAAAUAUGCAUCACUAGAAGAAUAAUCAUCAUCAAUGAAUCCUAAAGCUAGGUUAAAAUCCGUGAUAGAGUGUGAAAAAUUUCGUCUCAUUAACCUAAACUUAAUGACAUUCGGGGUAUGCAAAGUAAAAUCAUUCGGCAUAGUAAAUUGAAAAGUAGCAUAAAACUCCCUAAUCAACUCAACAUAACCCAAACAAUCAACAUCAACAAAUUUACGCAACCCAAUCUUAUCUAUCAAAGAAUCAAAAUUAUCCUUAACAUUCAAUUUUUCAAGAGUCGGGUAAUGAAUAUACUUAGCUGGAAGUAUUUUGCAAGUGGAAAUAUCUUUGUACCUCUCUUUCUCUUGUUGAGUCGCGAACGCGAGGCACCCUCCGAGAUUGGAUUCCGCAAGUGGCAAAACACUCAUGCCUUUUCCAUGCUUCGAUCUUUGUCUCACGGCUUUGCGUGAAUCUGAAAUUGUGUUCCAUGGAACCGUAGUGGGAGCGGCAAUCUUAGAUUUCUUUACGACGGGUUUCUUUUUCGAUGACUUGGAAGUAGAUGCUUUCCUCUUCGGCAUUGUUACAAUAAUUGCACUCACGGAUUUCGAUUUACCCGGCUGGAAUACAUGACGUAGGCUGGUUGCGUUGCGUUGCUGCUCGACUGGAGCUUGCUGUGCGGGUUGGAGCUGGUUGCGCACUGCUGGGCUGCGAGACACGGGAUGCUGGUGCUGCGCUCGCGGGGGCUUGCGUUGCGAGCUGGUGAUUCGCGUUGCUGGUUCGUGCUGCGUUGCGGGGCUGCUGGUGGGACUGAUGUUGCGCGUUGCGGCUGGGGCUGGAUCUACGCACUGCUGUGUGAUUCGCGAGAGCCGGUUCGUCUGCGUUGCUGUGCUGCACUGAGGUUGAUUCGCGUUGCUGCUGGUUGCGGUGCGCGAUGCUGCGCCCGGCGGCUGGGGCUGGUGGGGCUUGCUGCUGGAAAACGAUAAUCAACAGUAAUUUUUUUGAAUUAGGGAUUUGUGAACAGUGAUUUUCGAAUUUUUUUUUUUUUUUUUUUUAGUGAUGAAUCACUUUGAGACACUAAAAAUUUCAGAAGUACUUUUUUAAUAAGCACGUGGGCACGCCUUAUCAAAAAUUUUCUUCUGGCCAAAAUAAGCAAACACAUUAUUUUAAAAAAAAAUCUGAAUCAAAAUUAAAAGAAGAUAUAACAAAAACCAAAAUAAAUAAAUCAUUUGGGUUGCCUCCCAAAAAGCGCCUUUGUUUUAUGUCUUUGGCUAGACACGUUUAUGCAUCAAUCUCCAUAAUUGGGACUCUCGAGAGCCACAUCCUCCACAAUAUUCACCGAAAAACCUUCAUAAAAAGGUUUUAAGCGAUGACCAUUAACCUUAAAAACUUUGUCAGAGGUCGGACUCCGAAUCUCAACUGCACCAUGAGGAAAAACAUUAGUAACAAUAAAAGGUCCAACCCAGCAAGAACGUAAUUUACCCGGAAAAAGUUUAAGCUUAGAAUGAAAAAGAAGAACUUUUUGACCAACAGAGAACUCCUUUCUCAAAAUCAUUCUAUCAUGAAAUGUCUUCGUCUUUUCCUUGUAAAAAAUUUCCUGCGCUAUAGGGUUAAUAACAUCCACAGAAAAUACCGAAUGUUCCUCACUAGGAUAUUUCAUGGUAUCAUUCAUAUUGAAUCCUAUAACCUCUCCAUCAAACUCCAUAGUGAGAGUCCCUUUAUGUACAUCCAUUUUAGUCAUAGCAGUCUUAAGAAAAGGUCUUCCUAGCAAAAUUGGGACAGAAUUAGAGGAGUUAUCAUCUUCCAUAUCAAGUACAUAAAAAUCAGCAGGAAAAACCAACUCAUUAACUUGUACUAAGACAUCUUCUAAUACCCCAUCAGGAUAUGCAUUAGACCUAUCAGCUAGUUGAAUUAUCACGCCAGUUUCUUUUAAUGGACCAACAUUCAAAGAUGAAUAAAUGGAACGAGGCAUGACAUUAAUAGAAGCUCCUAGAUCUAACAUAGCCUUUUCAACUCUAACACUACCAAUUUUACAAGGGAUAGUAAACAUACCUGGAUCCUUGCACUUAGGAGGUAGUUUCUUUUGGAAAAUUGCUGAAACAUUCUCCCCCAUGUGAACUUUUUCAUCUCCUCUUAAUUUUCUUUUGGAGGUGCACAGUUCCUUAAGGACUUUAGCAUAUCGAGGUAUUUGUUUUAUAGCAUCUAAUAAAGGAAUAUUUACCUCAACCUUGCGAAAUGUCUCAAGGAUGUCUUUCUCUUGUUCUUCCUUCUUGGAUUUUGCAAACCGGCUUGGAAAAGGAGGAGGUAUCACAAUAGGUAGGGGUUUCGCUCCGGUGGGUUGUGCAUCUUGAGAUUGAGGCAUCAAUUCAUUCUUCUCAAGCUCAUCUUCUACAUGCUCUGUCACUUUCUUACUAGGCUCUUGCAACUCCUUCCCACUUCUAAGGAUGAUAGCACUAACGUUUUGCUUUGGAUUCACCUCAGAUUAUGAAGGCAAUCUUCCUAAUACUCGAGACUCCAGAUGGCUUACUGUAGUCGCCAAUUGACUCAUUUGGUUCUCCAAGUUCUGAAUGCUUGCUGUAGUUGCCUGCUGAAAUUGUUGAGUGUUAGUCGCAAGUGAUUUAACAAUUUCUUCAAGAGAUAUACCUGACUUGGAGUUUGACUGUGGAGGUGCUGGUUGUCUUGGUGGAUACUGUUGUGGGAAUCCUGACGGUUUAACUCCAUAGCUGAAGUUGGGAUGAUCCUUCCAUCCCAGAUUGUAUGUUUGUGCAUAAGGAUCAUACCUCCUCUGAGGCAUGCCUGGAAAUCCUCCAACUGCAUUGGCUUGUUCAACGAGUUCUUCUUGGAGUGUAGGACACAUAUAAGUUGAAUGACCCAUAUUGUAACAAAUGCCACAAGUCUUCACCUGUUGCACAUUACCUACAACAAACUUUUCCACAAGAGAAGUAAGUUUAUCUAAACGUUGUUCAACAAAAGAAAUAUUUACCUCAUUCACCUUCCUUGAAGUGGGAUCUUGCCUGCUACUAAAUUGUUGUGCAUUGGCAGCCAUAUUUGAGAUCAACUCCCUUGCUUGAGUAGGGGUUUUGUUCACCAACACACCUCCACUAGCAGCAUCUAUCAUACUUCUAUCCAUUAAUGAUAGUCCUUCGUAAAAAUAUUAAAUAAGAAGUUGAUCAGAAAUCUGAUGCUAAGGACAGCUGGCACACAAUUGUUUGAAUCGCUCCCAAUACUCAUACAAAGUCUCCCCAGGAAGUUGUCUGAUCCCACAAAUAUCUUUUCUGAUGUUGGCAGCUCUUGAAGUAGGAAAGUACUUCUCAAGGAACUGCUUUUUCAAACCAUUCCACGUUGUAAUUGAUCCAGGAGGCAAGUAGUACAACCAAUCUUUAGCUAGCCCAUCUACAGAGAAUGGAAAAGCACGCAACUUAAUCUGCUCUUCAGUCACGCCUUGUGGCCUCAUACUUGAGCACACAACAUGAAACUCCUUGAGAUGUUUAUGAGGAUCUUCACCUGCAAAACCAUGAAACUUGGGUAAUAAAUGAAUAAGCCCAGACUUUAAUUCAAAAUUUACCUCCAAGUCUACAUAUUGAAUGCAGAGUGGUUGUUGAUUCAAGUCUGGUUCAGCUAACUCUCUAAGAGUUCUUUCUACAGGUGCAGGUCUAUCCAUCACUUGUUCUUCUGAAUCGCUAGAUGAUUCAACUAAAUCAGGCACUGUAUCUGUUUCAGAAAGCAAAGGCGACGAGGAUCGUUGCUUAGCUCGCUUUGUCUGCUGUCUCAGUUGGCGAGCUGUCUUCUCAAUUUUAGGAUCAAACGAAAGUGUACCUGUACGAGAAGAACGAACCAUACACCAAGUAAAACGUAAAAAAGAUUAAAUAAAUGACACCAAUCCCCGGCAAUGGCGCCAAAAUUUGAUGGGUGUCGAAGCCAACAAAAAUAAAUUCCUACUCUAAAUAAAUUGUGUAUAGUGAUUGAGCAGGGUCGUGUCCACAGAGAUCAGUAAUUAUUUAAAUCCUUUUGAAACGUAAAACGUAAAAUGGGGGAAUAGUUGACAAUAAUAAAAAUCAAAUUAAAAAUAACAAGAAUGCAAAUUAAAGUUGUAAUUUAAAUUGGAGAAAGCUCUGGUUGAAGGAAUUAACUCAGCUUGAUUCGACUACUGAUCAUUGAUUCAAAUAUAGAUUAUUAUUACUCAUGAAUAGACCGGUUAUAGCUACUGAGACCCUCUAAUAGCCAAUCUCUCCUUAACUAGUCGAUAACCAAGGUACGACCGUUAGUUAUUUCCCUAAUCAAUAGACAACCCUAGAUACGAUCAUAGAAUUUAAUCAAUUGACAGCCUGAAAAACCAGAGAGACCCAAAUCCUAAUCAACACAUAUGAUGAUUCAUUUAAAUUAGAUUGUUUAUUCUCACAACACAACUCUCUGCUAUGUUAUUAGUCACAAGCAUUAAAUUCUUCAUACGAUGAAUCCUUUAAUUGACAAUAGAUUAAGUUGAUAAUUAAAUAGUGGCCAAUUACCUAAUUAACAAACAUAAUCAUGAAAAUAAUUCAGAGAAUAAACAAAUACCCAAAAAGUAAUAAAACAAUUAAAGCACAAGAAAGAUCUCACAGUAGUGAUGAAUCAAAGCUUCAUUAACCUUCAACCAGAAAAAUGGGUUUAGUUCCUAAUAGAGAGAAGAGAAAAAUUAGAUCUAGGGUUUCUUUUUCUCCAAUCCAAAAUUCCCCCCUUUCACAAUAGAUUCCUCCCUUAAAUACUCUCUCUCUUCUCCUCUAGAAUUCUAUUUAAAAUAAAAUACUAAUAUCUGAAAUAUUAAAUUCGUAAUUACAAAAAUAACCAAAAAUACAAAACACGUUAAACUAAAAACUGCAGGUCCGCAGUUGACAGCACACACCCACGCCUUAUCAAUAAAGUUCUUCUGCCACUCAUAAUUUCUCCAAGAGAACAAUCAUCCUUAAAAAUCAUCUUGUAGCUCAAUUUUAUCACCAAUCAAUAGAAUUGCACUUACAAAAGUAAAUCAUUAUUAUUAAGUGCAAAACAUCGAUAUUAAGGGAAGUAAACAAUGCAAAACUAGUGCAUAAAUUGCACUCUAACAGACCCCAAAGAUCUGCAUAUAUCACUUGUAAGGGUGCUGAAGUUUUUGUUUCAACUGAAUCAAAAUGCAGCAUAUGAUUUUUCCCAUAUUGACAUGCUGAACAAAAUUUCAAGCUUUCAAUUUUAUUAUAAGCAGUAGAGUUGUUACAAGUUUUGAGUAUAGUUUUGAGAGUAUAAGAUGCUGGGUGUCCUAAUCUUCUAUGAAGAAGAUUUACAUCAAUAGAACUCUUUGUAACAACUGACAGACAUGGCUUUUUAUUCAAUUCAUAAGAACUAACAGCAGUGAGCUGAUCAGAAUUGAAAACAGGAGAACAAGCAAAGAGAGUGAAUUUUAUUUUGACCAACUGAAUUGAGAAAGACUGAAUGAGCAGCAACAUGUGAAGAGACUCUAUACAAGUCACCUUUAGCAACACCUUCAAGUAAAAUUUUCCUUGUGUUCCUAGCCUUUAUAAAAAACAAAUCACCAAGAAAUUCCAACAGUAACUGGAUUGUCAGCCAAUAAUUUUGAAAUGCUAAGCAAAUUCUUAGUAAUAAAAGGGACAUGAAGAACAUGGUUUUUAAAGGUUUAGAAGUUGAAGUAUUUAGCACAACUGAUCCUACAUGUGUAAUAGCUAAUGCAUUUCCAUCUCCAACAAACAAUUUUUCAGUACUAGUAUAAAUUUGUGAAUCCAGAAGUUUACCUAGAUCAUUUGUAAUGUGAUUUGUUGCUCCACUAUCAAUAUACCAUGAAGGAUCUUCAAUGUGUUCUGGUGGAAGUGAAGAAGGCAUAGCUGAGGAAGAUGAAGCACUUGACUGUCCAGGAUUAUUAUUUCCUUGACCAGAAACAAAAGUAGAUGGUCUAGGGGUGAAUGAGUAAUAAGCAGAAGGAUUACUAUCUGGAUACACCAUAUUUCCUUGAUAGCCAAAACCAGCAUUUAAACCAAAACCUCCAAAACCUCUGCCACCAUUACCAUUAAAAGCUCUUCCUCUACCAUAUUGCCCUUGAUUAAAACCUCUGCCACCAUUCAUAUUACCUCUGCCAUAGUUUCUCUGUGGAACAAAAGAUGAAUUGUACCUAUUUUUGCAUCUAUUGGCUGCAUGACCAGGUAUGAAGCAGAUUUGACAAACAGUUUCAGAGGAAUUACCACCAUUAUUAAACUGACCAUAUCCAUAUCCAUUAAAACCUCCAUACCUAGAAUUAUUUCCAUAAUUUUUUUGAAAAUUGCCAUUAUUCUUUCCAGCAUAUGAGUUCUUCUGAGCAAUAUUUGCUGUCAUAUUGUGCAUCACAUCACCAGCAAUUUUUCCUUUCUUUUGUUCAACUCUAUUUUCAUGAUUCAAUAGCAAAGGAUAUAGUUCAUCUAAUGUUAUCUUCUCACCUCGAGCUAAAACACCUGUGACUAAAGAUUCAUAAUCUGAUGAAUCAAGACCAGUUAAUACAUGAAUCACAAGAUCACUUAACUCAACAGGUUUUCCAGCUAGAGCUAAAGUAUCAGCUAUACGUUUUACUUUUGCAAAGUAAUCAGACAUAUGCAUUGCACCUUUCUUAAUAGUUUGAAUCUGCAUUCUAAGUGUUUGAAUUCUAGCUUGUGAUUAAGAAAUAAACAUACUAGUAAGAGUCUUCCAAAGCUGUUUUGAAGUUGUGGAGUCAAUCACAGUAGCAAGUAGAUUUUGCUGUAUCGACGACAUCAUCUAACUCAACAGAAGUUGAUCAGUCUUCAUCCAAGCUAUGAACUCUGGAUUAAUAGAUUUGGAUUCAGAUUCAGUAAAAAUUUCAGCUCCAUUGUUGUUUCCAAAAGAAAGAAACUACUCAGGACAUUCUUGAUCACCAUUGAUAAACCCUUCCAGACCGUUUCCUUUGAUCGAUGCUAAAAUUUGUGCCCGCCAUAAAAUGAAGUUGUUUUGGUCUAGCUUUGCAGGCGUAACAAAACUAAAAGAGUUGUUAUUUUGAACUGUAUUCGCCAUUUAUGGCUCUAAUACCAUGAAAGAAACUUAGUUUUGCAUUGUUUGGCAAGCUAGAAAAUGAAGAAAAUAAAAGAAAGCUCUGUAAAGAAGUUUGUAGAACCUUUAUUACUUUAGCAUUACAACUGAAUGAAUACAGACUGAUAUUUAUAUUAAGCUACAAUUUGCUCAACACACACACGAGUUUGUUACAUCACAUAACCAUUUGCUGCAUAACUAAUUUGACACAUCAGCUCAACCAGCUAAUUAACUUUGCCAGGUCAGCUUAGUGAGUUGAUCUGCUAAAUUCAGCUACACAGCAACAUCAUGCUCUGCUCUAGCUUCAUUCAAUUCACUAGCAUUUUCCCUUGAUACAUUAGGAGAAAAGACUGCCUGUGAGAUACAACAAUGUAAAUAACUUCUCAUGGUUCAUUGAAUCUAUAACGCACUGAGCCCUAUUCUAAAAUAUGUAGGUUGCUUCUGAAAAAGGGCUUUUCUCACUGAUCUUUAAUCUUCAAGAAAGUUUGUUUCAUUUCAGAAGGUAUAAGUUUCAAACUUAUUGUAUUGGGAGGUUGUAUAGUUGUAACCUAAGCAUCUGCAGGUUCCUGGUUCAACACAUUAUAGUAUGGUAUUUUAUUUUGUCACAAGGCAAUUGGUUACGGGAUCACUUUUGCAACGGUUUGUUGAUGGCGAUGAUGAAUUUCGCAAUAGUAGGUUGAAACUUAUUCCAUCUGUUCCUAAGGUAUCCAUCUUGGCCUUCAUGUAGUAGGACUAUAUUAACGUAUACUUACCCUUUACUGCAUGGUACACUUCAAUUUGUACAAAGAAGGCAUGCAUUUAGGUGUGAAUGUAUUGAUGGGUUGUACCUUCAAACUUUAUCUCCUUUUUACCCUCUUGAAUUUGUUUUGCACUUGUUCUUGAUUUUCAGCACUGAAUCAUGCAGGGGUCAUGGAUAGUGCGCCAGAGUGUUGGAAGCACCCCUUGUUUAUUGGGGAAGGCAGUUGAUUGUAACUAUAUUCGCGGUCCCAAGUACUUAGAAGUAAAUGCUCUUGGAAUUUCUAUAGUACAUGAGAUGUUCCCCUUUCAAAUAGCGUCCAAUACCUUUAACAUGGUUUAACAUUGUUCAUCUUUCUGUAGAUUGAUGUUGACAUCGAUUCUUCUACUGUUGCUAAUGGAGUUUUGGGCCUUGUAAUUGGUGUAAUUACGACAUUGGUGGUUGAGAUGGCUUUCCUUGUACAGGUAUGUAUGAUUGUUUUUUUCCCCCACUGCUAAAUGGACACAAGGGAAAAGACAUGAUUUUGAGAUAUUGCACUGCAACUUGCAUUUUUGCAUACUUGAAUGUUCUCAGAAUGAUAUAAUGCUUCUGUGUGUGUCUUCUUUAUCUUGCUCUUCUGUAUGCAGGCAAAUACUACAGAUGAAUUACCGGAGCGGCUGAUUGGUGCUGUACGUGUUUCUCAUAGAGAACUCAAGUCUGCUGUUGUCCCAAAGCUGGAACCAGAGAUAUCAUGACUCUGGUUUCAUUUCAGCUCAACUGUGUUUUUUUUUUAAUUAAAAAAAUCAUUUGUUUUAGGUAUACAUACAUGUAUUUUGAUUCUAUUUUCAUUGUAAUUUCUCAUUUACUUUGAAUGAAAGUCAUUGGUGUUUUCGAAUGGGAAUUUUGCAUUAAAAAAUGAAGAAUAAUGAAUAGGAAAUUUCCUGAUUCUUUAGUUACUAUUUUUGGUAUGAGUGUAAUUAGUAGUAAAGUAGGUUUCUACUCGCAAACAAGUGAACUACUCGAUUCCCGAGUGGUAUCAACCAGUUUCCAACUUUUUAAUAUACACUAAUUGUUAUUGUUUAAUAGCUACUACUAUUAAAACUCAACAGCUAGCAAAAAUACUUAAAAAAAAUGAUUUUUCUUAUGAUGCUGUGAAAAAAAUUACGGGUGUACUUCUUUCCAUGAGAUCUAUAACAUGGUCUCGACUUCACGAAAUUCUUUUAAUUUAAAGCGUGCUGGUGUGAGGUCAGUUUAACUGAUUAAUUCUUUUUAACAGUGGUCGAGAUAAUUUUACUAUACUAAAAAAUAUUCUUAUUCUGAUAAUGCCACAAAUGUUAUGCUGUUUUCUUCAGAUAAUGAUCUUCCAUUAGGAGAGGUUAGAAAUCAAAUGCUUAAAAGACCAAUUGAACGAAUAAUACAGAAAUUUAGGCAGAAUCUAAUAGAAUAUUGCAUGAAACAUGAAACAUCAAUUCAAGUCCUUUCUUAAACGGAGAAUGCAUCAAACAAAAUCCAAAGUGUCUUGCAAGUCUGUAGCGUGAGCAAAAAAUUGUAAAUAUGUAGAACCAAAUUAUUCAAGUACAGAAGAACGAGCAAGCUAAAUCAUGUAUAAGAGAUUGGCCUGGUUCGGGAUAGCUUCUUCACUGUAUCUGAAGGGUUGGCUCAAUCUCUUCUUUAGAAUUCUGCAGAUUUUGUAAUUACUCGUGUAAGCAAGUAUACAUUGCCACCAUAAGAAUAAUGAAGCUAGAGUAAUGAUAUGACCACCACCUCUUGUGCACAAACAAUAUUGUAUAAACUAAUGCGACAUAAUAUGAUUGGUUAAACAAAAACAUUACAUGGCCCUCAUAAUUUAUUUAUUUAUUUAUUAUUAUUAUUAUAUAUUUUCAGUCAACCAAUCAUAUUAUAUCACAUUAGUUUCUAUAAAAUAAUUUGCUAAAUAGCACCAAAACUUAAUUGAUACUCACCAUUUCAUUGAACAAUUUUUUUAUGGUGUCAUUGAGGUUGCCUUCCCAACAUCGUUCAUCAUCAUCUUUUUCUUCUUUGGUGACGUUCACUUUGUUUAGCAUUGGUGUGUCUAAGAGUCCUUGAGAGAAGAUCUUCAUUUUUGGACACUGUCUCACAACUACUUGUUUCAAGGACGGGAAUUCAAGAGCGUAAUUACCUAAACAAAAGCUUGUUAGGCUUGGCAAACAAUCAAGUCUCAAGUACUCCAAUUCCUUGAAAACAUUGCAAUCUUUCGCUUCUUCUCCAACCUGCAAUUGUAUGAUUUGUUCUAUCAUUUUGCAAUCAACUAUCAUCAUUCUUUUGAGAUUCACUAGAUUUUUAGAUGCUGAGAGCGUCAACACAUUUAUCAAUCCGUGACACUUCGAUACUGCCAAAGCCUCAAGAUUUUCCAAAUGCCACGAAGGUGGUACUAAUUUUUGCAACUUACUACAUUCCGAUAUUUUUAGACUUUUCAAGUUUGCAAACACUUUGUUGGAUUCGGCAUUUUCCUUCCAGAGAUGGUGCACUUUGUGUAAUCCAGACAGCUCUAACCAUCUCAAUCGAGGGAAUGAAACCUGAAAAUCAACAAAAUUAAGUUGUAAAUGAAAAUAUGUAUCCAAUCUCUGCAGUCUUCCCCUGCAUAUUUUAUGGACAAGAUUAAUCACGACAUUUUAUAUUUUUUUUCCAAAUUAGAAUGCUUUGCAGUAGGAUCCCAAAUAUAAGUAUCAAAUCGAUUACCCUUUGAAACACAUAAAUGAAAUCUGAUACUAAAUCCAAUAUGAAUUAGCUAGGAAAACAGAGAUGUUACACACAUAAUUAAUAGAGUUCAUCACCUCGUGUUACCAGGCAUCCAAUUAAUUUAAGACAUUUUAAUAAUUCAUAUUAUAAAGUUAGUUGAUAGCGGAGGUUAUAUUGUUAAAUCAUAUAUAAAUUAAGACGACGUGCAAAAAGAGGAGUCAUUAAAUUCGAUUUGAUUCUAACGAAAUUACAUCUAUGCGAAUGAAAGUGAAGGGAAAUAAUAAUAAUAAUAAUAAUAAUCACCUUUUCAUCGAAGAGAGGUUGUACUUGAUGAGCCAGCAAGAAGUUCUCUUCUGAUGUUAAUUUUUGAGGUUCCUUAUUAUCCGCUGUCAUGUGCAGUACAGAGUUGGAUAUGAAUGUUUCUAUAUCUCGGCAAUUCUCAAUAGUUAGAUUUCUCAACAUAGGCAUUUCAAUUAUAUUCCCAGUGAAGUUGCAGAAUCUUUUGAGUUUUGGAAGAUCAGUGAGCCUCAGCCUGUAAAGCUUAGGAAACAGGGGGCUUAUAUGUUCUUUGUCAGCAUUUAGCUCCUCCAAAUGAAGCACCUCUUCUAUUGAAUCACAAUUCCUCUCUUCCAGCCAUACCAAAUUGUUCAAGCACCGUAGCAGAUUGGCAGGAAUAGCACUCGACAUAUUCGUGCAGUCAUCCACAGCCAGUUGUCGUAAAUUGUUGAAGAAGCUGACAGGCAGUGCUUGGCCAUGCCAUAUUUCUUUCAAACGUGGAAAAUGUGAGAGUUGCAAAUCCCAUAUGUCACGGAAUCCAAUCUGCACAAACAAAAACAAUUGCACUGGAUAUAUAUAAAUUUUUUUUUUGAAUCAACUUACAUGUUUUGUGUUUUAACUUCUAAAACUAUAUAUACAAGGCAGGUGUAUAUGUUCAAAUGUCCAAGUGCAAGGGAGAUGCAUAAGUAAUUUCGACGAAUCGAUUUAACACAUACCAUUUCUUCGUAACACUUUUGUAUAGUGGAAUUAAGGUUGCCUUCCCAAUGGCGCAAUUCACCCUCUCCCUGUUAAGAAUAGAAUUAGUUAGUUAAUGAGUAUGCUGACAUGGCAGCUGAGUCAGCUAAAGGUUGUUAUAGAGGUUGUUAGUAGUAAACUGUGCGUGUGUGCAAUGUGUGUAGAAUCUUCUAUGCACAUAUAAAAAGGCUUGUAAUUUCCAGAUUCAUUAGAUCAAUAAUAACAGAAUUCUCAGCUUACAGAAGUUUUCUUUCUUCCUAUUUUCUUAGUAACCAAACAACAUCACAGUUUCAUAUAAAACUUAAUACUUCCUUUUUACUCACAUGCACUUCGUGCAGCUUUGGUGUGGAUACGAUUCCCUGAGAAAAAGUCUUCAUGUUCGGGUAACAUGUCAUAGAAACUCGUUCCAAUGAUGGGAAUUCAAGAGUGUAAUCCUCCAAACAAAAGCUGGUAAGCCUUGGUAAAUGAUUUCAGGUAAUUUUUAAAUAUUCUAAAUUCAUUUAGAAUAUUUAAAUGAAUUUAGAAUAUUCACUAUUUAGUAUUAGGAAUGGAGAAAGAAUUUCAGGUAAUUUUUAAAUAUUCUAAAUUCAUUUUUCAUCUUGAUUCUAGUUUUUUAAAAAAAUUUAAUUUUCAAACAUGCGUAUUUUUAAAAUAACUAAACUAAAACGCUGUAUUUCCCUUUUUUUCCCGAUAUUCAUGCUUUUAAAAAUGGAAAACAUUUCUGGAAAACACUUCCCAACGCCAUCAACAUGGGACUGUUAUAGAUGAAUUAAGGAAAAGAGAAAUAUAUAGAUGAAUUUGUGAACCUAUAAGAUGAGUGACUAUCCUUUAAUUUUUGAAAAUUGUACUUAUUAAGAUAUGAGCAGAAACAAUUAAAUUGAAUUAUAUUAUGCUGUUGAAUCGUGAUUAAAAAAAUUAUAUUGUUGAUUCUAAUGCUGGCGAACCUAAAAACUGGACUUAAAAUGUAGAUUUGAGAGUGGUGGUUCGAAGUACAAUACUUGAAAUAAAUAAUCAGUGGCUGAAUAUCAUUUGUAAACAAAAAAUGGUUAAAAUAUUGUUGGAUGUAAUUUGAAAAAAAAAAAAAGAUUCGAAAUGAAUACAGCAACCUUACCAAUGGAGGAAAAAUAUUCUUUAGGUUAUCACACUCAAAUAUCUCUAAAUUCUUCAAUUUGCUGAAAGACUCCGAAGCAAGUUGGUGGUGCCAUAUUAUUCUCAAAUUAUUCAUCCAGCUAAUAUGUAAUACCUCCAACCUAGGAAGUCGUACCUGGCAGUUAAAGAUUAAAUAACUAAUUAAUCAAUUAAUUGCAUAAUCAAUUGAUAACUAAAUUAGAGGCAGAUAUUAACUAAACUUGAAGACUCAAAGAAAAGACAAAUUAAAUAUUGUGACUAAAAUUAAUUUUUUUUAUUAAAAAAAAAACCUUUUCGUCAAAGAGAGGAGGAGGUUGCAUUUCAGAAUGAUUGGUGUCUUCUGGUGAGCUCGUAGAGAUGAAUCUUAACAUAUUCCAGCAACUCUGAAUCUCGAGGUUUAGCAAAGAAGGGAAUUCAACAACUAAAUCUGAAUUAAUAUGUCCCGUAUUGGCAAAGCUUGUUAGUUUAUAAAGCCAAUAGAGCUCCAGGGAGUGUAGUUUAGGAAAAACCUUUAAUUCAAUCAACUUUCCUUCUUCUCUUUCUGACCACCCCGUGGUGUCGACUACCCCUUCCAUUGACUCACAAGAUCUUAUCUCAAGAUGCUGGAGUUGCAAAAGACUAUUAACCAUAGAAUAGGAAAACAGAUACUUCAUACGAUGACAACUGCUCACGUACAGCUUUGUUAAAUUUCGACAACAGUACAUUCCUUGAUUAUGAUCGGCCCAUAAUUUUUUCAUGUUUCUUAAUGACCUGAGAUCCAAUUCCUCUAAGCUCGGAAGAAUAACCUGCAAAGAAUACCCGUACAUUUUUGUUCCUUCAAGUACAACCGUCUAGUAUAAUAUUCUUUUGAUGAUCGAAGAUUAAUCGUGAUAAUAAAUUAAUCAAUUAAUUAUUGAACAGAAAAUUAUCACCUUUGGAGCAGGAUCAUCAUCAGCAGUGAUUUCGUUGAAUCCCAAAGAAGUUGUUGGUUUCUCCCUGUCGGGUCCUAUAAACAAACAAAAACAAUAUACAUAAUUAAUCUUUGUUUUUUUUUUCAAAAUAAUUGAGGCGAAGUCAAUUAUCCCACCGGUACUUAAUUUCAACACUUACCAACAAUCAUUUCCUGAUCAUCGCAAAAAGCCACUUCUACCUUUUGAAGCCGCAGUAGGUUUUUGGCUAUGGAGAAUGAGAAAAGAUGCUUCAAUUUGUGACAGAAUUUUACUUCUAUAAUCCUUAAGUUGCUGAAAGAUUGAUCUUCUGUGAGUUGGCUGUCACAUAUUGUCUCCAAAUUGAUCAAACGACGAAGAGACAAUGACUCCAGCAAGGGGAAGACUUUGCGACGAACCCGUCCAACUGAACAGACAAUAUGCAAAAUCUCAGAACAACUUUCUGCAGAAAGAUGCUUCAAUCGUGGAUAACCUUCCCCAUCAUCUAAUUCAUGAACAACAUUCUGAACACCCUUCAGUUCUUCUAGAUAGAGAUAUUCAGUUCUCGUCAACAACAGUUUCAUCCUGUAAUUCUGCAAAAGAACGCCAAACUUUUCCAGCCCCUGGAGCUUCAUCAAUCUUGAUAAUCCAGAUUUAACGGACCAGCUGCUCCACCACUUAUUUCCUAUACAUAUCCUAUAGCUUUGUAAUUCCACAGAGACGAAAUCCUGCGGUAAAAUUUCGGCAUCCCGAACAUGUAUCUCCAAAGUAGUUAGCUUUGACAGCCCAUUCAAUUCAGCAAGACUGGCGUUACUUCCUCCUUCAACCUUCUCCCACUGUGAAAAGCUGUUACCAAUAUAUAGUUCUUCUAAUCGAGAUAAUUUUGAUAUGACAUUUGGAGCUAUCACCACAAGACUGCUACAAUUUCUCAAAUCUAGCAACUGUAAUCUCGUCAAUUGUCCAAUUACAACUGGCAACUCCUUAACAUCAGAAUCUCGGAAGCUGAGAAUCUCUAAUUUCCUUAGCUGUCCAAUUAUAGUUAUUUCGUUCAGUCGGCAACCGUCUAAACACAAUGUUCGAAGGUUAAUGAGGCGACCAAGUGAUGAAGGUAAUGAAGAGAAAAAUAUGCCAGUAAAAUCUAAAACUUUGAGUUCUUCUGUCCCUUCAAAAAAGAGGUCUGAAAUUUGCAAAGAGCUAUCACGCUUUGAAAACAACAAAAGUAACUCGAGACGGGGACAUCCCAACCUUUCGGGAAGCUCUUGAAUAUCUCUAUAAGGUAAAGAAAUAGCAAUUGGACCUUCCCGUAUUGUCUCUUCCAUCUUUUUCUCCACGUAGGCAACAUUUGGAAUAUUAAACAUGAGCUCCUUUUCUGCAAUUGAUACAGCAACAGCAUGAAUGAUGUCAUGCAUUUUAACUUCAUCUUCAGCAUCACCGUCCAACAAUAAGCAUGAAGAUUUGAGUUUGUCGAUCAAUGCAUCCACUCUAUUCCUUGCAUUUUCCAAUGUGCGAACAUAUUUAAACAAACCCAAACCCAUACCCAUACCAUAUCUCAACAAGGAAGCAACUUGUAUAGGAGUACCUUCACCAAAUAGAGAACAAAGAAGGAACAAAGAUUUUGCUUCAUCACUUUCCAAGAAGUCGUAACUCAAUUUUAUGGAAGAAUACACAUCUGCAUCCAUACCAUGAAUUUCUCUUAGAUUGGAACUUCUUAGCUGAUUCAACGCAUCCUUCCAAAUGGCAAGACUCUUAUUUUUCAGAGCACUUGCAACUGUUCUCAGUGCAACAGGCAAUCGUCCGCAUUUUCCAACAAUCUCAUCCGCUAAAGGUUGAAAAGCAGAUGCUUUUGCGGAAUUGCCCACGAUCUUUUCAAAAAAUUGCAAUGCUUCUUCCUUUGAUAAAACUUCAAUUGGGAAAAUCUUCUGAGAAUUCAUAUCAUUGAUCAAUAAAUCUUGACUUCUAGACGUCAAUAUUAUCGUGCGUCUCCUUAGAUCUUGCUUUCUAUCUUUCUCAUCAACAUCCCCAGAAGGAAUUCCAAUUUCUUCCAACCUAAGUUUUUUCCAAAUAUUAUCUAAUAUAAUGAGGACUCGCUUCUCUUUCGUCAAUCUUUGACAAAGUUGUUUUGCUCUGUGGGGUUUGCUAUCAUUCAAGUCAAAGUUCAUGUCUAAAUCGGAAGCGAGCUUGUCUUGAAUUUUCUGAACAUCUGGGUUCUCUGUUACCUCAGCCAUAACGACCUUAUCGAACAACUUAUCUUCCAUAACUUGCUUUGCAAUUUGCUUGACUAGCGUGGUUUUACCCACGCCGCCCAUACCGUGGACCCCAAUUAUGUUGAGCUUAUCAUCCCUCAAUGCCUCCACAACAUCUUGAAAUAAUUUCAUUCUUGAAUCAAAGGCCUCGAAAUCUUUCGCUUGCAUAUGUUCUGUACUCUCUGGAGCAGGACGGUGGGAAACACUAGAGAAGUUGCCUUUUCUCACGAGACUAGCGGCAGCUUCUGCGGCCUUUACUGCUUGUUUACUAAGUUUAUAACGAGAAAUCAAGUUGGGGCACAAUCCUUUGAAGCAGGACUUCUUAGCUCUAUCUUCAUCAUCAAUGAUGGAUUUUGCAACCCCUUCACUGAUGCAUUCAUCAACGCCAUUAAGCCAGUCUGCAACAUCCUUGUAAAUCUCAUCUCUUUGUUGAGUAGCCUGACGAACGGGUAUUCCCACCCUUUCUCUUUUAUAUUCCAGCUGCUUCACUUGAUCUUUUAGCUCAGCUAUGUAGCUCUGGUACUUGAACACAUAAGAUAUCUGCCGCAUAAUCCGUUCGAGCAAUGCCUUUGCACCUUCUGAUACAAUGCUUGAAAAAGCUUCGAGACCCACUUCUGAAGCCAUUGCCUAGCCUGUUGCAUAUAUAUAUACAUUAGCCGAUGGAAAAAUUGGAUUCAAAUAAAUUAAAGUGAUCCAGAGGGAAGGACAAAGAAAGAAAUGACAACGAAUGACUUUUUAAACAAAGGUUUCAAGAGCCUGAAUCGAAAACCAACAAUUUGAAAAAAAAAAAAAGAAUUGGAAGAUGGAUGCAAAUUAACCAUUGCUAAUACUACAUAAGAACACAUAAGUUAACAAUGAACAGUUACUUAAGAAAAUUAAAUGACAAGAUUAAAACAAACAAGCGCUAUUUUUUCUUGGACAAAUGUACCUGUUUAAUUAUUAAAGACUUAAUGAGCUUCACUAUUGGCCUUGAGUAUAUAAGAAUGAGCAAGAGAUCAAUGUCAACUGCAGAGGAAUGUCAGUAAAGGUUUCAUGAGAGUGAGUAAUACAAAUGAAUUGUAAAAGAACAAGACUUAAGCGUGCACCCCCUGUUUUGUUUUAUUCGUUAUGAAAAUGAUAUUGUACCCAAUUUUAAGAGAGCAUAAUAAUAACCAUUUAAUGCAUAAAUUUAGAAUUAGCUUUUUUUUUUGUAAUUCUUUAUUUAAAUAUACACGUCAAUGGAAAAUUUUGAAAAUUUGGAUACAAAAUUUUAAAUCACCAGAAAAAAAAAAGCACGGGAACGGAAAUAGAGGAAUCUUGUUUUACCUUUUUUUUUCCCCCCUUUAACUCUCGUUCUUAUAUAAAUAAUCUUGUUUUGAUGAUUGUGACUCGUGACUGCGGGAAAAAUUCUAAUGGAAACAACUCAAUUUCGGAAGAUAAGCUUAAUUCUGCAAGUGAUGAAUUUGUUCAAUAGACUCUGUACCUGAACUCGUUGGAUUGGUUGAUUGAUGAUUGACUAAAUUUGAAUUAAGUUUAAUAGCUUAGCUAUCAUGUACUCCUUAAAAGCAAACGUAAAUCUUUUUUAGAUUUGACUGAAUUUGGGAACCUGUUGGAUUGAUUGUUUUUAGAUCAUUAAUAUCAGAUACUACAAACGUAAAUAUUUUCUUGUGGUUGAGUCCUAUUCAAAUCACACAAAAUUGCACGACCAAAUAUUAAGAGAACGUAAUAAUAAUCACUCAGUGCGUAAGGGUAAAUUUAGAAUUACGUAUUCUUUUUUAUUUAAUAAAAUCCCAGCGAGAAAAUCAUAAAAUUUAGAUAUAAAAUUUUCAAUCACCAAACAAAAAACAGGGGGAAUGAAAACACAGGAAACUUGUUUUACCUUUUUUUCAUCUAACUCUUGUUCUUAUAUAAUAUUUUCCCUAGUGUUUCAGGCAAGCAAAAAAAAAAAAAAAAUCAAUAAAGAGCAAGUUGCUCAAAUUGAUUUAUCUUGUUUUUCAGGCAAUCUUGUGAUAUGAUGAUAAUGCUUAUGAAUGCUAGAAAAACUUCUAAUGCAAACAACUCUAUUUGGGAUGAUAAGCUUAAUUUUACAAGUGAUAAAUAUAAAUAACUUUUUGUGGUUAAUUCAAUUUGUAAUUACCCUUAGCCCUAUUCUAAAAUUUGUUGGCUGCUUCAGAAAAAAAAAAAAAAAAAUUUCACUCAUCUUUAAUCUUCAAGUAAAAAACAAAUCUAAUAAAAUGACAAACAAACAAACAAAUAAAAGACAGCAAACAAACAACAUUUAGCCAACUGAUAUUUAAACAGGGAUUAGAGUUUUUGUUAUUAACUGAAAGGUUUCAAGGGUCUGAAUAAAAUCCCAGACUUUUUUUUAAAACUUUUUUUUUAAUUAACCAAAGCCAUAUAAUAAGAUCACAGACUUUAACAAUGAACAAUAAUUUGAAACUCAAGCAAAACCAAUCACAAGAUUAAAACAAACCAGAGAAUUUUUUUCUUGGAAAGUAGAUGAAAAGCAAGUAAGAACUGCUAUUAAAGGAUAUUAUUAAAGGAUUUAGAACAUGUAUACCUCUUUAUUUAUAUGGGAUCAGAGAGUCGAUGACCUUCUCUAUUCGCUUCGGAUAUUUAGUAAGAACUGCUAUCAAAAGAAUGAAUUGAUGAGUAAUAACAAUGAAUUGCAAAAGAGGAAGACUUAAUCACGUACCCCUAUUGUACCCGAUUUUUAAGAUUUAAUUUUGAAGUCCAGAAUCAAGACAAAAGACGAAGCCUUAACAAAUAUGCAGUGAGAAUAGUUAAGUUGAAGAAAGCACUAGUUUAUGGCUCUGUGUUUCAUAUGCCGUAUUGAAAUAAUUAAGUUGAAGUUUUCAACGAAUAAAUACCUGGUGUGCUGGAAUAAUUUUAGAAGAAUAUUGGCUUAUAGAGAUUAGAGCAUAUUAGGAGGGAUCAGAUUUGUAAGAUGCCUGAUAAAAGAUAAAGCGAAUGUUAUUAUGGACAUACCAAUUUCCGACUUUUCGGAGUGCAUCCGUCUAUCCAUGACUUGAAAAGAGACCCAAUGUGUGGACAGACUUGAUUACAUNNNNNNNNNNNNNNNNNNNNNNNNNNNNNNNNNNNNNNNNNNNNNNNNNNNNNNNNNNNNNNNNNNNNNNNNNNNNNNNNNNNNNNNNNNNNNNNNNNNNNNNNNNNNNNNNNNNNNNNNNNNNNNNNNNNNNNNNNNNNNNNNNNNNNNNNNNNNNNNNNNNNNNNNNNNNNNNNNNNNNNNNNNNNNNNNNNNNNNNNNNNNNNNNNNNNNNNNNNNNNNNNNNNNNNNNNNNNNNNNNNNNNNNNNNNNNNNNNNNNNNNNNNNNNNNNNNNNNNNNNNNNNNNNNNNNNNNNNNNNNNNNNNNNNNNNNNNNNNNNNNNNNNNNNNNNNNNNNNNNNNNNNNNNNNNNNNNNNNNNNNNNNNNNNNNNNNNNNNNNNNNNNNNNNNNNNNNNNNNNNNNNNNNNNNNNNNNNNNNNNNNNNNNNNNNNNNNNNNNNNNNNNNNNNNNAUUUAAUAAUUAUAGAAGAAUAUUGGCUUAUAGAGCAUUUUAGUAGGGAUAAGAUUUGUGGACAGAAUAAAUGAAAUAAUAAAAAGCAUAACUGAUCAAGUCAUUAUUGAUCUUACUUUGAUUAUUACAUUGCACAUUAGUUUCUUUCUAAAAAUGCCAUUCUUCAUUCAAGCUUUCGCUUUAUCUUUUAUCAGGCAUCCUACAAAUCUUAUCCCUACUAAUAUGCCCUAUAAGCCAAUAUUCUUCUAAAGUUAUUAAAUGCCAUUCUUCAUUCAAGCUUUCAUGGACAUUAUCUACAAACUGAAUCUUCAAUGUAAUAAAAUAAUGAUCAGCCUCACAGGAUACAUAAAAAGCUCAUUUAUCACAAUCAUUUCCUAGUGCAUCAUAAACUUAGAUUAUUUAAUUUUACUAUUAGGAAACCUACUUAUAAAAGGCGCACACUACAAAUUCUAAAUUAAAUUUCUAACUAAGAAUAAAAGGUAAACCCUAGCAAUUUUCCACCAGGUGCCGUGUAGCCUGCAUCAUAAAUUUUGAUUUAAAUCUUUGUAAUCACCGAACAGAAAAACCGGGGAAUGAAAACAGAGGAGCCCUAUUUUUCCAUUUUUUUAACCCUUAACUCUUGUUCUUCUAAUUAUAUUUUUGCUUGGAAUUUCAGGCAAACGAAAAAAAAUAGUGACAACUAUUUAGAGAGAACAGGUGGAUGAUAGCAAAAAUAUUUUUAAUUAAUAUGCAUGAUUAACUCUUGUUCUUCUAAUGUAGUGGCUUGAUUAAUUAAUAUUUUUAAUCAAGCCAUUACAUUAUUGGUAGUCUCUGUGGGCUCAUUUCGUCUCCAGACCUGAUAUUGUAUAUCUCUUUUUGAAUAUGUUUAAUUAAUAUGCAUGCUGCUGAAUAAAGACGAUGAUUUCCAAAUUUUUGUUGCUUUUUUUUUUUCUUUUUGCUGCUUUGGUACAUGAAGAAUGUGGAAAUAGAAAUAGCUUUCGAAGUUUAAUGGCUUGCUUCAUUAGUAAAGAAAGACUAGGAUAUCCGUCCUUUUUGUUACUGAAUUAUUGAUCAAUUGACGGUUGAAGUUAGUUAUAUUAAUUUGUUGUACAAGAAUUGAAGCUUAUAUCUUUACCGUUUCGUGAAAGUGUCAAAUAUGUUCUUUCCUUGCAAUUGUUCAAAAUAUGUUACACUUUUGAAGUCACUAUUACAUAAAGGGUGUUGUAAAAUAGGGAAAGGCGGGUUUAUGAUUAGAUUUUAAUAUGUUUAAUUCAAGGAUUAACCGAAGCUAUUAACCAACGGCUACUAACCGAAAACCGAAUUUAACAAUAAACACUAACUCAGAAUUCAAGAAAAUUAAAUGACAAGAUUAAGACAAAUGAGAGAUAUUUUUCUUGGACAUUAAGAAAGAACUACUAUCAAGAUCAAGGAUUAGAGAUUAUAUAUGCUAUUAUUAAUAGAAAUUAUUAAAGGAUUUAGAACAAGUUCACCUCGUUGAUUAUCUGGGAUGAUGAGUUUCUAUAUUCACCUUGAAUAUAUAAUAACAAUUUUAGUGAGCAAAAGAUCACUGGUAACUGCAGAGGAAUGUGUGAGUUUAAGAGCUUAUUAGAGUAAGCAAUACAAAUGAAUUUUCAAAUUAUGUACUUGGUCAUUGUUGUCCUACUGACGCACGUUUUUUUUCAUGAAUAAUUGCCAGAUCAGAAAAGAAUAAGUUCGGUGGAUUGAAAGAUUGCUGAAGCAAGUAAAACAAUCUUCAUAUCGAACAUGAUUCCAAUUAAAUUAAUCUUUUUAUAAGAUGACUAAUAAAAGACAAAAGUAGAAGCUUUGAUGAAUGAACGAUGACCAAAACUUUUGUAAAAGCGGAUGCCGAUAAAAUAAACAAAAGGCACUUUAAAAAGAAACUAAAGUGCGAUCAUCAAAGUAAGAUCAAUAAUGACUCGAUUUAUUUCACCUAUUCUGUCCACAAAUGAUGCUUCGCUAUUACAAGGUCCGAAUGGACAUUAUUUACAAAUUGUUCUUAUGUUUCACAGAAAAAUGAAAAACCGUUCAUCAUCAUAUAAUUAUGAAAUAAAUAAAUUUUAUUAAUGGAUUAUGGGGAUAUGUUAAUGUUAGGGAUAUGUUCAAAUCAUCAUAUAAGUUACUAAACGCUUCAACAAGAACAAGAAUUAAUGAGUUAAAAGUAAAAAAAAAAAAUUUUAAAAAAAGUUAAAUAAAUAAAACUUAGAAGUAAAGAAUGUUAUUUGCAAUCACCAAAAUGAAAACAGUGGAACCCUGUUUUUCCUCUCAUUUCUCUUUCUCUCUUUUUCAUUUGUUGGGAAGUGUCGCCUAAAACACUUCCUCUGCUAGGUGGAAUUAUUGGCUUGAAGAGAUGAGUUCUUGUCACAAGCACAAAUUUUAUCUGUACAUUAUUUCAUUUUAAAUGAUGAGUUCUUGUCACAUGAUCAUUACUUUUUUUGUUUUGAUUUGGUUAGUUCAUGAUAACAAACAAAUUAUUUUGCAUCACAUUAUGGUAAAAAGUUGCCCUCUUUGUUACUUCCACAGCUAUAUAGUUUAAUAUUUUGUAAUAAGAUCACAAAGUGCAUGGGAACCACUGUUCGAGUACUUCAGCCUAAUAUGAAGAUCUAUUGAAAAUUUUCCUGAUGUCAUGAUAUUAAACAAAAAAAGGUACCUCUUUUACUAAUUAAUAAGAGAAGUUUUGACCGAUUUCAUGUGACUCUCUUUUACUAAUUAAUAAGAGAAUUUUUGGCCUUAUAUCCUUGCUGUGGCGUUAGACUGUUGGUCAUUUUGAUUGUUUCCUACUUUCCGUUUACGCCAGCUGUAACAUUGUAUUAUCACCAUUUUAGCCAUUUAAAUGAAAUUUAUUUUUGUCAAAAAUAAAAUGACACCCUUAAAAUUAAAAAAAAAAUAGUUAUGUAGACCUCAAAUUUUUAAUAAAGAAUGCCAAUACCCCUUUUAACUACAAGAUUCUUAGUAGAUGAUAACUAAAAAAAUUAACUUCAAAAAUUUUCACUAAAUAUAAAUCUAAUUGAAAUAGUUUAAAUUUUCUAGUAGACUAAUAUAUAUAACUUAAAUAAUUAAUUUCAUUAUUAAUUUUUAAAAUGUUAAAUAAUAUAUUUUAAUUUAUUAUAAAAAAUUUAAAUAAAUUCUUGGAUUAGAUAGAUUUUACAAUUAAUGUAAUACUGCUGAUUUAUUAAUAAUAUUAAAAUUAUUUUAUAUGAUAUUCAAAAUAAUUUAAACUUUUAUAUAUUUAUUUUAAUAUUAUGUCUAUUUAUUAUAAAUUUAUAAUUUGGUUUAAUAUAAUACGGGAUUGUAAAAUAUUAAAAUAUUUUUCAAUAUCAAAUUAUUUUAAUAUGUAUAUAUCAUUACAUUUAUUUUAAUAUUGCAUUUAUAUUUAUUAAAGAGUAUUGCAGUAAAGUAAAAAAAAAAAAAGUCUUAUUAUCCCUUAUUCACGAUAUGAGGUUCUACAGAAUUAUUUCCCCAAACGGGUGUCCUUUUCUCAUUUUCAAAAGAAAAAAUAAAGUAAGAAUAAGACCAUGGAUUUCAAAAAACUUAUAGUCCUAUCCCGGGACCAAACGUCUAUUCAUUAUUUUAUUUAUUCAAUAUAAAUGGCCAACUUAAAAAAAUGAUAAAAAUCACACAAAGCUCAAGUGAAAAUUUAGAAUUACAUUUUUUAAUACUCUCGGAGUCUUCUCUCCUGCCCCCUUUUUUUCUUAAAAAAAAAAACCUUAGUGUAAAAUUAGAAGAAUUUUAGAUAUAAAAUUUGACAAUCGCUAAACAGAAAAGCAGCGGAUUAAAAAUAGAGGAGCUCUGUUAUCAUUGCAAUAUUGAUUAUAGAUAAUAUAAUAACUUGUUGUGGUUCAUUGUAGCACUCUGAGCCAUACUUUAAAAUUUACUGGUUUGUUAAUGCUUUUAUUAUUGACAUUAUUGUGUCAAUAUUAUUAUAAUUUAUUCAUUUUAUUGUAAUGAUAAUUUGUCUAGUCUUAGGUACUUAUUAUAUUAAAUUAUGUAAAUUAAUUGAGAAUACUUUUACAGACAAAAGAAACACGUGUAUGUAGGAUUAAUAAGCGAAGAGUUGUAAAUGAAGCUGAUUGCUUCAUUGAGAUGCAUAUUAAAUAAUUAUGGAGAGUUGCUCUAUUUCAGAAGCAUAUAUUUAUACUUCCCUAUCAGGAUUUGGGGUAAGCGAAGUGCUUUAUGUAUUGCAGUAAGCAAAUGUGGGCAACAUCAGAGCCGAAAUAUUAAAAGAUCAUAACGCAUAUAAACGAUUAGUAUAUUCAAGGCACAUAUAGCGGAAAGAGUGCAGAUCUGGCCGUAACUAUUAUGAGGAUUUCCUCAAGUAAAUAUUAAAAGAACAACUAUUCUGAACUAUAUAUUCUUCAUUGUGGGCAGAUUUACUUAAAUACCAACACAAUGAUUCAAUACUUCAAAAGUCAAGGAAAUGUCAAAAUAUGAAAUGAAAAUACUUAAAUACCCUUCUCCCUAACAAAACUUAGUACUUCUAACUGCCAUCGCAGAGAAUAUAUAAAAUUUAAAAAAAAAAUCAUCCAUGAAAAGUUUCGUAACAGAAAAACCGUCUUUCAAAAAAUAAAAAAUAAAAAAUAAAAACAGAAAAAUUGACUCAUUUAUCUGCCAAUGAACCAGUCGGGACUCAUUUAAAAAAGAUUACAAAGCAAAAGUAAAUGACACAAAUUGCAUAGAUAUCUAAGAGCCGCAUCAAAGGACAAAGGUGUUAAUUUGUCCAAGUAAUAAAUUCUCCUAGGUCAAAAGCAAUUAACGAUGAAAACUUUCUUCAUUAAGGUUCUGGCCUACGUAAAAAAACAGAAAAAACCACCCCAAGGUCAAAGCACAACGAUAAGUUUAGAAUUGCAGUUUUUAAUUUUUCUUUUUAAUAAAUCAACGUGUAUUAAAAAUAGAUAAAAAUUUUGAAUAAUGUUUUUUUGAUAAAUAUAGACAUAAAAUUUAAAAAUCACCAAACAGAAAAACAGGGCAAUUAAAAGAGAGCCCUUGUUUCUCCUCUGUUUUGUUUGUUAUUAAACGGGGAAAUGAAAAGAUCGCAAGCAUAAAUUUUGUUUCUGCGUUGUCUCUUCUCAAUGUUGCAUGCAUUCAAAUUAAACCUUAUAUAUGAUAGCAAACUAGCUACUCUGCAUGUACGAUAAGUCUAAAUAAUAGAAUAAUUGUAAAAUGUUCAAAUUCAGUAAUUAAUUAUACAUAUUUAUUUAUUCAAAAAUUAUUAUUAUUAUUAAUUAUUGUCAAUAAUAUAUUAAUAUACUAAUUAAUUAUAAAAAUUUUUAUCAUUCAUAACAAUAACAAUGAUGAUGAUGAUGAUAAUAAUAAAAAUUCAAAAUAUAUUAAUUAAUUAUAAUAAUAUAUUAAUUAUUUAAUACUAAUAAUAAUAAAAAUGUAAAAUGUAUAAAUUGAUUAGAAUAGUUAUAUUAAUAAAUUAUAAACAUAUAUUAAUUAAUCAUAAUAAUUUUUUAAUUGAGGACAAAAUAGACAUUUUAUAGUUUGUGAGAGGGGGCAAAAUGGUCAAUUUUGGGAAUGGGAGAUUGAUUCCCACCACCUUCCUUGGGAAUCAAUUUUCCAUUCCUCAUUCCUAAAUUUGGGUGGCCCCAUAAUUCUGAUUUGGAUCCCUGCCUCCAUCAUUAAUGAUUUCGAUUUCGGAUUCCGAUUCCCCAAUCCAAGAAGUAAAGGCACCAUUAUUGUUAAUUGGUUCAAACACACAAAGAGAAUGUACCGUGUAGCUAGGCGUCAAGGUUGUGUUGCACAAGUAACCUUUUUCUUUUCUUUUUAUUUUUCUUGUUUUCCUUAACGGAUCAGAAGAAAUUGGUGCCUUUGAGAUACCACAAUGUAAAUAAUUAUUUGUGGUUCAUUGAAUCUGUAACACUCGGUACCCUAGGGUUGCUUUGGAAAAAGGGCUUUUCUCACCGAUCGCCAAUAUCCAAGUAAGUUUGUUUCAUUUCAGAAGGUGCAAAGUUUCAAACUUGUUGUAUUGGGAUGUAACAAACUUUGGCCUUAUAUGCCUGCUGUGACGUGAGACUGUUCAUUUUGAUUGUUUCCUACCUUCCACUUACGCACUGUAGCACUGUAUUAUUCACCAUUUUAGCUGUUUAAAUGAAAUUUUAUUUUUGUCAAAAAUAAAAUGACACCAUUAAAAUUUAGAAAAAUAAUCAUGUAGAUCCCAAAUUUUUAAUAAAGAAUACCAAUAUUCCCCUUGACUACAAUACCCUUAGUAGGUGGUAAUAAAAAAAAAUUGGCUUAAAAUUUUUACGAAAUGUAAAUAUGAUUUAAAUAAUUUAAAUUUUCCAGUAGACUACUAUAUAUAAUUUAAAUAAUUAAUUUAAAUAUUAAUUUUUAAAAUGUAAAUUAAUUUAUUUGUAUUUAUAAAAUAUUUGUAAUUAUUUUAAAAUUUAACUAAAUCCUUAGGUUAAAUAGAUUUUACAAUUAAUAUAAUAUUUCUCAUGUAUUAAUAAUAUUAAAAUUAUUUUAUAUGAUAUUGAAAAUAACCUAAAUUUUUAUAUAUUUAUUUGAAUAUUAUGCUCUAUUUAUUAUAAUUUGGUUUAAUAGAAUACGAGAUUGUAAAAAAUUAAAAUUUUUAGAUAUUGAAAUUAUUUUAAUAUGUAUAUAUUAUUAUAUUUAUUUUAAUAUCCUAUUUAUAUUUAUCAUAAAUUAUUAGAGUUAAUUUUUUUAGUUAAUAAAUUUAAAAAAUAUUAUAAUUUAAAAAAAAGUCUUGUUGUCCGUUAUUCACGAUAUGAGGUUCUACAAAAUUAUUUCUCCAAACGGGUGUCCUUUUCUUUUUUUCAAAAGGAAAAACAAGUUCAGGGCCUCAGGGGUUUCAAAAAAUUCUGGUCCUAUAUACCACUAUGACUAAUGGGAAACGACAUUGCAAUUGACAUUGCUUUCCACAAUAUGAUAGAUUAUUGGAGGGAUAUGAGAGAAUUGUCAAACGUUCACACACGCGAGAGCUUUAGGUGGGAUAGGGGAGGAUUGUCAAGAGUUCACACCACGAUAAACUAAUGAUAGGCCUAAUUUUGUUGUCAGUUCUUUAUUUAUUUAUUUUAUGUAUAUCAUACAUUAUUGUAUUUUGUCAAGGUAUAAUAGUACAAGUAAAAUACUAGGGGUGCUGUUAAGUUACAACUUAUGUAACUUGCAAUUUUUUCAAAAAUUAUGUAAAAAAUUUAAUAGGUGGUGGAACCCACAUAUUUUUUAAGAGACUUAAGUUACAGCAGUUGUAACUUAACAAAAUCUAAAUAUUAGACAAUAAUGCAUAUAAUUUGGGUUUGAUUUUUAAAAGAUUAUUUGAGUACCACCUAUCCUUAUGAUAUUAAUGUGAUUAUAUCUUAAUAUUAAAUAAUCAAAAUUUGUUUAAUUAUUAUUUGUAUUUCAUACAUUACAUAUUAGAUUUGUUUGAAUUUUAAGUUGUUGCUAAUAAAUAUUUAUGUUGUCAAAGUCAAAGUCAAUAGCUACAAAAGUAGAGAUAAUGGUAUUGUAUAUAGUUUUUAAGAAUGCAAGGAUAAGCUGGAUAAUUGACAUAAAUUCUAAUGAUUAAAAGAGCAACUAUCCCUUAAGUUAUAAUGUCAAUUUCUUUAAUUAGAAUUUUUUUUUCAUGUGAUAUAACCUUAAUUGCUACAAUUUUUUUUAUAAUAAUAAUGGGAGUUAUAAAUUAUUUAUAUAAAAUUUGGGUUGAAACUAAUGUAACCUAAAAGUGGUUGCUGAAUAACAAUAUUUGAAACUUUAGGUAAUUUUCAUGAGUCCUUUUUAUAUUCAACAACUUGAAUUGGGGGAAAUCCGACUUGAAUUGGCGGUUGAUUUUGGUGAUGUGGCUUUCGGUUUACGCCGGCUUUACAGUGGCGGAAGACUGGAUUUACGGUUGCCGACUGCUAGGGAUUAUGGUGGUAGUGUAAAUUGACGGAAAAAGAAGGUGUUUUGGUGGCGGCGCGUCUAGGAAGCACUCGUGGGUUGUUGUUUCGUGUGGUGACAGCGGGCGGCGAUCAAGGGCUGAAGUUGGUCGGUUUUUGGUCAGCAGAGGCCGGCGAGUUUGUUGGUGGAGGUGGCUGGUGGAGAAAGUGGCUGAAUGGUGGUGGGUUGCUUGGUGGAGCCGCGGGUUUGGGUUGGUGAUUUGCGGCUGUUCAAGCGGUGGUUGAGGCAGCGAUGACUAAGGCUUGGUCGACGGUGGCUAGGGAGGUUUGUGGUGGUGUUGGCUGGCUGAUCGGCGGUGGUGGACGGCGGUGGAGGUUGAUGUGACAGGUAGGGUUUUCAAAUUUGUAAAUUUUUUUUUUGAUGGAUUUGGUUUGGAUAGGUAUGGUGUAUCUAGGAAAGAUGUGCGAUUCGCACAUAAUCAUUUUGAUACCAAUUGAUGGAGCGAGGCGUAGCGGAAGCAGAAUUGAUAGGGUAAGAAACAUUAGAUAUCGUUCUAGUACUAGACCAAGCCAACACGAUUAGUUUACGCUCUAAUUGAAGCGUGAUUAGAUAUCGUUAUAAUCCAAAUGACUCAGUGAGAUUUUUAAUAACGCGUAAUACGAGAUUAGAUGACACUCUAAUCCAAAUGACUCUACAAAAGAGAUUUUGAUAACUAAUCCUAGAGGAAAUUAUAAAAGAGGGGGUUUAUUUAAUAAUUGAACUUGAAGUUAUGAAAAUAAUGACAAGACAUCUUUAUUUUUUUUAUUACAGGCAUCUUUAUUUAUAAUAGAAGAAACCCGCUUUCCUAAGUUAACCUAAAAAGAAAAUUUAAAUCAUAAUUAUAAUGGAAAUAAAAGAUUAAGAUACAUACCAUAAUUAACUCAAACUAAAAUAGAAAAUCAUAAAAUAAUAAAUAUUCUAGAAUUAUAAAUUAUCUAAAAUAACGUUAAUUAACUUCCUAAAUCACUUCUUUGGUGUAAACCAUUUUGCAUCCAUCCUCGCUUUAAAGGUUUGAACCAACGUUACCAACAAUAAUGUAUCAAAGUCCAAUCUAACUUAAGAUCUUGAUACAUCUACCGAUGUCCUUGUUUGAUUAGACAAUAAUGAGUCUAUCUCAUCACUUGUUACCUCUUUCUUGAAGGCUGCAUCUGUUGAAGUGAUAGUCUCGCUUAGAGUUUAAAGAUCUUCUUCCAUGUUAAAUAAAAUGGGCAUUUGAUUAAAAAACUUUAUCUCUAUCUCCUUCUAUCAAAUAACGACAACUAUCCGAAGGAAAAAAAAAAUAGAAAAGUCCAUGGGUCACAAUAAUUUAUGGUCUGUCCCCGGACCCCAUUAUCUGCCACUAUCAAUGAUGAAAAUGAAAAUAAAUGGCAUCUUCCCAAAAUGGCGAAAGAUUUUUGGGGGAUAUGGGGGAAUUGUCAAAAGUUCACACAACGCGAAACAAGUGUUACAUCCAAUUUUAUUUCGUCAUAUAAUGAUAAUAUCAAAUAAUGACAACCAUCCAAAAGUAUGAUGGGUCUUCCAAAAUUUUGAAAAUGUCGUCAACAUUUAAUCUUCAAUGCUAAAGAAGAUGAAAUGACCAAAAAUGACACGCAUGACUCACUCACAGACUAAAUGGCUCUGACCACAUGUAACAAACUUUGAUCUUAUGUCCUUACUGAGGCGUUAGACUGUUGGUCAUUUUGAUUGCUUUUUACCUUCCAUUUAUGCCAUUGUAGCAUUAUACUAUUCACCAUUUUAGCUGUUUAAAUGAAAUUGUUAUUUUUUUUCCAAAAAUAAAAUGGCACCCUUAAAAUUUUAGAAAAUAGCCAUGUAGACCCCAAAAUUUUAAUAAAGAACACUAAUAUCCUUUUUUACUAUAGUACUCUUAGUAGAUGGUAACAAAAAAAAAAAUGACUGUAAAAGUUUUUACUAAAUGUAAAUAUGAUUUAAAUAUUUUAAUUUUUCUAGUAGACUAGUAUGUAUAAUUUAAAUAAUUAAUUUUUAAAAUGUAAUUUAAUAUAUUUAUUUUAAUAAUAUAUUUAUUAUAAAAAUUUUAAACAAAUCCUUGGGUUAAAUAGAUUUUAUAAUUAAUAUAAUAUUUCUCAUGUUUUAAUAAUAUUAAAAUUAUUUGAUAUGAUAUUGAAAAUAAUUAAAACUUUUAUAUAUUUAUUUGAAUAUUAUGUCUCUAUUUAUUAUAAUUUGGUUUAAUAGAAUCAAAUGAAAGUGUACAUGUACAAGAAGAAAGAACCAUACACCAAGUAAAACGUAAAAAGGAUUAAAUAAAUGACACCAAUCCCCGGCAACGGCGCCAAAAUUUGAUGGUUGUCGAAGCCAACAAAAAUAAAUUCCUACUCUAAAUAAAUUGUGUAUAGUGAUUGAGCAGGGUCGUGUCCACAGAGAUCGGUAAUUAUUUAAAUCCUUUUAAAACGUAAAACAUAAAAUGGGGGUUUUGUUGACAAUAAUAAAAAUCAAAUUAAAAUAACAAGAAUGCAAAUUAAAGUUGUAAUUCAAAUUAGAGAAAGCUCUGGUUGAAGGAAUUAACUCAGCUUGAUUCGACUACUGAUCAUUGAUUCAAAUAUAGAUUAUUAUUACUUAUUAAUAGACCGGUUAUAGCUAUUGAGACCCUCUAAUAGCCAAUUUGUCCUUAACUAGUCGAUAACCAAGGUACGACCGUCAGAUAUUUCCCUAAUCAACAGACAACCCUAGAUACGAUCAUAGGAUUUAAUCAAUUGACAGCCUGAAAAACCAGAGAGACCCAAAUCCUAAUCAACACAUAUGAUGAUUCAUUUAAAUUAGAUUGUUUAUUCUCAUAACACAACUCACUGCUAUGUUAUUUGUCACAAACAUUAAAAUCUUCAUACGAUGAAUCCUUUAAUUGACAAUAGAUUAAGUUGAUAAUUAAAUAGUGGCCAAUUACCUAAUUAACAAACAUAAUCAUGAAACUAAUUCAGAGAAUAAACAAAUACCCAAAAAGUAAUAAAACAAUUAAAGCAUAAGAAAGAUCUCACAGUAGUGAUGAAUCAAAGCUUCAUUAACCUUCAACCAGAAAAAUAAGUUUAGUUCUUCAUAGAGAGAAGAGAAAAAUUAGAUCUAGGGUUUUUUUCUUUUUCUCUCAUCCCCCUUUUUCACUAUAGAUUCCUCCCUUAAAUACUCUCUCUCUCUUCUCUUUUAGAGUUCUAAUUAAAAUAAAAUACUAAUAUCUGAAAUAUUAAAUUCGUAAUUACAAAAAUAACCAAAAAUACAAAACAUGUUAAACUAAAAACUACAGGUCCGCAGUUGACAGCACGCGCCCACGCCUUAUCAAGAAAGUUCUUCUGACUCUCUAAAUUUCUCCAAGAGAACAAUCAUCUUUAAACAUCAUCUUAUAACUCAAUUUUAUCACAAAUCAAUAGAAUUGCACCUACAAAAGUACAACACAAGUAAAUCAUUAUUAUUAAGUGCAAAACAUCGAUAUUAAGGGAAGUAGACAAUGCAAAACUAGUGCAUAAAUUGCACUCUAACAAGUUCACACCACGAGAAAUUAAUGAUAGGCCUAAUUUCGUUGUCAGUUCUUUAUUUGUUUAUUUUAUUGAUUUCAUACAUUAUUGUCUUGUUGGUACUAUUUUGUAAAGAUAUAAAAGUACAAGUAAAAUAUUAGGGGAAGUAAAAUAAAAUAUUGGAGGUGCUGCUAAGUUACAGCUGCUGUAACUUACAGUUCCUUCAAAAAUAAUGUAAAAAAUUUAACAUGUGGUGGGACCCACAUUAUGUUUGAAGAGGCCGUAAGUUAUAGCAGUUGUAAAUUAGUAAAAUCCAAAUAUUAGAUAACAAUACACAUUAACAAUGCAUAUAAUUUGGGUUUGAUUUUUAAAAAAAUUAUGUGAGUAUUACCUAUCCUUAAGAUAUUAAUGAGAAUAUAUUUUAAUAUUAAAUAAUCAAAAUCUGUUUAAUCAUAAUAUGUAAUUCAUACAUUGCAUGUUAGAUUUGUUUGGAUUUUAAGUUGUUGCUAAUAAAUAUUUAUGUUGUGAAAGUCGAAUUCAAUAGCUACAAAAGCAGAGAUAAUGGUAUUUUAUGUAGUUUUUAAGAAUACAAGGAUAAGACCAUAACGCAUGAGAUAAUGGUAUUUUAUAUUAAAAGACCAUAACACAUGUAUUUGAGCCAUUUAUAUUGAGGACACAUAUAGAGCGAAGAGUGCAGAUCCGGCCGUAACUAUUGUGAAGCUUUCCUCAAGUAUUCUCAUGCACGCAGACCUUAGCUGGUCAAGUUUUCUGAUUCAAUAUAAUCAAUUUCCGCGCAGUACUAACGACAGCUUCUUUGUAAAGCUCUUCAACCACAAGCAUUUCUACAAGGCAAAAGACUAGGACGUGUCAGAAUGAAUAUCAAUAAGGGAAUGUCUUAUGAAUUUAGUUUAUAUCCUAAUAUAAGACAAUCAAUAAAUAUUAGAUGCAAUCUAAGGGAAUGUCUUAUGAAUCCUGAUUGAUGGCCUCUCACAGUCAGUUAUAUGACAAAGUAGCCACCACAACAAACUUGAACUUGGCUGGAGGUCUCAUUAGCAGUAUACCUCAGAAAUUAAGACAAAGACUUUAAAAUGCAAACUUAUGGAGCAAUUUAAGCACUGAAACUAAUAACAGUACUGUAUUAGCAAUUGACCUCUGCUUUUUUCUUGGACAAAGGUUCUCAUCACAAGGGACUCAUUAGUUGCCCUUGCCUCAAACGUUUGGAUGCUAAGGGGAAAAAGGAAGUUUGAAUUAGUCAAUCUCAUUUCUAAUGGCAUUCACAGAGAACCUAUAAAACAAAAAAAUUAUAAAAAAAAAAAUCAUCCAUAAUUCGCCAAACCGAAAAGAAAAACAGGGGAAUGAAAAGAGAGCCCACGGGAAUGAAGAGAUCAGCUCUUGUCGCGAAAAUGCAGUCGACUGUAACUAUAUCCGGGUCCCUAGUACUUAGAAGUAAAUGCUCUUGGAAUUUCUAUUAUAGAUUGAUGUUUCCCGUUCAAAUAGCUCUUCCGAUACCAUUAACAUGUUCAUCUCUCUAUAGAUUGAUGUUGACAUAGAUGUUAUUCUACUUUUGCUAGUGGAGUUUUCCUUGUACAGGUAUGUAUGAUUGUUUUUUUUGCACUUCUAAAUGGACACUGUUGAAAAGCUUAAAAUUGAACUGAUAAUUUUGUUUGGAAGCUCAGAAAAUUCAUGAGAAAGUGAAAUAGAAUAUUCUGGAUUUCUUUUCUUUCCAUAAUAUACAAAUGACAAACGUAGCAGUAUUUAUACUCGUUGCUUACAUCAUAAAAACAGAAUUAAAACAAGGUACACAACUAUAACAGAAUCAAAAGCGUGCUUAACUAAUUGGCAGAGCUGGCAUAUACUUCUUUAACUAACAAUGCUGCUGACUGGACUUUAGCUCACACAUGCUUAUCGUGCAGCUACUCUUAGUUCACACGUGCUCAGUCUGCUGUUGGCCCAAAGUUGGAACCAGAGAUAUCAUGACUCUGGUUUCAUUUCACCUCAACUGUGUUUUUUUUUUUAAAUUAAAAAAAUCAUUUGUUUUAGGUAUACAUACAUGUAUUUUGAUUCUAUUUUCAUUGUAAUUUCUCAUUUACUUUGAAUGAAAGUCAUUGGUGUUUUCGAAUGGGAAUUUUGCAUUAAAAAAUGAAGAAUAGUGAUUUUUGGAGUGUAAUUAGUAGUAAAGUUGGUUUUUACUCGCAAACAAGUGAACUGCUCGAUUCCCGAGUGGUAUCAACCAGUUUCCAACUUUUUAAUAUACACUAAUUGUUAUUGUUUAAUAGCUACUACUAUUAAAACUCGACAUCUAACAAAAAUACUUAAAAAAAAUGAUUUUUCUUAUGAUGCUGUAAAAAAAAAUUACGGGUUUACUUCUUUCCAUGAGAUCUAUAACAUGGUCUUGACUUCACGAAAUUCUUUUAAUUUAAAGCUUGCUGGUGUGAGAAGGUCAGUUUGACUGAUUAAUUCUUUUUAACAGUGGUCGAGAUAAUUUUACUAUCUAAUCGAAUGUUAUGCUGUUUUCUUUUUCUAAUCUGGUGUGAGAUAAUUAAUUCUUUUUCACAAAUGCUAUGCUGUUUUCUUAGGCUAAGGAUCUUCUAUCAGGAGAGGUUAGAAAUUCAAUGCUUAAAAGAGAAUAAUACAGAAAUUUAGGCAGAAUCUAAUCGAAUAUUGCAUGAAACAUGAAAAAUCAAUUCAAGUCCUUUCUUUAAACGGAGAAUGCAUCAAACAAAAUCCAAAGUGUCUUGCACGUCUGUAGCAUGAGCAAAAAAUUGUAAAUAUGUAGAACCAAAUUAUUCAAGUACAGAAGAACGAGCAAGCUAAAUCAUGUAUAAGAGAUUGGCCUGGUUCGGGAUAGCUUCUUCACUGUACCUGAAGGAUUGGCUCAAUCUCUUCUUUAGAAUUCUGCAGAUUUUGUAAUUACUCGUGUAAGCAAGCAUACAUUGCCACCAUAAGAAUAAUAAAGCUAGAGUAAUGAUAUGACCACCACCUCUUGUGCACAAACAAUAUUGUAUAAACUAAUGCGACAUAAUAUGAUUGGUUAAACAAAAACAUUACAUGGCCCUCAUAAUUUAUUUAUUUAUUUAUUUAUUUAUUAUUAUAUUUUUUCAGUAAACCAAUCAUAUUAUAUCACAUUAGUUUCUAUAAAAUAAUUUGCUAAAUAGCACCAAAACUUAAUUGAUACUCACCAUUUCAUUGAACAAUUUUUUUAUGGUGUCAUUGAGAUUGCCUUCCCAACAUCCUUCAUCAUCAUCAUCUUCAUCAUCAUCAUCAUCUUCUUCAUCAUCAUCUUCUUCAUCAUCAUCUUUUUCUUCUUCUGUGACGUUCACUUUGUUUAGCAUUGGUGUGUCUAAGACUCCUUGAGAGAAGAUCUUCAUUUUUGGACACUGUCUCACAACUACUGGUUUCAAGGACGGGAAUUCAAGAGCGUAAUUACCCGAACAAAAGCUUGUUAGGCUUGGCAAACAAUCAAGUCCCAAGUACUCCAAUUCCUCGAAGACAACGCAACCUUUCGCUUCUUCUCCAACCUGCAAUUGUAUGAUUUGUUCUAUCAUUUUGCAAUCAGCUAUCUUCAUUCUUUGAAGAGUCACUAGACUUUCAGAUGUUGAGAGCGUCAAUAAAUUUAUCAACCCAUGACACUUCGAUACUUCCAGAGUCGCAAGAUUUUCCAAAUGCCACGAAGCUGGUACUAAUUUCUGCAACUUACUACAUUCAAAUAUUUCUGGACUUUUCAAGUUUGCAAACACUUUGUUGGAUUUGGCAUUUUCCUUCCAGAGAUGCUGCACUUUGUGUAAUCCAGAUAGCUUUAACUUCAUCAAUUGAGGGAAUGCAACCUGAAAAUCAACAAAAUUAAGUUGUAAAUGAAAAUAUGUAUCCAAUCUCUGCAGUCUUCCCCUGCAUAUUUUAUGAACAAGAUUAAUCACGACAUUUUAUAUUUUAUUUCCAAAUUAGUAUGCUUUGCAGUAGGAUCCCAAAUAUAAGUAUCAAAUCGAUUACCCUUUGAAACACAUAAAUGAAAUCUGAUGCUAAAUCCAAUAUGAAUUAGCUAGGAAAACAGAGAUGUAACACGCAUAAUCGAUAUAGUUCAUCGCCUUAUGUCACCAGGCAUCUAAUUAAUUUAAGACAUUUUUAUAAUUCAUACUAUAAAGUUAGUUAAUAACAGAGGUUAUAUUGUUAAAUCAGAUAUAAAUUAAGACGACCUGCAAAAAGAUGAGUCAUUAAGUUUGAUUUGAUUCUAAUGAAAUUACAUCUGUGCGAACGAAAGUGAAGGCAAUAAUAAUAAUAAUAAUAAUAAUCACCUUUUCAUCGAAGAGGGGUUGUACUUGAUGAGCCAGCAAGAAGUUCUCUUCUGAUGUUAAUUUUUGAGGUUUCUUGUUAUCUGUUGUCACGUGCACUAAAGAGUUGGAUAUGAAUGUUUCCAUAUCAGGGCAAUUCUCAAUAGUUAGAUUCUCCAACUCAAGCAUUUCAAUUAUAUUCCCAGUGAAGUUGCAGAAUCUUUUGAGUUUUGGAAGGUCAAUGAGCCUUAGCUCGAAAAGCUUAGGAAACAGGGGACCUAUAUGUUCUUUGUCAGCAUUUAGCACUUCCAAAUGAAGCACCUCUUCCAGUGAAUCACAAUUCCUCACUUCCAACCAUUCCAAAUUGUUCAAGCACCGUAGCAGAUUGGCAGGAAUAGCACUCGACAUAUUCGUGCAGUCAUCCACCACCAGGUGUCUUAAAUUGUUGAAGAAGCUGACAGGCAGUGCUUGGCCAUGCGAUAUUUCUUUCAAACGUGGAAAAUGUGAGAAUUGCAAAAACUCCAUGUCACGAAAUCCAAUCUGCUCAAACCAAAACAAUUGCACUGGAUAUAUACAAUUUUUUUUUUGAAAGGCAUUAGAUAUAUAUAUAUACAUUAAACUUACAUGUUUUGUGUUUUAACUUCUAAAAAUAUAUUUAAAUGUGCAAGUGCAGGGGAGAUGCAUGAACAAUUUGGAUGAAUCGAUUAACACAUACCAUUUCUUCGUAACACUUUUGUAUAGUGGAAUUAAGCUUAUUGCCUUCCCAAUGGUGCAGUUCACCCCCUUCCUUUUCAGUCACUUGCACUUUGCAUGGCUUUGGAAUGGAUAAGAUUCCCUGAGAAAAAGUCUUCAUGUUUGGACAACGUAUCAUAGAAACUCGUUCCAAUGAUGGGAAUUCAAGAGUGUAAUUCUCCAAACAAAAGCUGGUAAGCCUUCGUAAAUCAUCAAGUAUCAAAACUUUUAAUUCGCUGAAAGCAAUACGAUUCUCCUUCGCUUCUUCUCCAACAUGUCCUACGAUUUCUUCUAAUUCUUUGCAAUCCGAUACUUUAAGAUUCACCAGACUACUAGGAAUUCCAACCUGAAAAUAAGCAAAAGUGUGCGCAUGUGUGGUGUAUUAAAAAAGUAUGUUAAUCAUACAAUUAUGCAUUUUAUAAACAUAACAAACCAUGAAAUGUCUACUAGAUAAUUUUUUGUUAAACAAAAACGGAACAAGAUAAAUAAAUAAAUAAAAUCCAGAUAAACAAAGAUAAUAAAAAUACAUUUACACUAUUUAGUAUUAGAAACGUAGAAAUAAUUUAAGGCAAUUUCUAAAUAUUUUAGACUUAUUUUGCAUCUUGAUAUCAGUUUUUAAGCAUAAAUUUGCAAAUUUCAACUAUUCCUUCUUUUUUUUUUAAAAAAAAAGGGACCAUUUUCCUUGGUCCCUUUUUUUUAUGUAUAUUUAAAAAUGGAAAAAAAAAUUUGGAAAAGACUUCCCAAUACUGUCAACGAGGGACUGCUGUAAAGUGGAUCUUUAUUAAGUACUUCCAGACUAGAGGAAAUUUCUUUACAAUCAAGGGUCAGUUGUAAAUAAUCAUGAAUUUGUGGUUAAUUAAUGGCAUAAUCAAUUCGUAACUAAACUAGAGAUAUUAAUUAAAUUUGAAGACUUUUAUUUUCUUUUUUUCUUUUUCCAAUCGAAAUGUGAAGAAUUAAGGAAAAGAGAAAUAUAUAGAUGAAUUCGUGAACCUAUAAGAUGAGUGACGAUCCUUUAAUUUUUGAAAAUCGUACUUAUUAAGAUAUGAGCAAAAACUAUUUAAUUGAAUUAUAUUAUGCUGUUGAAUCGUGUUUAAAAAAUUUAUAUUGUUGAUUCUAAUGCUGACGAACCUAAGAUACUUGAAAUAAAUAAUCAGUUUGCUGGCUGAAUAUCAUUUGUAAACAAAAAAUGGUUAAAAUAUUGUUGGAUGUAAUUUGAAAAAAAAAAGAUUCGAAAUGAAUACAGCAACCUUACCAAUGGAGGAAAAAUAUUCAUUAGGUUAUCACACCCAAUUAUCUCCAAAUUCUUCAAUUUGCUGAAAGACUCCGAAGCAAGCUGGUGGUGCCAUAUUUUUCUCAAAUUAUCCAUCAACCUAAUACGUAAUACCUCCAACCUAGUAAGUCGUACCUGGCAGUUAAAGAUUAAAUAACUAAUUAAUCAAUUAAUGGCAUAAUCAAUUGAUAACUAAAUUAGAGGCGGAUAUUAACUAAAUUUGAAGACUCAAGGAAAAGACAAAUUAAAUAUUGUGACUAAAAUUAAAUUUUUUUAUUAAAAAAAAAACCUUUUUGUCAAAGAGAGGAGGAGGUUGCAUUUCAGAAUGAAUGGUGUCUUCUGGUGAGCUCGUAGAGAUGAAUCUCGACAUACUGUUGCACCAACUAAUCUCGAGGUUUAGCAAAGAAGGGAAUUCAACAACUAAAUCUGAAUGAAUAUGUCCCGUAUUGGCAAAGCUUGUUAGUUCUGGAAGAAAAUGGAGCUUGAGGGAGUGUAGUUUAGGAAAAACCUUUAAUUCAAUCAACUUUCCUUCUUCUCUUUCUGACCACCCCGUGGUGUCGACCACCCCUUCCAUUGACUCACAAGACCGUAUUUCAAGAUGUUGGAGUUGCAAAAGACUAUUAACCAUAGAAUACGAAAACAGAUACUUCAUACGAUGACAACUGCUCACGUACAGCUUUGUUAAAUUUUGACAACAGUACAUUCCUUGAUUAUGAUCGGCCCAUAAUUUUUUCAUGUUUCUUAAGUCCCUGAGAUUCAAUUCCUCUAACCUCGGAAGAAUAACCUGCAAAGAAAACCCGUACAUUUUUGUUCCUUCAAGUACAACCGUCUAGUAUAAUAUUCUUUUGAUGAUCGAAGAUUAAUCGUGAUAAUAAAUUAAUCAAUUAAUUAUUGAACAGAAAAUUAUCACCUUUGGAGCAGUAUCAUCAUCAGCAAUGAUUUCGUUGAAUCCCAAAGAAGUUGUUGGUUUCUCCCUGUCGGGUCCUAUAAACAAACAAAAACAAUAUAUACAUAAUUAAUCUUUGUUGUUUUUUUUUUUCCAAAAUAAUUGAGGAGAAGUCCAUAAUCCCACCAAUACUUAACUUCAACACUCACCAAAAAUCAUUUCCAGAUCACCGCAAAGAGCCACUUCUACCUUUUGAAGCCGCAGUAGGUUUUUGGCCAUGGAGAAUGAGAAAAGAUGCUUCAAUUUGUGACAGGCUUCUACUUCUAUAAUCCUUAAGUUGCUGAAAGAUUGAUCUUCUGUGAGUUGGCUGUCACAUAUUGUCUCCAAAUUGUUCAAAUAGCUAAGAGACAAUGACUCCAGCAAGGGAAAGACUGUACAAUGAACCCGUCCAACUGAACCGACAAUAUGCAAAAUCUCAGAACAACUUUCUACCCAAAGAUGCUUCAAUCGUGGAAAACCUUCCCCAUCAUCUAAUUCAUGAACAACAUUCUGAACACCCUUCAGUUCGUUUAGAUGGAUCUCUUCAGCUUCCUUCAGCAACAUUUUCGUCCCAUAAUUCUCCAAAAGAGUGCUAACAUUUUCUAGCCCAUCGAGCUCCACCAUUCUUGAUGUUUUAGAAUUAACGCCUCACAUGCGCCACGCUUCUCCUAUACAUAUCUUAUAUCUUUGCAAUUCCACAGAGACCAAAUCCUGCGGUAGAAUUUCGGCAUCCCGAACGUGUAUCUCCAAGGUAGUUAGCUUUGACAACCCCUUCAAUUCAGCAAGACUGGCGUUACUUCCUCCUUCAACCUUAUCCCACUGCGAAAAGCUGUCACCCAUAUAUAGUUCUUCCAAUCGUGAAAAUUUUGAUAUGACAUUUGGUGCUAUCACUACAAGGCUCCUACAAUUGCUCAAAUCUAGCAAUUGUAACCGCGUCAAUUGACCGAUUUCAAGUGGUAACUGCUUAAUGUCGGAAUAUCGAAAGCUAAGAAUCUCUAAUUUCUUUAGCUGUCCAAUUGCCGCUACAUCUUCUUGUUGGCACCAGUCUAAACACAAUGUUUGAAGGUUAAUGAGGCGACCUAGUGACGAAAGUAAUGAAGAGAAAUGAAUUCCAGUAAAAUCUAAAACUUUGAGUUCUUCUGUCCCUUCAAAAAAGAGGUCUGAAACUUGCAUAGGGCCAUUACCCUCCGUAUACAACAAAAAUAACUGGAGAUUGGGACAUCCCAACCUUUCGGGAAGCUCUUGAAUAUCUCUAUAAGGUAAAGAAAUAGCAAUUGGACCUUUCUGUAUUGUCUCUUCCAUCUUUUUCUCCACGUCAGCAACAUUUGGAAUAUUAAACAUGCGCUUCUCUGCUGCAAUUGAUACAGCAACAACAUGAAUGACGUCAUGCAUUUUAACUUCAUCUUUGGCAUCACCGUCCAACAAUAAGCAUGAAGAUUUGAGAUUGUCGAUCAACCGAUGCACUCUACUCCUUGCUUCUUCCAAUGUGUAAACAUUUUCAAACAAACCCCAACCCACACCAUGUCUCAAUAAGUCAGAAACGGGUAUGACAUUACCUUCACUGUAUAGACCACAAAGACGGAACAGAGAUUUUGCCUCCUCACUUUCCAAGAAUUCAUAACUCAAUUUUAUGGAGGUGUACACAUUUGCUUGCAUGCCAUGAAUUUCUCUUGCAUCCGAUCUUCUUAGCUGAUUCAAUGCAUCUUGCCAAAAGUAACGCUCCUUAGUUUUCAGAGCAUUUGCAACUGUACUCAGUGCAACAGGCAAACCUCCGCAUCUUUCAACGAUCUCAUUUGCUAUACUUUGAAAAGCAGAUAUUUUAGUUGAAUCACCCACUAUCUUCUCAAAUAACUGCAAUGCUUCUUUUCGUGGCAAAGCAUCGAUCGGGAAAUUUUUCUGAGAAUUCAUAUCAAUGCUCAAUAAAUCUUGCUUUCUAGACGUCAAUAUUAUUGUGCAUCUUCUCUGAUCAUCCUUUCUAUCUUUCUCAGCAACAUCUCCAGAAGGGAUUCCAACCGCAUCCAACUCAAGUCUUGUCCAAAUAUUAUCCAAUAUAAUGAGGACCCGCUUCUCUUUCUUCAAUACUCGACGUAGUCGAUUUGCUCUGUCGAAUAUAUUCUCAUUCAACUCAAACUUUAUGCCUAAAUCUGAAGCGAGUUUGUUUUGAAUUUGCUGAUUAUCUGAUUCAUGUGUUAGCUCAGCCAUAACGACCUUAUCGAACAACUUAUCUUCCAUCACUUGCUUUCUAACUUGCCUGACUAGCGUGGUUUUACCCACGCCGCCCAUGCCGUAGACCCCAAUUAUGUUGAGCUUAUCAUCCUUCAACGCCUCCAUAACAUCCUGUAAUACUUUCUUUCUUGAAUCAAAGGCCUCGUUAUCUUUCCCGCCCCUAGGUGAUUCGCUCUCUGGAGGAGGAUCGUAGGAAACAUCACUCUUCAGUUUGUCGCCUUUUUCCAUGAGAUUAGCAGCAUCUUUUGCGGCCUUUGCUGCUCGUUUACUGAGUUUGUAACGAGACAACAAAUUUGGACACAAUCCUUUGAAGCAGGACUUCUUGGCUCCAUCUUCUUCGUCAAUGAUAGAUUUUGCAACCCCCUCCGUAGAUUCAACCCUACUUCGCCAGUCUUUGACACGCUGAUAAAUCUCUUCCCCUUGUCGGGUAGCAUGAUAAACAUGUUGUUGCACCAUUUCGUUUAUACCUCCCAACUCCUUCACUUGAUCUUUCAGCUCUUCUAUGUAGCUCUGGUACUUGAACACAUAAGAGAUCUGCCGCAUAAUCGGUUCGAACAAUGCCUUUGUGCCUUCUGAUAUAAUGCUUGAAAAAACACCUUGACAGAAUUCUACAGCCAUUGCCUGCUGCUUAACGAUAUAUAUGUAGUUUUUGGCUGUUAAAAAAAAAAAAAUUGGAUUCAAAUAAAUUAAAUGAACUAGAGGGGAAGAAAAAGAAAGAAACGACAACAAACAACUUUUUAGAGAAAGGUUUGACAGGCCUAAAUGGAAAACCAACAACUUUUUGAAGAAAGAAAACUUUGGAAGAUAGAUGCAAAUUAACCGUUGAUAAUAAUACUACAUUAAGAACACAGAAGUUAACAAUAAACAGUAACUUAAAACUCAAGAAAAUUAAAUGACGAGAUUAAGACAAACAAGGGAUAGUUUUUGUUGGACAUUAAGAAACAACUGCUAUCAAGAUCAAGGAUUAGAAAUUAUGCUAUUAAAAGAAGUUAUUAAAGGAUAGUGCUCGUGACUGCAGGAAAAUUUCUAAUGGAAACAACUCAAUUUCAGAAGAAUUUAUCCAAUUGACUCUGUACUUGAACUCGUUGGAUUGGUUGAUUUAUGAUUGACUGAAUUUCAAUUCGGCCCAAAAGAUCUUUAACCAAAGUUUAAUAGCUAUCAUCUACUCCUUAAAAGCAAAUGUGUAUCUUUUUUAGAUUUGACUGAAUUUGAUCUUGUUGGAUUGGUUUUUUUUUAGACAAAGUUGUUUUCCUACUGAUUUUUAUUCUUCAAGUAAACUUAGAUACAAAGUAAAUCUAAAAAAAUGACAAACAAACAAUGAAAUAAACGACAACAAACUGGCAAUUUUGAUACAAAGCCAACAAAUAUUAAAAUUUAGAACAUUUUGUUUUCUUGCUUUCUUUUGUUGGAGGAUUAGAGAUUUUGGUAUUACCCGAAAGGUUUCAAGGGUCUGAGUAGAAACCUAUAAUCUUUUUAAAAACUUUUUUUUAAAAAAUUUUUUUUGGGGAAAAGGAUGCAAAUUAACCAAAGGAAAUAAUAAGAGCACAGGCUUUAUCAAUGAACAAAAACUUAAAACUCAUGCAAAAUAAUUCAAUAUUAAAACAAAUCACUGAGGAAUAUUUAAGAACAACUUGAAAGAGCAAAAAGAUCACUGAGGAAUGUGUGAGAAAAGAGUUGACGAGAGAAAUAACAAUGACUUGCAGAAGAAAAACCAUUAAUAAUUAUGUGCAUUUUUAUUUUAUUUUUAUCCGCAUGCACUUUAAUGAUUAGUGCUCCUUUCAUAAAGCAGCUACCGGAAACACACAAAUAUCAUUUGAGAGAGAAACUAAACAGCAAAUCAUCAAAGUAAGAUCAAUAAUAUAUUAUUUGGUUAAUGCAUAUUCAAGAACAAAAACAAAAAUAAAUAAAUAAAUAAAGAAGGUUUGAUUUUGUAUUGCCAACGCUGCUUUUUUGUUAUUUCAUUUGUUCUUUCCACAAAUGAUGCUUGGUUAUAAUUAAGUUUCACAUGGCCAUUACUUACAAACUGUGUUUGUGUUAACAGAAACAUGAAAUUCACAUCACACAAAAUUGCACUAUCAAUUCUUAAUAGAACAUAAUAAUAAUUACUCAACGCAUAAGGGUAAAUUUAGAAUUACAUUUUCUCAAUGCAGAAGGGUAAAUUUAGAAUUACAUUUUCUGAUUCUUUUUUAUUUAAUAAAACCCCAAUGGAAAAUCAUAAAAAUUUAGAUAUAUAAAUUUUCUCCACCAAACAAGAAAAAAAAAGGGGGAAUGAAAACACAGGAUUUAUUUUACCUCUCUUUCAUCUUAACUCUUUUUCAGGCAAACCAAAACAAAAAAAUUUCAAUAAAGAGCUAGUUGUUGAAAUUGAUUUAUCUUGUUUUUCAGGCUAUCUUGUGACGUGACGAUAGAUAAUGCUCGUGAAUGCUAGAAAAUUUCUAAUGCAAACAACUCAAUUUGGGAUGAUAAGCUUAAUUUUGCAAAUGACGAAUGUAAAUAACUUGUUUUGAUUAAUUGAAUUUGUAAUACUCUUACCCUAUUCUAAAAUUUGGAGGUUGCUUGAGAAAAAAGGGUAUUUCUCACUCAUCUUCAAUCCUCAAGUAAAAUUAGGUAAAAAUCAAAUCUAAAAAAUCACAAACAAAUUAACAAAAAAAAAAAAAAAAACAACAACAUUGAUCUUGAGACAAGUGAUAUUUAAACAGAGAAUUCUUUAUUCUUUUUUACUUCCCCCUCCCCCCCCGGGGGGCUCGAGGAUUAAAGUCUUGCUAUUAACAGAGAGGUUUUAAGAGUCUGGAUAAAACCCGUGCUUUUUUAAAAAACCACUUUUUUUUUUCUUUUCUCUUUUUUUUGGGAAGAUAGAUUCAAAUUAACCAAAGCUAGUAAUAAGAGCACAUACCUUACAAAUGAACAAUAACUUACAACUCAAGCAACAUAAAUGAUAAGAUUAAAACAAACCGGAGAAAUUUUUCUUGGAAAAUAGACGGAAAUUAAAUAAGAACUGCUGUUAAAAGAAAUUAUUAGAGGAUUUAGGAGCAUGUGUACCUCUUUAAUUAUUUGGGAUCAGAGAGUUGAUGAGCUCUCUAUUCGCCUUUAAUAUUGAGUAAGAACUGGUAUUAAAAGAAAUUAUUAAGAACAAUAUUUCAGUGAGCAAAAGAUCACUGUUAACUGCAGAGGAAUUUGCGAGUAAAAAUUAAGCUGAAAAGAGCAGUAACAAUGAAUUGCAAAAGAAGGAGACUUAAUCAAGCACCCCUUUUAUACCCGAUUUUUAAGAUUUAAUUUUGAAGUUCCCAAUCAAGAACAAAGACGAAGCUUUAAUGAAGCAUGCAGUGAGAUACAAGAAAUGGAUCGGGCAAAAUACCUUACGAAGCGUUUCAUAUUUUCUAAUGAAAUAAUUAAGUUGAAGUUUUCGACGAAUAAAUACUUGUUGUGCUUGAAUAAUUUUGGCAUAUACAUUACUUGUAUCCGGCGAAAUUGAAAAGCACAUUCAUUUACAGAGCUUGUUAGUAGGGAAAAGCUUCGUAAGAUGCCUGAUAAAAGAUAAAGCAAAAGCUUGAAUGAAGAAUGACAUUUUAGAAAGAAACUAAAGUGCAAUCAUCAAAGUAGGAUCAAUAGUGACUUGAUCAGUUAUGCUUUUUGUUAUUUCAAUUGUUCUGUCCACAAAUGAUGCUUCGUUAUUACUAAUUCCACAUGGACAUUAUUUAGAAACUGAUCUUAUGUUUAACAGAAAAAUAAAAACUCGUCAUCAUAAGCAUUCUUGGUUGUCCUAAACCAGAAGUAGGUGUUUUGCCUGAAAGUACCACUUUGCUAGCAAAUCUAGUGGGUAUACUGAAUAAAUUUUUACAUUAUUCUAUUUGAUCUCUCUGUCUUUAUCCUAAGCAUUCUUGGUUGGGAUCGCUGCAUUGUCCUGUAAUCUGUGUGACUUAGUGAAAAGAGGAAUGGGUAACUGUGGUUAUGGGUACGUGAGAGGUAACGAUGAGGGUAGAUUGUUAAUUUUGAGGAGCGAUUUGCUUGCAUAAUUCAAUGCAUGGACAGAAAUGUCCCUGACCAAAAAAAGGGACCAUCCAUAUCUGAAUCUGAGCAUCAGAGCUUGACUUAUUUGAUAAAUAGAUAUACUUGAACUGUUUUUGCAUAAUAACUAAAAUAUUUAUUUUUAUAUAUUCGAUAAACGAGCUCACUAUUGAUAGAACUUAUUAGAUACUACAACUCAAAUAACUUCUUGUGCUUGAUUGAGGUUUUUAUAUAUUCGUAUGUUUGAGUUUUUUUUUUUUUUUUACUUUCUAAGAAUUAACUUCUACCUUGAUUCUAAAAAAAAAUAUAUAAUUUUACAAAUAAUUUAGUUCGGCAUUUGGUAAAUGAUAACUAUUUGAGAAUAAGUUUUAAAAUGGUUUACUGUACAAAUCUGGUAAAUGAAAAUUAAAAGUGUAAAAUGUUCACAUAAUGAAAAUUAAAAGUGUAAAAUGUUCACUUGCAAUGACAACAAAUACUUAUUUACUUAUUUGUAAUUUAUUUUGAAUAUUAUUGUUUAAAUCAUUUUUUUUACUUACCAGAUUUUUUAAGAGCAUUCUAUUUUCUUUAUUACAUAGUUAAAUAAUUUUUUAUUAGCUAUUUUAUUUUGCAAUAAAAUUAACUUCAAUAUUUUUUUAACUAAAAAUUUUGUUAUGUAGUUCGUGAUAUAACAAAUACUAACAUAUCAUUAAAUUGAUUAAUAAAUUAAGUGCAAAAAAGAAAAUGCAGAAAUUUAAUCUUUAUAUAAACUUUUAUGUACAUAAAAUCAUUGUAAUCAAACUAGUUCAUAGAAAUAUAAUAUUAUAUACAUGUGUGUAAAAAAAACAUAUGACCAUAAUAUUAUCCACUCAUUAAACUUGCUGCACUAUUAUUUCUCAAUCUCUCCAUCUCUCGACCUUCAAGAACAUUACUACCAUAAUCUUCUUCUUGAAUUCAACCUCCAUUUCCUCAUCAUCAACAAUGCGACCAAUUUGCCUUGAUAGCCUUUCAACUCCUCCCACUUUCCUCCCUUUUUGCAGACACUCUUUUUCUUUUUCUUUUUCUUCUUUAAUAGCUUCAAUGGGAACAACCUCAUCUAACGACAAGUCCAUUCUUCAACUAGAAUAGAGUUGGUAGUAGAUAUUUUAGUACUCUCAAACUAUGCCCAAACAGGGUCACCAAUGAUUGUCGUAUUAAAAGACAUUCUAUUUAAUUUUCCUCUAACUCUGGGUCGAUACCUUUUAUGCAAAAUCUAUUUACUUCAGGAAUUUUCUACACAUGUCGAUAGCAUAUUAAAGUGAAUUCAGAUCCUAUAUUAUUGACAUUAAAAUUUAGCCGAAUAGUAAAAAAUUUCCCUUUUUGUUUGUCACACAGCCAUAUAGUCCCAUUUUUGGUUAUAAGCUCACAAUAUGCAAGGGAAAUGAAGAUCUAUUAAAACUUCCCCAUAAUGUUCAUUUUGUUGCUCGGAGGAAUAUAACUACCUAUUAAUUAAUUAGCAAGAAUUGCGUUGCGAGUCCAUGUUUUUGUCGUUUGGAUGGAGGAUGUGCUAUCUUUUUGUUGUAGAUGCUUUGUAAGGCUUUUGAUUUAAUGAUUUAAUGCAGUCAAUUAACAAAAGCUUACAUAUAGUAUUAUGUAGUUGCUGAGAUGUCUGUUCUUGAUAAAGUCGAUUUAUUUACACCCAAGCCAACGGAAUCAAAGCCUUUUCGUUAAUAAUAUACACGGUAAUUGUUUUUGUUAAAUUGAUUUCUAGCUAACAAGAUCUUUGAAAGCAUUUAGGUAGCGUUUACAUUUUAUGUUGGAGUGAGAAUCAUGAGGAGUGAGAAUCCUGGGAUUAGAAGUGUGGAGUGGGAGUCGAAGUAUGUUGUUUACUUACACUGGAAUGGAAGUAUGGAAUUGAAAUCAGAAUCCAAUUUAUUUGUUUACAUUGUCUUGGAUUGGGAGUAAAUGAUUUUAAAUUACAACUUUACUCUUAAAAAAUUAUAGUUAUUACUUACAAAAUUAAUAAAAAUUAUAUUUAAAAAAUAAAAUAUUUAUUUUAUUAUAUUUUUAAAAUAAUAAUAAUAAUUAAUAUUCUUAACUAUGUAAAUCAAAAUUAUUUUAUUAAUUUAAAUUUAAAUUAUAUAAAUAAAAAAUUAUUAAUAACAACAACACAAAUGAAACAUUAUUAUUGUACAAAAUUGAUUUUUAGAAUAAAAUAUUUAUUAUUAUUAAUCACUAAUAUUAAAUAAAUAUAAUAGUAUUAUUUUUAAAUAAGUAUAAUAAUAUUAUAUUUUCAAAUAAAAAUAGAAUAUAGUAAUAUUAUUAAUUCUUUAUGAAUAUAAUAAUAUAAUUUUUAAGUAAUUUUAAAUUAGAAUCAAUAUAAAUUAUUAUUUUUAACCAAAAAAUUAAUAUUAUUUUCAAUAUGUUUAAUAUUAUUAUUUUUAAUAAAUGUAAUUUAUAAAAUAAUAUAAUAAUUUAAUUUAAAUAAAUAUGAUAUUAUUUAUUUUAUUUUAUUAAAUAUAAAGGUAAAAAAUGAAGAGAGGCGAGUGAAUUCCCACUCCCACCUUGCCCCAUGAGAGUGGGAAUCCCAUUCAGUCACUCCAAAGUUAGGUGGGAUCCACAGAGUGGAAUUCUCACUCUCCCUUUGAAAAUUGUAAGUAAACACUAGAGUAAAAGAAAUCCACACUCCUCACUCUCACUCCAAAAAGUACACACUACAUUGAAGAAGCCAUUGACUCAUAAGAAAGCCAUGAUUAAAUACAAGGCGAAGCAUGUGAGCUCGUUUUUCAAUCUCUUUGAUCACUCAUAAGUUUUUCUAUACCACUCACUAUAUCAUCCUUUUAAGUCAAUUUUGACUGAUCAUCAGAGAUCAUGCACCCCACCUUGAGAUGAUUGAUCACCAAUUUGGCAUUGUAACAUUGAUCACCUCUAAUUGGCCAAGCUAAAAUUGGGACCCCAAAACCAAUUGCUUCUACAGUUGAAUUUUAUCCACAGUGAGAUAAAAAUCCACCUGUUAAUUGAUAACUCAGUAUCAAUAAUUGUGGUGCCAUUCCAUCUAUUAUCAAACCCUUUUUACUGGCUCUACUAUCUAAACCACUACGAAAAUAAGCUGGUUAAAUGACGUAGAGGAUCCAAUCUAUUUACAUAAGUUUGAAUUACCUAAAUAAUCGGUGGAUUUGAUGCUUAUAAAUCAGAGGGAAUUGCAGCAGAUACACCUUCAUACUUUAAAAAUUACCUCAAUACCUUAAAAUUUGAUUUUUCCAAAAUUUUCAUCAAUAUCCUUUAAAAGCUGAUAGGAAAUGACUAAGUUAUCCUCGUUUUAAAACACUUCAACUCAACUGGCAGCACCUCUCCCUCCCUCUACUCAAACAAACAAACACUCAUAUAUGCUACAAUUCCCUCCACUACCUUUACUCAAACAAACAAACAUUCAUUCUCCAUACAUGCUAAAUCGAACUUCAACACGAGCAAAUUGAGCUGAGAAAGGGAAGCUGCUACAACUGAGAAAGAGAAGCCUAGUUCGUCGCUACAUAAUCGCCAGCGAGAGUUGAUCCUUUAUUGCAAAAUGGUCAGAAUGUAACUAGUUGAGGUAAGUAAUUCCCUAUAAUUUGUUUUCUUGUUGAUAUUCAAGGGAAAAAACAAAAAGUUAGGGUUUUAUAUUGAAAAAAUAAUUAAUUAGUUGCGGGUCUCUCAUAACAUGUUCGAAAACACAUUUCUAGUUGUUUUGUUGCAUGCAAAUUGUGAAAAAUUAAUGGAUUGUGCCGAUUAUAAUUUUUUCAUGUAACACACGAUUUGGUCAUGUAAGGUUAUGUAAGAUUCAAGGUUGUGUAUUACACGACCUUCAUGUAUUGCACGAUUACAUGACCUUCAUAUAUUGCACGAUUACACGAGCUUUAUGUAUUACACAAUUACAUGACCUUCAAUUCCAGAUUGAGGAGUAAAAAGUUUAUCAUCUCUCCAGGUGUGUUCUGUAAUUUAAUUUUUUGUUUCUUGUCGAUAGAAUAUACACAUUACAUUUAGUUUAAUUAGGCUCACAAUUGGGGACAAUAAAUUGGAAUGGUACAUAUGCCUUUACCUUGUGGAAUGUCAUUACUUAGAGAGAUCCUUAAUUUGCAAUUAUAAGCCAUGGUAAGUCAUGGUAUGUCUAGUUAUGAGUGGAAACACUUUGAUCAUUGCGAAUGGUGUUCUUAUGUGUAUAACAUUACAUUAAUUUCCUAUAGUUAAUUUUUUUUCCUAAUUGAUUUCAUGGAUUAAUUAUAUGCAGGCAUUCCUCAUGUAUGCAUGUAUGUUUGGGCAGAGGAAGAAAGCACUUUGAAGAUUAAAAAAGCUUUUUAAAUGGUUGUACUAUGUUUAAUAGCGAUGUUCAUUAGUGUAUCAUAUCCAAAUAUUGAAAAAUUUGUACACUGAUAACUUUGUUUAUUUAUACUAAUUAAUCUAAUCAUUUCUCAAACUGUCGGAUGUUCAAAUUUAGUUUUUUUUUUCUGCAAUUUAUGAACACACGAUUUGGUCGUUUAAGGUCAUGUAACAUAGGAUUCAAGGUCGUGUAAUAUACUCAUGUAUACAUGACCCUCAGUCGUCUAUGACAUGACUUUGUAUAUUAUUACGCGAUCUUGAAUCAUGUGUUACGAGUCUUUCAUGACCUUCAGUUAUAUAUUACACGACUUUCAUGUACUACACGACUUUAUGUAUUACAUGACUUUAUAUAUUGCGCGAUUAUACAGCCUCCAUGUAUUACACGACCUUAAAAUUACACGAAAUUUUCCAUUAAUCAUUAGAUUAAUUUAGUUCAUUAAAGACUUAAUUUGUGCUAAGAAUUUAUAUUUGCUGCUAUGCAGAAAAUGUCAACGAAAAUUAUUAAAAAAAAGAAGUGAAAUUAAAUUGGAAUCUAAAAAAAUUCCACAUCAUCAUUGGUUUGAAUUGUAAGUGGUGGCAUAGGAUCAGAUGUCUUAAGCUUGAACUUCAUUGUGAUUUCGAAUUCCGAAGUAUCUAUAUCAAUAAAUUGAGCUAAUCUUCACCAAUCCGGCAUAUGUUGUCGAUCGUGGUAUCAUUAUCCCUUUAGCCUUGGAACCUUUGAACUUAUACUCAUCAUUUUGGUCAAUCCAUUCACCAUUGAAGAGAAUAGGUACACGUACCAAAACCAUAUCUGAUGAUACAAUAAAAACAAUAAUAUCAAAUUUCAUAUACAAGUAACUACACGACCUACAUGACUACAUUACUUACAUGACUUACACGACCUACAUGACUAUAUUACUUACAUGACCCACAUGACUUACACGACUAUAUUACUUACACGACCUACAUGACUAACUACAUGACGUGCACGGUAUCAAAAGGAAUGCACGACGCAAAACAUUUUCACCAUAAAUAAAUUAUAUUGCUGAAAAAAAUAAUUAAACAACCUACAUUGCAUAUAAUUCUACAUAUAAGAAAAAAUGGUGAAAAUACAACAUUAUAGAGUGAGGAAAUUUUCUAAAUUUUCCUAAAAAUUAAAAAAAAAUUAAAACCCAACAACAUUAACAUAUCUUAUUGGGUUGUUUAAUGAGCAAUGCACCUAAUUUCAGUUAAAGAAAGAGUGGGUGUUAAAGAAAUGAAUAUAUAAUUGUAUUUGUGUAAGAAGUUAUGAGAGAUUUUGAGAGAUUCUAGGAGAUUUUGAGAAAAUUUCGGCAGCAAGAAAAGAUUUGGGUGAAAGAAAUAUGAAGACAAUGAAGUUGAGUGAAUUUGAUGCAUUCAUUAAGGACAUUUCAAACUUUACUUACAUUUAUUAGGGUAUCCAUGAAAACAAAAAAGGGAGGGGAUAUUUAAAUAAUUUUGAAACUAUUAAAGGGUAUUUAAUUAAAAAACCCUCUAAAUCAUUGGCUAAUGUUGAAUAAUUAUUUAAGGUAGGACCCAACAUGUAUAACACAGAUCCAUAUGAUUUCAAAUCUAAUCAUUUAAUGAUCUCAUCUUCGGUCAUGUUAGAACUCCGCCGGUUGGUUCUCAUCUCACAAUCACGAAGCACUGAACCGGCCGAUUUGUAAAAUUGUUUAGGUAACAAUGGGCCCACUCCCCACACUGGCAUCAACACCAUCGAUCCCUCCACUUGCUUCAUCCAGUGUGGUUGAUCACUCGGUUCUGAUGGACCUAUUUUCUCUGAACCGGGUGCACCUCACAAAGGUUGUGGACCACCAGGAAGGGACCCGUGAGGCCUGCGUUUAAGAUCCGAUUCGAAUAAAGCAAUAUCCUUGGGUAACCCAAGAAGUAAACGGGCCUCUCCCGGUUUGACAUCCUGGAUGCGAGCCUGCCACAUGGCACACUCUACAGCUGCUGAGCAAGCAUCAGAAGUGAAGAACCCAACAAUGGGAACUUCAAAAUUCUUGAAAACAUCAGCCGUCCAGCCCAUCAUAACGCCGAUGACUACGCAAACAGGUCGGCUUUCGGGUUCCCGGGUUGAAAGGAGGUUUCGAAGGCCUUGAAGCAUAUGGCUGUGCAUGACAACAUGGUGGUGAGAAGGAGGUGAUGGUAGUGGUUGAGAUGGGAGGGUAUUUCGGUAAUUUCACAUAGAGGGUAUUGGUGAAGAGAGGAAGGGGUGAUGCUGGUGGUGGAAACGUGAGAGGGAAUAAUGAGGGUAGAUUUGUAAUUACGAGAAGCAAUUUGCUUGCAUAAUUCAAUGCAUGGAAACAGAUGUCCCUGACCGAAGAACGGGACAAUCCAAAUCUCAGCCUCAGCAGCAUUCGCAACAGAGCUUGACAUCUUUUAUGAAUUAUUUGAGACUUAAUUGUUAUUGACUGCUUUUGCCAUCUUUCAUAAAACAUUCUUUGUUAUAUAUUCAAGUAAAUAAAUUUAUCGUUUAAAAUUAAUUUUUCAUGUGGUAAAAGCAAUACUAAAUAUGGGGUGGAGAGAAUAAUUUGUAGGGCAUACCCCCACCAUUUAUUUAAUUUCAUUAAAAAAGAAAGAAAAGAAAUAAAGGCUUGUUCAACAUUCAAUUAAAAUUAACAAUUCCAUGAUAAAAUUACUUGAGAAUAAAAAUUUUUAAAAAAAAAGUAACUCAAAAACGAGGAAUUUUUGAGUAACUGAAGAACCAUAGAUGUUUUUUGGUCAUGAGCAAUUUUUGAGUUGAGACAGAACUUGUAUAAAAAAAUAGUUUUGAAAACUUCUUUUCUUUUUUCGUAAAUAUAGAUAUAAAAUUUUAAAAUCACCAAACACAAAACCAGGAAAAUGGAAGGAGAGCCCCUGUUUCUCCUCUGUUGCAAGAACAAAUUCGGUUUCUACAGUUGUACCUUCUAAAUGCACCAUUUGUAUUGCUUUGUCUCCACUUGAGCUAACGGAAUUUGAUGAAAACAAAAUAGAUAUGAGUGGUGCUAUUCACAGCCCUCAAUAAUUCUCUCAAAACCCCUUUUCUAAUUAUACCCCGUUGAAUAAGUUCAAGACCAACUUUUCCUCUUAUAACACCACCUUCAAUUCCGUUAAUACCCUUGUUCGCUAUGAAAAUGAGGAAAAUGCCUACAUAAAAAGCUGGCUCUGAUAAUCUACCUGAAUUUACAUUAGAAAAGAGUGGACUUUGAGAAAUAAGAAGACAAUAUAGGGAAUUUUACCAAAAUAAUCCAUUUUUAUAUACAGGGAAUGGUAUUUUCUGAUAUAGGGAGGAGUGGAGAAAUUAAAUUCAGCAAAAUAAAGAACCUCCAUCGAGAAGUAAAAAUGAUGAUAUCUUUGUCGUGAAGAGAUUUCUGCCUCAUACAAAUUUUUUAUUCUAGAAUGCUUGAAACCGAAAAGUUCUGUAGUUGUUUCAAUUCAAUUGCAUACAUUGACGAAACAUUAAAUACGGAAAAAAACAAAAAAGAAAUAAUAGGACAGGGGGAUUUCGAGAAGUUCUAAAGAGAGAAAUCUAUUUAUAAGCAUUGAAAAUUAGCUCAUUAAAUUUGACAGAAUAAUAUACAAUCUCACUGUUGGCCAGAAAAUAAUAGUAAGAACUUGUGAACAUAUAUAAUCAAUUGUUUAUUACUUAAGCUCUUUUUCUUCGUUAUUUUGAAUGGGUGCAAAGAAGAGAAGUUUUGUACCCAAAUUCCAACUCGAAUUGUGUAGGCUGCUUGCAAGAGCUUCAUUAGAUUUUUAUUUGUCUUUUAAUAGUGCUUCUCGACAAAUACAGCUAGCUAUCUGUCCUUUUUGUUACUGGACUAUAGAUCAAUUGACAGUUGAAGUUAUAUUAAUUUGUUGUGCUGGAAUUGAAGCUUGUAUCUUAGCCAUUUGGUGAAGUGUCAAAUAUAUUUUUAAUUUCCUUAAAAUUGUUCAAAAUAUGUUUACACUUUUAAAGUCACUAUUAUACAUGAGUGCCCUAAAAUUGGAGAAGGCGAUUUGCCUGACAUUACCUGUAUUCGCUUGUAUAGAGAGGACGAUUUAGAUAAGUCGGAACGGAACAACCUUCAUCACAUGCUUCCUCACGUGGUUACUUAAACUGAUAUGUAAAACGUGCUCCAUCCAUGUCGUUUCCACUAAAUCGUUUUCUGUUAAGAAUCAGCUGAGCAGCACGUGAGCUAAUGAAGCUUUUACGGCUUCAAAACGCAGCCGUUUCUGGGAACCAAACUUGAUUCAUCACCUCACAACUACAGAUGAAUUAUCGAAGUGGCUGAUUGGUGCUAUACGUGUUUUUCGUAUUGAACUCAACUCUGCUAUUUUCCCAAAAGCUGGAAAACAGAAACAUCAUCCCUGUGGUUUUAUUUCACCUCAACCUUUUUCUGAUCCCAUUUUCAUUGUAAUUUCUCAUUUACUUUGAGUGAAAGUCAUUGUUGCUUUCGAACGAGGUUUUGCAACUAAAAAGGAAAAGGGGGCGGCUAUAAUACAUGCGUGCAUCUGAUACAUGCACAAAAACUGACCAUUGGAUUAAAUGGAGUGGAUCUAAUGGCUGAGAUUUGUUUUAUUAUUAAGCAAUAAAAAAAUUUGAAACAACCAGAAACCUGUAAAACCGGUCAUUUGGUUUAAGUUAAAAAUAUAUAAAUGAAAAUAACAAAAAAACCCACCACUCCCCCGCCUCACACGCGCCUCACCGCUCCCCGCUCCCUCGCCUCACCUCUCUUCUUGUUCCACGGCCAUCAACGGCGGCACGAGUCGGCGACGAUCGACUGCGGCUGUAAAUUGACCACGAUCAUCUCUCUCUCUCGGCUUGCUCAAAUUUGGCCGAUCUGUGCGCUUGCUUAAGCUUGGCCGAUCUAUGCUUGCUCGAUUACUCUUCCUAUCUUCAGUCAGAGUCAACUGUUUGACAAGAGUCGAAGUCCAAGGUUCUUUUUUACAGGAUUUGAGCUAUUCCUUUUAUUCUUCUUGCAUGUUCACUGAUAUGAAGCUUUGAUGUGGUGUUCUGAUAGCGGGUGGAAUUUGAGAUUCUCCUUUCUUCUCUAUAUGAAGGUGCUUGUCAUGUGUCAAGAAAAAUAAAAUUAUUUACCAAAGAUUAUUUUAAGGAGAUUUAUUAUUAUUCGUGGAUCGGGAAGUUUAUUUUGUUUUUUGGUCUCUUAUUUAUUUAUUGUUUUCACGAGGAAAUUGCUGUGCUUUUGGAAAUUAAUAUGCUGUGUUGUCAAUGUUGUGUGAAAUCCUUUUAUUGGUGUCUAUGUAAAGUGUUUCAGAUUUCAGACCUGAGAGUUAAUCUUCGCGUACCAGUUGGCUUUUGGGUUUAGUAUUGCUACUUUUAACAUAAUUGACCUAUGGCCCAAAUCAUUUCUAUAGGGCGAAGCAUAUGAAUGAUACAUAUUAUCUUUUUUUGGCCUUAUGUAUUGUUAUUUGCAGUGUGAUUUGGUCUAGCUUAAGAGCUUAAGCUUGCAGGUUGGAUUUGUCUGACAGGGAACAAUUUAAUUUGCUCAUCGUGAUGUUUAUAUCCAUUUUGUACUACUAUCAAUUUCAAUCAUGCCUAAUUUUUAUAUGUAUUUCUCGUGGACUCUCAGGUUCAGUGCACAAGAGGAUGAAGACGAUGGACACCCAAAUUUGAUGUGGAGAACAACUAUUGCAAAUGGUCCUUGAUUUACUUCUCCAAUUGACUUGAAUUGGUUUGACGCAAUUUAUAGUGUAUUUUUGUCAUCUUUGUACGACUAGCAGGUCGUCCUGAUUUGGUACAUGACUGGACACAGGAAUUGGACUCAUAUUUUUCAAACCAGAAUGCCAACAAUCAAGCAUUUUCUUUUGAAAGCACUGGCGUCUUCUUCAAUGCCAAAAAGGUUAGAGAUUUUCUGUAUCUUGUUUUGUAUUUAAUCAGUUUAGCAUGUGGGUGGCAAUCAAGAAAAGUUAUUAUAACAUUUUUGUGUUCCCGAAAAACUGCUGAUGAUGUGUAGUGCAGGAAAUGAAUUGUUUUUGACUUCUUUUUAUUUGUAUUCUUUCUUUUUUCUUUUCUCCCCAACAGGAUUAUGCAUUUCUGAAGAGCUUCUUGAAGUUGAUUACCAUGUAUGCCACUUUCUUUACUCUAUGCUCAGGAUGUGAUUUUGCCAAGCAUUAAAAUGGUUUAGGUCAGAACCAUCAUCUAAAGUUUACUUAAUGCAGCCGAGAAGCUGUAGUAGAGCAAGGAAGGCUGUUGGUGUUAUGAAGGCCAGCUGUGAAGAAAUAUUUGAACUUGUAAUGAGCAUGGAUGGGACACGAUACGAGUAUGCUUCUUUUCUAUUUUUUAUUUUUAGUUACUUUAACAUAAUCAAGACUAUAUUGGCUGUCUCUGUAAGCUGAGUAUUAUAUUUCCUCUUGCAUGCUGUGAAAUUCACAUUGUCUCCAGUCCCGAUUCUGUAUGUGCCUUUUUGAAUAUAUUUAAUUAAUCUGCAUGGUGCUUUCUAAAGAUUAUUACAAACUUUUGUUGCUUAAGUAUAUGAAGAAUGUAGAAAUGAAAACAGCUUUUGAAGUUUGAUGGAUUGCUUCAUUAAUAAAGAAAGACUAGGACUCAUUUUUAUAACUUUUCUCCACUUAGCUAAUGGUAUUUGAUGAAGACAAAAUAGAUGUAGCUAUCUAUAUUUUUUGUUGCUGAACUAUAGAUCAAUUGACGGUUGAAGUUAGUUAUAUUAAUUUGUUGUACUAGAAUUAAAGCUUGUAUCUUAGCCAUUUCAUGAAGUGUCAAAUACGUUCUUUCCUUUUUUUUUUUUUUUUUCAAAACAUGUUACACUUUUGAAGUCACUAUUACAUAAAAGAGUGUUCUAAAACAGGAGAAGGCGUGCUGCCUGAAAUUACCUGUUUCCUAGCAAAUCUAGCUGGUUUGCGAAUUAGAUUUUAACAAGUCUCUUGGCAAGGUUUGCUAGUAAUGUGUUCAAAUUAUUCUAUUUAAUUUUACUGUCUGUACCCUAAUAAUUCUUGGUUUGCACCAUUGCAUUGUUCCAUAAUCUCUGUGCGUUGGCUUAUAAAGGCCAGCAAGGCUGAUCAUUUGUCGAAUAGUUAUUUCCAUGAAAUUCCUAUCAAUUUGACUCAGUAUUUAGAGGUCUUGAAGAGGGCAGUGUACUAGACAUGGAUUUCUACCUCUUUUGGUUGUACAAUUGUUGUAUUUCUUGGCCAUCAGAUCUUUUUAAUGUACCUUUCUCAAAGUUCAUGCCGCACGUACACCGUUUUUCAUGUUUUGUGCAUGUGGGAUUGUAGUCUUCUGUAUCGCAGCUUAGUUGAAGAGGUAGAUGGUCAUACGGCUAUUCUCUAUCAUAGGCUUCAGCUGGACUGGUUUCCAAUGUAAUAGUCUCUUGAUUCAAUCAUCUCAUUUAUGCUUUGGUCAGAAUAGAACAUUUAUUGUUUCCUUCUUUCCCCUUUCCUCUCUUCUGAUGUAAUAUGUGAGGAAAUUACCUAAAAUUUCUGUAUCCCAAUGUAAUUGUUGGAAUUCAGAAAUAAAAUAAAUACACCGUCUUGUUUUUCCCUCGGUUCAGUCCCAAGUUCUCUUUGGGCCUUCUGCAAGUUUUUAAACAUACUGUGACAGUAAAAAAUCUAGUGAUUGAGAUCAUUUUGAUGAAUUUAAUUUUAAUUCUUAGCUGAUACUUUUUCUGGAAUUUUUUUCUUAUGUUUCCUCAAUAUGACUUAAAUAUAGGGCUUAGUUUGGUUUAGAAGUUCAUCUAAAACCUUCUCCUUGAUUCCAAAAAAAUUCUCUAGAAAGGUCUCAGAUGGAUUUUAGGGGAGUUUUGUGGCAAAUUUGAAAAGUUCAGGGGAAGGGUCUAAUGAAUUUUAAAACCACAUGGGUUAUCUGUUUUAUUCAGAGGAUAGUGGAAUUCCCUGAAAUUUAUCAUUUUUAUUUAAAUAAUCUUCCUACUUUCCUCUGCAGAAUUUAUUUAUAUAUAUGAAUUCAUUUGGUUGCAGGUUUGUUUGGCCCCGCGGCCUUUGUUAAGUGCGUUAUUGGCGUUGAAAUGACGCUGCGAGUUAUGGUAAGGUUCUUGCUUCCCCACUUCUUGAAAUUAAAUCUAUCUUUUCUGGCACUAGAAGUUUCCAUAAGCUGUGUUUUGUUAUCGCGCAGUUGUGUUAUUUCAUUCUAGGGAGCAUAUGAACUGUGGUCCACAACCCGGAUAUGUACGAGCUCACAUGGAGAGUUAGUUUUCUGUCCUUUACUUUGGUUGAUGUAGAGAAUUAACAAGUGACUAAGUCAUGCCAAGUUGCACCACUUGCUUCCUGUAUUCUGAUUUCUCAGGUGGUGGAUUCAACAUUUCCCCACUAAAACCUCAAAAUGGUAGGCCCAGAACACAAGUACAGCAUCUUAUGCAGAUUGAUCUAAAAGGGUGGGGUGUUGGUUAUGUGUCAAUGUUUAGCAACACUGUCUUCUGCAGAUGUUAAAUAGCAUUGCUGGUAAGUUUCUUGCUUUCACAUUUUAUUUUGCGCUGUUAUGGGUUAAUAUGUUUCUGUUGGGUGGCCAUUUUAAGUCAUAUUUUUACGUGUUACUGUAUUUUCUUCAGUCCUUUUAUAGGGAACACACACAUACACGUAUGUAGAGUCACCUUUUAAUGAGGGAUCUACCAUUUUAAUGAAAUGAGGAAUGAGCUAAAAGAUAAAAAAUUCACGAACUCCAAUGCAAUAUGUGUGUGUGCGCGUGUACACCUUUUCUAACUCUUGUUCUUAGUUAGAUAUUUUUUGGGAUUUCAGGCAAAUGAAAAAAGAGAUUAAGAGAAUGAUUUCAAGAGAACAGGUGGAUAAUAACUUAAAUAUUCAUUUUUAUACAUUUUGUUAAUGUCCUCUUUAAUGGAUUUCUAUGGAAUUAACCUUGUAAUUGGUGUAAUUACGGCAUUGGUGGUUGACAUGGCUUUCCUUGUGCAGGUAUGUAUGAUUGUACUGCAAUUUGCAAAUUUGCAUACUUGAAUGUUCUCAGAAUGGUAUAAUGCUUCGUGUAUGCAGGCAAAUACUACAGAUGAAUUACCGGAGCGGCUGAUUGGAGCUGUACGUGUUUCUUAUAUAGAACUCAAGUCUGCUAUUGUUCCAAAGUUGGAACCAGAGACAUCAUGACUCUGGUUUCAUUUCACCUCAACUGUUUUUUUUUUUAAUUGAAAAAAAAAAAUCAUUUGUUUUAGGUAUACAUACAUGUAUUUUGAUCCCGUUUUCAUUGUAAUUUCUCAUUUACUUUGAAAGAAAGUCAUUGGUGUUUUCGAGUGGGAAUUUUGCAUUAAAAAAUAAAGAAUACUUAAUAGGAAAUUUCAUAAUUCUUUAGUUACUAUUUUUGGAAUGUGUGUAAUAGUAUUAAAGUUGGUUUCUACUCGCAAACAAGUGAACUACUCGAUCCCCAACUGCGACCACGCUAGUUGUCAUUUAAAACUCAACAACUAACAAAAAUACUAAUAAAAAAAUGAUUUUCUUAUAUUGCUGUGAAAACAUUUAUGGGUUCAUUUAUUUCCACAAGAUCUAUAAUUUGGUCUUGACUUUACGAAAUUCUUUUAAUUUAAAGGGUUUUGGUCUGAGAAAGUCAGUUUGACGGAUUAAUUCUUUUUAAUAAUGGUCGAGUUAAUUUUACUAUACUCAUAAAACUAUUUUUAUUCUGAUAAUGCCACAAAUGUUAUGAUGUUUUCUUCAGCUAAUGAUCUUCUAUCAGGACUAGUUAGAAAUCAAAUGCUUAAAACACCGAUUGAAUGUAUAAUGCAGAAGUUUAAACAGUACCUAAUUGAAAAUUGCAUGAAACAUGAAACAUCAAUUCAAGUCCUUCCUUAAACAGAGAAUGCAUCAAACAAAUCCAAAGUGUCUUGCAAGUCUGUAGCAUGACAAAAAAGUUGUAAAUGCGUUUGGAACCAAAUUCUUCAAGUACAGGAGAACGAGCAAGUUGAAUUAUGUACAAGAGAUUGGCCUGGUUCGAGAUAGCUUCUUCACUGUACCUGAAGGAUUGGCUCAAUCUUUUCUUUAGAAUUCUGCACAUUUUGUAAUUACUCGUGUAAGCAAGCAUACAUUACAACCAUAAUAAUAAUAAAGCAAGAGUAAUGAUACGACCACCACCUUUUGUACACAAACAAUAUUGUAUAAACUAAUGCGACAUAAUAUGAUUGGUUAAACAAAAACAUUACAUGGCCCUCAUAAUUUAUUUAUUUAUUUAUUUAUUAUUAUUAUUAUUAUUAUUAUUAUAUAUUUUCAGUCAACCAAUCAUAUUAUAUCACAUUAGUUUCUAUAAAAUAAUUUGCUAAAUAGCACCAAAACUUAAUUGAUACUCACCAUUUCAUUGAACAAUUUUUUUAUGGUGUCAUUGAGGUUGCCUUCCCAACAUCCUUCAUCAUCAUCAUCUUCUUCAUCAUCAUCUUUUUCUUCUUCGGUGACGUUCACUUUGUUUAGCAUUGGUGUGUCUAAGACUCCUUGAGAGAAGAUCUUCAUUUUUGGACACAGUCUCACAACUACUUGUUUCAAGGACGGGAAUUCAAGAGCGUAAUUACCUAAACAAAAGCUUGUUAGGCUUGGCAAACAGUCAAGUUCCAAGUACCUCAAUUUCCCAAAAACAAUGCAAUCUUCCGUUUCUUCUCCAACCUGCGACUGUAUAAUUUCUUCCAUCAUUUUGCAAUCAACUAUCUUCAUUCUUCCGAGAUUCACUAGAUUUUUAGAUGCUGAGAGCGUCAACACAUUUAUCAACCCGUGACACUUCGAUACUUGUAGUCCCCACAGAUUUUCCAAAUGCCACGAAGGUGGUACUAAUUUUUGCAACUUACUACAUUCCGAUAUUUCUAGCCUUUCCAAGUUUGCAAACACUUUGUUGGAUUCGUCAUUUUCCUUCCAGAGAUGCUGCACUUUGUGUAAUCCAGACAGUCUUAACUUCCUCAAUUGAGGGAAAGCAACCUGAAAAUCAACAAAGUUAAGUUGUAAAAGAAAAUACGUAUCCAAUCUCUGGAGUCUUCACCUGCAUAUUUUAUGGACAAGAUUAAUCACGGCAUUUUAUAUUUUAUUUCCAAAUUAGUAUGCUUUGCAGUAGGAUCCCAAAUAUAAGUAUCAAAUCGAUUACCCUUUGAAACACAUAAAUGAAAUCUAAUGCUAAAUCCAAUAUGAAUUAGCUAGGAAAACAGAGAUGUUACACACAUAAUUAAUAUAGUUCAUCACCUCGUGUUAUCAGGCAUCCAAUUAAUUUCAGUCAUUUUUAUAAUUCAUACUAUAAAGAUAGUUAAUAACUGAGGUUAUAUUGUUAAAUCAUAUAUAAAUUAAGAUGACAUGCAAAAAGAUGAGUCAUUAAAUUUGACUUGAUUCUAAUGAAAUUACAUCUGUGCGAACAAAAGUGAAGGGAAUAAUAAUAAUAAUAAUAAUAAUAAUUACCUUUUCAUCGAAGAGGGGUUGUACUUGAUGAGCCAGCAAGAAGUACUCUUCUAAUGUUAAUUUUUGAGGUUCCUUGUUAUCAGUUGUCACAUGCACUACAGAGUUGGAUAUAAAUGUUUCCAUAUCAGGGCAAUUCUCAAUAGUCAGACUCCACAACAUAGGCAUUUCAAUUAUAUUCCCAGUGAAGUUGCAGAAUCUUUUGAGUUUUGGAAGAUCAAUGAGCGUUAGGCUAAAAAGCCUAGGAAACAGGGGGCCUAUAUGUUCUUUGUCAGCAUUUAGCUCUUCCAAAUGAAGCAUCUCUUCUAGUGAAUCACAAUUCCUCACUUCCAGCCUUGCCAAAUUGUUCAAGCAUCGUAGCAGAUUGGCAGGAAUAGCACUCGACAUAUUGGUGCAGUAAUCCACCUCCAGCUCUGCUAAAUAGUUGAAGAAGCGGACAGGCAGUGCUUGGCCAUGCCAUAUUUCUUUCAAACGUGGAAAAUGUGAGAGUUGCAAAUACUGUAUGUCACGGAAUCCAAUCUGCACAAACCAAAACAAUUGCACUGGAUAUAUAUAAAUACAUUAAACUUACAUGUUUUGUGUUUUAACUUCUAAAACUAUAUAUACAAGGCAGGUGUAUAUGUUCAAAUGUGCAAGUGCAAGGGAGAUGCAUAAGUAAUUUCAACGAAUCGAUUUAACACAUACCAUUUCUUCGUAACACUUUUGUAUAGUGGAAUUAAGGUUGCCUUCCCAACGGCACAAUUCACCCUCUUCCUGUUAAGAAUAGAAUUAGUUAGUUAAUGAGUAUGCUGACAUGGCAGCUGAGUCAGCUAAAGGUUGUUAUAGAGGUUGUUAGUAGUAAACUGUGCGUGUGUGCAAUGUGUGUAGAAUCUUCUAUGCACAUAUAAAAAGGCUUGCAAUUUCCAGAUUCAUUAGAUCAAUAAUAACAGAAUUCUCAGCUUACAGAAGUUUUCUUUCCUCCUAUUUUCUUAGUAACCAAACAACAUCACAGUUUCAUAUAAAACUUAAUACUUCCUUUUUACUCACCUGCACUUCGUGCAGCUUUGGUGUGGAUACGAUUCCCUGAGAAAAAGUCUUCAUGUUCGGGCAACGUGUCAUAGAAACUCGUUCCAAUGAUGGGAAUUCAAGAGUGUAAUUCUCCAAACAAAAGCUGGUAAGCCUUGGUAAAUAAUCAAGUAUCAAAACUUUUAAAUUGCUGAAAGCAAUACGAUUCUCCUUCACUUCUUCUCCAACAUGUCCUAUGAUUUCUUCUAUUUUUUCACAGUAUGAUACAUUAAGAUUCACUAGACUAUUGGGAAUUCCAACCUGAAAAUAAAGAGUAGCAUUCAACUAAAUUCAAAGUAUGUCAAAAUCAUACAAUUGUUUUAUGAAAAAUAACAAACCAUGUCUACUAGAUAUUUUUUGUUAAAGAAAAAAGGAAAAAAAUUAAAACAAAAAUAAAUAAAUAGAAGUCCAGAAAAACAAAGAUAAUGAAAAUGCAUUUACACUAAAACGCUGUAUUUCCCUUUUUUUUUUCCCGAUAUUCAUGCUUUUAAAAAUGGAAAACAUUUCUGGAAAACACUUCCCAACGCCAUCAACAUGGGACUGUUACAGAGUGAAUAUUUGAGGAAAUUUUUUAAUAAACGGUCGAUUCAAAAUGACCAUCAUGAAUUUGUGCUUAAUCAAUGGCGUAAUCAAUUCAUAACUAAACUAGAGAUAUUAACUACAUUUGAACACUUUUCUUUAUUUUAUUUUUAAAAUCGAAAUCUAAAGACCCAAGGAAAAGAGAAAUAUAUAUGAAUUUGUGAACUUAAAAGCUGAGUAACUAAGUAUCUUUUAAUUUCUGAAAAUCUUAUUCAUUAGGAUUUAAGGAAAAAAAACAAUUAAAUUAAAUUAUAUUAUGCUGUUAAAUCGUGUUUAAAAUAAUUAUAUUGUUGACUUUAAUGCAGGUGAACCUAUAAAUUAGAUUGAAAAUGCAGAGUUCAGAAUGGUGAUUUGAAGUACAAUACUUUUUUUCCCUCUAGAAGUUUGAAGUACAAUACUUGCAAUAAAUAAUUUGUGAAUGAAAAUUAUUUGUAAACAAAAAAAUGAUUAAAAUAAUUGUUGAAUGUUAUUUGAAAUAAAAAUUCAAAAUGAAUAUAGCAAUCUUACCAAUGGAGGAAAAAUAUUCAGUAGAUUAUGACACACAGAUAUCUCUAAUUUUUUCAAUUUGCUAAAAGACUUCGAAGCAAGCUGGUGGUGCCAUAUUUUUCUCAACUUAUCCGCCCCACGAAUAUGUAAUACCUCCAGACUUGGGAGUCGUACCUGAAGUUAAAAAUUCAAUGCAAUUAGAGAUGGAUAUUAAUUAAAUUUGAAGACUCAACGAAAGAAGAAAUUAACUAUUAAGAAUAAAAUUAAUUUAAAAAAAAAACCUUUGCAUCAAAGAGAGGUUGAGGUUGCAUUUCAGAAUUAGCUUCUGGUGAGGCAAAGCUACUUAGUUUUGGAAGACCAUCGAGCUGCAGGAAGUGUAGUUUAGGAAAAACCUUAAAUUCAUCUCUUCCUCCUAACCCCGUGGUGUUGACUAUCCCUUCCAUUGACCAACAAUUAAUAAUCUCAAGAUGUCGGAGCUGCCCAAGACUAUUAGCCAUAGAAUAUGAAAACAUAUACUUCAGAGGACAACACCUUGUCACGGUCACUUUUGUUAAAUUUUGACAACAAUACAUUCCCUGAAAUUGAUCGGGCCAUAAUUUUUUGAUGUUUGUUAAACUGACAAGUUCCAGUUCCUCCAAGCGUGGAAAAGUAACCUGCAAAGAAAAACCAUACAUUUUUUUUCCUUCAACUACAACUUCUAAUAUAAUAUUCUUUCGAUGAUUGAAGAUCAAUCGUGAUAAUAUAUUAAUUAAUUAAUUAUUAAACAGAAAAUUAUCACCUGAUCAUCCUCUGCAUUGAUUUCUGUGAAUCCCUGAGUAGUUGUUGGUUUCUCCAUGUCGGGCCCUAUAAAUGAACAAAAACAAUAUAUGAUUAACCUCUGUUGUCCCCUCCCAAAACAAAAAAAAAAAAAGAAUGAGCCAAUGUCAAUAAUCCUACCAAUAAUUAAUUUAAACACUUACCAAUCAUCAUUUUCAAUUUAUUGCAAUUUACCACUUCUACUUUUUGAAGCCCCAAUAGGUUUUUGGCCAUAGAGAAUGAGAAGAGAUACUUCAAUUUUGGACAGGAAUAUACGUAUAUAAUCCUUAAGUUGCUGAAAGAUUGAUCUUCUCUGAGUUGGCUGUAGCAUAUCGUCUCCAAAUUAGUUAAAUUAAUAAGAUCCAAUGAUUCCAGCAAGGGAAAGACUUCGCAACGAACCCGUCUAACUGAACCGACAAUAUGUAAAAUCUCAGAACAACCUGUUACAUGAAGAUGCUGCAAUCGUGGAAAACCUUCCCCAUCGUCUAAUUCAUGAACAACAUUCUGAACACCCGUCAGUGAGUAUAGACGGAGAUCUUCAGUUCUCUUCAGCAACAUUUUCGUCCCAUCAUUCCCCAAAAGAAGGCUAACUUUUUCUGGCCCCUUGAGCACCAUCAAUGUUGAUGUUUUAGAUUCGACGAGUCGUCGGUUAGACAUUUGUCCUAUAAAUAUCUUAUAUCUUUCCAAUUCCAUAGAGACAAAAUCCGGCGGCAGAAUUUCGGAAUCCGAAACAUCUAUCUCCAAAGUAGUUAGAUUUGACAACCCCUUCAACUCGACAAGACUGGCAUUACUUCCUCCUUCAACCUUAUCCCACUGUGAAAAGCUGUUAUGCAUAAACAGUUCUUCUAAUCCAGAUAAUUUUGAUAUGACAUUUGGUGGUAUCAACUCAAGGCUCCAACAAUUGCUCAAAUCUAGCAACUGUAACCGCGUCAAUCGUCCAAUUUCAAGUGGUAACUGCUUGAUAUCGGAAUCUGCAAGGCUGAGAAUCUCUAAUUUCUUUAGCUGUCCAACUAUUGCUAUAUCUUUUAGUCGGCAAUAGUCUAAACGCAAUGUUUGAAGGUUAAUGAGGCAACCAAGUGAUGAAGGUAAUGAAGAGAAUUGAAUUCGAGUAAAAUUCAAAACUUUGAGUCCUUCCGUCCCUUUAAAAAAGUGGUCUGAAACUUGCAUAGAGCCAUCACCCUCCGCAUGCAAUAGCUCAAGACAGGGACAUUGCAACCUUUCAGGAAGCACUUGAAUACCUCCAUAAGGUAAAGAAAUAGCAAUUGGACCUUCCUGUACUGUAUCUUCCAUCUUUUUCUCCAAGUCGGCAACAUUUGGAAUAUUAAACAUGAGCUCCUCUUCUGCAAUUGAUACAGCAACUACACGAAUGACGUCAUGCAUUUUAACUUCAUCUUCAGCAUCACUGUCCAACAAUAAGCAUGAAGAUUUGAGUUUGUCGAUCAACGUAUGCAAUCUCCUCCUUGCUUCUUCCAGUGAGUAAACCUUUUUAAAAUAGUCCAUACCCAUACCAUAUCUCAAUAAGUCUGGAACAGGUAUAGCAUAACCUUUACUAAGUAGACCACAAAGACGGAACAGAGAUUUUGCCUCCGCACUUUCCAGCAAGUUGUAACUCAAUUUUAUGGAGGUGUACACAUUUCUUUCCAUUCCAUCAAUUUCUCUUGCAUCGGAACUUCUUAGCUGAUUCAAUGCAUCCUUCCAAAUGUCAAGAUCCUUAGUUUUCAGAGCUUUUGCAACUGUACUCAGUGCAACAGGCAAUCCUCCGCAUUUUUCAACGAUCUCAUCUGCAGUGGGUUGAAAAGCAGAUAUUUUAGUUGAAUCACCCACUAUCUUCUCAAAUAACUGCAAGGCUUCUUCUUUUGAUAAAGCAUCGAUCGGGAAAUUUUUCUGAGAAUUCAUAUCAGUGCACAAUAAAUCUCGACUUCUAGACGUCAGUAUUAUUGUGCAUCGUCUCUGAUCAUCCAUUCUUUCGUUCGGAAUCCCAACUUUAUCGAACUCCAGUUCCCCCCAAAUAUUAUCCAAUAUAAUGAGAUGCCGCUCCUUGUUCUUCAAUACUCGACAUAGUCGAUUUGCUCUGUCGAAUAUACUCUCAUUCAACUCAAACUUUAUGCCUAAAUCAGAAGCAAGUUUGUCUUGAAUUUUCUGAUGAUCUGGGUUCUCUGUUACCUCAGCCAUAGCGACCUUAUCGAACAACUUAUUUGUUUCCAUCACUUGCUUUGCAACUUGCUUGACUAGCGUGGUUUUACCCACGCCGCCCAUGCCGUAGACCCCAAUUAUGUUGAGUUUCUCAUCCUUCAACGCCUCCAUAACAUCCAGUAAUACUUUCUUUCUUGAAUCAAAGGCCUCGUUAUCUUUCCCGCCCCUAAGUGCUUCGAUAUCUGCAGAAGGAUCGAAGGCAAUUUCUUCACUCUUCAGUUUGUCGCCUUUUUCCAUGAGAUUAGCAGCAUCUUUUGCGGCCUUUGCUGCUCGUUUACUGAGUUUGUAACGAGACAACAAAUUUGCACACAAUCCUUUGAAGCAGGACUUCUUGGCUCCAUCUUCUUCAUCAAUGAUAGAUUUUGCAACCCCCUCCGUAGAUUCAACCUUACUUCGCCAAUCUUUGACACCCUGAUAAAUCUCUUUGCCUUGUCGAGUAUCAUGCUUAACACGUUGUUGCACCAUUUCGUUUAUACCUUCCAACCCCUUCACUUGAUCUUUUAGCUCAUCUAUGUAGCUCUGGUACUUGAACACAUAAGAUAUUUGCCGUAUAAUCGGUUUGAACAGUGACUUUGCACCUUCUAAUACAGUGCUGGAUAAAGCAGCCAGAGCCACUUCUGCCAUUGUCUGCUACUUAACAAAUCUAAUAAUAUAUCAAAGAAAGGAAUACAAAUAAAUUAAAAGGAACUAAAGGGAAAGACAGAGAAAGAAAAGACGGCAAACAACAUCGCAAUAUUGAUCUUGAACCAACUGAUACCUAAAUAGAGAAUUUCUUUUACUAUCUUAAGGAUCAGAGGUUUCGCUAUUAACCGAAAGGUAUCGCUUCUAUUUUGUCACUUUGAACGAAUAACUUUAUGUUUUUAACGGAUGUUUAAUACAAAUUGCAUACAUUGGGUGUAAAAUUAAAUAAAUUUAAAUAUUUAUAAUAAUUUUAAUAAUUGAAUAAAACUUUGAGUAAAUGACUGAUAAUUUCUCUAAGAUGAUUUAUUGUUUGGGGUCUAAGAUUUUAAAUAUUCAACUUAAAAGAUUAAUAUCUUAUAAAUUGAUUAAUUAAUUAAUCAUUAAGCAACUAAAUUGGUCCCUGGAUGUCAAUUUAUUUAAUAUUGACGCACCUAUUUUUUUUUUCUGGCAAAUAAUUAUUAAUGCACUUAGGNNNNNNNNNNNNNNNNNNNNNNNNNNNNNNNNNNNNNNNNNNNNNNNNNNNNNNNNNNNNNNNNNNNNNNNNNNNNNNNNNNNNNNNNNNNNNNNNNNNNNNNNNNNNNNNNNNNNNNNNNNNNNNNNNNNNNNNNNNNNNNNNNNNNNNNNNNNNNNNNNNNNNNNNNNNNNNNNNNNNNNNNNNNNNNNNNNNNNNNNNNNNNNNNNNNNNNNNNNNNNNNNNNNNNNNNNNNNNNNNNNNNNNNNNNNNNNNNNNNNNNNNNNNNNNNNNNNNNNNNNNNNNNNNNNNNNNNNNNNNNNNNNNNNNNNNNNNNNNNNNNNNNNNNNNNNNNNNNNNNNNNNNNNNNNNNNNNNNNNNNNNNNNNNNNNNNNNNNNNNNNNNNNNNNNNNNNNNNNNNNNNNNNNNNNNNNNNNNNNNNNNNNNNNNNNNNNNNNNNNNNNNNNNNNNNNNNNNNNNNNNNNNNNNNNNNNNNNNNNNNNNNNNNNNNNNNNNNNNNNNNNNNNNNNNNNNNNNNNNNNNNNNNNNNNNNNNNNNNNNNNNNNNNNNNNNNNNNNNNNNNNNNNNNNNNNNNNNNNNNNNNNNNNNNNNNNNNNNNNNNNNNNNNNNNNNNNNNNNNNNNNNNNNNNNNNNNNNNNNNNNNNNNNNNNNNNNNNNNNNNNNNNNNNNNNNNNNNNNNNNNNNNNNNNNNNNNNNNNNNNNNNNNNNNNNNNNNNNNNNNNNNNNNNNNNNNNNNNNNNNNNNNNNNNNNNNNNNNNNNNNNNNNNNNNNNNNNNNNNNNNNNNNNNNNNNNNNNNNNNNNNNNNNNNNNNNNNNNNNNNNNNNNNNNNNNNNNNNNNNNNNNNNNNNNNNNNNNNNNNNNNNNNNNNNNNNNNNNNNNNNNNNNNNNNNNNNNNNNNNNNNNNNNNNNNNNNNNNNNNNNNNNNNNNNNNNNNNNNNNNNNNNNNNNNNNNNNNNNNNNNNNNNNNNNNNNNNNNNNNNNNNNNNNNNNNNNNNNNNNNNNNNNNNNNNNNNNNNNNNNNNNNNNNNNNNNNNNNNNNNNNNNNNNNNNNNNNNNNNNNNNNNNNNNNNNNNNNNNNNNNNNNNNNNNNNNNNNNNNNNNNNNNNNNNNNNNNNNNNNNNNNNNNNNNNNNNNNNNNNNNNNNNNNNNNNNNNNNNNNNNNNNNNNNNNNNNNNNNNNNNNNNNNNNNNNNNNNNNNNNNNNNNNNNNNNNNNNNNNNNNNNNNNNNNNNNNNNNNNNNNNNNNNNNNNNNNNNNNNNNNNNNNNNNNNNNNNNNNNNNNNNNNNNNNNNNNGGGAUUAUGGGGGUAUGCUAAUGCGGCAACCUGACUGUGAGUCGGGAAAAGCUAAUGAGGCAACUUUGCUUGUGCUGCUUCUUUUUUUUUUUUCUUUUGCUUUCUUUUUUGCUUUUUUUUAAUAAUAUUAAAUAAUAUAAAUUUUAAUUUAAUUUAAUAGAAUAUUAUAUAAUAUUAAUUUUUAUUUUCUCUUAUUUUGACAUCAUAAUUAUUAAUAUAAAUUAAUUAUUUUUAUUCAUAUUUUAAUUUUUAUUACUAAAUAAUAAUUAUAUAAUAAUUAAUAUAUAAAAUUGAUUAAUAAAUACUUAAAUAAUAUAAAAAUAAGAAUAUAACUUGAUAUUACAUUAUUUAAUUAUAUUAUAGUAAUUAAUAUAUAUGAAAAUUUAAUAUAACUAAUAAAAAUAUUUAUAUAUGAAUAAAUUUAAAUAAUAUUAAUUUAAAAUUAAUAUUAAUAAAAAUAAUAAUAUAAAAUAUCAUUAUGUUAUGAUAUUAUUUAGGUAUUAAUAAAUAUUAUUUUCUAAAUAUAUAAUUUAAGUUAAUCACAAAAAAUUAAUACAGUACAGUGUAGCACCAAACAUUGUAUUAUGCUGUAUGCCUGUAUUGUAUUAGCACUGAUUGGGUGUAAAGCGUUUGUAAGUGGCUUUUUAAGUCUGCCGUCAAAUCCCCUGCAAAAGCUUUUUUCUUAAUAUCACGCGUGUUGGUACUACAUAAAACCGUAAACUCUAACAAUUUCUUUGUUCUUUCUUAAUAUCACGCGUGUUGGUACUACAUAAAACCGUAAACUCCAACAAUUUCUUAGUUCUCAACACCCCUUAAUUUACAAGAAUUAAUCACUUCAAGGGUGGAUUAGGUAUAUCUUUAGUUCAUAUAUAACUAGCAAUAUCUAAUAUCCCAUAUACAUGUUUUUCUCCCAGAAUGUAAACCAACUAUUCAUAUCUUAGACUCCAAGUAUUCGUAUCUUAAAGUCAAUCGAUAAUAUUAAUUUAAAUUUAAUAAUAAUAUAAAAUAUUAAUAUAAUAUAAUAUUUAAUUUAAAUUAAUUACAAACAAAUAAUAUAGUACAAUGUAGCACCAAACAUUGUAUAGCAUUAUUAUAAUACAAUGCUAAUGCAAUACAAUAUAAUAUAAUCCACCAACAUUAAAAUAAUAUAAUAUAGCAUAAUACAAUACAGUGUGUCAAAUGCACCCUUAGGGUGUGUUUGGUAUGUGGUAUUGCAUAGCAUUAAAUGUGGGCCCAACAUUAAUUUAAACCAAUAACAUGUUUGGGAGCAAUUGAGGCUUAUUGGGAUUGGGUAUUGAGGGGUGCGCUAAUGCGGGAACCACCGCAUUAGCUUGUCUUUUUUUUUUUACUUUUACUUAAUAAUAAUAUAAAUGAAUAAAUAUAUAAUUUUUAAUUUUUAAUAUAAUAUUAUUUUUAUUUUUAUAUCAUAAUUUAUUAAUAAAUUUAUAAUUUAAUAUGAUUAAUAAUAAAUAUUUAAAUAGUAUAUAAAAUAUAAUAUAAUAUUACACUGUGUAAUUAUUGUAAUAUAAUUAAUAUAUAUAAAUUAUUUAUUUUUAAAUAAUUUAAUAUAAAAAAUAAAAAAAUAUUUAAAUACAAAUGAAUUUCAAUAAUAUUGAUAUACGAUUAAUAAUAACAUAAAUAAUAAUAUAAAAUAUUAGCACAAUUCAUUUUGCUAUUAAAUAUGUUAUAACAAUUUUGUCAUUUUAUAAUUUUGUGGUGUAUAUGAACAUAUGUCUUAAGAUUAUUUUUGAACAAAUCUUGUAGGUUUUAACUAUUUAUUUUUCUUGUUAUAUUAUUUCAAGAUUAUUUGAUUAAAUUAUUUGCUUCGAUAUUUAACAAGUUAUAUAUUUAGAAAAUAUAGAAAAUAAAUGUUAUGCUUCCAAAAAUUAAAGGAUAUAACGUUCGAUCUUUAUGAAGAAUUAUGAUAUUUUUGAACAUUUAUACUAAAAAAUUAUUAAAUUUUUAGAAAAUUAAAAGAUAUAACAUUCGAUCUUUAUGAAGAAUUAUGAUAUUUUUUAACAUUUAUACUAAAAAAAUAAUUAAAUUUCUAAAAUUUAAGACCUCUAUAUUUAGUUUUUUUUAAGUACUAUUAAUAUUAUUUUAUAAAUAUAUAAUAUAAAUUAAUUACAAAAAAUUAAUACAGUACAGUAUAACACCAAACAUAAUAUAAUUAAAAAUUAAUACAGUACAGUGUAAUACCAAAUAUUGUACAAUAUUAUUAUAAUACAGUACUAAUGUAAUACAACAUAAUACAAUACACUGCAUAAAAAUAAUGUAAUUUAGUGUACCAAACACACCCUUACAGAACUUUUGCAUAUCUACACAGCGAUUUUAAAUAUUACUGAUAACUCCUGAGAAAUGUGUGAGAAAGGAGUUGAUAAGAGUAAUAACAGCGACUUGCAAAAGGAAAAGACAGAAUCAUUCACCCCUUUUUAUAUCAUGUAUUUGGUUACUGUUGCCCUGUUGACGCAUGUAUAAAAUAACCGUAUGUAUUUUUUUUGGCUGUUGCUUAACAAAAUGUGUGUUUGUGUGUGUAUAUAUAUAUAUUUGCUGUUUGAAAAAAUUGGAUUCAAAUAAAUUAAAAUGAACUAGAGAGGAAGAGAAAGAAUGAAAAGACAACAAACAAUUGAUAUUGAUCUCGAACCAACUUCUUUCUUUCUUUCUUUCUUUUUUGUGUUUUUUUUUUCGCCCGUACCCCCUCUCAGAUUAGAGUAUUGGCUAUUAAAUGAAAGGUUUUAAGGGUAUGAGUGAAAAACAACAUUCUUUUUUAGAAACUAUUUUAGAGGAGGGAUGCAAAUUAAAUGACAAGAUUAAGACAAACAGGAGAUAUUUUUUCGUGGGCAUUAAGAAAUAACUGCUGUCAAGAUCAAGGAGAUUAUGCUAUUAAUAGAAAUUAUCAAAGGAUUUAGAACAAGUUCACCUCUUUAAUUAUCCGGGAUCAGAUAGUUGAUGAGCUUCUCUUCUUGGCGUUGAAUAUUUAAGAAUAAUUUUAAUGAGCAAAAAGAUCACUGGUAACUGCUGAAAAAUAAGUGAGAAAAGAGUUGAUGAGAAUAAUAACAAUGAAUUGAAUAAAAAAAGGACUUAAUCAUGCACCCCCUUUGCAUAUCAUGUAUUUGGUUACUGUUGCCUUGUUGACGCAUGUAUAGAAUAAUUAGUGACUUCUUUCAUGAAGAAUUAAACUUGGAAUGACCAAAAGACGAAGCUGCGGUGUAUUGUUGGACCAAAUUAAGUUGAAGAAAGCACUAGUUCACAACCUUACGUUUGGAUAUAUUCUAAAGAAAUAAUUAAACAGCAAAUCAUCACAUGCACUUUAAUGAUUUGAUCUAUUGUUUUCAAAAGAAAUUGCAAUUAACAGUUUUUGUCAAAAGUUCGCACUGCGUGAAACUAGUGCUAAUAUAAUUUAAAAAAUUAAUUUCAGUAUUAGUUUUUAAAAUGUUAAUUAUUAUAUUUAUUUUAAUAAUAUAUUUAUAUUUAUUAUAAAAAAUUCUGUUAAACAUUUGUGUUAAAUAGAAUUUAUAAUUAAUAUAAUAUAUCUUAGGUAUUAAUAAUAUUAUAAUUAUUCUAUAUGCUAUUGAAAAUAAUUUAAAUUUUUAGACGUUUAUUUUCACAUUAAGUUUCUAUUUAUUAUAAAAUUUAGUUUAAUAUAGUAUAAGCUUGUAAAGUAUUAAAAUAUUUUUUCAUAUUUUUUGAACAUAUUAAAAUUAUUUUAAAAUAUAUUUAUAUAUUAACAUUGAAGUCAAUUUUUUAAGUUAAUAGAACCAGUAGGUGUUAUAGUAAAAAAGCGUUUCUUAGCAUCACUUAUUGAAAAUAUAAAGAUCUAUAUAAUCAUUUUUUCAAAUAUUGAGAUGUAGUUAUAAAAGAAAAAAUAAAUUAAAAAAUUUUAAAUUUUAAUAUGGCCAUCGUAGAGUUAGAAUCCCCGCUCCAACCCGAUUUGGAGAUGAGCUUGGUCUAUUUAUGUUUUGGAAAAAGAAAAACCAAAGGAAAAAAAAGGCACCCGACCAAAUCAAGUAACUCAUCAAAUAAAAAAUAAAAAAAGGAAAGAAAUUUAAUGACUUGCAUGCAAUUUUGGAUCUGAAAUUAAAAUUACAUAAAAAUUAAGGAUUACGUACCUUAAUAUUUACAGCUUAUUUGAUGGACUCAACAGGUUUAAGCAACAUCAAAAUGUUUGUGGCUCCUUAAAUGAGCCCCCGACAUGGUGCAAAUGACAACAUCGACUUGUUUGACAGCUCCAACAAGGCUACGAUGAUCAGAAGAUGAGCCCUCAAUCAACAAGCUAAGAUUGGCUUCUCUAUCCUCUUCGCCCCACAACCAGCGCCUUGCUCUUUGUCAUUUUUCCUCUUGUUAGUUUUCUUCUACAUAUAAUUAUUACACUGGGAAGUAUACACACACCUCUUUUCUUUUUAUAGUACCUUACUAUUAUAUCUUUACAAAACAAUAUCACCCUAAGACAGCUAUGUAUGAAAUAAAUGAAAUAAAUAUAUAAGGAACUGACGAAAUAAAAUUAGAUCUAACUCUAAUUUCACGUUGCGUGAAUUUUUGACAAUUCACCCGUAUCCCAACAAAAGCUUUGUCAUAUUGCGAAAAUACCUUUUCAAUGUUUCAAUUGCAAUGUCAUUGCCAUUAUUCAUAGUGGCAGACAAUGGACGUCACGGGACGGUAGAAGUCUAUGUUACGGCUUGUGCAAGUAACAGCAGCCAAUGGGGAACUUCCACGGGUGCUAGAGGAGAGAGAAAGAGGUCCCAAUGCAAGGUGAUGGAAAUGGGAAAGUUCGAAGCUGUUACUUUCAGCUUCUGCACCUUAGCCAUGUCCCACGGGACAAGGCUAGAAGUUAUCAUGACCAUAAACUUUUCUAAUUUAUUUUUUCCUUUCAAAAAGGGACAAGGAUACGUUUCGGAGAAUGAUUAUAUUUUUAAUAAAAGAAUUCUUUUUUAUUAUAAUACUUUUUUCUUUAUUAAUUUAAAAAUAUUGACUCUUAUAUUUUAAUAAAUAUAAAUAUAAUAUUAUAAUAAAAUAUAACAAUAUAUACAAAUAUUUAAAAAAAUUUAAGAUUUUAUUAAAAGAAAUUUUAUAAUAAAUACAAAUAUAUUAUUAAUAUAAUUAUAAUAAUUUGCAUUUUAAAAAGUAAUACUGAUAUUAAUUUUUUAAAUUAUAUUACUCUACCAAAAAAAUUAAACUAUUAAAUUAUAUUGAUAUUUAUUAAAAAAAUUGAAGUUAAUUCUUAUUAUAUUUUUAAUUGGAAUUUUUUCAUGUGACAUAAUUACAAUUGCUACAUUUUUUUCCCUAAAUAAAGAUGGGAGUUAUAAAUUAUUUGUAUAAGUGUCUGUGUGUAAACUAAUGUGACAUGAAAGUAAUAGCUGAAUAACAAUAAUGGAGCUUUAGGUAAUUUUUUAUGAGGUCUUCUUGCAAUUUCAACACUUAAACAGACUUGUCCUUGAUCCCAAUUUAUUUACCCCAUUUGGGCCCCUUAUGACAAACAUAUUCUUGUGGAAUGAAAAACAUCAGGAGAAGAAAAUGUUUUAUUAUAAUAGAAAAAGUUGUCCAUAAGUCUAUUCAUUUUUUUUUUAUUCAAUACAAAUGCGGGCCGCGUUCUGUGGGUCUNNNNNNNNNNNNNNNNNNNNNNNNNNNNNNNNNNNNNNNNNNNNNNNNNNNNNNNNNNNNNNNNNNNNNNNNNNNNNNNNNNNNNNNNNNNNNNNNNNNNNNNNNNNNNNNNNNNNNNNNNNNNNNNNNNNNNNNNNNNNNNNNNNNNNNNNNNNNNNNNNNNNNNNNNNNNNNNNNNNNNNNNNNNNNNNNNNNNNNNNNNNNNNNNNNNNNNNNNNNNNNNNNNNNUAAGUAGAGUGAGACUCUGGCAUCCUCUAAAUAUCUCUCAACACUCUUUCUUAUUAACCCCAUUAAAAUAUUUAAAAAUAUUAUAAAAUUCUUUUAACACCUUUUUUAUGGCAAAAAUACCCUUAGUUUAAAUUUAUUAAUAUAAACCCCAUUUUAAUUUUUGACCCCUGAUUGUGAUUUUUUUUUAAAGCACCUGAAUUUUGAAACAAUUAAUUAUCUAUUGAAAAAGAAAGAAAGAAAAGGAAAACAAAAGGAAAAGGGCACUUGCUCCAAGAAAGUUCUACUUUAAUGUGGCAAAUCAUUGAAACACCACAUGGCCAAAACUUUACUCUAUGCAUGACAACUCAUUGUAAUUGAUAAUGACCCUCGCAAACACUUGGCUACCAUGCGUGUAAUUCUAAGGCCAAGUGCUAAUUUGGUUUACUGAUGAAGAUGCUGAGCACAAGCUUCUGAAAAUGCAGAAUUACGAAUUUUUCGAAAGACUGCGAACCUUUAUGGAGAAAGACAACUAGGCCACUGGAAAACAUGUCGGUGGGAAAAUAAUUCUGAUGAUCGUUCAGCUCGUCCUUUGCUUCAUAAUUACUUUCUUCUUUCUUAAUUUCUCUCAUGGGUCUCGGUUUCUUCCUGAAGCUUGUUGAUGAUGAGUUGCAUAUGCCGAUAAUUCCUCACCAGAAAAUAAGAUGAAAAGGUAACUUUCUUAAUUUUUAAAAUGCUGAAUUUCAAUUUAAGGUACUAUUCAUUUUGUCUCUUUCAAGUUAUUUUUCAUUUUUCUGCUGAUAUUUUAAUAUUUACAGUCAAUUGUAGCAUUACUUAAAUUUAUAGUAUGUAGAUCAUAAUUCAUAAAUUAGUUUGCAGUUGGAGUAAACUCGAAAAUGUUAAAAAAAUAAUAAUAACAACAAAAAGAGUAGAGACAAGUUGUCAUCUUGAGUAACAAUAAAAUAAAGAAUUGCAGCUUUUACAAAGUCUUUCUUUAAAAAUAUGAAAUGAAUAAAAUGACUAUUAAAAUGGUUCAAAAUUUUCUGAUAGUGUCAUUGACUAGCUAGAUCAAUUGUUUCUUGUGUGGUAACUUCAAACACCAAAUCCUUGAAAGCAAGUAUAUUAGUUUUGUAUGGUGUUGCCCAGCCUUCUGCACAUGGUUCAUGAUAUUUGAUCCAACUAUUCGCAAUAGGAGGAAUAGGUGAAGCUGGAAGCAUGAACACCUGUAAAAAAAAAAAAAAAGCCAUAGAAAAAUUAGUCCAAUAAUUAAGAUAUUGCAGCAUAAUUUGAAUUUCUAAACUUUUACAUACCUCUAUGAAAUGAUUUCUAUUAACAAAUCCAAUAGCAAUGAUUUUAUGCGAGGAGCGUGAUAAUGGAAUAGAUCUAAGUGGAAGGAAUGUGACAAUCAGCACAUCUGAUAUAUGUAGUAAUACCACAUUAUAUUUAGAAGCAAUAAUAUGACCAAUUUCAGGCAUGGUCAUCCAAUACUCUCUUCCUGGGUUAUUCUCAAAGUAUAAAAGUGAAUGAAGCACCUCCUCUGCUCUACCAGCAUAUUCAAAGACUCUUUUAUAAUCAUUAAAGUGACUUUGCAACUCAACAACUAAGACUUUCCUGACUUGUGCCCAGUUAUCUUCACCAAUACCUAUUAGGUCAGCCACUGCCUGAAAACCACAAUUACCAUCUGCAACAACAUCUCUAACACCACAAAUAUAAGGCCUCAAACCAAAUGGAAAUGAAUCAAUAUAAGAAGCAUGCUUUGGUGCUUUUGUUUGAGAAACACUCAUUUUUCGUUGCCCUUUUGGUUUUUUUGUAGUUGUACUUGAAGACAUAAUGUCUGGAGAAUGAUUAUCCUGUGCGGAUACUACAUACUCAAAUCUUGAUGGAUCUCGGCGGGUAGAUUUAUCAAGCUUUUGGGAGGGUCGUCCUCGAGUCUUAGCUUUAACAGGUAGCUCAAUUAAAAAAGUUAAGAAUGGAUCAGCUAAUUCUUUCAGUUUUCUUUUUAUUUGCAUUUUUCCGAAACCAUCUGAAUCUUCAAAACGCUUGAUAAUCAUUUCCAUUUCAGGGGUACAACUCAACUCUGCUGAUUUUUCAUAGCUGGUGCAGACAAGGUCUAAUUUCCUCCAAUGCAAAUGUACAGAAUCUAAAGGUAUCGGUCGACCUUCACGCUUAUACUCUGCAAUUUCAUGUGCACACGGUAGCCCAUAAGUGUGUCGAACUACACAACCACAUGCUGAAAUAUCUAUACCAAUUAAAUCAGCUCUUUUUGACUCACUUAGUAUCAUAUCUAAUGCAUUUCUAGCAACUAACCCCCUUAAUUCUUUAAAAACUGAAGGUGUGAAACUAUGUUGCACAGUAGUCAAACUCUUCUCAAAUGAUGCCUUAAUUUUUGUAUGUUGCAACUCUACCAAAGAAUGAAGUUUUGUCCAUAAUGUUACAAAGUUUCCUUGGGAUGAACAUAGUUGCCUUUUUAAUUUUGAAUGUGCAGUCUCAGCCCUAAAAAUAAACCAACAAAAAAAUAAUAAAAAGAUAUAUAAAAAAAUGGUGUUGAGUUUAUUUAUAAAAUCAUUGAAAACUAAAUAUUGGUUACCUGUUGGUUGUCAUAUUUCCGAAAUGCAUAAUAAAGUCUGUCCAUGCUGCAAUAAAUUUUUCUUUAUACUUAUCAAGCCAUGUCUACUUCACAUAGACAAGUGCUUUCGGAUAUCUAGCAUAAUCACUCUAAAAAAUACUCAAGUGUUGUAUGUACUCUUGUUCAGUGGCUGAGAACACCAGUACAUUCCAGUUGCUGUUAAAGGCUUCCCAUCUUUCAUUAGUAUGAAAUAGCCUCUUAUAAUUAGCUAACACAUUUUUUGAAAUAUGCCAUCUACAAAGUAAAUUAGUUGCACUUGGAAAUAUCUUUUCAAUGGCAUUCAUCAGAGCUAAUUCCCUGUCUGUCACAAUCACAGCUGGUAACAUAUCAUCUUGCAUAAUGGUUUUCAAUCUUUCUAAUGCCCAAAUAUAGUUAUCUUCUCGUUCGGACUCAAGAUAUGCAAAACCAACAUUAAAUGUCUUUGCAGUCGAUGUGUCACCAACUAUUUCUAACAACGGAAACUUAUACUUAUUGACUUUAUAAGUGCAGUCCAUUAUCAGAACACUUGGAAAAGCUUUUAACAAAUCAAAAGUAAGAGGAUGUGCCUAAAAUAUGUCUUUCACACAAUUUGUAUCAUCAUCACUCCGAUGCCACUCAAUGUAAUUAUGAUCAUGCAAUUUACUCAUAAGCUGUUGCAUUUGUGACCGUCCGCCCAAUUCGCGAACCUUAUAUUUAUACCGAGCAUUAUAAACCGUCUUCAUUGUUGUAACAUUAAAUGUAUCCCUAGUCUUUAAAGUAUGUAAUAUCUCUUUUGGCCGAACAUUAUUUUUAGACAAAUCAACCAAUAUACUAACAUCUUCAUUAGUAAGUCUACCUGCAAAUGAGUGGCCCUCAAGAUAUUGUGCAAAAUGAUGGUUAUGCAAUCCACAGAUUACUUUUAACACCCAAUCUUGAUUAUUCACCAACAUUUGACCCUUUAAUAAAAAUGGACAGCCACACUUUUUUGUUCCAAUUGCAUUCGGUCUUUUCUUCUUUUCCAAGUCGCUAUUCUGCUUAGACAUGUUGGUACUUCUUUUCGGAUAUGCACCACUUCUUUCACAAGCAAAAAUUAUCCUUGGUCUCCUUCCAAUCACAUUCACGUCAGAUCUUUUAAUAAUAAUCACAAGUCCAUUUUUUUCCCAACAUCAUGCAUCCAUCGAAUCAACUUGUCUCUACUGGUGAAAACCUAUGAGAAAGACAAUAAUAUAUUAGUUAAUGAUACAAAGAAAAGAGAAUAUAUGUAUGAAAAUUUAUUUAGCAUUUUACCUCUUCAGUAGUGAAUGCAGCAGUGUAAUCCAUAACAUCUACUUUAUUAUCAAGAAUGACAACUAUGGUAGAACUUUCCUCCUUUACAAUCAUUGUAAGAUAUUACAUAAGUUAAUACAAGACACAAAACUAGAAUAAUAGCAAUUUAUUCAGCAAUAAUCAACCAAACAAUUGACAUUUGUUAAGGGAUAUUUGUUGAACAUUGUUCAACGCUCUCCCAGUCAUUAUAAUUCUAAAACAAUAAAUUAAUAGCAAACUUACUUUUUUAUUAUCAUCCCCAUCUAUUUGCAUGAUUAUUUUGCCCUAAAUUUGAAACUCUUAGAUUAGGGUUUAAGAAAGAAAAGAGAGUUUAUAUCGUAUGCCACACAAAGAAUUUAAAACUCUUAAACAAAAAUAUGCCAUAUAAGAAAUUUUUAAGGGGAAAAAAAUAUUUGAUUUUGAGUGGGGGUUUAAUUAGAAAUUGUCUUAUUAUGUAAUUUUAAUAAAGGUUAAAAUUGUAAAAUAACUAAAGGGGUGUUAAGAGGUAUUUAGAGGGGUGCCAAUAGUCCCACUCAAAUAAGUAAUGGUAACAAAAGACUAAUUUGUAAUAUUGAAGUGUACGGGCUUAACUAAAUCCAAAAAUUAGUAAGUUAGCUCAAGAGUUGAGAGUUGUCCAAAUCUUAAAUGUUGAACCCAAGUUCAAUACUCAAUUGAUGCGGGAUGUUAUUCCUAACACCUCCCGUCAUGUGUAGGAUUGGUAAAAAAACUCGGGUCAGUCCCGCCUAGACCUACGGGCUUUAUGCAUGGCCCGCAUGAUGAAGUUACGAAAUUAACCUAAAAAUUUGAAACUUACGAUGAAUGGCCUUGCUUAAAGAUUUUUGCAACUUUAAUUUAUAACGAGUAUGUAUAUAUACACACACAAAAGUUUAGAUUGCAUUUGGAUGACUUUUUUAAUCAAUUCAAACAAUCUGAAAUUUAUCAGAUUAAUCCGAAUUUGAUCUGUAUCUGAUUUUGCCCGCCCCUACUAUUUAUAAGCCCAAGUGACUCUCUUUUACUAAUUAAUAAGGGAAUUUUUUACCUUAUAUCCUUGCUGUGGCGUUAGACUACUGGUCAUUUUGAUUGUUUCCUACCUUCCAUUUACGCCAGUUGUAACAUUGUAUUAUUCACCACUUUAGCCAUUUAAAUGAAAUUUUAUUUUCAUAAAAAAUAAAAUGACACCCUUAAAAUUUAAAAAAUAGAUAUGUAGAUCUCAAAUUUUUAAUAAAGAAUGUCAAUACCCCUUUUAACUACAAGAUUCUUAGUAGAUGAUAACCAAAAACAUUAACUUCAAAUUUUUCACUAAAUGUAAAUCUGAUUGAAAUAGUUUAAUUUUUUUCUAGUAGACUAAUAUGUAUAACUUAUAUAAUUAAUUUCAUUAUUAAUUUUUAAAAUGUUAAUUAAUAUAUUUUUAAUUAUUAUAAAAAUUUUAAAUAAAUCUUGGAUUAGAUAGAUUUUACACUUAAUGUAAUACUUCUGAUUUAUUAAUAAUAUUAAAAUUAUUUUAUAUGAUAUUCAAAAUAAUUUAAACUUUUAUAUAUUUAUUUUAAUAUUAUGUCUAUUUAUUAUAGUUUGGUUUAAUAUAAUACGGGAUUGUAAAAUAUUAAAAUAUUUUUCAAUAUCAAAUUAUUUUAAUAUGUAUAUAUUAUUACAUUUAUUUUAAUAUCACAUUUAUAUUUAUUAUAAAAUAUAAAAUUAAUAAAAUUAAAGAGUAUUGCAGUAAAGUAAAAAAAAAAGUCUUAUUAUCCCAUAUUCACGGUAUGAGUUUCUACAAAAUUAUUUCCUCAAAUGGGUGACCUUUCCUCAUUUUCAAAAGAAAAAAUAAAGUAAGAAUAAGUCCAGGGUUUCAAAAACUUCUAGUCUUAUCCCAAGACCUCCAUUGUCUACCACUAUGACUAAUGGAAAUGACAUUGCAAUUGACAUUGCUUUUCGCAACAUGACAAAUUUUUGGUGGGAUAUGAGAGAAUUGUCAAAAGUUCAUGCCGCGUGAGAGUUUUUGGUGGGAUGUGGGAGAAUUGUCAAAAGAUCACACCACGUGAUAUAACCAUAAUUGCUACAAUUUUUUUUAAUAAUGAUGGGAGUUAUAAAUUAUUUAUAUAAAUUUGUGUAGAAACUAAUGUAACAUAAAAGAAGUAGCUGAAUAACAAUAUUUGGUGCUUUAGGUAAUUUUUAUAUGAGCCUUUCUUUUAUUUAGCGACUUUAGUGCUUAAACAAAUUUGUCCUCGAUCUUAAUUUACUUACCCCAUUUAAGCCUAUGAUGACAUAAACAUAUUCUUUUGUGACGAAAACAUCAAGAGAAGACAUCUCAUGUUUUAUUAUAACACAAAAGAAGUGGUCCAAACGUCUAUUCAUUCUUUUAUUUACUCAAUAUGAAUGGCCAACUUUAAAAAAUGAUAAAAAUCACACCACGCUCAACUGAAAAUUUAUAAUUACAUUUUUUAAUACUCUCUAUACUCUCUAGCCUCUCUCUCCUGCCCCCUUUUUUUUUUAAAAAAUAAACCUUAGUGUAAAAUUAGAAGAAUUUUAGAUAUAACAUUUGACAAUCGCUAAAUAGAAAAGUAGGGGAUUGAAAAUAGAGGAGCUCUGUUAUCAUUGGAAUAUUGAUUAUAGAUCAUAUAAUAACUUGUUGUGGUUCAUUGUAGCACUCUGAGUCAUAUUCUAAAAUUUAUAGGUUUCUUAAGGUUUUUAUUAUUGACAUUAUUGUGUCAAUACUAUUAUAAUUUAUUCAUUUUAUUGUAAUGAUAAUUUGUCUAGUCUUAGGUACUUAUUAUAUUAAAUUAUGUAAAUUAAUUGAGAAUACAUUUAGAGACAAAAGAAACACGUGUAUGUAGGAUUAAUAAUCGCAGAGUUGUAAAUGAAGGUGAUUGCUUCAUUGAGAGGCAUAUUAAAUAAUUAUGGAGAGUUGCACUAUUUCGGAAGCAUAUAUUUAUACUUCCCUAUCAGGAUUUGGGGUAAGCGAAGUGCUUUAUGUGUUGUAGUAAGCAAUGUGGGCAAUAUCGGAGGCGAAAUAUUAAAAGAUCAUAACGCAUAUAUUUGAGCCAUUUAUAUUGAAGACACGUAUUGAAGACACGUAUAGAGGAAAGAGUGCAUAUCCGGCGGUAACUAUUAUCAGGCUUUCCUAAAAUAUUCUCAUGCUUCCUCAACUGUUCUGAACUAUUCUUCAUAGUGGGCAGAUUUACUUAAAUACCCUUCUACCUAACAAAACUUGGUACUUCUAAUUGCACUCGCAGAGAAUCUAUAAAAUUAAAAAAAAAUUCAUCCAUGAAAAGCCUCGUAACAGAAAAACCAUCUUUCAAAAAAUAAUAAUAAAAUAAAAACAGAAAAACCGACUCAUUUAUCUGCCAAUGAACCAAUCGGGACUCAUUUAAAAAAGAUUACAAAGCAAAAGUAAAUGACACAAAUUGCAUAGAUAUCUAGGAGCCGCAUCAAAGGGCAAUGGUGUUAAUUUGUCCGAGUAAUAAUUAAUUUCAAUAUUAAUUUUUAAAAUGGAAAUUAAUUUAUUUAUAUUUAUAAAAUAUUUGUAAUUAUUUUAAAAUUUUAACUAAAUCCUUAGGUUAAAUAGAUUUUACAAUUAAUAUAAUAUUUCUCAUGUAUUAAUAAUAUUAAAAUUAUUUUAUAUGAUAUUGAAAAUAACCUAAAUUUUUAUAUAUUUAUUUGAAUAUUAUGUCUCUAUUUAUUAUAAUUGGGUUUAAUAGAAUACGAGAUUGUAAAAUAUUAAAAUUUUUAGAUAUUGAAAUUAUUUUAAUAUGUAUAUAUUAUUAUAUUUAUUUUAAUAUCCUAUUUAUAUUUAUCAUAAAUUAUUAGAGUUAAUUUUUUUAGUUAAUAAAUUUAAAAACUAUUCUAAUUUUAAAAAAAAGUCUUAUUGUCUAUUAUUCAUGAUAUGAGGUUCUACAAAAUUAUUUCUCCAGACGGAUGUCCUUUUCUUAUUUUCAAAAGGAAAAACAAGUUCAGGGUCUCAGGGGUUUCAAAAAUUCUGGUCCUAUCUACCACUAUGACUAAUGGGAAACAACAUUGUAAUUGACAUUGCUUUUCACAAUAUGACAAAUUAUUGGAGGGAUAUGGGAGAAUUGUCAAACAUUCACACCACGCGAGAGCUUUAGUGUGGGAUAGGGGAGGAUUGUCAAGAGUUCACACCACGAGAAACUAAUGAUAGGCCCAAUUUCAUUGUCAAUUCUUUAUUUAUUUCAUGCAUUAUUGUUUUUCUAAAGGUAUAAAAGCAAAGUAAAAUACUAGGGGCGCUUUUAAGUUACAAUUGAUGUAACUUACAAUUUUUUCAAAAAUAAUGUAAAAAAAUUAAUAGGUGGUGGGACCCACAUAUUUUUUAAGAGACUUAAGUUACGGCAGUUGUAACUUAACAAAAUUUAAAUAUUAGAUAAUAAUACAUAUUAAUAAUAUAUAAUUUGGGUUUGAUUUUUAAAAGAUUAUUUGAGUACCACCUAUCCUUAUGAUAUUAAUGUGACUAUAUCUUAAUAUUAAAUAAUCAAAAUUUGUUUAAUUGUUAUUUGUAUUUCAUACAUUACAUAUUAGAUUUGUUUGAAUUUUAAGUUGUUGCUAAUAAAUAUUUAUGUUGUCAAAGUCAAAUUCAAUAGCUACAAAAGCAGAGAUAAUGGUAUUGUAUAUAGUUUUUAAGAAUGCAAGGAUAAGCUGGAUAAUUGACAUAAAUUCUAAUGAUUAAAACAGCAACUAUCCCUUAAGUUAUAAUGUCAAUUUCUUUAAUUAGAUUUUUUUUUUUAUGUGAUAUAACCACAAUUGCUACAAAUUUUUUUUUUUAUAAUAAUAAUGGGAGUUAUAAAUUAUUUAUAUAAAAUUUGGGUUGAAACUAAUGUAACCUAAAAGUGGUUGCUGAAUAACAAUAUUUGAAACUUUAGGUAAUUUUCAUGAGUCCUUUUUAUAUUCAGCAACUUGAAUUGGGGGAAAUCCGACUUGAAUUGGCGGUUGAUUUUCGUGAUGUGGCUUUUGGUUUAUGGCGACCUUACAGUGGCAGAAGACUGGAUUUACGGUUGCCGACUGCUAGGGAUUAUGGUGGGGGUGUAAAUUGACGGAAAAAGAAGGUGUUUUGGUGGCGGCGCGUGUAGGAAGCACUCGUGGGUUGUCGUUUCGUGUGGUGGCGGGCGGCGAUCAAGGGCUGAAGUUGGUCGGUUUUUGGUCAACGGAGGCCGGCGAGUUUGUUGGUGGAGGUGGCUGGUGGAGAAAGUGACUGAAUGGUGGUGGGUUGCUUGGUGGAGCCGCGGGUUUGGGUUGGUGAUUUGUGGCUGUUCAAGCGGCGGUUGAGGCAGCGAUGACUGAGGCUUGGUCGACGGUGGCUAGUGAGGUUUGUGGUGGUGUUGGCUGACUGAUCGGCGGUGGUGGGCGGCCGUGGAGGUUGAUGUGACGGGUAGGGUUUUCAAAUUUGUAAAUUUUUUUUUUUGAUGGAUUUGGUUUGGAUGGGUAUCGUGUAUCUAGGAAAGAUGUGCGAUUCGCACAGAAUCCCUUUGACACCAAUUGAUGGAGCGAGGCGUAGCGGAAGCGGAAUUGAUAGGGUAAGAAACAUUAGAUAUUGUUCUAGUACUAGACCAAGCCAACGCAAUUAGCUUACGCUCUAAUCGAAGCGUGAUUAGAUAUCGUUCUAAUCCAAAUAACUCAAUACGAUUUUUAAUAAUGCGUAAUACGAGAUUAAAUGACACUCUAAUCCAAACGACUCUACAAGAGAGAUUUUGAUAAAUAAUCAUAGAGGGGUUUUAUUUAAUAAUUGAACCUGAAGUUAAUGAAAAUAAUGACAAGACAUCUUUAUUUUUUUUUAUUACAGACAUCUUUAUUUAUAAUAAAAGAAACCCGCUUUCCUAAGUUAACCUAAAAAGAAAAUUUAAAUCAUAAUUAUAAUGGAAAUAAAAGAUUAAGAUACAUAUCAUAAUUGACUCAAACUAAAAUAGAAAAUCAUAAAAUAAUAAAUAUUCUAAAAUUAUAAAUUAUCUAAAAUAACGUUAAUUAACUUCCUAAAUCACUUCUUUGGUGUAAACCAUUUUGCAUCCAAACUCGCUUUAAAGGUUUGAACUAACGUUACCAACAACAAUGUAUCAAAUUCCAAUCUAACUUAAGAUCUUGAUGCAUCUAUCGAUGUCCUUGUUUGAUUAGACAAUAAUGAGUCUAUCUCAUCACUUGUUACCUCUUUCUUGAAAGCUACAUCUGUUGAAGUGAUAGCCUCACUUAGAGUUUAAAGAUCUUCUUCCCUGUUAAAUAAAAUGGGCAUUUGAGUAAAAAGCUUUAUCUCUAUCUCCUUCUAUCAAAUAACGACAACUAUCCAAAGGGAAAAAAAAAAUUAGAAAAGUCCAUGGGUCACAAUAAUUUAUGGUCUGUCUCCGGACCCCAUUAUCUGCCACUAUCAAUGAUGAAAAUGAAAAUAAAUGGCAUCUUCCCUAAAUGGCAAAAGAUUUUUGGGGGAUAUAGGGGAAUUGUCAAAAGUUCAUACAACGCGAAAUAAGUGUUACAUCCAAUUUUAUUUCGUCAUAUAAUGAUAAUAUUAAAUAAUGACAACCAUCCAAAAGUAUGAUGGGUCUUCCAAAAUUUUGAAAAUGUCGUCAACAUUUAAUCUUCAAUGCUAAAGAAGAUGAAACGCCCAAAAAUGACACGCAGGACUCACUCAAAAACUAAAUGGCCCUCACCACAUGUAACAAACUUUGACCUUAUGUCCCUGCUGAGGCGUUAGACUGUUGGUCAUUUUGAUUGCUUUUUACCAUCCAUUUACGCCAUUGUAGAAUUGAACUAUUCACCAGUCUAGCUGUUUAAAUGAAAUUGUUAUUUUUUUUCCAAAAAUAAAAUGACACCCUUAAAAUUUUAGAAAAUAGUCAUGUAGACCCCAAAAUUUUAUUAAAGAACACUAAUAUCCUUUUUUACUAUAGUACUCUUAGUAGAUGGUAACAAAAAAAAAAUGAUUGCAAAAUAUUUUAGUAAAUGAAAAUAUGAUUUAAAUAGUUUAAAUUUUCUAGUAGACUAGUAUGUAUAAUUUAAAUAAUUAAUUUUUAAAAUGUAAUUUAAUAUAUUUAUUAUAAAAUUUUUAAACAAAUCCUUGGGUUAAAUAGAUUUUAUAAUUUAUAUAAUAUUUCUCAUGUUUUUAUGUUAUAGAAAUAUUAAAAUUAUUUGAUAUGAUAUUGAAAAUAAUUAAACAUUUUAUAUAUUUAUUUGAAUAUUAUGUCUCUAUUUAUUAUAAUUUGGUUUAAUAGAAUACGAGAUUGUAAAAUAUUAAAAUAUUUUUAGGUAUUGAAAUUAUUUUAAUAUAUAUAUACAUAUUAUUAUAUUUAUUUUAAUAUCCUACUUAUAUUUAUUAUAAAAUAUUAAAAUUAAUUUUUUUAGUUAAUAAAUUUAAAAAAUAUUAUAAUUAUAAAAAGAGUCUUAUUGUCUGCUAUUCACGAUAUGAGAUUCUACAAAAUUAUUUUGAAAAUGAAAAAUAAGUCCAGGGGUUUCAACAAAUUCUAGUCCUAUCUGCCACUAUGACUAAUGGAAACGACAUUGCAAUUGACAUUGGUUUUCAUAAUAUGACAAAUUUUUGGAGGGAUAUGGGAGAAUCGUCAAAUGUUCACACUACGCGGGAUUUUUGGAUGGGAUCAGGGAGGAUUGUCAACAGUUCACACCACGAGAAACCAAUGAUAGCCCUAAUUUCGCUGUUAGUUCUUUGUUUAUUUAUUUUAUUUAUUUCAUACAUUGUUGUCUUGUUGGCAUUGUUUUGUAAAGAUAUAAAAGUAAAGUAAACUAUUAGGGUGCUGCUAAGUUAAGCUGUUGUAACUUGCAGUCCCUUAAAAAAUAAUGUAAAAAAUCCACAUUUGUUUGAAGAGGCUGUAAGUUAUAGUAGUUGUGACUUAGCAAAAUCCAAAUAUUAGACAAUAACGCACAUUAACAAUGCAUAUAAUUUGGGUUUGAUUUUUAAAAAAAUUAUUUGAGUAUUAGCUAUCCUUAAGAUAUUAAUGUGAAUAUAAUUUAAUAUUUAAUAAUCAAAAUCUGUUUAAUCAUAAUAUAUAUUUCAUACAUUGCAUGUUUAAUCAAAAUCUGAUUGCUUUUUACCUUCCAUUUACGCCCACUGUAGCAUUGUACUAUUCACCAUUUUAGAUGUUUAAAUGAAAUUUUUAUUUUUUUUCCAAAAAUAAAAUGACACCCUUAAAAUUUUAGAAAAUAGCCAUGUAGACCCCAAAAUUUUAAUAAAGAACACUAAUAUCCUUUUUAACUACAGCACUCUUAGUAGAUGGUAACCAAAAAAAAAAAAUUGAUUGCAAAAUUUUUUAGUAAAUGUAAAUAUGAUUUAAAUAGUUUAAAUUUUCUAGUAGACUAGUAUGUAUAAUUUAAAUAAUUAAUUUUUAAAAUGUAAUUUAAUAUAUUUAUUUUAAUAUUAUAUUUAUUAUAAAAUUUUUAAACAAAUCAUUGGGUUAAAUAGAUUUUAUAAUUUAUAUAAUAUUUCUCAUGUUUUAAUAAUAUUAAAAUUAUUUUAUAUGAUAUUAAAAAUAAUUAAAAAUUUUAUAUAUUUAUUUGAAUAUUAUGUCUCUUUUUAUUAUAAUUUGGUUUAAUAGAAUACGAGAUUGUAAAAUAUUAAAAUAUUUUUAGGUAUUGAAAUUAUUUUAAUAUAUAUAUAUAUAUAUAUAUAUAUAUUAUAUUUAUUUUUAUAUCCUACUUAUAUUUAUUAUAAAAUAUUAAAAUUAAUUUUUUUAGUUAAUAAAUUUAAAAAUAUUAUAAUUAAAAAAAGAGUCUGAUUGUCUGUUAUUCACGAUAUGAGGUUCUACAAAAUUAUUUUGAAAAGGAAAAAUAAGUCCAGGGGUUUCAACAAAUUCUAGUGCUAUCUGCCACUAUGACUAAUAGAAACGACAUUGCAAUUGACAUUGCUUUUCUUAAUAUGACAAAUUUUUUUAGGGAUAUGGGAGAAUCGACAAAUGUUCACACUACGCGGGAGUUUUAGAUGGGAUCAGGGAGGAUUGUCAACAGUUCACACCACGAGAAACCAAUGAUAGCCCUAAUUUCGCUGUCAGUUCUUUGUUUAUUUAUUUUCAUUAUUUCAUACAUUGUUGUCUUGUUGGCAUUGUUUUGUAAAGAUAUAAAAGUAAAGUAAACUAUUAGGGUGCUGCUAAGUUAAGUUGUUGUAACUUACAAUCCCUUAAAAAAUAAUGUAAAAAAUCCACAUUUGUUUGAAGUGGCUGUAAGUUAUAGUAGUUGUGACUUAACAAAAUCCAAAUAUUAGACAAUAACGCACAUUAACAAUGCAUAUAAUUUGGGUUUGAUUUAAAAAAAAAAAAUUUUGAGUAUUACCUAUCCUUAAGAUAUUAAUGUAAAUAUAAUUUAAUAUUAAAUAAUCAAAAUCUGUUUAAUCAUAAUAUAUAUUUCAUACAUUGCAUGUUUCAUCAAAAUUUGAUUGCUUUUUACCUUCUAUUUACGCCCACUGUAGCAUUGUACUAUUCACCAUUUUAGAUGUUUAAAUGAAAUUUUUAUUUUUUUCCAAAAAUAAAAUGACACCCUUACAAUUUUAGAAAAUAGUCAUGUAGACCCCAAAAUUUUAAUAAAGAACACCAAUACCCUUUUUGACUAUAGUACUCUUAUGGUAGCCACAAAAAAAAAUUGACUUCAAAAUUUUUUAGUAAAUGUAAAUACGAUUUAAAUAGUUUAAAUUUUCUAGUAGACUCGUAUGUAUAAUUUAAAUAAUUAAUUUUUAAAAUGUAACUUAAUAUAUUUAUUUUAAUAAUAUAUUUAUUAUAAAAAUUUUAAACAAAUCCUUGGGUUAAAUAUUUUUAUAAUUAAUAUAAUAUUUCUCAUGUUUUAAUAAUAUUAAAGUUAUUUUAUAUGAUAUUGAAAAUAAUUUAAAGCUUUAUAUAUUUAUUUGAAUAUUAUGUCUCUAUUUAUUAUAAUUUGGUUUAAUAUAAUACGAGAUUGUAAAAUAUUAAAAUAUUUUUUGGUAUUGAAAUUAUUUUAAUAUAUAUAUAUAUAUUAUAUUUAUUUUAAUAUCCUACUUAUAUUAUUAUAAAAUAUUAAAAUUAAUUUUUUUAGUUAAAAAUUUAAAAAAAUAUUACAGUUAAAAAAAAAGAGUCUCAUUGUCCGUUAUUCACGAUAUGAGAUUCUAUAAAAUUAUUUUCAAAAGGAAAAAUAUGUCCAGGAGUUUCAACAAAUUCUAGUCCUAUCUGCCACUAUGACUAAUGGAGACGACAUUGAAUUGACAUUGCUUUUCGCAAUAUGACAAAUUUUUGGAGGGAUAUGGGAGAAUCAUCAAGCGUUCACACCACGCGAGAGCUUUAGGUGUGAUAUGGGAGAAUUGUUAAGAGUUCACACCACGAGAAAUUAAUGAUAGGCCUAAUUUCGUUGUCAGAUCUUUAUUUAUUUUUUAUUUAUUUCAUACACUAUUGUCUUGUUGGUAUUGUUUUGUAAAGAUAUAAAAGUACAAGUAAAAUAUUAGGGGAAGUAAAGUAAAAUAUUGGAGGUGCUACUAAGUUACAGCUGCUGUAACUUACAGUUCCUUAAAAAAUAAUGUAAAAAAUUUAACACGUGGUGGGACCCACAUUAUGUUUGAAGAGGUCGUAAGUUAUAGCAGUUGUAAAUUAGUAAAAUCCAAAUAUUAGACAAUAAUACAUAAUAACAAUGCAUAUAAUUUGAGUUUGAUUUUUAAAAAAAUUAUAUGAGUAUUACCUAUCCUUAAGAUAUUAAUGAGAAUAUAUUUUAAUAUUAAAUAAUCAAAAUCUGUUUAAUCAUAAUAUGUAAUUCAUACAUUGCAUGUUAGAUUUGUUUGGAUUUUAAGUUGUUGCUAAUAAAUAUUUAUGUUGUGAAAGUCGAAUUCAAUAGCUACAAAAGCAGAGAUAAUGGUAUUUUAUGUAGUUUUUAAGAAUACAAGGAUAAGUAGGGGUGGGCAAAUCGGGUUUCGAUUCGGGUUGUUCGGGUUUCGGAUUGGGUUUCAACCCGUUCGGGUUGGAGAAUUGAACCCAAUCGGGUUGAAAGCACCAACCCGAACCAAACCGAACCGAAUUUAAUUCGGUUCGGUUCGGUUUGGGUUGGCAAUUCGGAUCGGAUUGGGUUGAUAAUUCGGGUUAAAAUUUCGGUUCGGGUUAAUUCGGGUUAGAAUGGGUUGGAACAAUUUAAUCUAAAAAUUCUAACAACAACCACUUAAAAUCUAAAAAUUUAAAUUUCAAACAUUCUUAACAACAAAUAUCAAUUACAAAUCAUCCUUAAUAACAUUUCAACAAUUUAAAAAUCUCAAUUCCAAACAUUCCAAACAUCCUUAAGGAACGAUUUAAUCUAAAAAUUAUAACAACCUCUUAAAAUCCAAAAAUCUUAAUUCCAAAUAUCCUUAAUAACAAAUAUCAUCUACAAAUCAUCUUUAAUAACAUUUCAAUAAUUUAAAACUCUCAAUUCCAAACAUCCUUAAUAACAAAUAUCAACUACAAAUCAUCUUUAAUAACAUUUCAAUAAUUUAAAACUCUCAAUUCCAAAUAUUCCAAACAUCCUUAAGGAACAAUUUAAUUCAAAAAUUAUAACAACCACUUAAAAUCUAAAAAUCUCAAUUCCAAACAUCCUUAAUAUAUAUAUAUAUAUAUUUUUUUUUUUAAUUUAAAAGCUGAAUCUUAAAAAAAAAAAAAAGCUUCAACCCGAACGGGUUGAAACUUUGAAUCCGUUCGGGUUUCACCGGUUAACCCAAACCGAACCGAACGCCCACCCUAAGGAUAAGACCAUAACGCAUGAGAUAAUGGUAUUUUAUAUUAAAAGACCAUAACACAUGUAUUUGAGCCAUUUAUAUUGAGGACACAUAUAGAGCGAAGAGUGCAGAUCCGGCCGUAACUAUUGUGAAGCUUCCCUCAAGUAUUCCCAUGCACACAACCCUUAUCUGUUCAAGUUUUCUGAUUCAAUAUAAUCAAUUUCCGAGCAGUACUGACGACAGCUUCUCUGUAAAGCUCUUCAACCACAAGCAUUUCUACAAGGCAAAAGACUAGGACGUGUCGGAAUGAAUAUCAAUAAGGGAAUGUCUUAUGAAUUCAGUUUAUAUCCUAAUAUAAGACAAUCAGUAAAUAUUGGAUGCAAUCUUAGGCUAACAUUUGGUUGAUCAUUAUACAAAAAAAAAGGUACAAAAAUACAAAACAGAGCUGAUUGAUGGCCUCUCACAGUCAGUUAUAUGACAAAGUAGCCAUCACUACUUGAACUUGGCUGGAGGUCUCAUUAGCAGUAUACCUCAGAAAUUAAUACAGAGACUUUAAAAUGCAAACUUAUGGAGCAAUUUAAGCACUGAAACUAAUAACAGUACGGUAUUAGCAAUUGACCUCUGCUUUUUGCUUGGACAAAGGUUCUCAUCACAAGGGACUCAUUAGUUGCCCUUGCCUCACACUUUUGGAUGCUAAGGGGAAAAAGGAAGCUUGAAUUAGUCAAUCUCAUGUCUAAUGGCAUUCACAGAGAACCUAUAAAACCAAAUAAAUAAAUAAAGUUUUCAUCCAUGAAAAGCUUAGUAAUGGAAAAACCGACUCUUUUAUCUGCCACUGACGAAAAAAAAACUGAAGUAUUAAAUAGAUAAUGAAUUUAAUUUUUUUCUUGGAAAAACUAAUAAUAAAUUAACAAUUAGAUAGUACUAUUAAUUAGAGAUCUUUAAUAUUAAGGUUAUCAAAUAUAGAAUGUGUAUAAAAAUUCUUAAUUAUAAGAUAAUUACUAACUAAAAAGAGGCCUAAAAAAGAAGAUUUGCUAUUAUAAGUAAUACCAAAAAUAAAAAGGGAGACUUCCUAAUUGUUUAAUUGUUAAAAAAGAGGAUUUGUUAUUAUAGGCCUAAUUUGCCUAUGCUUAAAACCGUUCCCGGAUGUAAAAAAAUAAAAAUUAUUGUUAAAUUCCUGACUAAUAAGGUCAUUGAAAGUAUUCAAAGGACCUGAACUAUACCACGUUGCAAGUGAGCUCGUAUUUUUAUCCCUUGAUCUGCCAUCGGUAUUUCUCUUCCACUCACUAUACCAUCCUUUUCAAUCGAUUUUUAUUGAUCAUAAGAGACCAUGUGGCCCACCUUUUUUUUAUUUUGGAUCCAUAACCCAAUGCUGGCCCAAGUUAAACAGCAAAUCAUCAAACGCACUUCAAUGACUUUGAUUUUGAUUUUUUUUUUCAAAAGAAGUAAAAAAAUCCAUGGGUCGCAAUAACUGCUGGGAAAUUUAUAAAAAUAGUCAUAAAAUAUUUGUAUUUUUUAACUUUAAUCCCUUAAAGUUUUUUCUAUCAUAACUAGCCAAAUACCCUACUUUUGGACUAGAUUACCCUCAUCACUUUUAUCAAAUUUAUAAAGACAUGCCACUUUUUCAAUUCCAGCACAACUAAAUACGGUUCUUCUUCAAUAACUUAACAAACAUUUAUCACUCUCAACAAACUUCAUCACUCUCUAUAAAUCAAUUACAUAAUUGAAUAUAAUCAUCAAUGGGAGAGCUUCUUAAAAUUAGUUUAUGCUUUUACACAAUGUAAAUCUUUAAUCUAUUGAUUUUAUCAACUAAAUUUGAAAUUAAAGUGGGUUUUGUUACAAAUAUUGUUAUUUUUCAUUCAUAAAACAAUGUGAUUUGUUAAAGUACUUAGUUUGAGUUGAGAAAUGAAGAAAAAUCAUUGAAAAUAUAGAAAAAUCGGGCAAAAAACGAAGUUCAGAACAAGUGAGAUAGGCAAGUGGGACAGGUGCAUGUCUCACAUAAACGCACUGCAUUUAUGUGCGACAGGCACCUGUCCCACUGCUUGUCGCACAUAAACCCAUAAAUUUUAUAGAGUACAUGAUUUUGGAUUUGAUUUGUCUCGUCAUAAGCUUCGAAACAGUAUAUUAUACGCCUAAAACGAACAUAUGUAGCUCAAGUUAUAGCUUUUGCAAUAUAUAUGAAAUUUAGUGAGACAGGCACCUGUCCCACUUGCCUGUCUCACUAAAUUUCAUAUAUGUUUCAAAAAUCAUAACUUGAGCUAUAUAUGUCCGUUUUAGACGUAUAAUAUAUCAUUUCAAAGUUUAUGAUGAGACAAAUCAAAUUCAAAAUUAUGUACUCUAUAAAAUUUGUGGGUUUACGUGCGAUAGGCAAUGGGACAGGUAAAAUGAAUAAACUCUGAGCCUCUCUCUAUAACACUAUAUAGAACCCUAAGCCUAAGUCUCACAUUCGCAACCGCCCCACAUAUCAGAACCACAGCGAACUGCCUCCGACCCUACGGACCCAAAAAAAUUAUUGUAUUCCUGCUCUUUCACUUCAAUAAUUUUUUGUAUUAUUCCAUAUCUUUCACUUUAAUAACCCAAAAGCUUUCCUCUGUUUCAACCCAAAAGCUCAAAUUCCUUUUUUCAAUCGAAAUAAAACGUAGCCACAAAACCCUAAUUCACCACACCAAUUUAUCUCUGCCCGGUAUUCAUUUAAACCCUACCUCGCGGUUCAAUGUCAUUCAAUACGAUUGCAGAUGCCGUUUCAACUUGACAUUUAGUUAGCGCCAUCCCGUUCUCUAUGGUAAGCCUUAACCCUAACAACUAAUCGACUGUGGUAGCACGUUGCUUGUUAGGAGUGGGGAUACAUUAUUUGAAUAUAUGAAUUGGGUGAUGUUAGUGAUUCAUUCCCCUAUUUUUCGUGAAUUGAGAUUUGUGUAUAAUGCUAGUAAGAUUGCUAAAAAUUUCAUAUUUUGUAUUGUUCCAGUUGAAUUUCUUGCUUGUGGAAGAUAAAACAAAAGUUCAAUUUCAUGUUGAUUUAAUUCUUCUUUUUUUUUUCUUCUUUAUAGUCACGCUCUGGCUUUGGUGCUAUGCUUAGUGCAGUUUAUGGUUUCAAGAUUAAGUCACGUUUAUUUGAUGGCAUCGAUUCCAUCAUUAAGAAGCUCUUCUUAUUUUAUCUCAGUUUCAAUUUUCUUUUAUUAUCUGCCUCUACCUGAAAAUGGACGUGUUUUACUAGUAAGCAUAGACUUUGUUUAUUUAAUUGAUAUUAUAAUUUUAUGUAUAAGAAUGGAGGUUUAUUUUGAAAAAAAAAAAGAAAUAAAAAAAUAGACUCUGUUGAAGCUAAUUAGUACUGAAUUUUUUUUGGUGGUGCGACCAGAGGUGGAAACAGGGUAUGAAAAUGUGUUACUGGUGAGGUUGCUGCUUAAGAUGAGAAUGGCUAAAAAUCUGUCAUACGUUCAAAUUUUGUUUGUGUUUGGAAGAAUGGUGUUGACUGUAUAUUCGUUUGGAAGAAUGGUGUUGAUUGUAUAUUCAUUUGCUUAGCCUUUUGACAGAUGGAUUUGAAACUGACGACAAAUGUGAUUCAAUUUACAAGGUUUUCGAGGGGCUCACAGUGGAAGGGAUAUUGAAGAACUGGUCUAAGAUAAAGCCUAUGAUUGUGAAAGAUUGGAGUGAGAAUAUAGAUGCUCGUUUAAAUCUUUUUGGCAAGGUCAGAGAUGAAUGGAUAGAUAAGGAUUUAUUUGACUACUUCGUCUGGUGCUAAUAGGUAUUUUAGGCAAGCUUUUUGAGAUAACACUGAGCAAGUUAUACUACUAGUUUGCACAUGAUGAUCAAAACUCUCGAAAAGUAAAAUAAAAUAAAUUAUUAACUUUUACUUUCAUCUUUUGCAUAGCAAUCAAUGUGGUGCUUGUUCUGUGACAACUUUGAUAGUCUACUUAAUUAUUGGUUAGCAUUUGGACCAAAAAAGUUCUUAUGAUUUACAUGUUUUGUAGAAAUGCAUGAACCUUAAAUGUGCUGAUCAGGGAGUUUAAUUAUUGCACCUUGAAAUUCAUUUAUUGUUAACUAAUUGGCUUUCCUUUGCAUAAAGACGCUUAUAAGGCUUGAGUGGACGUCUUUAUGGGCAUAUUAUUUGUAUUUCUAUAUGCAUGCCUUUAUCAUUAAUUUAUGUGCUGCUUGUAUUUCUUUAUGCAUGCCUUUAUCAUUUAAUGGCCAGCUCCCUCUCCUCUUUUGUAAUUUGAAUGGUAGUAUGGGCCUCCAUUUUACAAAUCUUUAACAUUUUUUGCUGUAAAUUAAUUUUUCUUUCAAAUAUUUUGGAGGUCAUUGGAAUUCCUGUAGGUCUAUUUACCAGAUUUUAGUACGUUUAAGGUUUUAAUUUUGCUUAGACUUUAAUUUCUCUGAAAGAUUGUAGUAUUGAUCCUCAAAGAAAGAUCAUGCUACUUCAAAUUAUUUUGAAGUGUUGCUAGUUAUAGCCUUACAUAUCAAAUUCCAUUUGUCUGGAAAUUUAUUGAUAGUUGUUACAGCAGCAUAUUUUAUGACUCUACUUCUUAGUUAUGUAAGUUCAUUAUGUUUAGGUCAGAGGCAGUCAGCUGUGGGGAAUCGAUAUAUACACAGAUGACUUUGAUCUUGUUGCUGGUACGUGGUUCUAUGAAUAAUUGUUCACAAUAAUUGUGUUUGCCUCACUGUUUUUGUUUUAUGAGGUCUAUAAUUGAUCUUGAGAUAUUACUUUCUAGUUCUCAUGCAAGCAAGUUACUACCUUCCCACUGCAUCUCCUCCUUUAUCUGCUAUUCAAGAGUUGCGUGCCAUAAUCUGGUGUUACCUCUGCAAGAUUGUGAAUGAAUAUGAUGCCUCUAAAUUUAUUUUAUACAUAAUGCUGAUGCUGAAUAAUAUAUUGUAGCUCCUGUCAUAUUCUACUUUGACUUUUUAUAUUCUGUUUCAUAUAAAAAUCUUAUUCAACUUUAGUUGUUCAUGAGCAAAUGUCACAUGUAUAAGCCCAAAUGAUGCUUAAAGGUAGCGCGGCUACCUUUAGUUUGAGCCUACAAUGGAUGAAAAAGAAAUUGAAACUGAUAUUUUGCUGUUUUUCUGAUUUUUCAAAGUAUUUUAGAUCCUGACUUUUGUUUGGACUUGAUGGUUAUAGAUUGUGUCUAGAUUUGUUAAGUUGUUUCCAACACCUCGUGCCAAAUGAAAGCACAAUCUUUCUGAUUCAGAUGUCUUGUUAAUUAUGCUUCAUUUUUUUCGUUAAAGAAUGGAUGGUUGCAUGGAUUGAUGGAGUUGGAGUUCAACCAAUAAUUCUAAUUUUUUGGACUUAAAAUGCCUUUUUCUUCUGUAUAAAAACUUUAGUAAGUGCUAUUGAGUUGACAGAAGUUGAAUACUUACAGGUUGUUUCACACAUUUUAAUCGUUUUACAUAUAUGAAUUUCUGUUUUUUGAAUUGCAGAAAGGAGGUGGAACUAUUGAUUUGGAGCCUUAUCUUACUCAAUCAUCGACAGCGGAGCCUACCCUCGCUCCCAUGGCAGUGGAACGGACAACGACUACUAGGGCUGCAACAUCAGUUGGUUUGGGUCUGUUUUGAGUUUAUUGUCAUUUAUUUGGCAAUGUUUUGAUAGCGAAUUUUGAUAUGUCAAUAUAAUGUGUAAUUGUUUUGGGUUGAGCUGGUAAUUAUGCUGGAUUAGAUUGGUUUGGUUUUGGUGCUUCUCUGACGGAACACUGCUUUUUUUAGAAAUUUUGAAUGUAAUAUGAGACUACAUUUAGUUUAAUUGAACACUGCAUCUAGUCUAAUUACUAGACGUGUGGCAUUUGGUUUGGUUUAUCCGAUAUUCUCCAGAAUUUCACUUGCAUCUGGUUUUGUUGCAUAUGUUUGCUUGCAUUUGAUGGCAGUAGCAGACUGUUUGGUUUUGUGAGAUUUGAUGGCAGUUUGGUCUGUUCUUGGUGUUGAUUUAAGAUUGUUCCUGUUGUGCUGAUGUUAAUUGCAGGUGCUUGAAUCAGCUAGGGUUGCUGGUUUAUUCAGAUGGUUGACUCAGGCGUUGUUACUGGUUAAUUCAGGUGGCUGACUCAAGUUGUUCAUUUAAUGUUAGGAAGCAAAUUAAGAAUUAAUGAAGUAUUCAUUUAACUAUAAUUUUUGUAGUUAUAUUAUUUCAUAACUGAAUUAUAAUCUAUGAUACUUUUGAACAAAUUAGAGAAUUUUUAAAUAUGAAUUAAAUAUGUGUGUGUAUGUACAUUUUGCUAUUUAUAUAAUAAUUUAAAGAAUAUAUUUCAAUUCCCACAAAAAUAAUGGCUCCAAUUUCAAUAAUUCCCGCCAAAUAAUUAAAUUUUUUUAAUUUACCACCAAAGUAUAUCUUAAAGAAAUUUUAGUUAUUCUUGCUAGAUUUAACAAAAAUAAUUUGUAGGAUUAAAUUUAAUUAAAAUAAUUAAAUAAUUUUAUUAUUCCAAUUAAAAAUGUCAUGUUUAUACGACAGACAAUAGUCAUGAAUGGGAAGUAUUCGUUACAUGUUUUUCCUUGGGAUUUCAGGCAAAUGAAAAAAAGAUUGAGAAUGAUUUCAAGAGGACAGGUGGAUGAUAAGUAUUCAUUUUUGUAUAUUUGGCUAAUGUCCUCAUUAGUGGAUUUUUAUGGUAUUGAUCUUUUUUUUUUUUUAAUUUUCAAUUAGUUGCAGCCCUAGAGGAAGAGCAGGCUGAUCAAAUUGAUUUGUCUUGUUUUUGGGGCAAUCUACGACACGAUGACCGUGAUAAUGCUCGUGACUGCUGGAAACUUUCUGAUGUAAAUAACUUUAGAGUUCGUAGCAAGCAUUUUUGUUAUGACAAAACAAAGGUUCCCCCAUAUUUUGUUUAUUUGUUAUUUAUGGUACUUAUUUAUGGUAUUUAUAUAUCCUGCAUAGGCUAGGUAGACAGGUUAUGAUGUAGUUUGGUUGGCUCUUCUUGUGCUUUGUGCAAUUUGUAACUGCAGAUACCUGCGGGAAAACAUUUAAUGGAUCUUGUUGCUGUUGAUUGGUUCAAAGACACAAAGAGAAUGGACCAUGUAACUAGGCAUCAAAGCUGUGCUGCACAAGUAACUAUUCUUCUCUUUUUUAUUUUUCCUUUUCCAUUGACGGAUUAGAAGAAAAUACUGCCUGUGAGAUACUGUAAUGUAAAUAACUUCUCAUGGUUCAUUGAAUCUAUAACACACUGACCCUCUUCUAAAAAAUGUAGGUUGCUUCUGAAAAAGGGCUUUUCUCACUGAUCUUUAAUCUUCAAGUAAGUUUGUUUCAUUUCAGAAGGUAUUAAGUUUCAAACUUAUUGUAUUGGGAGGUUGUAUAGUUGUAACCUAAGCAUCUGCAGGUUCCUGGUUCAACACAUUAUAGUAUGGUAUUUUAUUUUGUCACAAGGCAAUUGGCUAUGGGAUCACUUUUGCAACGGUUUGUUGAUGGCGAUGAUGAGUUUCGCAAUAGUAGGUUGAAACUUAUUCCAUCUGUUCCUAAGGUAUCCAUCUUGGCCUUCAUGUAUUAGGACUAUAUUAAUGUAUACUUACCCUUUACUGCAUGGUACACUUCAAUUUGUCCAAAGAAGGCAUGCAUUUAGGUGAAAAUGUAUUGAUGGGUUGUACCUUCAAACUUCAUGUCCUUUUUACCCUCUUGAAUUUGUUUUGCACUUGUUCUUGAUUUUAAGCACUGAAUCAUGCAGGGGUCAUGGAUCGUGCGUCAGAGUGUUGGAAGCACCCCUUGUUCGUUAGGGAAAGCGGUUGAUUGUAACUAUAUUCGCAGUCCCAAGUACUUAGAAGUAAAUGCUCUUGGAAUUUCUAUAGUACAUGAGAUGUUCAUCUUUCAAAUAGCAUCCGAUACCAUUAACAUGGUUUAACAUUGUUCAUCUUUCUGUAGAUUGAUGUUGACAUUGGUUCUUCUACCGUUGCUAAUGGAGUUUUGGGCCUUGUAAUUGCUGUAAUUACGACAUUGGUGGUUGACAUGGCUUUCCUUGUACAGGUAUGUAUGAUUGUUUUUUUCCCCCACUUCUAAAUGGACACAAGGGAAAAGACAUGAUUUUGAGAUAUUGCACUGCAAUUUGCAUUUUUGCAUACUUGAAUGUUCUCAGAAUGGUAUAAUGCUUCGUGUGUGUCUUCUUUAUCUUGCUCUUCUGUAUGCAGGCAAAUACUGCAGAUGAAUUACCGGAGCGGCUGAUUGGUGCUGUAGGUGUUUCUCAUAUAGAACUCAAGUCUGCUGUUGUCCCAAAGUUGGAACCAGAGAUAUCAUGACUGUGGUUUCAUUUCACCUCAACUGUGUUUUUUUUUUAAUUAAAAAAAAUCAUUUGUUUUAGGUAUAUACAUACAUGUAUUUUGAUUCGAUUUUCAUUGUAAUUUCUCAUUUACUUCGAAUGAAAGUCAUUGGUGUUUUCGAAUGGGGAUUUUGCAUUAAAAAAUGAACAAUAGUGAAUAGGAAAUUUCCUGAUUCUUUAGUUACUAUUUUUGGUACGAGUGUAAUUAGUAGUAAAGUUGGUUUCUACUCGCAAACAAGUAAACUGCUCGAUUCCCGAGUGGUAUCAACCAGUUUCCAACUUUUUAAUAUACACUAAUUGUUCUUGUUUAAGAGAUACUACUAUUAAAACUCAACAGCUAACAAAAUUACUCAAAAAAGAUGAUUUUUCUUAUGAUGCUGUGAAGAAAAUUACGGGUUUACUUCUCUCCACGAGAUCUAUAACAUGGUUUUGACUUCACGAAAUUCUUUUAAUUUAAAGCAUGCUGGUGUGAGAAGGUCAGUUUGACUGAUUGAUUCUUCAAAAAUAUUCUUAUUCUGAUAUUGUCACAAAUGUUAUGCUGUUUCGGCUAAUGAUCUCCUAUUAGGAGAGGUUAGAAAUCAAAUGCUUAAAAGACCGAUUGAACGAAUAAUACAGAAAAUUUAAGCAGAAUCUAAUCGAAUAUUGCAUGAAACAUGAAACAUCAAUUCAAGUCCUUUCUUAAACGGAGAAUGCAUCAAACAAAAUCUAAAGUGUCUUGCACGUCUGUAGCAUGAGCAAAAAAUUGUAAAUAUGUAGAACCAAAUUAUUCAAGUACAGAAGAACGAGCAAGCUGAAUCAUGUAUUAGAGAUUGGCCUGGUUCGGGAUAGCUUCUUCACUAUACCUGAAUAAUUUGCUAAAUAGCACCAAAACUUAAUUGAUACUUACCAUUUCAUUGAACAAUUUUUUUAUGGUGUCAUUGAGGUUGCCUUCCCAACAUCCUUCAUCAUCAUCAUCUUUUUCUUCUUCGGUGACGUUCACUUUGUUUAGCAUUGGUGUGUCUAAGACUCCUUGAGAGAAGAUCUUCAUUUUUGGACACUGUCUCACAACUACUUGUUUCAAGGACGGGAAUUCAAGAGCGUAAUUACCCAAACAAAAGCUUGUUAGGCUUGGCAAACAAUCAAGUCCUAAGUACUCCAAUUCCUCGAAACCAUUGCAAUCUUUCGCUUCUUCUCCAACCUGCGAUUGUAUGAUUUCUUCUAUCAUUUUGCAAUCAGCUAUCUUCAUUCUUCCGAGAUUAACCAGAUUUUUAGAUGCUGAGAGCGUCAACACAUUUAUCAACCCGUGACACUUCGAUACUUCCAGUCCCCACAUAUUUUCCAAAUGCCACGAAGGUGGUACUAAUUUUUGCAACUUACUACAUUCCGAUAUUUCUAGACUUCCCAAGUUUGCAAACGCUUUGUUGGAUUCGUCAUUUUCCUUCCAGAUAUGCUGCACUUUGUGUAAUCCAGAUAGUGUUAACCAACUCAAUUUAGGGAAUGCAACCUGAAAAUCAACAAAAUUAAUUAAGUUGUAAAUGAAAAUAUGUAUCCAAUCUCUGGAGUCUUCCCCUGCAUAUUUUAUGGACAAGAUUAAUCACGGCAUUUUAUAUUUUUUUUCCAAAUUAGUAUGCUUUGCAGUAGGAUCCCAAAUAUAAGUAUCAAAUCGAUUACCCUUUGAAACACAUAAAUGAAAUCUGAUCCUAAAUCCAAUAUGAAUUAACACGCAUAAUUAAUAUAGUUCAUCACCUCAUGUCACUAGGCAUCUAAUUAAUUUGAGACAUUUUAAUAAUUUAUACUAUAAAGUUAGUUAAUAACUGCGGUUAUAUUGUUAAAUCAUAUAUAAAUUAAGACGACAUGCAAAAAGAUGAGUCAUUAAAUUUGAUUUGAUUCUAAUGAAAUUACAUCUAUGCGAACGAAAGUGAUGGGAAUAAUCAUCAUCAUCAUAAUAAUAAUAAUAAUAAUAAUAAUAAUAAUCACCUUUUCAUCGAAGAGAGGUUGUAGUUGAUGAGCCAGCAAGAAGUUCUCUUCUGAUGUUAAUUUCUGAGGUUCCUUGUUAUCUGUUGUCACGUGCACUACAGAUGUAGAAUUGGAUAUGAAUGUUUCCUUAUCAGGGCAAUUCUCAAUAGUUAGAUAGUCCAACUCAGGCAGUUCAAUUAUAUUCCCAGUGAAGUUGCAGAAUCUUUUGAGUUUUGGAAGAUCAAUGAGCCUUAGAUUGGAAAGCUUAGGAAACAUGGGGCCUAUAUGUUCUUCCUUGGCAUUUAGCUCUUCCAAAUGAAGCACCUCUUCUAGUGAAUCACAAUUCGUCACUGUCAGGUAUUGCAAAUUGUUCAAGCACCGUAGCAGAUUGGCAGGAAUAGCACUCGACAUAUUCGUGCAGUCAUCCACCACCAGGUCACUUAAAUUGUUGAAGAAGCUGACAGGCAGUGCUUGGCCAUGCCAUAUUUCUUGCAAACGUGGAAAAUGCGAGAGUUGCAAAUACUCUAUAUCACGGAAUCCAAUCUGCACAAACCAAAACUAUUGCACUGGAUAUAUACAAUUUUUUUUAAAGGCAUUAGAUAUAUAUAUAUAUACACACACACACACAUUAAACUUACAUGUUUUGUGUUUUAACUUCUAAAACUACAUAUACAAGGUAGGUGUAUAUGUUUAAAUGUGCAAGCGUAGGGGAGAUGCAUGAACAAUUUGGGUGAAUCGAUUAACACAGACCAUCUUUUUGUAACAUAUUUUUAAAUGUGCAAGUGCAAGGGAGAUGCAUAAGCAAUUUGGACGAAUCGAUUAACACAUACCAUUUCUUCGUAGCCCUUUUGUAUAAAGGAAUUAAGGUUAUCGCCUUCCCGAUGGUACAAUUCACCCUCUUCCUUUUUACUAACUUGCACUUUGCAUGGCUUUGGAAUGGAUAAGAUUCCGUGAGAAAAAGUCUUCAUGUUCGGACAAUGUGUCACAGAAACUCGUUCCAGUGAUGGGAAUUCAAGAGUAUAAUUCUCCAAACAAAAGCUGGUAAGCCUUGGUAAAUCAUCAAGUAUCAAAACUUUUAAUUUACUGAAAGCAAUAUGAUUCUCCUUCGCUUCUUCUCCAACAUGUCUUAUGAUUUCUUCUAAUUUUGUGCACUUCGAUACAUUAAGAUUCACCAGACUACUAGGAAUUCCAACCUGAAAAUAAGCAAAAGUGUGUGUAUAUUAAAAAAGUAAAAAUGUAAGAAUAUCAUUCAACUAGGUUCAAAGUAUGUUUAAUCAUACAAUUAUACGUUUUAUAAACAUAACAAACCAUGAAAUGUCUACUAGAUAAUUUUUUAUUAAACAAAAAAAGCAACAAGAUAAAUAAAUAAAUAAAAGCCAGAUAAACAAAGAUAAUAAAAAUGCAUUUACACUAUUUACUAUUGGGAACGUAGAAAGAAUUUAAGGCAAUUUCUAAAUAUUUUAGACUUAUUUUGCAUCUUGAUAUCAGUUUUUAAGCAUAAAUUUACAAAUUUCAACUAUUCCUUUUAGGGAAAAAAAAUUCAACCAAAAUGCCGCUUUUUCCCUUUUCCUUGGUCCCUUUUUUUAUGUACAUUUAAAAAUGGAAAAAAAAAAUUGGAAAAGACUUCCCAAUAUUGUCAAUAAGGGACUGCUGCUGUAAAGUGGAUCUUUAUUAAGUACUUCCAGACUCAAGGAAAUUUCUUUACAAUCACGGGUCAGUUGUAAAUAAUCAUGAAUUUGUGGUUAAUUAAUGGCAUAAUCAAUUCGUAACUAAACAAGAGAUAUUAAUUAAAUUUGAAGACUUUUAUUUUCUUUUUUUCUUUUUCCAAUCGAAAUGUGAAGAAUUAAGGAAAAGAGAAAUAUAUAGAUGAAUUUGUGAACCUAUAAGAUGAGUGACGAUCCUUUAAUUUUUGAAAAUCGUACUUAUUAAGAUAUGAGCAAAAACUAUUUAAUUGAAUUAUAUUAUGCUGUUGAAUCGUGUUUAAAAAAUUUAUAUUGUUGAUUCUAAUGCUGACGAACCUAAAAACUGGACCUAAAACGUAGAUUUCAGAGUGGUGGUUCGAAGUACGAUACUUGAAAUAAAUAAUCAGUGGCUGAAUAUCAUUUGUAAACAAAAAAUGGUUAAAAUAUUGUUGGAUGUAAUUUGAAAAAAAAAAAAAAAGAUUCGAAAUGAAUACACUCAAAUAUCUCCAAAUUCUUCAAUUUGCUGAAAGACUCCAAAGCAAGCUGGUGGUGCCAUAUUCUUCUCAAAUUAUCCAUCGACCUAAUACGUAAUACCUCCAAACUAGGAAGUCGUACCUGGCAGUUAAAGAUUAAAUAACUAAUUAAUCAAUUAAUGGCAUAAUCAAUUGAUAACUAAAUUAGAGGCGGAUAUUAACUAAAUUUGAAGAAGACUCACGGAAAAGACAAAUUAAAUAUUAUGACUAAAAUUAAUUUUUUUUAUUAAAAAAAAAACCUUUUCGUCAAAGAGAGGAGGAGGUUGCAUUUCAGAAUGAAUGGUGUCUUCUGGUGAGCUCGUAGAGAUGAAUCUUAACAUAUUACUGCAACUCUGAAUCUCGAGCUUUAGCAAAGAAGGGAAUUCAACGACUAAAUCUGAAUGAAUAUGUCCCGUAUUGGCAAAGCUUGUUAGUUCAUAAAGCGCUUCUAGCUGCAGGGAGUGUAGCUUAGGAAAAACCUUUAAUUCAAUCAACUUUCCUUCAUCUCUUUCUGACCACCCCGUGGUGUCGACUACCCCUUCCAUUGAAUCACAAAGCCUUAUCUCAAGAUGUUGGAGUUGCAUCAGACGAUUACAAUUCCCCACGUACAGCUUUGUUAAAUUUUGACAACAGUACAUUCCUUGAUUAUGAUCGGCCCAUAAUUUUUUCAUGUUUCUUAAGUCCCAGAGAUUCAAUUCCUCUAAGCUCGGAAGAAUAACCUGCAAAGAAAACCCGUACAUUUUUGUUCCUUCAAGUACAACCGUCUAGUAUAAUAUUCUUUUGAUGAUCGAAGAUUAAUCGUGAUAAUAAAUUAAUCAAUUAAUUAUUGAACAGAAAAUUAUCACCUUUGGAGCAGUAUCAUCAUCAGCAAUGAUUUCGUUGAAUCCCAAAGAAGUUGUUGGUUUCUCCCUGUCGGGUCCUAUAAACAAACAAAAACAAUAUACAUAAUUAAUCUUUGUCGUUGUCUUUUUUUUUUCAAAAUAAUUGAGGCGAAGUCCAUAAAUCCACCAACACUUAACUUCAACACUUACCAACCAUCAUUUCCAGAUCAUGGCAAAAAGCCACUUUGACCUUUUGAAGCCGCAGUAGGUUUUUGGCUAUGGAGAAUGAGAAAAGAUGCUUUAAUUUGUGACAGGAUUGUACUCCUAUAAUCCUUAAGUUGCUGAAAGAUUGAUCUUCUGUGAGUUGGCUGUCACAUAUUGUCUCCAAAUUGUUCAAAUUGCGAAGAGACAAUGACACCAGCAAGGGGAAGACUUUGCGACGAACCCGUCCAACUGAACCGACAAUAUGCAAAAUCUCAGAACAACUUUCUACAGAAAGAUGCUUCAAUCGUGGAAAACCUUCCCCAUCAUCUAAUUCAUGAACAACAUUCUGAACACCCUUCAGUUCGUUUAGAUGGAUCUCUUCGGCUUCCUUCAGCAACAUUUUCGUCCCAUAAUUCUCCAAAAGAGUGCUAACAUUUUCUAGCCCAUGGAGCCCCACCAAUCUUGAUGUUUCAGAAUUAACGGGCCAAAUGCGCCACCACGCUUCUCCUAUACAUAUCUUAUAGCUUUGCAAUUCCACAGAGACCCAAUCCUGCGGCAGAAUUUGGGCAUCCGGAACUUGUAUAUUCAAAGUAGUUAGCUUUGACAGCCCCUUCAAUUCAGCAAGACUGGCGUUACUUCCUCCUUCAACCUUAUCCCACUGCGAAAAGCUGUCACCCAUAUAUAGUUCUUCCAAUCGAGAAAAUUUUGAUAUGACAUUUGGUGCUAUCACUACAAGGCUCCUACAAUUGCUCAAAUCUAGCAAUUGUAACCGCGUCAAUUGUCCAAUUUCAAGCGGUAACUGCUUAAUGUCGGAACCUCGAAAGCUAAGAAUCUCUAAUUUCUUUAGCUGUCCAAUUGCCGCUAUAUCUUCUAGUUGGCACCAGUCUAAACACAAUGUUUGAAGGUUAAUGAGGCGACCAAGUGAUGAAGGUAAUGAAGAGAAAGGAAUUCUAGUAAGAGUUAAAACUUUGAGUUCUUCUGUCCCUUCAAAAAAGAGGUCUGAAAUUUGCAUUGAGCUAUAACGCUUUGAAAACAACAAAAGUAACUGGAGACGGGGACAUCCCAACCUUUCGGGAAGCUCUUGAAUAUCUCUCUGGGGUAAUGAAAUGGCAAUUGGAUCUUUCCGUAUUGUCUCUUCCAUCUUUUUCUCCACGUCAUCAACAUUUGGAAUAUUAAACAUGCGCUCCCCUGCAGCAAUUGAUACAGCAACAACAUGAAUGACGUCAUGCAUUUUAACUUCAUCUUCAGCAUCACCGUCCAACAAUAAGCAUGAAGAUUUGAGAUUGUCGAUCAACCGAUGCACUCUACUCCUUGCUUCUUCCAAUGUGUAAACAUUUUCAAACAAACCCCAACCCACGCCAUAUCUCAAUAAGCCAGAAACUUGUAUCGCAUGACCUUCACUGUACAGACCACAAAGACGGAACAGAGGUUUUGCCUCCGCACUUUCCAAAAAGUCGUAACUCAAUUUUAUGGAGGUGUACACAUUUGCUUUCAUGCCAUGAAUUUCUCUUGCAUGCGAUCUUCUUAGCUGAUUCAAUGCAUCUUGCCAAAAGUAACGCUCCUUAUUUUUCAGAGCAUUUGCAACUGUACUCAGUGCAACAGGCAAACCUCCGCAUUUUUCAACGAUCUCAUUUGCUGUACUUUGAAAAUCAGAUAUUUUAGUUGAAUCACCCACUAUCUUCUCAAAUAACUGCAAUGCUUCUUCUUUCGAUAAAGCAUCGAUCCAGAAAAUUUUCUGACAAUUCAUAUCAUUGCACAAUAAAUCUCCACUUCUAGACGUCAAUAUUAUUGUGCAUCUUCUCUGAUCAUCCUCUCUAUCUUUCUCAUCAACAUCCCCAGAAGGAAUUCCAACUUCAUCGAACUUCAGUUCUCUCCAAAUGUUAUCCAAUAUAAUCAGGACCCGCUUCUCUUUCUUCAAUACUCGACGUAGUCGAUUUGCUCUGUCGAAUAUAUUCUCAUUCAACUCAAACUUUAUGCCUAAAUCAGAAGCAAGUUUGUCUUGAAUUUUCUGAUGAUCUGGGUUCUCUGUUAUCUCAGCCAUAGCGACCUUAUCGAACCACUUAUCUUCCAUCACUUGCUUUGCAACUUGCUUUACGAGCGUGGUUUUACCCACGCCGCCCAUCCCGUAGACCCCAAUUAUGUUGAGCUUAUCAUCCCUCAACGCCUCCAUAACAUCUUGAAAUACUUUCAUUCUUGAGUCAAAGGCCUCGAAAUCUUUCACUUGCAUGUGUUCUACCAGCUUUGGAGUAGGACGGUGGGAAACAUUGGAGAAGUUGCCUUUUCCCAUGAGACUAGCUGCAGCUUCUGCGGCCUUUGCUGCUUGUCUACUGAGCUUGUAACGAGAGAUCAAGUUUGGGCACAAUCCUUUGAAACAGAACUUCUUAGCUCUAUCUUCAUCAUCUGUGAUGGAUUUUGCAGCGCCCUGAGUGAAUUCCUUGACGCUAUUAAGCCAGUCUGCAACAUCCUCAUAAAUCUCAUCUCCUUGUUGAGUAGCCUGAUGAACGGGUAUUUCCACCCUUUCUCUUUGAUGUCCCAGCUGCUUCACUUGAACUUUUAGGCCAUCUAUGUAGCUCUGGUACUUGAACACAUAAGAUAUCUGCCGUUUAAGCGGUUUGUACAGUGACUUUGCACCUUCUGAUACAACGCCGGUUAAAAAAGCCAGACACGCUUCUACAGCCAUUGCCUGUUGCUUAACGAUAUAUAUGUAGUUUUUGGCUGUUUAAAAAAAAAAAAUGGAUUCAAAUAAAUUAAAUGAACUAGAGGGGAAGAAAAAGAAAGAAACGACAACAAACAACCUUUUAGAGAAAGGUUUGACGGGCCUGAAUGGAAAACCAACAACUUUUUGAAGAAAGAAAGCUUUGGAAGAUAGAUGCAAAUUAACCGUUGAUAAUACUACAUAAGAACACAGAAGUUAACAAUAAACAGUAACUUAAAACUCAAGAAAAUUAAAUGACGAGAUUAAGACAAACAAGGGAUAGUUUUUGUUGGACAUUAAGAAACAACUGCUAUCAAGAUCAAGGAUUAGAAAUUAUGCUAUUAAAAGAAGUUAUUAAAGGAUUUAGAACAAGUUUACCUCUUUAAUUAUCUAGGAUCAGAGUUUAUGAGCUUCACUAUUGGCCUUGGAUGUAUAAGAAAAACUUUAAUGAGCAAAAGAUCACUCUUAACUGCGGAGGAAUGUGAGUAAAGAGUUUAUGGGAGUAAAGCAAUACAAUUGAAUUGUAAAAGAACCAAGACUUAAGCGUGCGUCCCGUGUUUUGUUUUAUUAUAUAAACAGAACAUAUGUUCAUUUUUAACAAAUUGAUCAAUAACUCUAUUCGCUAUUUAAUUAAUAAUGUAAUCAAUUUUAAGAGAAUAUAAUAAUAAUCCUUCAAUGCAUAAAUUUAGAAUUAGAUUUUUUUUUACUUUUUAUUUAAAUGUAAAUCUCAGUGGAAAAUUAUAAAAAUUUAGAGAUAAAAUUUUUCAAUCACCAAACGGAAAAACAGGGGAAUGAAAACAGAGGAAUCUUGUUUUACUUUUUUUUUCUUUUUAAACCUUAACUCUUGUUCUUAUAUAAAUAAUCUUGUUCUGAUGAUAGUGCUCUUGACUGCAGGAAAAUUUCUAAUGGAAACAACUCAAUUUCGGAAGAUUAGCUCAGUUUUGCAAGCGAUGAAUUUAUUCAAUUGACUCUGUACUUGAACUCGUUGGAUUGGUUGAUUUAUGAUUGACUGAAUUUCAAUUCGGCCUAAAAGAUCUUUAACCAAAGUUUAAUAGCUAUCAUCUACUCCUUAAAAACAAAUAUGUAUCUUUUUUAGAUUUGACUGAAUUUGAACUUGCUGGAUUGGUUUUUUUUUAGAUUAUUAAAAUUUGGAAUAUUUUUUUUUCCUUGCUUUCUUUUGUUGGAGGAUUAGAGAUUUUGGUAUUACCAGAAAGGUUUCAAGGGUCUGAGUAGAAACCUAUAAUCUUUUGAAAAACUUUGUUUUUUUUUUUUUUUAAUUUUUUGGGGAAAAGGAUGCAAAUUAACCAAAUGGAAAUAAUAAGAGCACAGGCUUUAACAAUGAACAAUAACUUAAAACUCAUGCAAAAUAAAUUCAAUAUUAAAACAAACCAGAGAAAUUUUUUUCUUGAAAAGUAGAUGGAAAUUAUGAAAGAACAGAUGUCAAGAUCAAGGAUCAGGGAUUCUACUACCCAAAAAAAAUAAAAAAUAAAAUUAAAGGAUUUAGAAAAUGUGCACCUAGAGUUGGUGAGCUUCUCUCUCUAUUCACUUGAAUAUUUAAGAACAACUUGAAAGAGGAAAAAGAUCACUGGUAACUGCUGAGGAAUGUGUGAGAAAAGAGUUGACGAGAGAAAUAACAAUGACUUGCAGAAGAAAAACCAUUAAUCAAGCACACCUUUUUAUAUCCUGUAUUUGGUUAUUGUUGCCCUCUUGACGCAUGUAUAGAAUAAUUACGUGCAUUUUUUUUAAUCCGCAUGCACUUUAAUGAUUAGUGCUCCUUUCAUAAAGCAGAUACCGGAAACACACAAAUAUCAUUUGAGAGAGAAACUAAACAGCAAAUCAUCAAAGUAAGAUCAAUAAUAUAUGACUUGGUUAAUGCAUAUUCAAGAACAAAAACAAAAACAAAUAAAUAAAUAAAUGGAGAAGGUUUGAUUUUGUACUGCCAACGCUGCUUUUUUGUUAUUUCAUUUGUUCUUUCCACAAAUGAUGCUUGGUUAUAAUUAAGUUCCACAUGGCCGUUACUUACAAACUGUGUUUGUGUUAACAGAAACGUGAAAUUCACAUCACACAAAAUUACACUAUCAAUUCUUAAGAGAACAUAAUAAUAAUCACUCAACGCAUAAGGGUAAAUUUAGAAUUACAUUUUGAAAUUGAUAAAAUGUUUUUUAUGGGAUUUCAGGCAAACCAAAACAAAAAAAAUUUCAAUAAAGAGCUAGUUGUUGAAAUUGAUUUAUCUUGUCUUUCAGGCUAUCUUGUGACGUGACGAUAUAUAAUGUUCGUGAAUGCUAGAAAAUUUCUAAUGCAAACAACUCAAUUUGGGAUGAUAAGCUUAAUUUUGCAAAUGACGAAUGUAAAUAACUUGUUUUGAUUAAUUGAAUUUGUAAUACUCUUACCCUAUUCUAAAAUUUGGAGGUUGCUUGAGAAAAAAAGGGUAUUUCUCACUCAUCUUCAAUCCUCAAGUAAAAUUAGGUAAAAAGCAAAUCUAAAAAAUCACAAACGAAUUAACAAAAAAAGAAAAAAAAAAACAACAUUGAUCUUGAGACAAGUGAUAUUUAAACAGAGAAUUCUUUAUUCUUUUUUACUUGCCCCCCCCCCCCCGGGGCUCGAGGAUUAAAGUCUUUGCUAUUAACAGAGAGGCUUUAAGAGUCUGAAUAAAAACCCGUGCUUUUUUUAAAAAACCACUUUUUUUUUCUUUUUUCUUUUUUUUUGGGAAGAUAUAUUCAAAUUAACCAAAGCUAGUAAUAAGAGCACAGACCUUACAAAUGAACAAUAACUUACAACUCAAGCAACAUAAAUGAUAAGAUUAAAACAAACCGGAGAUAUUUUUCUUGGAAAAUAGACGGAAAUUAAAUAAGAACUGCUGUUAAAAGAAGUUAUUAGAGGAUUUAGGAGCAUGUGUACCUCUUUAAUUAUUUGGGAUCAGAGAGUUGAUGAGCUCUCUAUUCGCCUUGAAUAUUGAGUAAGAACUGGUAUUAAAAGAAAUUAUUAAGAACAAUAUUUUAGUGAGCAAAAGAUCACUGUUAACUGCAGAGGAGUAAAAUGCUGAAAAGAGCAGUAACAAUGAAUUGCAAAAGAAGAAGACUUAACCAAGCACCCCUUUUAUACCCGAUUUUUAAGAUUUAAUUUUGAAGUUCCCAAUCAAGAACAAAGACGAAGCUUUAAUAAAGCAUGCAGUGAGAUACAAGAAAUGGAUCGGGCAAAAUACCUUACGAAGCGUUUCAUAUUUUCUAAUGAAAUAAUUUAGUUGAAUUCUUCGACGAAUAGAUACCUGUUGUGCUAGAAUAAUUUUGGCACACACAUUACUUGUGCCCUGUGAAAUUGAAAAGCACACUCAUUUACAGAGCUUGUUAGUGGGGAAAAGCUUCGUAAGAUGCCUGAUAAAAGAUAAAGCAAAAGCUUGAAUGAAGAAUGGCAUUUUAGAAAGAAACUAAAGUGCAAUCAUCAAAGUAGGAUCAAUAGUGAGUUGAUCAGUUAUGCUUUUUGUUAUUUCAAUUGUUCUCUCUUUUUUCAAUCUCUCUUUAUGUUAUAAUUGAAUAAUUGUAUAGAAAGUGUGACGGUUGCUGCAGCAUUAUGAAGUCAAAAUUGAGAACGACAUUAAAUAAUCAAUCUCUUUAUGUAUUUACUCGAAUGUCUGAUAGUGUUCAGACUUGGAUUUUCAAUAAACACAGAUUCGAAAUCCAAAUAAUUGAAUAAUUGUGUACGUUCAAAUUCAGCAUUUAAUUACUAUAUAAUUAGACAUAAAUGUGUAUAUAAUUUUACUUUCUAAGAAUUAACUUCUACCUUGAUUCUAAAAAAAUAUAUAUAUAUAAUUUUACAAAUAAUUUAGUACGGCGUUUGGUAAAUGAUAACUAUUUGAGAAUAAGUUUUAAAAUGGUUUACUAUACAAAUCUGGAAAAUGAAAAUUAAAAGUGUAAAAUGUUCACAUAAUGAAAAUUAAAAGUGUAACAUGUUCACAUACAAUGACAAAAAUAUAUUUAUUUACUUAUUUGUAAUUUAUUUUGAAUAUUAUUGUUUAAAUCAUUUUUUUACUUACUAGAUUUUUUAAGAGCAUUCUAUUUUCUUUAUUACAUAUUUAAAUAAUUUUUUAUUAACUAUUUUAAUUUGCAAUAAAAUUAACUUCAAUAUUUUUUUAACUGAAAAUUUUGUUAUGUAGUUCGUGAUAUAACAAAUACUAACAUAUUAUUAAAUUGAUUAAUAAAUUACGUGCAAAAAAGAAAAUGCAAAAAUUUAAUCUUUAUAUAAACUUUUAUGUACAAAAACCGUUGUAAUCAAACUAGUUCAUAGAAAUAUAAUAUUUUAUACAUGUGUUUAAGAAAAACAUAUAACUAUAAUAUUAUCCACUCAUUAAACUUGCAGCACUAUUAUUUCUAAUUCUCUCCAUCACUCGACCUACAGGAACAUUACUACCAUAAUUUUCUUCUUGAAUUCAACCUCCAUUUCCACAUCAUCAACAAAGCGAUCAAUUUGCCUUGAUAGCCUUUCAACUCCUCCCACUUUCCUCCCUUUUGCAGACACUCUUUUUCUUUUUCUUUCUUUAAUAGCUUCAAUGGGAACAACCUCAUCUAUCGACAAGUCCAUUCUUCAACUAGAAUAGAGUUGGUAGUAGAUAUUUUAGUACUCUCAAACGAUGCCCAAACCGUGUCACCAGUGAUUGUUGUAUUAAAAAACAUUCCAUGUAAUUUUUCCUCUGACUCUGGGUCGAUACCUUUUAUGCAAAAUCUAUUUACUUCAGGAAUUUUAUACAUAUGUCGAUAUCAUAUUAAAGUGAAUUCAGAUCCUAUAUUAUUGACAUUUAGCCAAAGGUAAAAAAUUUUCCUUUUUGUUUGUCCCCCAACUAUAUAGUCCCAUUUUUGGUUAUAAGCUCGCAAUAUGCAAGGGAAAUGAAGAUCUACUAAAAACUUCCCCAUAAUAUUAAACAUUAAACAAUAUCAACAUUUUGUGCAUAUGGUGCCUCUCCAACAACUUGAUGUACAUUAUGUUGCUCGGUGGAAUAUGACUACUUAUUAAUUAAUUAGCAAGACUUGCGUUGCGAGUCCAUGCUUUUGUUGUUUGGAUGGAGGAUCUGCCAUCCUUAUUGUGAAAUAUGAACUAAAUAUACACUCACGACAUGUCAUAUGUUGAGUCUGUAGUAGCACGACAUGUCAUCUGAUAAGCAUUUGGAACAAAACCGACAUGAGCCAAAAUGUCGUUCUUUGUUUAAGUAGCUCACGUGUUUGGCAUGUGAGCUGAACAAGACUCUUACUCUCAGAAACGACUGAACCAGAAGCCGUUUUGAGCAUGCUUAUUCAAGACACGUUGCAAGCACGUGGCUGAGGCUGAAUCUGUUAUGUUAGCGGGAAAAGCCGCUGAGGAAGGCAUCCAGAAUCAGUUAAUAAAGAACUGGAGUUCUGGGUUUUUCACAACAGGGCCAGAAAACAGAGAGAGAGCAGAGAAAGAGGGAAUGCGAGAGAGAGAGAGUUCUGAAUAGGCUUGUAAUCUCCAUUUGUGUUUGCUCUCUGUAAACUCUUGAACAAGCAAUAAAGUGAAAUCACAGAGUUUGUUUCCAGUGGAUGUAGGCAUCAUUCAUUUGGUGCUGAACCACUUUAAUUCGUGUGUGUUUUGUUCUUGAUCUAUUUGUUAUUCUUGAUUCUUAGUAGGUUGACUUCUUCUUGGUUGAAUCUUGAGUAUAAACCAGUGAGUGAAGUGUUCUUGGGGUGGGUUUAGUCUUGAUAGUUAGGGCUUAAACCAAAACACUUUUAUUUUAGAUGCUUUGUAAGACUUCUGAUUUAAUGAUUGAAUGCAGCCAAUUAACGAAAGCUUACAUAUAGUAUUAUGUAGGUGCUGAGAUGUCUGUUCUUGAUAAAGUAGAUAUAUUUACACCCAAGCCAACGGAAUCAAAGCCUUUUCGUUAAUAAUAUACACGGUAAUUGUUUUUGUUAAAUUGAUUUCUGGCUAACAAGAUCUUUUUUUUUUUUUGAAAGGGCUAAAAAGAUCUUUGAAAGCAUUCAAAGAAGCCGCCGAACUCAUAGGAAAGCCAUGAUUAAAUAUACGGUGAAGCAAGCGAGCUCGUUUGUUAAUCUCUUGAUCACUCAUAAGCUUUUCUAUACGGCUCACGAUAUCAUCCUUUUGAAUCGAUUUUGAUUGAUCAUCGGAUAUCAUGUCCCCACCUUGAGAUGAUUGAUCACCAAUUUGGCAUUGUAAUGUUGAUCACCUCUAAUUGGCCAUGCUAAAAUUGGGAGCCCACAACUAAUUGCUUCCAUAGUUGAAUUCCAUCUACAAUCAAAUAAAAAUCCACCCAUUGAUUGAUGACUUAGUAUCAAUAAUUGUGGCGCCCACCCAUCUAUUAUCAAUCCCCUUUUAACCAAUAAAGUGUUGGCUCCACUGGCAAUGGAGUCCCCUUAAGUGGUUUGACUGGGUUUGCUCCCCAGUUCGAGUCGCAGGGAAGUCGCCUUUGUUGGGAGAACCUGUGCCUCUCGGUUCGAGCGGGGACUUCUAGUCUGGGUUGUGGUACGGGCUUAAAGGUGCCUCCCACAGUUGGGGCCCUCCCCAGGAUACCUCGUGGUCAAAACCAAAAAAAAAAUCAAUCCCCUUUUACCGACUUUACUCUCCAAACCACUGGAAAAAUAACUGCCUUCUACUGGUCUGUCUAAACCGGUUAAAUGACGCGGAGGAUCCAAUCUACCUGCACUAGUUUGAAUUACCCAAAUAAACUGUUGAUUUGAUGCUUCUAAACAUUGGCAAGGCUGAAUACUCCUCUAAGGUGGGACGCACUUUGGUACCAAAUUAUAUGUAUAGCACAGAUCUACGUGAUUUCAAAUCCAACCAUUAAGCGAUCUCAUCUUCAGUCAUGUUAGAACUCUGCUGGUUGGUCUCGUCUCACGAUCAUGAAACGCUGAACCGACCAAUUUGUAAAAUUGUUUAGGUAACAAUGAGCCCACUCCCCACACCGGCUUUCCCAUUUGAUUGGCUAAAUAAUUAAUAAAUGGUCCCUCAAGAUCAUUACAUGUGUUAGAACAUCAACGCCAUCGAUCCCUUCACUUCCUUCAUGCAGUGUGGUUGAUCAUCGGGUUCUAGUGGACCUAUUUUCCCUGAACCGGGUGCACUCUGCAGAAGUGGUGGACCACUAGGAGGGGGCCCACAAGGCCUACGUCUAAGAUUCGAUUCAAAUAAAGCCGUAUCCUCAGGUACCCCAGGAAGUAAAUAGGCCUCCCCUGAUUUGACAUCUUUGAUGCGAGCCUACCACAUGGCACACUCUACAAUUGUUCAACUAAAAUUAAUAAUAUUGUUCUAAUUAAUUACUCGAUAAGCAAAUAGUCAUAGACAAAUCUAUCCCUAAUCCCACAUUUACAAAAUAAAGAAUUGAAAUGAGUUUAUGUGGCUUUGAACCCAAGCCCUCAAGCCUAGUGGCUGGAUCUUGACCACUUUGACAUAAUUAUUAUAACAAUUUUUUUUUUCAUAUUUCACUAAGCAUCUUUUGUUAUAUAAUGAGGAAGAUAAGUUGACGGAGAAGGGUUCUACUUUUACUAGUAGAUGAGAUUUAAAUUAAGAAGGUUAGUUUUAGAUUGUUAAAUUUCCUUAGACGAUUAUUCAUGUGAGAUGUUUAACAUAUACUUGAGUUAGUCGGUGCCUAACAAUUCUUGUGAUACAUGAAACCAACCAAUAUGAAAACCAUAUGAAGUUGGUAGGAUUAGAUUAAUUUAAAUGAAAAUAAAAAUUAGUUUAUGCUAUUUAUUAAUCUUAUACUGUUGAAAAUUGAAAGUUAAUUCUUUAGCCUGUCAAUUGGUUCAUGACAUAAUUAAAAUAUUCAAGUAAAUACAUUUAUCGUUUAACAUUAAUUUUUCAUGCGGUAAAACCAAUACUAAUUAUAGAGUGGAGAGAAUAAUCUGUAGGGUAUACCCCCACCUUUUAUUUCAUUUCAUUUAAAAAAAAAAGAGAGAGAGAGAAAAGUAAAGGCUUGUUCAACAUUCAAGUAAAAUUAACAAAUCUAUGAUAAAAUUACUUCAGAAUAAAAAUUAAAAUGUUUAAAAAAAAAACGGCAACUCGAAAACGACAUACAAAUACCGCAUAGAAGGUUUUCGUCACGAGAUAUUUUUGGGCUGAGACAACACUUGUAUAACUUAGCAUAUAGCUUGGAUGACGGUGAGAAUAAGAAGGAAAACGGCACCGCAGACCGAAAUGCCAGCCCAUGGAGUAUUGAAGUAAUUUUUUUUCACAAUUCAAAGGAGGUUUUGGAACUUACCACAAGGCUGAGUAUUUCAACAGUUAUGGAUGACAUAAUCCAGCUAAGCAGAAGCUGAUCUUGGCGUUUCCACACAGCAUAUUCUGGAUUUUCAUGACCUUCAGAGAUUGACGAAGUGCCUUCAAAUCCAGGUGAAAGAAAUUGAUCAGGACAUAGCUUUGAUCCAUCGAUAUAAGACUCAAGUCCAUUGCCUCGAACUGAAGAGAGCACCUGAUGUUUCCAGAUCGUGUAAUUUGUACGAUCUAAUUUGACUGGUGUAGUGAAGGUGAAAGAAGCUAUGGCACUGGUAUUAGAUUGUGAAUUUGAGUUCGUUAGAGCCAUUGGAUCUAGCUCUGAUACCAAGUUAAAGAAGCUUUUCCUGUUUGUUUACUCAGAAAGUGAAGGAAAAAUACAGAGAAAAUUAUGUAGCUAGAAUGAAUCUAAAACCAUCUUAUUAAUCUAUAUUUGGUUCAAUAUACAACAAUAUUUAUGCUACUCACUGGAACCUUCUAUAUGAAACAAACACGUGAACUCAAUACAAUUCAGCUUAACAAACUUUUAACGGGAAAUAACUAAACAGAGCAACGGCUUGCCAGCGUGGCUGCUGACUCAGCAGCCGACUAAUCAUACUCUGAAAAAAAAUCACCAAACAGAAAAACAGGGGAAUGAAAAGAUAGCCUCCGUUUAUCCUCUGUUCUGUUUUCAUUGUUAUUAAACAAGGGAAUGAGAAAAGAGAGCCCCUGUUUCUUCUCUUUUUUGAUUUUUUUAAUUACUAAACUGGGGAACGCACGGAUCACCUCUUGUUGCAAGCGCAAAUUCUUGUUUCUACUUUAGUACCUUCUAAAUGCUGCAUGCAUUAAAAUUAUUCUUACAUAUGCUAACAUAAUAGCUACUGUACAUGUAAGUUCUUGAUAAAUCCAAAUAACAUAAUAAUUUUAAGAGUUCAAAUUUAGAAUUUAAUUAUAUAUAUUUAUAUAAAUCCAAUGUGCAUAUCGGAUAUUGCAUGCUGCAAUGAUCUCAUAUGUUUCCUCAAUAUGACUUAAAUAUAUAGGCCACAACUUGGUUUUGAAGUUAGUCUAAAGCCUUCCCCUUGAUUCUAACAAAUUCACUAGGGAAGGUUCAUAUGGAUUUUGGGGGAGCUCUAUGGCCAAUUUUAAAAGUUCAGGGGGGAUCAAAUGAAUUUCAAAACUGCAUGGGUUAUCUAUUUCAGUCAGAGGAUAGUGGAAUUCCCUGAAAUUUAUCCUUUUUAUUAAAUUAAUCUUCCUCCUUUCCUCUGUGGACCUUUGCUAUGUGUGUUAUUGGCGUCCAAAUGACGAUGGGAAUUAUGGUAAGGUUCUUGCUUCCCCACUUCUUGAAAUUAAAUAUAUCUUUUCUGGCACUAGAAAUUUCCACAUGCUGUGUUUUGUUAUUGUUUGGGAGAAAUACGUCAACGAGACCAGGCGUGGUGAGCAGAUAUCUGAUAGCAGAGUUCCGCGAACCGGUGUGUUCCGUAAAAGCCUGGUGCGCGGAGGAACAGGAGCAGAAGUAUCCCGCUCGUCCACGAACACGUCAUCCGCGAGGCCAAUUUCCCGUAAGAGGCAUAAGGUCAUUCCGGCUAGAGGUCGAGAGGCGAGGAGACCCGGUCGACGGCAGUUGGCAAGACAUGCUCCCCAGCCCGAGAAUCUAGGCACGACAGCCACGCUUUCCCCAGAACUGUGGCGUAACACGCAAAAUCUCACGGAACCACGACAACCACGCUUUCCCCAGAACCGUGGCGUAACACGCAAGAUCUCACAGAACCACGACAGCCACGCUUUCCCCAGAACCGUGGCGUAACACGCGAGAUCCCACGUUUGCCCAUAACGCAGCAGUCAGAGUCCCAUACCGUCUCGAAAAAAGCGGAAAACUGGGAUUCAGGGGAGGCCUAUAAAAAGGUAGCCAACGAAGGUAAAAGGGUUAGCAUUUUUAAGAUUAGAAAAGAAAUAAAAAAAGCCAUAAGACCUGUGGCAAGCGUUCCCCGAACCUUGAUAUCUGAAUUGAGCGUCGGAGGGUUUGCGCCGGGAAAACAACCGGCGUACUCUGACUUGUCUGUGUGCGCAGGAACCUCUGGAGAAGAAGCCUCACGAGGAGACCUCCUGGUCGUGAAGAAGUUGAUCGGGCAGAGAUCCUGGUCGUAGAACGAGGAGACCCGGAAUCCCGCAUCAACAUUUUGGCGCCGUCUGUGGGGAACAGAGCAAAAAGCUUCUGUUGAUAGCAAGAGGAGGGGCGAAGCAAGUGAAAAGCAAUGGAGACAUGAGGAAGUAGUGGACAAGGGGGUGAUAGGAGGCCUAACGAUUCCGUGACGCUGAGGGAGAUAGUCAGUGAAGCACGGGAAAAAGUCAUGUUCGACCGGAUGGAACGGGUGGAAAAGCAGAUGGAGACCUUGACAACCAUCCUAGAUGAGCUGCGGAGCGAGCGAAGUAUAAUCCAAGAGGGAAGGGGGAGAGGCGGUGGAGUGGCACCAGGUCCCGAUAGUGCGGGGAGAAGUCAAACCACCGGGAGAUUUGGUGGUGAGAGAGGUAACGUACCUCUGCGGGGAGAAUUUCAUAGAGAAAGAGAGCGGUCCCCGGCAAGGCAGACUGGCGACGAGGACGAUGGAGUGGUGAAUGCAGAGGAAACGAAGUUGAGACAACACUUGCAUGAUGUAGAGCAAGAGCGGGAUCAAGUUGCAGCACGUGACCCUGGUCGUGCAGUGCAGCUGGAGGAGGAAGUGCGCAGACUAGCGCAGAUAAUCGACGACAUGCAAGGAAGGAACAGAGCCCCUGGUUGGAGGAUAAUGCUAGACGGAGAAUCACCGCUCGCAGCAGAGAUCAUGAGGGCAGUUAUUCCGAGAGAUUUCCGCCUCCCAGACCUCAGAUACUCGGGAAGAACUGAUCCGUUGGUGCACAUAGAGCGCUUCAACGACAUAACUGGGGUACAAGGAUUAUCUCAAUCCCAAAGGUGCAGAGUGUUCCCACUAUCCCUUGAGGGACGUGCACGAGAAUGGUACAGGAAACUUCCUCGGGGCAACAUUAAAACCUUCGAGCAGAUGUGCCAGGAAUUCGCGGAGCAGUUCAGUGGGGCAAUGGCGCCGGAAGAUGACAUGAUGGAGCUGAAAAGCAUGAAACAGGGGGAGCAAGAAACCCUUCGGGAAUUCAUCAAGAGGUUUCAUCGGGCUGUCCUCGACUUGGGAGCCUUCAACCACCCUCAGGCGUUAAGGGGAUUGAAAGAAGGGGUGAAGAUAGGAAGGCUGUGGUACAAUUUGAGAAGCCCAGCUAUUCAAACGUAUGCAGCCGCAUACGAACAGGCUAAGAGAGACAUCGAGAUUGAAGAGGAGAAGGCUGCACGGAUUAAGACAGACCAGUUACAAGGGUUGGGGAGGAAAGAGAAGAAAGCAUUACCGGGGAAUGGGCCGAUCAGGAGGAGGGACCACCAGGCCUCCGGUAGCGGAGCAGGAGGUCGGGUAGCCGCUUACCAUUCUCAUCAAAGGCCACCACAGUAUCAGCGCAGCAGGGCGCAACCUCCUCGUUCCCCAGUUAGGGAGCCUUGGAGAAGACAUGAGUCGGCAUCUGGUGGUCUCCAUCAACACCCCCACGGUAGCAGAGCGAGCAGACCAGAAGUACUUCCACCGCCCCCAACUCAGAGCGGGGCAAACGGAGAAAGAGUAGUGCACCUGAUCGACCAGAACCCGGACUAUGGGCGGUACACUUCCUUGAAGAUGUCCCUGGAUGAGGUGUACGAGGCCAUAAAGGAUCGAGGGCUGUUGCACCUCCCUACACCAAUAACAAAGCUACCCAACAGGAGGGAUAGAGGGCGUUAUUGUAAGUUCCAUGGCACCCAUGGCCAUACCACAGCAGAGUGUAGAGAUCUCAAGACCCAGGUCGAAGAUUUGGUGAGAAAUCGGUACCUGGACGAGUUUAUGGAUGGGACUUUCCCGAUGGGGGCCGCAACAGGUGAAGGGGAGCAGAGUGGCGGAAACGUGAGGCACGAGCAGCCUGCAGUAAGGGUGAUCGCCGGGGGCCCGACAUUGGCCGGAGAUUCCAACAGAUCGAGAAAAAAUUAUGCUAGGUACGCCAUGACCAGUAAAGAGGUACUCCUCAACACCCCAGCAGCCAAACGAGCAAGGGUCAGGCAAGUGCCAAUCAUGUGGACGGAUGAGGAUGAGGAAGGGAUUCUAUACCCCCACGAGGACGCUUUAGUCAUCAAGGCUACUAUCGCUAGCAAGAAGUUUGACCGGAUACUGAUUGAUACAGGGAGCUCAGUUGAUGUGUUAUUUAAGUCAACCCUGGAAGAGAUGGGAAUAGCCGACCGGAAGUUGGAAUACACCAAUACCUCCUUGAAGGGGUUCGGAGGAGGGAAGCUGGUCCCUCUGGGCGUGGUCGAGCUGCCUAUCACAAUUGGGAGCUCCCCGACAGAAAGAACAAUGAUACUGGACUUUGUCGUAGUGGAUGAGGAAGGUCCUUACCAGAUGAUCUUAGGUCGGCCAUUUUUAAGGAUGAGCAAAGCGGUGUUGUCCAACCAUUAUCUGGCCCUGAAGUACCGGGUGAAUGGGGUAGUAGGAGUGGUACGAGGAGACCAGAGGAUCGCAAGAAGCUGCUACUCCUCGGCAGCAAGGGAAGCAAUGCAGAUAACAUCCCUCGAUACCCGAGUGGAAAGCAGGAAGGGCAGACAAGAACCUGUAGAGGAUCUGGAAACAGUAAGCCUGGGACCAAAGAACCCGGAAAAGACGAUCAGAAUCGGGUCGAGACUUAGGGGAGGGCAAAAGCAGGAGUUGGUGAAAUGCUUACAGGCUCAUGCUGAUGUGUUUGCUUGGACACAUGAAGACAUGCCAGGGAUUGACCCUGAGGUAGCAUGUCAUAAGCUGGCAAUAAAGAAAGGUGCUCGGGCAGUAAGGCAGAAGAGGAGGUGCUUCAACCAGGAGAGGUAUGAGGCUAUAAAUGGCGAGGUGGAGAAGCUCCUGAGAGCAGGGUUCAUUCGGGAAGUCAGUUACCCUGAGUGAAUAUCGAAUGUGGUGUUGGUAAAGAAGGCAAACGGCGAGUGGAGGAUGUGUGUGGAUUUCACAGACCUCAAUAAGGCGUGCCCAAAAGACAGCUUCCCUUUACCAAAGAUCGAUCAGCUGGUAGAUUCAACGGCUGGACAUGAUCUGCUCAGCUUCAUGGACGCGUUCUCGGGAUACAACCAGAUCCCCAUGUACGGGCAGGAUGAGGAGAGCACGGCUUUCAUCACUAACCAAGGUUUGUUCUGUUACAGGGUAAUGCCAUUCGGUCUCAAAAAUGCGGGGGCCACCUAUCAAAGGCUGGUGAACAAAGUCUUUAAGCCGUUGAUUGGGAAAACCAUGGAGGUGUACGUGGAUGACAUGAUCACCAAGUCCAAAAUCCCGGAGGAACAUGUCAGACACCUCGAGGAGACAUUCGAGCUUUUGAGGAAGUAUAAGAUGAAGCUCAACCCGGAGAAGUGUGCUUUUGGGGUCGAGUCAGGGAAAUUCCUUGGAUUCAUGGUGAGCCAUAGGGGGAUUGAAGCAAAUCCCGAGAAAAUCCAGGCGAUUGUGCAAAUGACGUCUCCUCAUAACCUGAAGGAGAUGCAGAGCCUCACGGGGAGGUUGGCGGCGUUGAGCAGAUUCAUAUCCAAGGCUACAGAUAAGUGUCAGCCAUUCUUUCAAGUAAUAAGGAGGGGAAAGAAAACAGAAUGGACCCCAGAAUGCGAGGAAGCCUUGCGGAACUUGAAGCAAUACUUGCAGCAAGCUCCGCUGCUGUCCACACCGAGGGAUGGGGACAUGUUGUAUCUGUAUUUGGCGGUAUCGGAUCGGGCCGUCAGUUCUAUUCUGGUGAGAGAGGAAGAAGGAGUUCAGUAUCCGAUAUACUACACCAGCAAAGCCCUGCUCGACGCUGAGACCAGAUACCCACCGUUGGAAAAAUGGGCACUUGCCCUUGUGGUUGCUGCUCGGAAGUUGAGGCCAUAUUUUCAAGCAUUCCCGGUUUCGGUAGUAACAAACCAGCCAUUGCGUCAAACUCUGCACAAGCCAGAUGCCUCUGGUCGGCUCGUCAAGUGGGCUGUAGAGCUGAGCGAGUUCGACAUAGACUAUAAACCCCGCGCAGCGAUAAAAGCCCAGGCAAUGGCUGAUUUCGUAGCCGAAUUCACAGAGCCCGAAGUAUGCUUAGAUCAACAAGAUGCAGAUAUAGGCAAUGACGAAACUCAAGUAUGGCAGAUGUCUGUGGAUAGGUCAUCAGGGGAGCGGGGUUCAGGAGCAGGGAUUGUCUUGGAAGGCCCAGAGGGGGAGGAGAUCUCUUAUGCUGUAAAGUUGGAGUUUGCAGCCACGAAUAACCAGGCAGAGUAUGAAGCCUUGAUAGCAGGUCUGGAAUUAGCUAAGGCCGUGAAAGCAAACAGAGUUAAGAUCAGAACUGAUUCCUAGCUGGUUGCAAAUCAUGUCAGUGAAAGAUUCCAACCAAGAGAGGAGAAGAUGGAGCAGUACCUGAAGAUAGUCAGGCAGAUGAUGGGGAAGUUUGAAGCAGUGGAGGUAAUACAAAUCCCCAGGGAGCAGAAUAGUCGAGCAGACAUUUUGGCUAGGAUGGCAGCAGUAGCCGACCCAAAAAUGCCAAAGUCGGUUCCUCUGGAGGUGAAGUCCAGCCCAAGUAUUGGUCAGAAUUUGGGGGUGUUGCGGAUAGAACAAAAAUGCUCGUGGAGGGAUCCGAUAGUUUCAUACCUUAGGGACGGGGUAUUACCACCAGAUAAGGUGCGAGCUCGCAAGCUUAGAGCCCAGGCCUCGAGAUACACGAUGAUUGAUGGGGUACUGUAUCGGCGAGGAUAUACACUAUCGAUUACUUCACGAAGUGGAUAGAGGUAGAAGCCCUUAGCAGGAUCACAGAGUCGAGCAGACAUUUUGGCUAGGAUGGCAGCAGUAGCCGACCCAAAAAUGCCAAAGUCGGUUCCUCUGGAGGUGAAGUCCAGCCCAAGUAUUGGUCAGAAUUUGGGGGUGUUGCGGAUAGAACAAAAAUGCUCGUGGAGGGAUCCGAUAGUUUCAUACCUUAGGGACGGGGUAUUACCACCAGAUAAGGUGCGAGCUCGCAAGCUUAGAGCCCAGGCCUCGAGAUACACGAUGAUUGAUGGGGUACUGUAUCGGCGAGGAUAUACACUAUCGAUUACUUCACGAAGUGGAUAGAGGUAGAAGCCCUUAGCAGGAUCACAGAGAAGAAAACAACGGACUUCGUGUGGAGAAACCUGGUCUGUCGAUACGGGAUCCCUUAUGCCUUGGUAACGGAUAAUGGCAGGCAGUUCGAUAAUCACAGCUUCAGGGAUUUCUGCCAGAACCUCGGGAUAGAGCUGAAGUAUUGCUCGCCUGCUCACCCUCAAUCGAACGGACAAGUAGAAGCAGCCAACAAGACCAUCAAGAGGCUUUUGAAAACCAGGCUUGGAGCAAAAAAGGGUGCGUGGGUUGACGAGCUGUCAGGUGUGCUAUGGGCAUACAGAACAACCCACAAAACAGCAACUGGGGAGACACCGUUCGCUUUGGCUUUCGGACAUGAAGCGGUCGUGCCGGCCGAGAUAGGAACGACCACACACCGGACAAAUCAUUUCAAUGAGCAGGAGAACGACGAGCAGAUAUGUUUGAAUCUUGAUCUGCUAACGGAAAGGAGGGAGCAAGCAGCCGAGCGAUCGGUCAUUUACCAACAGAGGGUUGCUCGGUAUUAUAACCAGAAGGUGAACAUACGGCAAUUCAGGGUCGGAGACUGGGUACUGAGAAGAGUGAAUCAGAGCACCAAAGACUCGACUCAAGGAGUGCUGGGACCGAAUUGGGAAGGGCCAUAUAGAGUCAAGCAGAUAGCGGGACCUGGAGCUUACAAGCUGGUACGCACGGACGGCCACGAGGUGAAACGCCCAUGGAACGCAGCACACCUCCGAAAAUACUUCCAGUAAGACUUGUUCACAUGUGAAAACUAUUUUUGCUCAUGUUCAUUACCGUUUAUCUUUCACACUUAUUGUCCAAACAAUCUCAUGUAAGUCGAAUCUUGCCAUUAAUGGAACGUCGAAGAAUUUCUUUCGCUUGAAACCGAGAAAGUUGCCUAAGGCAUGCAAAGGCUCGACAAAGUCUCAAAGCCUGUCUUAUGGCGAGACAGAAGCCAAGCAUGCCAGGAUCUGCUCGGCCACGAGAAGGCGAACAGAAUCCCAAUCCUUGAAGAAAUGCCUAAGGCAUGCAAAGGCUCGACAAAGUCUCAAAGCCUGUCUUAUGGCGAGACAGAAGCCAAGCAUGCCAGGAUCUGCUCGGCCACGAGAAGGCGAGCAGAAUCCCAAUCCUUGAAGAAAUGCCUAAGGCAUGCAAAGGCUCGACAAAGUCUCAAAGCCUGUCUUAUGGCGAGACAGAAGCCAAGCAUGCCAGGAUCUGCUCGGCCACGAGAAGGCGAGCAGAAUCCCAAUCCUUGAAGAAUCCAAGGCAUGCAAAGGCUCGACAAAGUCUCAAAGCCUGUCUUAUGGCGAGACAGAAGCCGAGCGUGCCAGGAUCUGCUCGACCGUGCGAAGGCGAGCCGAAUCCCAGGCAUUGAAGAAUCUCCAAAGGCAUGUGGCGAAACCAUGAGCCAAGCCGGAACCUGCUCGUCUAGACAGACACAAGCAGAUUCUCAACCGAAAAUUAAUUCAUAAUUACAACACAAGAAAGUAAUCAAAAACCAUUUUUAUUAAUUUGUUAAUAAUUAACAGAGGGGACAAUCUCAAUGAACAUUGUUCAUUACAAUACAAGAAAUAUAUCAAGAAGAUGAUGGACCAGUAAGCCCGGCAGCAUCGGUUGGCUGGACCUCCUCAGGUGCUGGAGGGGUAUCACCAGUUGCGUCCGGGGGGGUACUUGCCUCGCCGACAUCAGCAGGGACUGCAUGAGCAGGAGAGUCUUCCUCCUCAAUCACGAUCGGCUCUACCCCAUCAGUAUCUUCCUUAGCCGCCUCCUCGUCCAUGUGUUGAGCAACACCAGCUGCAAGGUCAUCCAUCUUCAGAUCAGGGUGUUGCUUCCCGAGGACGGCCAUGAUGCAACGAUAGGAAUGCCGAAGGCCCUGGUCGUACUGGUUGUCAGCCUCCCUCUCCAAGUUCUCGACCUGAGCUCGGUGGGAGUCGCGGAGAGAUUCGAGCUGAGCCUCAUACGUAGCCUUCUGCCUUUGCAGAUCCUCCUUGACCUUGGUAAGCUCCUCCUCGAGGGAAAUGGCUUUUGCUUGAGCAAGUGAUUCUUGCUCUAUCAGCUUCAGAUUCUCGAGAUUCAGCUCCCCUGCUUUCUUCUCGGCAACGUCAGCCCUGGUCGUCGCCAAUUGAAUAUCCUCCUUCAUCUUCCGGUCGUAGCGGCCAACCUUAGCCUUGUAAUAGGUGGUCAGGCAGCUGAGGUGGAAAGCGUUAUGCUGCAUGGCCCCCACCAGCUCACCCAAGGUGCGGCCGUCAAAGUCCUCCAGGUCCUUCUUGCUCACGAGUUUAGUUAACUCAUUGAGGUAAGGGACCAGAUGUUCUGCUCGGCUGUCAGGUAAGCGAGACCAAGGCCCGACAGGAGGAGAAGAAGAAGCAGGAUCUGUGGCUGCUCCACUAGCUUCCCCGACUUUCACAGAAGCAGGAGGUAAAGUCUUCAAGGGUGGGACCUGCUGCACGAUGUUGGCCCGCUUUGCAGCAGGGGCAUCCUUACUCUGGUCCCUCUUCGUGGUUGGAGGUCGGGAACGUUUUCGGGUCAAAGCCCCAAUCACAGCGUCCUCCAUCCUAUAGCCAGGAAGUAUCAAGCGAGACUCGAGCAAGUUGUAUGUAGUUAACAGUUCUCGGCUCGAGCAGGAAUUGGCUGGUCAGGUUCAAGCGGGAAGUGGACACCCCAAGAAACUACAACACAAACAGACACUUGGUUAGAGACAAGCCAAUAAAGCAAGAACAAUUAUGAACGCAAGACAUCUAGAGCGAGCAGGCAACCUGGGACCGUGAAACGGGGUGGGACGCGACAAUCCUUCCCGUCUAUUUGUGCAAUUUGACCCCAAGGACCCCCAGCAAAAAAGAAUUUCCUCUUCCAAGCCCCACCACCACCGGUUGGAAGAUCGGUUAUGGGUUUCCGGCUCUUGGUGCUAGAUUGGAAGUAGUACCAGCCGGCAUCUUUGGGGCUGCUCUUUAGCUGGUACAAGUGCUUCACCUCAUCAACCGUGGACUCGCUUCCGAAAAAGGACUUUUCUCAUUAAUUUUUGAUCUUCAAGUUAAGUUUGUUUCAUUUCAAAAGGUAUUAAGUUUCAAACUUGUCGUGUUGGGAGGUUGGAUAGUUGUAACGUAAGACAUCUGCAGGCUUCCGGUUCAAAACAUUACAGUAUGGCAUUUUAUUUUGUCACAAGGGAAUUAGUUAUGGGAUCCCUUCUGCAACGAUUUGUUGAUGGCGAUGAUGAACUCCGCAAUAGUAGGCUGAAGCUUAUUCCAUCCGUUCCUAAGAUAUCCAUCUUGGUCUGCAUCUAUUAGGACUUUGUUAACAUGUCGUAACCUUCACUGCAUGGUACACUUCAAUUUGUUCAAAGAAGGCAUACAUUUAGGUAUAAAUGUAUUGAUGGGUUGUACCUUCUAACUUAAUGACCUUUUUUCACUCUGUUGAAUUUGUUUUGCACCUGCUCUUGAUUUUAAGCGCUAAAUCAUGCAGGGGUCAUGGAUCGUGCACCAGAGUGUUGGAAGCACCCCUUGUUUAUUAGGAAAAGCAGUUGAUCGUAAUUUUAUCCGCGGUCCCAAGUUCGUAGAAGUAAACGCUCUUGGAAUUUCUAUAAUACAUGAGAUGUUCCCCUUUCAAAUAGCUCGUCCGAUACCAUUAACAUGGUUUAACAUUGUUCCUCUGUCUUUAGAUUGAUGUUGACAUCGGUUCUUCUAAUAUUGCUCUUCUUUAUCUUACACGUGUCUCUUCUUUAUCUUACUCUUUAGUAUGCAGUCAAACACUACAGAUGAAUUACCAGAACGGCUGAUUGGAACCAGAAACAUCAUGACUGUGGUUUCAUUGCACCUCAACUUUUUUUAAUACCCGAAAAAAAAAAAUCAUUUGUUUUAGGUAUACGCACAUGUAUUUUGAUCCCAUUUUCAUUGUUUUCUUUGGAUGAAAGUCAUUGAUGUUUCCAAAUGAGACUUUUGCAUAAGUAUAGCUAGUAGGAAAUUUUCUGAUUCUUUAUUUACUAUUUUUGGAAUCUGAGUGUAAUAGUUUUAAAAUUGUUUAAUCGGUCUCUAAAUGUCGUACUCACAAGCAAACAAGUGAACUGAUUGAUUCCCAACCGUCACUCAACCGGUUUCCAACUUUUUAAUAUACACAAUAACUGUGUUUGUUGAAUAGCUAAUACUAUUAAAGCUCAACAUUAACAUAGAUACUAAUGGAAAAAUUGAUUUUCCUAUGAUGCUGUGUAAAGAAUAUGGGUUUACCUACUUCCAUAAGAUCGAAAACAUGAUCUUGACUUCACGUGAUUCUUUUAAUUUAGAGAGUGCUGGUUUGAGAAGGUCAGCUUGACGGAUUACUUCCUUUUAAUAAAUGUCAAUACACUAUAUUUGAUAAUACUAUAAAAAUGUAAUAAACAUUGUCUUGUGCUGUUUUCUUCAACUACAGAUCCUCAAUUGAAUCAGUCAAUCAGGUUAGAAAUCAAAUGCUUAAAAUACCAAUUGGAGAAACAAUAUAGAAGUUGAAUAUUGCAUGCAUAUGAAACAUCAAUUCAAGCCCUCACUUAACCAGUGUGCACCAAGCAAAUCCAAAGUGUCUUGCAAUUAUGUAGCAUGACCAAAAUGCUAUAAAUGCAUCUGGGAACAAAUUUUUGAAGUAGAGGAAAACGUGCAAGUUGAAUCAUGUAUAAGAGAUCGGCUUGGGUCGAGAUAGCUUCUUCUUUAUACUUGAAGGGUGGGCUCAAUCUUGUCUUUAGAAUUCUGCAUGUUUGUAAUUAUACAUGUGUAAGCAAGCAUACAUUACCAUAAUAAUAACAAUAAGAAAAAAGAAGCAAAUGUUAUGAUACGACUAUAAACUCCAUCAGACAAACAAUAAUGUAUAAAUUAAUGUGACAUAAUAUGAUUGAUUAAACAAAAACAUCACAUGGACCACUUGAUUUAUUUUUUAUUAUUAUAUAUUUUCAGUCGACCAAUCAUAUUAUACCAUAUCAAUUUCUACAAAAUAAUUUGGUAGUUAGCGCCAAUACUUAGUUAAUUAAUACUGACCAUUUCAUUGAACAAUUUAUGUAUGGUGUCAUUGAGGUUGCCUUCCCAGCAUCCUUCUUAUUUUUCGGUGAGUUUCACUUUAUUUAGCGUUGGCGUGCCUAUGAUUCCUUGAGAGAAAAUCUUCAUCUUUGGGCACUGUCUCACAAGUACUUGUUUCAAGGACGGGAACUCAAGAGUGUAAUUACCUGAAUAAAAGCUUGUUAGGCUUGGCAAACAGUCAAGUCCCAAGUACUCCAAUUUCCCGAAAACAAUGCAAUCUUUCGCUUCUUCAUUUAAUAAUUAUAGAAGAAUAUUGGCUUAUAGAGCAUUUUAGUAGGGAUAAGAUUUGUGGACAGAAUAAAUGAAAUAAUAAAAAGCAUAGCUGAUCAAGUCAUUAUUGAUCUUAUUUUGAUUAUUACAUUGCACAUUAGUUUCUUUUUAAAAAUGCUAUUCUUCAUUCAAGCUUUCGCUUUAUCUUUUAUCAGGCAUCCUACAAAUCUUAUCCCUACUAAUAUGCUCUAUAAGCCAAUAUUCUUCUAAAAUUAUUAAAUUCCAUUCUUCAUUCAAGCCUUCAUGGACACUAUUUACAAAUUGUUCUUGUAUUUGACAGAAAAAUGAAAACUCCUCAUCAUACAAAACUGCAUGAACAAAUCUUCAAUUUAAUUAUGAUAAAAUAAUAAAUUCCAUUAAUAGAUUAUGUUGUAUUUUUUUUUUUUUUGACCACGAGAUAUCCUGAGGAGGGCCCCAAUUGUGGGAGGCACCUUUAAGCUCGUACCACAACCCAUACUAGAAGUCCCCACGGGAACCGGGAGGCACAAUUUCUCCCAACAAAGACGAUUUUCCUGCGACUCGAACUGGGGAGCAAACCCAGUCAAGCCACUUAGAGCCAACACUUUGUUGGUUAUGUUGUAUGUUAAUGUGAGGGAUUUGAUCAGGUGAUCAUAUAAUUUAGUAAACGCUUUAAGAAGAACAAGAAUUAAUAAGUUAAAAAUUAAAAAAAUAAAUAAAUAAAGAGUAGAUGGAAAGAAUGUUAUUUGCAAUCACUAAACCAAAGAACAGGGGAAUGAUAAGAGAGGACGGUUACUGCAACAAUAUGAAGUCAACAAUAUAAAGUGUUUACCAACUUAAAACCAGGGCUAUAAAGUGUUUGAUGAAUUAUUUUUUAAUUAAAAAAAAAAAACUGAUUUAGCGGGAUAAAACAAUGCUCCAUUCCGUUUAGUAUGUGAAGUCCAGAGUAUUACCUACUACUAACUAAAUCCGCUUGAUUCACAAGACUACCAAGAGAUAACUGAAUCAUUAUUUAAUUUUACUAUUAGGAAACCUACUUAUAUAAGGCGCAAACCACAAAUUCUAAAUUAAAUACCUAACCAUAAAUUAAGAUCAACCCUAACAGUCAUCCACCAGGUGCCGUGUAGGCUGCAUCAUAAAUUCUGAUUUAAAUAUUUGCAAUCACCGAACAGAAAAACAGGGGAACGAAAACAGAGGAGCCCUAUUUUUCCAUUUUUUUAACCCUUAACUCUUGCUCUUCUAAUUAUAUUUUUCCUUGGAAUUUCAAGUAUGAGAUGAAUUUGGAGAAAGUAAAUAAAUUUGAAUUACGUGAAAAAUUCUAAUUUUUUUAACCCUUAACAGUUGGUAUAUUUUUUUUAGGUCAUAGAUUAAUAAAUUUCUUUUAAAAAAAUUUAUAAUAUCAAUUAAUAUUAUAACCUAUAGAUUAAUACAGAUAAAAAUAUGAUUGAUUUAUCUCCACCACCUAAGUCUUAGCCAAAUUUAAUUAAAGAUUAAUUUAAUAAAUUACCGAAAAUAAUAAAGUAAACGAAAAAUAAAGCACGCAAUUAAGUAAUCAUGCUUCUAAAGGGCUAAUUAACCAUAAUAGGCAUAGGUAUUAAUUUGACUUCUAUGAAAGUCCCUUCUAGUUUCUCAAAAUUCAAAAAUUACAAUAAAAAGCCAAAGAAAAAGUCAAUGCUUCUAAAGUAGAAAAGUUUGAGUACUAGAUAGGCUGCCCAAAAUACAUUUUCAUUACUCACAUAUCUCUAUAGAAAGUAAUUUUUUUAAUAAAAACAACCUAUUUGGCUAAUAUUCAGUAGUCUUUUUUGUUGAUGGAAUUAUCCUCUUAACAAUAUUUUAAAAAGUUUACAUGAAUAUUCCUUUUUUAAAAAAAAAAAGAAUAAUAACGUGUAUUGUUAGGAUAAAAAUGAUCAUCAAUACGUAUGUAUAUAGGCACAAAUAUAUGAAAAAAAAUCAAGUUUAAGUACAAUGUAUAGGUCAAUGCCUAAGAGUCAAGCCUAAAUUAGGGGUAUAAAAAACUACAAAAUACAAUUUCGUACACUACAAAAUUUUGAUAUCAGCAGUAGGGGUAUAAAAAAAUCAUUGUUGCCAAAAAUCCAAAAGCUAACUAGAGGUUUGGUUUUGUUUCAAAAAUUAAAAAAACAAGUCAAUUCGUAAAAUCAAAAACAGAAAAAGAAAAACAAAAUAUAGAGGAAUUUACAGUUUAAAAAGAAAAACCAAGCCAAAACGAAAUUGAAUCGAAAGUCGAACCAACUCAGUUCAGUUUGAUUUGAAUUUUAUUUUAUAAAAAAAAAUGAUCGGAACCAACUAAACUGUAUUAUGUUAUAAAUUAUUAUAUAACAUAAAUUUUUGAAUACCUUUGUGACGAGCACAAUUUAAAAUUUUAUGAUUUUAAAUUUUAACAUUAAUGGAGAGUUAAUACUCCACCAUUUUCCAAUUUUUACAAUACAUAUUACCAGUUUAGAUAUGCUGUAUAUUAUUGUUAUAAUUUUUCGAGCAAGAUAAUAUUUGUCAAUUGGUGUUAUGACAUCAAAAUACUUGGUAUUAGUUAGUGCUAAGUGCUUCUUUUUCUUAAAAAAAGCGGUUCCUUAGUUUUAAAACAAAAAUCAUUAUCCUGAAAUUCUCCAUUUGCUUUGUUAACAGAUAUAACAAAAUAAAGUGAUAAAAGUUUAAUUUAUAAAACUUCGGCAUUUAUAUCUAUCAGAUUCAACACUUUAGUGUCAUAGAUUUAUUUCGGUGGAGCACGAUGUGGGUUGGGCCAGGCUUAGAAUUUUAAGCACGAGAGCCUUAAAAAUAUGAUAUGAUUAGAGAUGGACUGAGCACAGCACGAUGAAAAUGCCCACAAUAAGCACAUUAUAUUUUUUUAUUGAAAAUAAACUUAAAAUUUUAUGUUUUAUAAAUAACUUGAAGUUGAAUUUUUUAAAUUCAUUUAAUUCUUAGUUUAAAAAAAUAUUAUAAUUAAUUUAUAUUUAUAAUUUAUUAAAUAAAUAAUUGAUAUCAUGAUUUUAAUGAAUAAAAUUAUAAAUAUAAUGAUUUUAUAAAUAUGCAUUAAUAUUAUUGUGAACUAUGAUCUAUGACUCUAUGUAACUCUAAGUUAACAAUUAAGUUAACCCUUAAGAAAAUAUUAUUAUUAUUAUUAUUAUUGUUGUUGUUGUUGAGUAUUAAAAAAAUUAUAAUACUAAGAGGUCAAACUUAGAUCUAUUAAAUAUUACAUUUUCUUACUAUUAUUAGUUUAUUAUUAUUGAAUAUAAACUUGAGUUUUGAUUUUUUGAUUCUAUUAAAUUUGAAUAAAAGUAUAGACCUAAGAAAAAUAUAUAGACUUGAAAAAAAUACGCCAACAGUUUAGUAUGCCCUUUAAAAAUUAAAAAAAAAAAAAAACUUAGUGAGCUUUUUUUCUUAGGCAUAGCACGGCAUGUAUCGGCAUGUGUGUUAGGCCGGACCUAAACAAAAAAAAUAAAAUAAAUCUCGACACGACACAACACAAGCAUAAGCACGCAUGGGCCUUACUUACUGGCCCGACCCAUUGAGCAUCUCUAACUGUAUCUAUCUCCGCCAUAAUAAAUUAAACAUCGGGUAACUACUAGACUAGGCAUUAGCAUAUAAACUAACUAACUAUAGUACCAAAAAGAAUGAUGCGACAUUGUAAAAGAGAUGGGGCAAAGGGCAGAAUGGGAAACGAAUGAACCAAAUAAUAGUAUAUAAUAAUAUGGAUUUGGUAAAAAUAAAAAAUAAAUAAAAUAAAGUGGUGACACGUACCUCCUUUUAUUUCUCGAUCGAGUAGUGCAGAAAGUGGAGUGUGUGUGUGUGUGUUAAUUGUGAAAUGUCAGCCAAUUUUUUCUCUCUCAUUCUGAAACAGCUCAGCAGGAAUAGUGUACACUAGAGACGUCUGUCUGUCAGUCAGAACUGCCAAAAGAGCAAAACGGGUGCACGUACAAAUUAAAUCAGCCAAUCAGCGAUAUAUUUCAGUUACUAAAAGCUAGCACAGAGGGAACAAGCAAUAUGCAGGGCCAAAAGAGAUGAGACCCCUGAACCCGAACCCUCCUGAAUGAUCUGAUCACAUCUGAUUCGAUGUCUCGAGUCAUUAGAUUUAACAUAUUUUAACAAUAUUUCUCAGUUAAUAUGUGAUUUAAUUAAAGGUCAAGUUUACAUCUGAAAAUGAACUUAUUAAAAAUUAAUUUGAAAUAACAUCUAAGAUAUCUAUUUGUUUAUAAUAAAAUUUAAUUGUCAUAUCAGAAUUAUUUUCCGUUAGACUUUACAAUAAGUUAAUCCCAAAUAAAUUGACAAUUUCAAUUUUAAAGUUAGUUUGUAACUUUAAAAUAAUUUUCUAAUAAAAAUUUAAUCUGAAACAUUUGCAAUAAUAUCAAGUAUUUUGAUGUAAUAACACCAAUGUUUCACAUGCACACACAAGUCAUAUAUAAGUUAACAAAAACAUCAUUUGUUAUUAACAAAAUCAUGUUAAUUUUUAAUUCUUAAAUUAACUCCCUAUUAAAUUUUGGCUAAAUGUUAGAGUGCAAUUUAUGCACUAGUUUUGCAUUGUUUACUUCCCUUAAUAUCGAUGUUUUGCACUUAAUAAUAAUGUUUUACUUGUGUUUUACUUUUGUAGGUGCAAUUCUAUUGAUUGAUGAUAAAAUUGAGCUAAAAGAUGAUGUUUAAGGAGGAUUGUUCUCUUGGAGAAAUUAUGAGCGUCAGAAGAACUUUGUUGAUAAGGCGUGGGCGCGUGCUGUCAACUGCGGACCUGCAGUUUUUAGUUUAACGUGUUUUGUAUUUUUGGUUAUUUUUGUAAUUACGAAUUUAAUAUUUCAGAUAUUAGUAUUUUAUUUUAAAUAGAAUUCUAAAAGAGAAGAGAGAGAGAGUAUUUAAGGGAGGAAUCUAUUGUGAAAAAGAGGAUUUGGAUUGGAGAAAAAGAAAGAAACCCUAGAUCUAAUUUUUCUCUUCUCUCUAUGAAGAACUAAACCUAUUUUUCUGGUUGAAGGAUAAUGAAGCUUUGAUUCAUCACUACUGUGAGAUCUUUCUUAUGCUUUAAUUGUUUUAUUACUUUUUGGGUAUUUGUUUAUUCUCUGAAUUAGUUUCAUGAUUAUGUUUGUUAAUUAGGUAAUUGGCCACUAUUUAAUUAUUAACUUAAUCUAUUGUUAAUUAAAGGAUUCAUCGUAUGAAGAAUUUAAUGUUUGUGACAAAUAACAUAGCAGAGAGUUGUGUUGUGAGAAUAAACAAUCUAAUUUAAAUGAAUCAUCAUAUGUGUUGAUUAGGAUUUGGGUCUCUCUAGUUUUUCAGGCUGUCAAUUGAUUAAAUCCUAUGAUCGUAUCUAGGGUUGUCUAUUGAUUAGGGAAAUAUCCAACGGUCGUACCUUGGUUAUCGACUAGUUAAGGAGAGAUUGGCUAUUAGAGGGUCUCAAUAGCUAUAACCGGUCUAUUCAUAAGUAAUGAUAAUCUAUAUUUGAAUCAAUGAUCAGUAGUCGAAUCAAGCUGAGUUAAUUCCUUCAAUCAGAGCUUUCUCCAAUUUGAAUUACAACUUUAAUUUGCAUUCUUGUUACUUUAAUUUGAUUUUUAUUAUUGUCAACAAUUCCCCCAUUUUACGUUUUACGUUUCAAAAUGAUUUAAAUAAUUACCGAUCUCUGUGGACACGACCCUGCUCAAUCACUAUACACAAUUUAUUUAGAGUAGGAAUUUAUUUUUGUUGGCUUCGACACCCAUCACUAAAUCAUUAUUGCAAUUUAUAAAUUAAUAUUUAUAAAAAAUUAUGAAUCAUCCAAAAAGCUGCUUGAUAUAGAUUAAUUUCAUGGUCAUCAAUUUUUUUUUAUUUAUAUACCUUUAAAUUAUCACUUGUAUCAUAUGAAAAGACCAUAUUACCCCUCUAACGUCAUCAUAUUUAAACGGCAACUAAGCUAUGGUGAACGACAUUAUAUUUUGUCAACUUAAGAUGAAUGACUGAUAUACCCUAAAAGUAUUGUAGUAAAUUUGAUAAUAAAGUAUACAAUUGAUAAUUUUCCUAUUUAUAAUUUAUCCCCUUAAUUAUGAGUAAUUUUGUUUUUGUCUUCAUUUGUCCCUUUCCUACAAAACCGUACAAGUUACAUAUAUAAAACAUUCUUCUUUAAUCAAGUUUGGAAUAUUUUCAUCCUUAUGUAAAAUUAUGCAUAUAUCUUUUGAGUUUCUCAAUUGUACUUGAAAAAAAAAAUUACAUUUAAUCACGGUUGGUUAUCCAUAAAAAAUUUUAGGUGGAAAGUUCACGCGUUUUAAAAUUUAAUUGUGGAAUUAUAUUACAUUUAUUAUUUAGUUUCAAUUUAAUCAUGUAUCAAAUUCAUAUUUUAAAACAUGUGGAAAUUUAUAAUAUAUAAUGAUUCUAUGUAAAUAUAUUAUCUCAUUUCUUCAUUCUUUUGUUAUUAGUUCUCCUCCACCACAUUAGAUAUAUUUUGAAGUUUUCUAAUGUAAAUGUUACUAACAAAUACGCAUUGAAUAAUUAUCGGGUAGUUUAUAUUAUAAUUUAAUAAUAGCCACAACAUAAAUGUACAAUUUGGUGAUAGUAAAUGCCAUUACAUGAAAAUGAAAUCAUCAUGUUGCAAACAAGAUGCAACCAAGGGAUUGCAAACAAUGUUAAGUUACUAUUGGGUCACUUGAACUCCUGGGCUCUCUCCUGUGUAAUUUAUAUUAGACUGUCGCGUACAAAACGCAGACAUAUAUAUACAUACAAGUAGUGCUUUGGCAACAGACACAAUAGCCAAGAAGCAGCCCUUGUUUUCAAAUUCAUUCAAAUGCCAGCCUGCAGUUUUGAAUCCUUCAAAUUGUGCUCCACCUUUUGAGGGGACGAUGAAGAGUGAAAGAAGAGACAAAUGGCAGAAAUAUCAUCCAUUGCAAUGCCUCGUUUCUUAUAUUUCCAUGCCCGAACAGCACAUUCCACCAAUCUUUUUGCUGCCUUUUCCCUAUCCACUACUGAAGAAACAAUCUCCACCGCCUCUUGGUUCGAAAUCACAUCCCAAACCUGAAGAACAAUCCAUAAUUGAUCUUUCAAACAUUGACGUUAGUUCAGAUCAAAAGAUAAUUCCAAUAUGUGGAUACGUAUCCCGUCUGAUGCCAGAAUGAUAAAUUGGUCUCGUGUUGUUAUGUUUCUUUGCGUUACAUGGGGCACGGAGAUUAGGCCAUAGUCCUUGACACAGUAAUCACCCAAGGCUCUUGAUAUGGCUAGUCCCGGAGUCUCACCAUUCGGCAUCCAGACUCUGUAUACGCCUGGCUCAUCAUUUAAGCAAAACACAAGCCCUUUGGACUGCGUUAUUCGCUCCGCUUCCUCUGUAUAGGCCAGUGAAGACAAGAACCCGUACGCAGACCUUAAAACACACCCAUAUAUACACCUACACGAGGCAGAAAUAUUUAAGAGACAAUGAGAUAAUUGAGAUCUGAUUGGUAAAAUAUUGUUAAUUAAUAAAAAAUAAUUAAUAUACUUGCUAUUUAAGUAUUUUACUAAUACUUUAAACAUCAGUAUUCAAUGAUGUUAAUAUGUGAUUUUAAUAUUAAAUUUAUGUUCUCAUUUAUAACAGUAUGGUCAUCAGUAUUCACAACACAUCAUAUAUUAAUGUAUGGGUUUAUUAAUAUUAACAAACAUUUAUUUCCAAAUAAAUAUGGUAGCCUUAGUAUUUAAGAAUAUUCUUUAUUGUCUAGUCGUCUGUCCAAGGAAGAACGGGCCAUCAUCAAAUUUAUCAACGGCCUUCUCUAAGUAAUCAAAAGCAGGACCUGUGACAAAUUAAAACUUUUUCCGUGAGUUCAGCACAUAUAUAUACAUAUUCAAAAUGCAUUCCAUUAUAAACAAGUAAGCAAGUUUCAAAUCCUACCAGCUUGUUUUGCUGGGUCUCCUUUGAAUGAAGUAUACACAUCGUUGGUGAAGGUAUCGAUGUGGGAAAACAGUUCAUCAGCAAACUUUCGUUUCUCAGGAUCCUACAAUAUUUUCACAACAUUACUUUACUCAAAGUUGAGAGAGAGAGAGAGAGAGAGAGAGAGAGAGAGAGAAGCUUUUAUUAAAAGCAACAAUGUAAUCAGCAAAAUCUUACAUCAGGUAAAAGUGAAGGCCCUUCAAAAUUGCUGUCAACAUAUUUAAUCAAAUCAAGAGAUUCUCCAAUAACUUUGCCAUUGUGCUCCAGUGCUGGAACCUGUAAAGAACUCUAAUAGGUAAAUAUACUUCAUAACUCCAGCAAUGAUCUCUAAUCUUGCACGAAAGUGUAACAAUCAGUUUAACUCUUUCGUUGUGUUUUCUUGCAAGCAAGCAACUUGCUCAAAUCAGAAUAUGUUAAGAUUUUACUAGGCACACAAAGCACAAAGACACCAUUCCAAUUUUAUUCAGGAACUCCUCCGCACAGAUUACAAGCAUUUCAAUUUCAAAGAUGGGGCAUAAGGACACAGAGUCACAUAAUUAGGCUAUUUGGUAUUGAGGUGCUGUGGUUUUUUUAGCUACAGCUGCCACACGUACCCAAAAAAAAAAAAAAAACUGUAACUAUAAAAUAAAAAUUAAAAAUGCGUAAUAAAUAUGAAUUUUAAAUUAAGAUUUUGACAAAAAUAGUAGAAAUAUUAUAAUUUUACAAAACACUUUAACUCUGUACCUUUUAAUCCAUAGCCGCCCUACCUCAAUACCAAACACAACUAAUCUCUUCCUUUUCUAUAUCUGAAUUGGUCUAUCAACACCUUGAUUAGAAAAAUUCCUAAUUAUUAUUCAGAAACUUUCUAAUACUAUUCAAAAUCUUCCCAGCAGAUUCUAAGCUCCAUGUUAACCAAAAGAAUGCACAUAUUGUUGAUCUAUCAAAUUACUUAAAUGAUCAAUCAAAUAAAAUCAAAUAUUAUUAUUGAUCACACAUCAGCAUCAGCAUCAGCAUCACCUUGUUAACAGGAUAAACCUUCUCCUUGUACCAAGCGGGCCUAUCUUGGAGGUUCAGUGGAACUAACUUAAUCUUGUCUUGUAAUCCCUGCAGCAGCACACCAAAAGUUGUCAAAUUCAAAGAGAGUAUUACGACAAAGGCGAAACGAAUAAACCAUAAAUUACUGUUAUUGUUAUUAUUAUUAUUUUAAUUAAACCUAGAAAGCAGAGACGGGUCAACAGUGAUAAAAAAAAUAUAAUAAAAAUAGUAAAUAAAAAUAAAACCUUGUAGUUCCUGGUGAUCCACACACGCUGAGCAAAUGGGCACGAGUAAGAAAUGUACAACCUGGGAGUUCCAUCGAACAGAGGUGGUAGCUCGGCCUUCGAAUCCAACGGUGGAGGAAGAUUCUCUUGCGCUCUAUCAAAGAUGACACAUGAUCGUUAAAAUAAUGAUCAUAAUUAAUUAUGAAAUUCCAAAAAAAAAAAAAAACCAAAUUCUUGUUGUGGCCAUCGAGGAAGGUAAGACUCUAGAGGUUUCCUGAAUGCUUUUCUUUUGCUUUGAAGAAGAAAGUCAUAUGAUACCGAAAUGUGUCUCUACGCAGAAUGAGUGCGCUUAUAUAUAGAAGCUUUAAAGUAACCUUCUGAAGCCAGCAGUGACGCAAUGCGCACGUGUUAGGGUGUCAUGAUAAUAAUGCAUGUUGCCAAAAAAAAGGGCAAAAUUCUUAUCAGUUUUAGGCAAUUGCCAUGCAUAUUAGUUGGAUUCAAUGGCUGCAAGGGAGAAGCAGUGAGAAUAUCGCUGAUUAAUUAAAUUUGUAUAAUAGAAAAAAUUUGGUAUAUUUUUUUAUGACAUAUUGCUAAAAAUGUGGAGGCUUUGAUAUUAAAAAAGAGUUAUUUAUAAAUAAUGUUAUUAUGUUAUUGUUGAUUAUUAACAAUAAAUUUUUAGGAGAUAUCAUUUGGUUUACAAGUAGUUCAUCAACCGUGUUUAUUAAAAUGUUACAAACAGGAUUACAAAAUAUUAAAUUAUCCUAAACCCAAUUAAUAUCUGCAGGGAUCAGACGACUGUUAGAACAUAUGUUCUAUAAUUUUUCUCUGGAAAAAUAUUAUUUCUUGUACAAACAUAAUAAAUAGCUAUUUAUAACUUAAUAAUUCAAAAAUAGUUAAUUUAUAAAAAGACUAUUCUUGGUGUUAACUAAUGCAGUGGAACUGAUAUAAAUUAACUUAUUGUAAAGAAUUCACUGUAAAGAUAUCAUUUGUUAAUUGUUAAUUAUAAAUAUCCAAUAUUAAAAUUAAUUUCUGAUUUAAUCCAUGAUUGUCAAGCUAUUGUUUUCAUGGUUUACAAUUUUUUAAAAUAGAAGAGGUAAAACAUUAAGUAAAAAGUUUUCAAUCUCGUAUAAAACAAUGUAGAAUGUUUUAACCAAUUCAAAAUUUUUUAUAAUAAAGCAGUUAUUUUCAAAAUUCACAUUAUGUUUCUAUUACUCAUAAAAAAAAAUCCCUUCAAUGAAUGCAGACAUCCUUGAAAGAAACUUCACUACUCUAACAAAAAGGCCAAAAUUUUAGAAAAUGACAGGAAAAGAGAACACCAAUUGUCAACUAGAGUACCCUUUGUGAAAAACACAAUAAUAAAUAGCUGAUAUAUGAUUAGGUUAAUUAAUUGAUUGGAUUGGAAUCAACUUCGGACUGUUUUGCCCUUCCCUGCAGUGCAGCGUAUUAGGUGGCGAAUGAAGUAACUGGCCUCACUAAUUUUAAGUAAAAAGAUUGUUAAUAUUUAACCGCGUCUUAUCAACAUUCUUUGUUUUGAUUAAAAUAUACGACAUCGUUUGCAGAAGAGGCAGCAAGGGCAACAACGUGCCAAGUAUAAUAGACAAAUUUUUUAUCAUAUUAAUUGAGAAGGCUUGAGUUCUGGCCGAUGUUAAUAAAAUUUAAAACACAAAAAAACUGAUAAUGUCACGGCUGGUGAGAUGAUAUAUAAAUAUUAAAAAGAAAAAAAAGAAUUAUCAAUAUUUAAUUUUUGAAGAUUAAACUCAUUAAUUAAAGUGAAUCGUGCAUGCUUUGCUAGCUGAUAUCGCGCGCGCGUGUGUAUGUAUAAAUAUGUUAGAUCAAAUCCAAAGCUAAUUCCAAGUAUUAUAUUAUAUAUAUGUUACUAUUAUUAAUUAGAAUUCCCAAGCUCAAGCUAAUUAAUUGAUGGUAAUCUUUUGGAUGCACUUAAUUGUAAUUAACCGGAUCAAAUUUUGAAACCAAAAUAAUUCACGGGGCAUUCUAGCUUCUAGCUAAUUCAUCCAAAAAAAUAUAAAAUUAUAUAAAAAUAAUAAAAAUACGUGUGAUGUCAGCUUGAUGCGUACAUUCAAAGUUCCAAUUGAAAACAAAUAGAUAUUCAUUUUUCUUGUCAAAUUAUUGAAAGAGACAUCUCUUAAUUUCUUCCAUCACCAGCAACGGUUGAGUGACCUUGUCUUACAUUGUGCAGCAGCCUCCUCGAAGUAAAAAAAAAAAAAAAAUAUAGCCCAUUAUCUUGGCUUUUGGCUGGAUCCAAAUUUUUGUUAAAUACAAAUAAAUAUAAUAUCAAAUUAAAUAUUCCAAUAAACCUUCUAAUAUCUUCUUUGAACAGUUUUAUUUUUAUUUUAUGAGGGAAGAGUAAACCAUUAAAACUAUAAUUCAUCAUAAAUUUAUUGUGCCAAUUUUUUUUUAAAUCCAUAAUUUUGUGAAAUAUAAAUUUUAAGAAUUGAAAAAUAUCAUUAUAGCUUUCAUAUCCAAAGUUAAUUUUGAUAUUUUUGUACAAAUACAUAAUCUUCAAAUGUGGAUAAUGUAAAAGAUGAAAAUUGUCAAAUUAUUAGAUAAUUGUUUUUACAAAAUUUUAACGAUCAGAAAAAUCUUAAUUUAUAUGUCUUAGUUUAAAGAAUUGGUAUUAUCAAAUGUUACUUAAAUGUAAAUAUAAUAUAAAUAUUUUAUGUAUUUAUAUGUUACGUUUAUGAUUUGGUCACUGUUUAUCUAAAUUUUAAUAAAAUCAGACAUAUUUAUGUAAUUUACUCAUUAAAAAAAAAAUCCAUGAUUUAAUUUGCAAUGAUCAAAUUGUUGUAUUUUGUCAUAUCAAAAUACAUAUUUUUGUACAAUUACCCAUUAAGUUUAUGCUACAAUCAAGCUAUUUAUAAUAUAAGUGUGAUUUUUGAAUUUAAUAUUGAUAUUAGUAUUAAAUAUGAUAAUAAAAAAAUAUUUUAUUAGAUAUUAAUUGGGUCAUUUGUGUUAUUGUUUUUAAAAAUUAAUGACCUGCAACAUUAAUUGUCAAUAAUGGGUUUUUUUAAAACAUGCUGGUGCCCGGAUGUAAAUGCCGGUACCUCCCAAGUCAGUAGCCUUAUUAUAAUCCCGUCAGCAUAUUGGCCUGCCCCUGUACCAUUACUCCAAUUGAUGCUGAAAAUAUAACAACAUCAGUGACCGCGUUGUCGUUUCCCGUGAUGUUUAUUCCGAUGCCGGAGAAAUCCUUUUCGCGAUCAUCCCCGCCGAUGUUGAUGUGUUGGCCGAUGAAGGAAUUUCUUAUAUACGUUUCGUGGCCAUCUUGGAUGGAAAUGCCAGCGGUAGUGAAAUGCGAAACGUAACAAUUGUCCACUGUGGUUCUUAUUGAAUUUAUAAUGGCAAUGCCGCCACCCCUAAAAUUGGAGUCCAACAUAAGCUCCUUCAAAGUAAUGUAUUCGUAUAAUGACGAUGAUGAUGACGAUCUUAACUCUAUGAGAUGUCCGUUGCCCGAAAAAUCAUCCGAUGCUCGGAGGGACCCACCGUGUAUCUAUGUAUACAUAUAUAGAUGUUAAAAGUAAGAAUUAAAAGUAAGAAUUAAAUUUUAAAUUAAUAUGUGAUUUGGUAUGAUUCCUGGCAUUUUGUAUUCGGUUUUGUAGUCCUUCAUAAGACUGGCAAAAAUCAUUAUCAAUUAAACAUUAUGUUGUUAUAUUUUUUUAUUAUAUUUUUUUAAUGAUCUUUAUUUUAUUUGCUUUAAACAAUAUCUAUUUUUCAAAAACAAUACUUUUGACAAACAAACCCUAAAGUGAUGAAAGAGAAAGCAUGCAUUUUGCACAUGUUUAUAAAAACAAGAGAGUAUAUUUAAUCUCAAUCUGUAAUUCUGUAUAAUGUAUUAUUCUUAAGUUUGAAUCAAAUUAUUCUUGAUUCCAUCCGCCAAUCCAUCUCGGGCCAUUGAAUUAUGCAUAGCUAUUAUGGUAAUGGUCUCUUUAUUCUCCUCACAAUCAAUUAAUUGUGAUGACCAUACUGUUCUCACGAUUCUCAACCGCAAAAAAUUUAAAUAUUGUAUUGUACAUUUUUAUAAACAAAUUUUAUGUCAUCUCCAUUAUUGUGGAAUUUUAAUAUCCUAAUACAAUAUUAUGAUAGUAAUUGGGUCAAUAUGGGUAUUGGAUCAUAUUAUCGUUAUAAAUAUUAAUUUAUUAUAACUGAGUGUGUAAAGUAUCUUUUUUUAUUGUUGUACCAUAUUUAACUUUUGGCUGCAAAUAUAUAUAUAUUUAGCAUUAUUUAUAUCAAUAAGUUAAUAUAUAUAUCCUUUUCUUUAACAUCAAAUUUAAGUUUUUAAAAAGUUAUGAUAAUUCACUAAUUUGGUAUUUAGGAAAUUAAAUCCAUAUCAAUUUAUUAGAUAUCUUAAACCGUAUGUAAAAAUAGAAUAUUGACCAUUAUUCUAUUAGUAAUAUAUCCAUUAAAGAUUUUGACGUGCUAUGGUCUAAAAAAAUUAACUUGGCGGGAUGUUAUGAUUAUAUUCAAGGUGAUAGGGAAGAAAGUUAUGAGGAGACCCCAUUGAAGCCUAUAUAUUAUAGUAUGCAUAAAGACUCAAAAUGUGCACUUGAAAUAACAGUUGUCACUGACAGGUUAAGAUAAACUACCAAAUUGGCACUUAAAGGAAGAAAUUCUAGUAUUAGUGUCAUAUUUUAUGCCAUAUUAUGUAAUGCAUAUUAGUAAUGAUUUCUUCAUAAUAUCGCAGAUAUAUAAAAGUUCAUCUAGCUAGAUGCAUUGUAGAUUUUGUGAGAAUUAUUUUAUUCCGUCCAAAUGAGUUCACAUUAUUAUCCAAUUUUCCUUUUUUUAAGUUGAUUUAUGAAAGAAAAAAAAAAUGACACCAAUGUUUUCCACGUCGCCGCAAGUCUCAUCGAUAAAAGUCCAUCUACAAAUUAGUUCAUAAUUCUUUUUGUAACUUCGCUAAAAGCUAGUCAAGUCAUUGCUAGCAAGCCUCAAAAGCACGAAGUACGCGAAUCACGGCGAUAACUGAUAAUAACUUGGUUGUCCGGUUUCGCAUACUAAUUAGCUUGAUUGAAAAUCGUGAAGUAUGGGGCACGACUAACGCAACGCAUACGUCUCAUGCAUUAGGCAAAUAUUGUACGCGACCCAUGUUGAGAGCACAAAUCCACUAUCUACAAGUACUAUAUAUAGAGCUGCAAUGCGUGCUUCAAGUAUUCACAACUUACCCCCAGCUGGCUAGCCAGCCUCUAUAAUUUGAAGGGAAAAAAAAAAAAAAAACAACAACCUUGUUCAACUUGCAAAUACCUACCAAUUAUUAUGGAGAAAAGCUUUGAUAUCAUUGCCCUGUCUAUGAUCAUUCUGGUGACUUAUUCAUCUAAAAUGGUGUCGGUCGCCGGCCGGUCGCUGCAUGAACCAUCCAUUGUUGAGAAGCAUGAAAAAUGGAUGGCUGAGCAUGGGCGCACUUACAAGGACGACCUGGAGAAGGAAAAGCGGUUUAAGAUAUUCAAAGAAAACCUUGAAUACAUUGAGAAAGCCAAUGAGGAGGCGAAUCGGACGUACAAGUUAGGCACCAAUGAAUUUUCAGACUUAACUAAUGAGGAGUUUCGUGCUUCAUAUACAGGAUACAGGGUGCCAAGCCAGUCAUCUUCAUCACGGCAAUCCACAACAGCAUCCUUCAAGUAUCAAAACCUGACUGACGUUCCAACUAGCAUGGACUGGAGAGAGAAAGGAGCUGUCACUCCUAUUAAGAACCAAGGUCAAUGUGGUAAGUAAAUCGUAUACUAAAUAUUUAUGAAGUAACUAUAAUAGAUUAUUUAGCCUCCAACCUCUUUCAGAACUCAAACUCAGUUGACCAUCAGCUAAUUAAUAAAAACAGCUUGACAACCGUCUGCCAAACCCCUGCUGGGGCAUGUUUCAUGUAACUUAAUCAAGCCUUUUUUUUUUUUUUCCUUAAUAUGUACGAUGCAGGAGACUGUUGGGCAUUUUCAACUGUGGCGGCGGUGGAAGGGGUGACUGAGAUUAGUAGUGGUAAUCUUAUUCCACUUUCGGAGCAGCAAAUACUAGACUGCUCAAUAGAUGGUAACCGUGGAUGCGGUGGCGGUUGGAUGGACAAUGCCUUUAAAUAUAUUAUAAAAAACCAGGGUAUUGCCUCAGAAGCGGAUUAUCCAUACAAGGAAGUCCAAGGGACUUGUGAAGACGCACAGGUCAAGGCAGCUGCUAAAAUUAGUAACUUUGAAGAUGUAAAACCCAAUGAUGAGCAGGCUUUACUCCAAGCUGUAGCCAUGCAGCCAGUAUCAAUUUGCAUUGAAGGAAGUGGACCAGACUUCCAGAGUUACAAAGGCGGUAUUUUUAACGGAGGAUGUGGAACUCAGUGUUCUCAUGCUGUUGCUAUCGUUGGAUUUGGGGCAACUGAAGAUGGAAUGAAGUAUUGGUUAAUUAAGAAUUCAUGGGGGGAGAGCUGGGGUGAGGCCGGCUACAUGAGGAUUCUCAGAGAUGUUGAAGCACCUGAAGGUCUCUGUGGCAUUGCCACUAAACCUUCCUACCCAGUUGCAUGAGUAGCAGUAUUUUAUAUUAUAAAUAGCCGCCUCUUAAUAAUGAUGUCUUCAAGCCUACACAUGCAUUAGCCUCGAAAGGCUUAUACGAACCGUAUGAAUCGUAUGAUUCUGUGGUUUUACCUAUGUUGAGUAUUUCAUAAGUUGUAAUUGAACGCCAAUAUUUGGUAUUAGUUAAUGUUAAAUCUCUCGUUUAAAUAUAAGUUUGAUCUUUGCAGUAAUUAGUCAUUUACAUUUAAUGCCACGGAUACUCAAUUCGACCAAGAAAUACAUAGUUUAUAUCUUAGUUACUCUGAUAUUUUAUGUGGCAUGUUAUAUGUCGUUCAUUGAUUAAGUUGUAAGAAUAGUAUGUAAAUAAUUAAUAAUAAAUUUAUUUAUUAUCAUUUAUGAGACAAUAAAUGAUUAGUGGAACAUUAAUUAAAAUACAAACUAUUAUUAUUUAUUUAAGAAAUAUAUAUUGGUCAAUGAAAUUAAUGCAAGACAAAAAGUAACUGAAUUUUGAUUACACGCUUGAUGUCUGGAAGUACAAUGAUUAUGAAUUUGUGUUAAAUUAGGUCAAAGUUUUAAGUUAAAAUAAUCAAACCUAUAUACUCACACUAACUUUUAAAGUUUGAGUGGAAUUUGCCCGCUUUAAUUGGGGUCUCAUACAGCAAAAAAAUUUUGGCCAUCUUGAAUUUCUUUUUCUAAUUACUUAUAAAAAUUUAAAGGCUUGGUAAUUUCCCUCCCCCAAAUUCUGUCUUUAUUCCUAAGUAAAUUAGUUAGUCAUUAUUUCAAUAAUUAAAAUUAUUCUAAGUUCUAAAUUUUGGGCGUGGAGGGAAAGUUAAGCGCAAGUAGCCGUGACUGAUUAAUAUUAAACAAUAUAAUUUAAUGCAUUUUUAUUCUUCAUCUAUUUUUUUAAUAUUAGUUUUUGAACAAAAUAGUAGAACGAUAGUUAUAAUUUAUUAAUCAAAUUUUUUUACUUUCAUAUCCAUAUUAUAUUGUCAGUAAUAGUGUCAUGUAAUGAUAAUUAAAAGUAUUAGGAGAUACUUUUAAAAGUCGACCGCCUCAUCAAAAAAUCAGGAUGGCCAAGUGGUCUAAGGCGCCAGACUCAAGUUCUGGUCUUCGAAAGAGGGCGUGGGUUCAAAUCCCACUUCUAAGUAAUUUUUUAUUUUUUAUUCAUUUUUUUACAACGUUACGACUAAACGACGUCAUUUUCAUUAAACGGCAAGUCGUUUCAGUCGUCUUCUUUAACGGAAUAAAAAAUAUCUAAACCGAAGACCAAUGUUUCCAAACCCGCUGUAAACCCUACAGAUAACCCUCAUUGCCACUCGCAUCACUGAGUUCUUAACCUGAGUUAAAAUGGCCGAGUCCGCAUCCGAACUCAGUGAGUUCCGGAUUUUUCCGGCGGACUCACCGCCACCACAACCGAAUUCAACCGGAGUUCCGGUUCAUAAUCUAACACCAGAGGAGCUCGUGGCCAAAGCCAUAGCUCCAGUUAAGAAACAGUUUCUUCGUCAUUAAAUUCCAAAAUAAAUUUUAACAUAAUAAUUAAUUCUUUUAAUAGAUAAAAUUGUCUAUAUGCACGAUUGAAUUCAGCCCCAAAAUGUUAAUUAAAAAACAAUUAUCCAAUAUUCAAGAUAGUUUGAAUCGUCAUUCUCAUAUCGUUAUAAUGUCAUGAAAUAAUUGUACAAAAACAAAUGACCAAUAAAUUCACAAACGUAUAAUAUUGCCUAAUGUAAAUAACUUAUUAAUUAAUAUUGAUAUAUUAUUAAUUACUUAAUGUUUUACCUUUUUAUAAAACAUAAAAUUAUGUUUACUUCCAUUCAAGAUAUCCCAAAAAAAUUAAUCUUUUUGGAUGAUUCAUAAUUUUCAAGAGGAUGUUUUUACACCAUACCAUCGUCAAAUUGAUAAGGGCCAUGUUAUUUUUUAUUUAAUUAAUUUAAAUUUCAACUAGAGAGCUAUUGGAAUCGAUCACUGUAAAAGUUAAGUUGUGAUGUAAUCACACAAUCUUGAGAUCUGCUAUUAGAAAAAUAAUUGAAGAACCAAAUCCCAAUGAAAAUACAUCCAAAAUGAUGUCGUUUUGAAUUUGUUCCAAAAAAAUAAAAUAAAAUCAAACUCACUAAAAAACAACAUGUGUGUUUUUGUUAACCUUUUAUCGAGUUUUAAUUUAAAUAUUUAUCAUGUACUUUUAUAUUCUAUUCAGGACCGGCUCAACCAUAUUUGAGGCCUUAGGCAAAUGGUUUUAAUUAGUUUUUCUUAAAAUUUAAGACAAAAAAUAUGUAUAUUAGUUAUGAGUGAUGAUACAGCCACAAACUCUUGUACAAAUUGACGUGGUAUUAAUUUAUUGGUUGAAUAAAAAUAUAAAAUAAUAAAAACAAAAUCACGUGAGCCAAGUGAUAUUUAAUUCAACCAAUCUUAUCAUGCCACAUCAGUUUAUACAAGAGUUUGUGGUUAUAUCAUUACUCAUAAGUUAUAUAAUAUUUAUUGAAAAUCAAUUCUUCAAACACUCUCUAAAAUGUAAAAUUAUUAAAUAAAAUUAUAUUACACUAUUGUCAAUCCUUGAAAUUUUAAUUCAAUUAUAAUAUUUUUACUUUUUUUUAACUCAAAUUACAUCUUUUAUACUACUUCUUUUCUACAUUAAAUUAAUUUUUUUAUUCUUCUAUUUUCUAAAGUUUUUUUAUAUAGUUAUUUAUUUCACAAUAGAAAAAAAAGCACACAAAAAUAGUAGAUGAAUAAAAGAAUGUAUUAAAAAGAAAUAAGAACACAUAAAUAAUACAAUUAAUUAAGAGAAUAAUAAAAAAUAAAAUCUGAAAUUUGAAAUUUGAGAUGAAAUCAUAAAUUAACUUUAUCUUUAUAUUAAUUAUUUGAAGAUUUGAGUAAUGACUAAUAGCCAUAGAGAAUAGAAAAAAACUAUUAGAUUUUUUCUUUUUUUUCUUGAGUGGAAAGUAGAGGAAGCAAGAUUUUUUUUCCCCUCUCUCUCUUUCUUUCUCUCAAAAACGAAGAACAUAUGGUGUCUUCAUUGUUAGAAGAAAAAUUUAAUGGAUAAGUAAUAAAAUGUGGGGCUUUUAUAGAGGUUUAAAAUGAAUAUAAAACUUUUUAAUUAUAAGUUGUUAAUUCUAACAAUGAAAUAUCAAAUUUAUAGGAUUGAAACUAUUAAUUUAUCGGUUUUGUAGGAAUUAAAACUACUAAGUACUACAUUAAAUAAACUUUAUAGGAACUCGGUAGUUUAUUUGAGAAAAGAUAAUUACAAAAUAAUAAUAAAUUAGAUGCAUAAUAAUGAUUUUUAAAUUCACUUUCCUCUUUUAUAUACAAAAUAAUCAUCUUAUAGGAUCUUCAUGUAAAGUAGGGCCCUAAGCAACCGCCUAAGUUGUCUAGAGAUCGAACCGCUACUGAUUCUAUUACUAAUUUUGAAAUUUUCAGACAUAUUUAAGCUCCACUAUUUUAUUUUUUUAAUCAAAAUAGUAUGUUUAUUAAUAAUGAUUAUAAAAAAAAGAUAAUGAUUCAAUAAUGUUGUUUAUAUAUAUUGAAUCAACUUUAAAAGUCAACAUUUACUUUACACACUCAUAUAAAUGCUAAAAUAACCCUUUAUUUAUUUAUUUUUUUAAGGCUGUAGAAUGUAUUCAUUACAAAGAUAGAGUAAAUUUAAUUUGUGGUAUUCAAAAUUUGAUGAUUACAAUUUUUGAGUUGAUGGUCUUAUGCUUCAUAUUUGCAUUAAUUUUAUGUUUAAUGGUAGAAUUAUCAAGCUCAAUGACAGUGAUUUCAUGUAAAGCUUUAUUUCCUAAUUACAAUUUUAAGUUAAUGGUCCUAGAUUUCAUAUUAACAUUAGUUUCAUAUAUCUUUUAGGUUCAAUAUUAAUGAUUUCAUGUAAUACUCAAUGAUUUCUAGUUUAAUGAUUACAAUUGUAAGUUGAUGGUCAUAUAUUUCAUGCUUAAUAGUAGAAUUAUAUUAAUGGAUGAAGCUGUUGCUAUCAUUUACAUUAAUAUUUAUUUCCUGGAACUCAUUUAUAGCACAUCUCAAUGUCAUUAUUUAAAAAUUUAAAUUGAUGGUUGGUUUUGUAUUCAUUACAUCGGAUGAUUUAUAUUUAAAUAAAUUAUUUCAAUCUCAUAUCGUUUUAUUAUGGGUGAUUUUAUAUCCACAUUAAAAUUUUUAAAGUUGUUAUCAUAACUUUUUAAAAUCAGAGUUGUGUUUAUUUAUCAAUUUAAAACGUCAAUAAUCUACUAUUGGCUUAACAAUUGAUAUUCUCAUUUGGGAAUCAUCAAGAUUUUAAAAUUUUUCAAAGCCCCCAUGCUCAAUUUAUACGCAAAAAAGAGGGGGGGGGGGGUGGGUGGUAAGAUGCAUGAUCAGAAAUGAAUUUGGCAAGUAUUUGAUUGAGUUGAGAGGUCACUAAUCUCACUUAAUUUGCGAAUCACAAUAUGAUUGUUUUCAAUCGGCACCAAAACGAAGGGCUGGUUUUGGUUAUUAUAGUGCCUUGUUCUAUGAAGGAUUUUGGUUACCCACAUAUGGGAUUGAUCUUUGCUUCUACUCAGUAUAAAUUCUUGAAUUAUACUAUAUAUGGGAUUGAGACUUUCGUUAAAUUUUAAUUUAUAAUAUUUUUCCGGAGAAAAGUAAUUAGCAUGAAACACAACAGCGGUGAAUCAUCUCAUUUUUCAAGAAAUAAUAUUUGUCAGAGCUUUUUUUUUAUAUUAGUUUAUAAUUAACUUUUUUUUUUAUAUUAAUCACGAGGUAUCCUGGGGAGGGCCCCAACUGUGGGAGGCACCUUUAAGCCCGUACCACAACCCAGACUAGAAGUCCCCGCUCGAACCGGGAGGCACAGGUUCUCCCAACAAAGGCGACUUCCCUGCGACUCGAACUGGGGAGCAAACCCAGUCAAGCCACUUAAGGGGACUCCAUUGCCAGUGGAGCCAACACUUUGUUGGUUGUUUAUAAUUAACUUUAAUAUGUAAUAAUAUAGCAUAUUCUGGGAAACCUGUUGGGAUAAUUGUUUUUAAUAUUAUUAUGAUAUUACGCAUGAUUGGCAGUCGCAACUCAUCAUCAUCAUCAUCUGAAACCAUAUUAACAAACAUUUAUUUAACAAUAUUCUUUAUGUAAACAGGAUUACCCUAAACCCAAUUAAUAUCUGCAGGGAUCAGAUGACUGUUAGAACAUAUGUUAAAUUUGUAUAAUAUAUGAUUUAAAAAUUUAAAAAAUAAAUUUUUCUUUUUUGGAGAUAACAGUUGGUAUAUUUAUGAUUAGUAAAACUAAAAGUUUUAUUUUUAUUCUAUGUGCUCCAUCAUGGCAGUAGUUAUUUUUUUUGCGAUUAAACAUACUAUUUUGAUUUAAAUGGAUUACAAAAUGGCACAUUUUUUUAACCCUUAACAGUUGGUAUUUUUUUUUAAUAAGAUUAUUAAUGCAUCAAGUAAUCUUGUUUUGAUGAUUGUAACUCGUGACUGCGGGACAAUUUCUAAUGGAAACAACUCAAUUUCGGAAGAAAACUUAAUUUUGCAAGUGAUGAAUUUGAACUCGUUGGAUUGGUUGAUUUAUGAUCGACUGAAUUUCACUUUUCCUCAUAAGAUCUUUAACCAAAGUUUAAUAGCUAUCAUGUACUCCUUAAAAGCAAUUUUUUUUUAGAUUUGACUGAAUUUGAACUUGUUGGAUUGGUUGCUUUUAGAUUAUUAAUAUGAGAUAUUACAACGUAAAUAUUUUCAUGUGGUUGAGCCCUAUUCUAAAAUCUGUAUAGUUAGCUUUAGAAAGAGGGCUUUUCCUGCUGAUCUGUAAUCUUGAAAUAAACUUAGAUAUAAAUAAUGAAAUAAAAGACAACAAACAAGCAAUACUGAUACAAAGCCAACAGAUCAGAGUUUUUGGUACAAAUCCAAUAAAAGACAAUAAACUUAGGACCUUUUUUUCUUGCUUUCUUUUGUUGAAGGAUUAGAGUUUUUGGUAUUAUCAGUAAAGGUUUCAAGGAGUAAAGCCUAUAAACUUUUUUUUUGGGGGGGGCGCCGCCGCGGGGAUUUUACACCAUACCAUCGUCAAAUUGAUAAGGGCCAUGUUAUUUUUUAUUUAAUUAAUUUAAAUUUCAACUAGAGAGCUAUUGGAAUCGAUCACUGUAAAAGUUAAGUUGUGAGGUAAUCACACAAUCUUGAGAUNNNNNNNNNNNNNNNNNNNNNNNNNNNNNNNNNNNNNNNNNNNNNNNNNNNNNNNNNNNNNNNNNNNNNNNNNNNNNNNNNNNNNNNNNNNNNNNNNNNNGAAAAAUUAAGUUUUCAUAGAAUAAAAUGGUACGAUUUUUAAUUGAACAAUUGAGUGCAAUCAGUAACAAAGGCUUUACAUAUGCAAGUAAAAUUUGUAGGUUGCUUCAGAAAAAAAGGGCAUUUCUCACUCAUCUUUAAUCUGCAAGUAAAAUUAGCUACAAAGCAAAUCUAAUAAAAUGACAAACAAAAGAACAAAACAAAGAAAAGACAGGAGGCAAACAACAUUGAUCUUAAGCCAACUGAUAAUUAAACAGAGAAUUCUUUUUUUUUUUUUUUUUAACCUGUUGCUCAAGGAUUAGAGUUUUUAUAUUAACAGAAAGGUUUAAGGGGUCUGAAUAAAAGCCCACAAUUUCUCUAUUUUAUUUUUAUUUUUAUUUUUUGAAAGGAGCUUCACUAUUGGCCUUGAAUAUAAAAGAAUGAGCAAAAGAUCAAUGUCAACUGCCGAGGAAUGUGAGUAAAGAUUUCAUCAGAGUAAGUAAUACAAAUGAAUUGUAAAAGAACAAGACUUAAGCGUGCACCCCGUGUUUUGUUUUAUUGUACGUAUAAACAUAACAUGUUCAUUUUUAACAAAGUGGUCAAUAACUCUUUUUUUUUGGUACAAAGACGUGCCUAGCAUAGACUAGGGCAAAACAAAACGGGGGUGUGAAACCCCAAUACAAUCAUGACGAAUCCAAAACCCAGCCCCUAAAGGAAGAGAAUUGAAAAGGUGCAAUUCAACAGGUAGUGAAAGAGCAGAGUUUGCAGGAAAGUCAGCUGCAAAAUUUGAUUCUCUGUAAACAUGCUUGACCUGCACUUGCCAGGUUCUGUUAAGCAAUUCCUUAAUACCCCUGACAAGAGAAGCAUGUGCAUUUGGCCUAAUCUCGUCAUCCGCCACCAAACGAGUAACACAAAGGCUGUCAACCUCCACCUGAAGCUGCCGAAUUCCAUUAUCCCAAGCCAUACAUAACCCUUGAUAAAGGCCCCAUAACUCAGCACCAAUGAUGGUAACCACACCAACAUUCAUUCCAAAACCAAUUAUCCACUCUCCAUAACAGUUUCUAAUCAAGCCACCCGUACUAGACAGACCAGAACUUUUACGAGCUCCAUCUGUGUUGAGUUUAAAACAAGGCCAAGUAGGUGCCACCCAUCCAAAAUAUUUCUAAAUCUUCAUGGCAGCAGGAACCAAACAACUCUGAUUAACCUUUUGAAUUUCUUCUGUACGGAUCUUAAUAUCCAUUACAACAGUACUCUUGCUGGUAAAAACACCAUUAUGCAGAUUUUGGUAACGCCAAAACCAAAGCCUCCAAACUGUGACCCCAAAAAGACACGGCCAGUCAAACAUACCAUCAUACUUCCACAAGUUCCUCAAAUUAUAUAACGCCCAAUCUCGGAGAUUCAAACUAAAAAAUUGAUGACUAAUCCCAUGGGGUAUCAAUGACGACCAUACAUGCUUAGCACUGGGGCAAUCCCGCAGCACAUUAAGAGUAUUUUCAACAACACAGCCACACCUUGCACAACUCAUAUCAUCAACAAUAUGUCUCCGGAAAAGUUCUGCUUUAGUUUUAAGUCUAUUUUGACCCACCACCCACAGAAAGGUUUUGAUAUGUUGGGGACCUCUCCACUGCCAAAGAAUGCGCCAAAAGGAUUCUUCAUUGUGAACCUCCAUUUUUGACAAAGCCCUAUAUGCUGAAUUAGUAGUGAAAUCUUCUGACUUAGAAUAUGCCCAGUACAUGUAAUCAUCCUCAUCAUUUACACUGGGAGGCUUGGUGGCUGCAAUUUUGAGAAGUAAAUGAUGGGGAAAUAAAUUCUCAAAAAGCCGCCAAUUCCAAGUACCCUCAACAGUGAUAAACCUCGCCACACACUCCUCAAGCUGCUGUAAACGUAUCGGCUGCAAAGCGAAAGUAUACAAAGGGUAUUCCUCUGUUACCCAAUUAUCCCACCAAAAUCUAACUCGGUUGCCAUUUCCAAUGUCCCAUUUGAUCCCUUUUAAAACCUCAUGCCAAAUGCCUCCCACAGCCUUCCACAUGUAAGAGCCAUAUUUCGUAGGUAAUGUGCCGGGGAGGGCUUUAGGAGCCAGCCCAUACUUAGACAAGAGAACCUUCACCCAUAAACUAUUUGGAGAAGCAAUUAAAACCCACCCAAUCUUCAUGAGCAGAGCAUCAUUCAUUAAAUUAAGCUGCUUAAGACCAAGGCCUCCGCUAGGUUUCAGUUGACAUAUUGUAUCCCAUUUCACCAAACUGAUUUUCUUCUUGUCUGCUGCCCCGCUCCAAAUAAACCUCCUACAAGCCUGAUCAAUUUUCUCCCGAAUACCAAACGGAAUCUUCGUGGUCUGCAUUGCAUAAAUAGGAAUUGCCUGGAUUACCGAUUGAGUGAGAGUGAUCCUACCCGCCAAGGACAAAUGUAUCGCAUUCCACCCCGACAAACGUUGGUUCACUUUGUCCAAAAUUCCCUGAUAAGUCAGCUUAUUAACCCGUGAAUGAAUAAUUGGCAUUCCUCAAUAUUUCCCUAGGUUUUUUGUGACAGAAAAACCCAAGGAAUCACCAAUUUCCUUAGCCUCAGCAGACUUUAUGUUGUGGGAGAAAAAAACUUGUGUCUUUGUUUUACUAACUUUCUCUCUAGAGCUCAUACAACAAACAUUCAACACUUCAUUAUAACCAUUGCUUGCCUACAGGAAGCCUCUGCAAGCAAGAUAAGAUCGUCAGCAAAAAAUAAGUGAGAUAAAGAGGUACCUCCACGAGACAGUUUAAUAGGUUUCCAGUGCCCUCUCUUCACAGCGUCAUUUAUUCCAUGGCUUAACCUUUCUAUACAUAACACAAAGAUAUAUGGGGAAAUGGGGUCUCCCUGUCUAAUACCCCUAGAAGGGGUAAAAAUCUCUGUAAUUUCUCCAUUCCAUAGAAGUUGCAUAGUCGCCGUUGUAAUACAUUCCAUAAUAAGCCGAACCAAAAUAGUAGGCAAUCCAAACUCCCUCAAGGUUUCAUAAAUAAAAUCCCAGCUUAAACGAUCAUACGCCUUUUCCAAAUCCACCUUAAUGGCCAUCUGCCCAAUCCUCCCUUUCUUACGUCUCAUCAAAUGAAUAACUUCCUGAGCAACCACUAUGUUUUCCGUUAUGUGUCUCCCCCGGAUAAAACUAGUCUGGGUAGGUCCAAUGAGGUCAGGCAAGAUAGAUUUCAGCCGGUUAGCUAAUAACUUAGUGAUAGUUUUAUAGAUAACCGGGCAAAGACUAAUCGGACGAAAAAGCUUAAGGCUAAUAGGAUUAUCCGACUUAGGAACCAACACAAUCAGAGUUUUGUUCAACUCCUUAGGGAUCUCGUUGCCAUUAAAAAUACCUUUUAUAAGACUACAGACAGAUUUUCCCACUACAUGCCACUGGGUCUGGUAAAAGAGAGCAUGCAACCCGCCUAUUCCAGGGGCUUUCAAAGCCUUCAUGCCGAAGAUCACAUUCUUAAUUUCCUCAUCCUCCACUGCUUGUCCCAAAGCUUGCAUUCGACUUUCCUCAAGGACUGGGAAGGCGUUAACAACAUGGUAUGGAUGAUAGAUUGCAUCCUCUUUGGAAUAGAGCUUUGAAAAGAAGGACACAGCAUAAUCUCUAAUCUCAUCAUUAUUCAACAACCAAUAACUCUAUUCGUUAUGAAAUUGAUAUUGUACCCAAUUUUAAGAGAGCAUAAUAAUAACCAUUCAAUGCAUAAAUUUAGAAUUAGGAUUUUUUUGUAAUUCUUUAUUUAAAUAUAAGCUUCAAUGGAAAAUUAUAAAAAUUUAGAUAUAAAAUUUUAAAUCACCAGACCAAAAAAAAAAAAAAAAAAAAAUAGGGGAACGGAAAUAGAGGAAUCUUGCUUUACCUUUUUUCCCUUUAACUCUUGUUCUUAUAUAAAUAAUUUUGUUUUGAUGAUUGUAACUCGUGACUGCGGGAAAAUUUCUAAUGGAAACAACUCAAAUUCGGAAGAUAAGCUUAAUUAUGCAAGUGAUGAAUUUGUUCAAUUGACUCUGUACUUGAACUAGUUGGAUUGAUUGAUUGAUGAUUGACUAAAUUUGAAUUAAGUUUAAUUGCUUAGCUAUCAUUUACUCCUUAAACGCAAACGUAAAUAUUUUCUUGUGGUUGAGCCCUAUUCUCAAAUCAGUAGGUUGCCUUUGAAAAAGGGCUUUUCUCACUGAUCUUUUUUUUUUUUCUUUAAUUCACACGCACUUGAUUAUUGAAUUCUUUCAUGAAGAAAUAAACUUGUAAUGACUUAAAGAUUUAAUUUCAAGUUAGAAUCAAUACCAAAAGACGGAGGUUUAACAAAGCCGUUUAGUGUGAUAAAAGUACUUUAAAAAAUGUUGUUCGACCCAAUUAAGUUGAAGAAAUAAUAAAGUUUUCAUGGAAUAAAUACCGGUUGUGCCUUAAUGAUUUUGGCAUAGACGUUGCUUGUGUACUGUGAAAUUGAAAUGAAUAUUAAGUGACUGCGCGAUGUAUAUGCCUAAUAAAAGAUCAGCAAAAGCUUGGAUGAAUGUUUGAGGACCAAAACUUUUAUAAAAGCAUUUUUGAGAGAAACUAAACACCAAAUUAUCAAAGUAAGAUCAACAGUAUAUGAUUUGAUUUAUACAUAUUCAAAAACAAAAUAAUGAUUAAUAAUAAAGUUUGAUUUUGUAUUGCCAACGAUGCUUUUUUGUUGUUUCAUUUGUUCGACGUGGCCUUAUUUACAAAUUGGUUUAUGUUAACAGAAACAUGAAAUUCACAUUACACAAAAUUGCAAGAACAAAUAUUAAGAGAACGUAAUAAUAAUUACUCAAUGCGUAAGGAUAAAUUUAGAAUUACAUAUUCUUUUUUAUUUAAUAAAGUCCCAACGGGAAAUCAUAAAAAUUUAUAUAUAAAAGCUUUCAACCACCAAACAAAAAACAGGGGGAAUGAAAACACAGGAACUUGUUUUAACUUUUUUUCAUCUAACUCUUGUUCUUAUAUAAUAUUUUCCCUAGUAUUUCAGGCAAAAAAAAAAAAAAAAAAAUCAAUAAAGAGCAAGUUGCUCAAAUUGAUUUAUCUUGUUUUUCAGGCAAUCUUGUGAUAUGAUGAUAAAGCUCAUGAAUGCUAGAAAACUUCUAAUGCAAACAACUCUAUUUGGGAUGAUAAGCUUAAUUUUACAAGCGAUAAAUAUAAAUAACUUUUUGUGGUUAAUUGAAUUUGUAAUUACUCUUAGCCCUAUUCUAAAAUUUGUAGGCUGCCUCAAAAAAGAAUAAAAAAAAAUUUCUUACUCAUCUUUAAUCUUCAAGUAAAAAAAAAAUCUAAUAAAAUGAAAAACAAACAAACAAGUAAAAGACAGCAAACAAACAACAUUUAACCAACUGAUAUUUAAACAGGGAAUUCUUUCUUCUUCUUCCCCCCCCCCCCCCCCCCCCCCGGGCUCAUGGAUUAGAGUUUUUGCUAUUAACUGAAAGGUUUCAAGGGUCUGAAUAAAAUCCCAGACUUUUUUUUUUUAAUUAACCAAAGCCAUAUAAUAAGAUCACAGACUUUUAACAAUGAACAAUAAUUUGAAACUCAAGCAAAACCAAUGACAAGAUUAAAACAAACCAGAGAAAUUUUUUCUUGGAAAGUAGAUGAAAACUAAGUAAGAACUGCUAUUAAAGGAUAUUAUUAAAGGAUUUAGAACAUGUAUACCUCUUUAUUUAUAUGGGAUCAGAGAGUCGAUGACCUCCUCUAUUCGCUUCGGAUAUUAAGUAAGAAUUGCUAUCAAAAGAAUGAAUUGAUGAGAGUAAUAACAAUGAAUUGCAAAAGAGGAAGACUUAAUCACGUACCCCUAUUAUACCCGAUUUUUAAGAUUUAAUUUUGAAGUCCAGAAUCAAGACAAAAGACGAAGCCUUAACAAAUAUGCAGUGAGAAUAAUUAAGUUGAAGAAAGCACUAGUUUAUGGCUCAGUGUUAAGUUGAAGUUUAUGAAAUAAUUAACUAGUUUAUUAUGCUCAAGUCAGUUUUUGGGCCUUUGCCAAAAAACUUGUGCCACCACUCAUAUGGCUUAAUAAACAUUGUCUUAAAAACCAAAAGCUUUUUGAGUAAUUUGCAGAAAAAUGAAAUAGAGUGUAAAAGAAAGGAUUUUCCAUGAGAAGAAGAGAGAAAAAGAUGCCUUGCAGACCCCGAAAAAAUAAAUAAAUCCUCCUUUUAAGGUCACGCCCCACUCUCCUCUUUUCCCCUUUGUUCUCCUCCACUUACGGGAGUUAAGGAUGAGAUAAAAGUAAUGCCUCCACUCUCCAUUUUUUUCUCCUUUUUCCGUUACCAAACAUCAGUCCCCCAGUUUCUAGUGUUGAGAGUUUUAACGAAUCAAGACUGGAAACUAUAUGAAUUUUAAAGUGACAUCGAUGUGGUUGGCAUAAAUCGGCUCGGGAUUGCUAAAAUUAACCUUACUAUUAGCAAAAAAUUUCAAGUUUUAAACUUUUACUUGCCUUUAAAUAUACCAUUUUCCUACUCGCAUAAUCAUGUAAAGCAGGUUUCAUAAGUUCACGUAUUUAUCUCACCUGAAGUAAGUUUUGAGACUUAGUCAUUUAUCUGCUUUAGAAUAUUUUUCACUCAUAUAACUCUUGCUCGCCUAAUCUUGGUCGGGCAAGAGCAGGCAAACUUUGACUUCGUCUCACUACGAGGAGGUUUAGAGACUGUAAGCCUUUCACUUGAAGUACCCUUUUUUUUUUUUUUUUACUUUCUGCUUGCCUUCACAUGGUUGAGCAGAUUCUGGCAAGCUUGACUUCUUGUCUCGCCAUCGAGCAAACUUUGAGACUUUGAAGUCUUUUAUGUGCCUUAGAAACUUUCUUGGGAUUUUUGUUCUCUGCUCGCCUUUACAUGGUCGAGUAGAUUCUGGCGAGCUUGGCUUCCUAUCUCGCCAUCAAGGAGGCUUUGAGACUUUGGAGCCUUUGCUUGCCUUAGAAACUUUUUUGGAACUUUUGUGGUUUGCUCGCCUUCGCUUGGUCCAGCAGAUCCUGGCAUACUUGGCUUUCUGUCUCGCCAUAAAUAGGCUUUGAGACUUUGGAGCCUUUGCUUGCCUUAGAAACUUUUUUGGAAUUCUCAUUGUUUGUUCGCCUUCACAUGGUCGAGCAGCUUCUAGAGAGCUUGGCUUCCUGUCUCGCCAUCGAGGAGGCUUUGAGACUUUGGAGCCUUUGCUUGCCUUAGAAACUUUUUUGGAACUUUUGUGGUCUGCUCGCCUUCGCUUGAUCCAGCAGAUCCUGGCAUGCUUGGCUUCCUGUCUUGCUAUAAAAUAAGCUUUGAGACUUUGGAGCCUUUGCUUGCCUUAGAAGCUUUUUUGGAACUUUUGUGGUCUGCUCGCCUUCGCUUGGUCGAGCAGAUCCUGGCUCCUGUCUCACCAUAAAAUAGGCUUUGAGACUUUGGAGCCUUUGCGUGCCUUAGAAGAUUUUUGAAACUUUUUUGGUCUGCUCGCCUUCGCUUGGUCGAGCAGAUCCUGGCAUGCUUGGCUUCCUGUCUCACCAUAAAACAGGCUUGGAGACUUUGGAGCCUUUGCGUGCCUUAGAAGAUUUUUGAAACUUUUUUUGUCUGCUUGCCUUCGCUUGGUCGAGCAGAUCCUGGCAUGUUUGGCUUCUUGUCUCGCCAUAAAACAGGCUUUGAGACUUUAGAGCCUUUGCGUGCCUUCAAUGUGCUCUUAUUUGAGGUUUUUGCUUUAAAUCCUAAAAUAUGGACAACCAUCAAAAAUUUAAUUUCGGACUUGUAACUUAUAACUUGUCCAGAAAAUAGCUCACAUUUACAACUUGCGCUUUAGCUAUUUAUAUAUGUUUGGGCCUUUGAUGGAUAAACAUCCUUGGUGUUUUUAUUACCAUCUAUAAUAUUUGGUUAGCAAUAUUAUUAAAGACCUUUGCUAAAGGUGCGGAGCACCAUUUCCCAACACUAAAGAUAUUAAAAUUUAUAUAUAAAAUAAAUCAUAUUAUAUAAAAUAUGUAAUCAACAAAUAAAUGGUACCAUAAAAGUUUAAGCAAAGUCAUAUCACUGUAUCAAGGAAAUACGAUCUCAUGCUAACCCAAGUUCCAUCAAUCCUUCGGUCAAGCAUGUUGUGUGCUAAUAUAUGACUAUGCUAUAUAUUCUAUAAUAUGUAAUCCUUCGGUCAAGCAUGUUGUGUGCUAAUAUAUGACUAUGCUAUAUAUUCUAUAAUAUGUAAUCUUAACUAUUUUCUAUUAACGACUUAAUAAGUCAAAACCUCAUCCAUCAGAUUUUUGAAGUCAGGUAGUGGAUUUAAAGGAUAAAUAUAAAACUGGGGUUUUAGAACAAGUGCACCUGAGAUUGUGCUCUGCAUUAUUUCAUUAGUACUUCAUCAAACAAAUCCCGAGCUUGACUCUGCUUUGCUCCCUUCUUAGAAUUAUUCUUGCAAUAUUUUAACACGGGCACAAAAUGAAUAAAAUAUGAAGGAAACAAAAAUCCAACUUCAUCAAUUCUUUGAAGCUUGAAGACAUGCCUAUCAAUUCUCAUCAUCAAUAAAAAUUUGUUUUGUUUUAAAACCAUUAUUAAGGUUAGCCAAAAUACCAAUACUCGGCCUCAUCCAGAUUAUGCUAAUUAUACUUCUUCCAACACUCAUUAACGAUUAUGAGAAUUUGUGCAAUGUGGAUGACAGGUACUAUCAAAAGACAGCGAAUAUAUGCAUAAUUUCUAAUGUUCUCUUUGCGAAAAUAUAAUAAAGCUAUGGUUAAGAAUAACUCAUGCUCUCAAUCAGUUUGAUACUUAUAUUAAAUAAACUGAAACAGAACCUGGGUUUAGAUCUUGGCUCCUGGGCAACAUUCUCUCAAGCAUAUAUGUAGUGUAUGUAGUGUAAUCAGCAACAAACUCACUUUUGAACUUUCAUAUCCCUUGAGGCGAUUUAACGAACAGCUCCUGAUUUGAAUUUUAACAAUUCUGCCUCAACUUGUAAUGAACCGAGUUUUAUACCAGAAUUGUCUAUAUACUUUCCCUGCAUAGUCUUCACAUGAAAACUAGCUGCAUGAUUGAUUGAUGGGGUGUAAAACCAGUAGGAAAUAUCUUGAAGAAACCAAAGAUCCGUGGAUUUUUAUGCUUACCACCAAAUGAAUUUAACAAUUUGUGUAAUCUUUAUUUUAAGAAAUUGAACAUUGAUAAUACCGCAAAUCGAUUGCUCUUUUGAACAGACUUUAUAUCUUGAGUUCGAUGAAAAGAGAACAAUCAAUCAAGAAAUAUAAAUACAUCAGCAAAAUAAUGAUGGUAGUAGCAUUACACAUCUAAUUAGCCAUAACGAAGCCGAAUAAUUAGCCAUAAUAAAUCUGAACUGUUAACAUUAUGUCAAGCAUGUUGUUGGAAAAUAUUAAAUUAAUUCAUUUGCAAGUAUAAUAGCAUGUAAUCUUGAAUUAUGAAUGAAGCCCAUUCUAACAAGCUAAUUUUGUAAAGGAACAUUAUCAACGAAUUCCAAGGGAUAAUAUUCAAUUUCAGCAAAUAUAUCAUGCACGGUAUUGAAACAUGCAUGUUAUUAAAGAAUUUCCAAGCAUCUCUCAUUUGAUAAAUCAAUAAUCAUAGCAAUUGGAAAUUGAAUUUUAAUGACAAUAUACUUAAAGCAAUAAAUAAGCCAAAACCUUUACAGGUAAGCAUUCCAUCCAGCCUUGAUUGGCUUCCGUGUUUGAGCCAGCUUAUCAAUUUGUGCAUGAUAAUAUUCUGCCUUUGGCUUGGCCGGAUGAAAAAUUGGUAGAGACAAGAAGUUGGCUUUUUGUACCGAUUCCCCACAGACAGUGCCAAAUGUUGAUGCCCAAAUCUGAUCUAGUCUAUUAGCGACUUAAUAUCAAACUUCUACACCAGCAUUAGAUUUAUUUGGUAGAGAAUCGAUUGGUCAAUCGUCAAGAUGUCCUGCAACCACUAGCGAUUAACUUGCGAAUACUUAAAAUCAUAGAAGACGGUCAGAGGCGCUGAAAGUUUUUCCGACGUGAACCCUCCGACACUCAAGUCAGUUUCUGGGCCUUUGCCAAAAAACUUGUGCCACCACUCAUAUGGCUUAAUAAACAUUGCCUUAAAAACCAAAAGCUUUUUGAGUAAUUUGCAGAAAACUGAAAGAGUAUAAAAGAAAGGAUUUUCCAUGAGUGGAAGAGAGAAAAAGAUGCCCUGCAGACCCCGAAAACAUAAAUAAAUCCUCCUUUUAAGGUCAUGCCCCACUCCCCUCUUUUCCCCUUUGUUCUCCUCCACUUACGGAAGUUAAGGAUGAGAUAAAAGUAAUGCCUCCACUCUCCAUUUUUUUUUCUCCUUUUUCCGUUACCAAACACCUACAAAUCUUAUCCCUACUAAUAUGCUCUAUAAGCCAUUAUUCUUCUAAAAUUAUUAAAUGCCAUUCUUCAUUCAAGCUUUCAUGGACAUUAUUUACAAAUUGUUCUUGUAUUUGACAGAAAAAUGAAAACUCCUCGUCAUACAAAACUGCAUGAACAAAUCUUCUGUUUAAUUAUGAUAAAAUAAUAAAUUCCAUUAACAGAUUCUGCUGUAUGUUAAUGUGAGGGAUUUGAUCAGAUGAUCAUAUAAUUUACUACACGCUUUAAGAAGAACAAAAAUUGAUGACUUAAAAAUUAAAAAAUAAACAUAUAAAGAGUAGAUACAAAGAAUGUUAUUUGCAAUCAACAAACUGAAGAACAGGGGAAUGAUAACAGAGGACGGUUGCUGCAACAUUAUGAAGUCAAAAUUAAGAAAGGCAUUUUUUUCUUUUUUUUUUACAUUAUUCUAUUUAAUCUUAAAUUUUUACAAUCACCAAAUGGAAAAACAGGGGACUGAAAACAAAGAAGCCCUGUUUGCAGAAACAGGGGAGUUUCCGGGUUUCUGGAAACAAACUCAGAAACGAAUGAACUGGCUGCCGGCGGUACUUUCUAGAUAAAUCUCUUGGUGUAUAUAAGCUUUCAUGAUCUGGUUUUAGUCUGGUUAGGUUCAGCCACUGUGACUGUUAGGGAUUCUCGUAAACUGAAUUUAAAGUUGCGGCUUAAAGUGUUUACCAACUUAAAACCAGAGCUAUAAAGUGUUUGAUGAAUUAUUUUUUAAUUUAAAAAAAUAAAAAACUGAUUUAGCGGGAUAAAAUAAUGCUCCAUUCUGUUUAGUAUGUGAAGUCCAGAGUAUUACAAAGAGAUAACUGAAUCUUCAAUGUAAUAAAAUAAUGAUCAGCCUCAGAGGAUACAUAAAAAGCUCAUUUAUCACAACCAUAUCCUAGUGCAUCAUAAACUUGAUUAUUUAAUUUUACUAUUAGGAAACCUACUUAUAUAAGGCGCACACCACAAAUUCUAAAUUAAAUUUCUAACUAAGAAUAAAAGGUAAAGCCUAGCAAUUUUCCACCAGGUGCCGUGUAGCCUGCAUCAUAAAUUUUGAUUUAAAUCUUUGUAAUCACCGAACAGAAAAACCGGGGAAUGAAAACAGAGGAGCCCUAUUUUUCCAUUUUUUUAACCCUUAACUCUUGUUCUUCUAAUUAUAUUUUUGCUUGGAAUUUCAAGCAAACGAAAAAAAAAAAAGUGACAACUAUUUAGAGAGAGCAGGUGGAUGAUAGCAAAAAUAUUUUUAAUUAAUAUGCAUGAUUAACUCUUGUUCUUCUAAUGUAGUGGCUUGAUUAAUAUUUUUAAUCAAGCCACUACAUUAUUGGUAGUCUCUGUGGGCUCAUUUCGUCUCCAGACCUGAUAUUGUAUAUCUCUUUUUGAAUAUGUUUAAUUAAUAUGCAUGCUGCUGAAUAAAGACGAUGAUUUCCAAAUUUUUGUUGCUUUUUUUUUUUCUUUUUCUGCUUUGGUACAUGAAGAAUGUGGAAAUAGAAAUAGCUUUCGAAGUUUAAUGGCUUGCUUCAUUAGUAAAGAAAGACUAGGAUAUCUGUCCCUUUUUGUUACUGAAUUAUUGAUCAAUUGACGGUUGAAGUGUCAAAUGUGUUCUUUCCUUACAAUUGUAUAUGCUAUUAUUAAUAGAAAUUAUUAAAGGAUUUAGAACAAGUUCGCCUUUUUAAUUAUCUGGGAUGAUGAGUUUCUUUAUUCACCUUGAAUAUGUAAUAACAAUUUUAGUGAGCAAAAGAUCACUGGUAACUGCAGAGGAAUGUGUGAGUUAAGAGCUUAUUAGAGUAAGCAAUACAAAUGAAUUUUCAAAUUAUGUACUUGGUCACUGUUGUCCUACUGUCGCACGUAUUUUUUCAUGAAUAAUUGCCAGAUCAGAAAAGAAUAAAUUCGGUUGGCUGAAGUAAGUAAAACAAUCUUCAUAUCGAACAUGAUUCCAAUUAAAUUAAGCUUUUUGUAAGAUGACUAAUAAAAGAUAAAAGUAGAAGCUUUGAUGAAUGAACGAGGACCAAAACUUUUGUAAAAGCGGAUGCCGAUAAAAUAAACAAAAGGCACUUUAAAAAGAAACUAAAGUGCGAUCAUCAAAGUAAGAUCACUAAUGAUGCUUCGCUAUUACAAGGUCCGCAUGGACAUUAUUGAGUUCUGCUAUUUGAACUACGCGAAGACAAAACAAAGACAGAAAAAUUGACACUGUUACUUCAACGGCUGUUUAUUACUUUUUGAAUUUAAAAAAUAAAAUAAUCAAAAGAAAAAGGAAAAGGAAAAGUAACGAAAAAAAAGAAAUAAAAUAAUCAAAAGAAAAAAAAAAGAUUACUUUUUGAGUUAAUCUUUCUCCAUCUCUCAUCUCUGCUAUCUGCGUUCACGCACAAAGAAAAAACUCUUCAUCUCACCAUUUUCAUCUCUUUGCAUCUCACCAGUUCCGCAUCUCAGUUACCAUAAGGAAGAAGUUAGAUCUAGAUCUAUAAACAGAGAUUUUGAUAAAAUUAGUACUGAUUAAUUAGUAAGUUAGUGACUCUCACUAUAUUCAAAUAAAAUUUUUAUUGUGUUCUAUAUAUUUAAAUGAUUAGAAUAUUUAAUUUAAAUUGUAAAAAUUCGUAAAUUUUUAUUUUUUAUAUAUUUAAAUUGUUAUGAAUUGUUAUGAUUUUUUUAAUUUAAAUGGUUGUUAAAUAAUGGAAUAGAUUAUAACAAUUUCUGAAUGUGUUUUAUGAACUUUAAAUUUUUAAAAUUAUGUUAGAUUUGACUUUAAAUCUUUGAAAUUGUAGUGAUGGAAUAAUAUUUUGUGUUAAAUUAAAUUUUUAAUUUUUGAAAUUAUGUUAGAUUUGUUUAAUUUUGUCCGCUUGCAAUUUAUUUGUUCACGCUAUCAUGAAGUGAUAUUAUAUAGGCAUCGAUGGUUUUUUAAUUAUUACAAAAUAUUAUUUUUUAAUUAUUUAACAAAAAUUGAUACAAAAUAUUAAUUUUGUAUGACUGAGAGAUACAUAGGGUUAAACAGGACGAGUAGAGAAAGGAACGAAUGAAAAAUAAGUGGAAUGAACAAAGUAAUUAACGAGAAUGAAUAGAGGGGACAAAGUGGAGAACGAGUAGUUGAGGAUGAGAAUAAGUGGAUCAGAUUUUAAAUAAUAAAGAUAUUUAAAAAAUUUUCAUUUUUUAUUAUAAUAUUUGUUGUUGGUCCCACCAAAAAAUUGGAUGAGAGCAGGCGUGAAAGAGCAUUUUUUUUCAUUUUUAUUCUUUAUUUUAAUAAUUGUUAUCGGUCCCACAAAAAAAGAAAAUUGAAUGAGGAAAGGCGUGAAACGGCAGCCAAUUUCUGUCGUCCCAUCGUCGUGCUUUCGUCUAUUUACCAUUUCUCGACAUUAUUUACAAAUUGUUCUUAUGUUUCACAGAAAAAUGAAACACUGUUCAUCAUACAAAAUUGCAUGACCGAAUCUUCAAUUUUUAUAAUUAUAAAAUAAUGGAUUAUGUGUAUGUUAAUGUUACGGAUAUGAUCAGAUCAUCAUAUAAGUUACUAGACGCAUUAACAAGAACAAGAUCUAAUGAGCUAAAAGUUUUUUUUUUAAAUUAAAUAAAUAAAGAGUAAAAGUAAAAAAAAAUGUUAUUUGCAAUCACUAAAAUGAAAACAGAGGAGCCCUGUUUUUCCUCUCGUUUCUCUUUCUCUCUUUUUCAAGUAGUAGAAAAUGAUAACAGAGUUUGAGAGCUCACUGCUUUCAUUAGUUGGAAAGUGUCGCCUAAAACACUUCCUCUGCUAGGUGGAAUUGUUGGCUUGAAGAGAAGAGUUCUUGUUACAAGCACAAAUUUUAGCUGUACAUUAUUUCCUUUUAAAUGCACCAUUGUUGCACAGAUUUGAACCCUAUGAUCAUUAGUUUUUUGUUUUGAUUUGGUUAGUUCGUGAUGACAAAUAAAUUAUUUUCAUCACAUUAUGGUAAAAAGUUGCCCUCUUUGUUACUUCCACAGCUAUUUAGUUUAAUAUUUUGUAAUAAGAUCACAAAGUGCAUGGGACCUAUUGUUCGGGUACUUAGCCUAAAAUGAAGAUCUAUUAAAAAUUUCCCUGAUGUCAUGAUAUAAAACAAUAAAAGGUACCAACUUCAGCUUAAAUUCAUAUAAAAUUAAACCUUACCACAUACUGUAUUGAAACAAAUUACUCAUCUUUAUUGGUAACAUCAUCACCUUCAUAAAAUAUAUGGUAUCGUACAAAGUUCUUGCGCUGGGUUCGGGCAUCUAACAACGAGGACACAGCAACCUAUUCGCUAGGUUAGAGACCAAAGAGCCAACAGCAAAUGUGCACGACGCAUGUCACUAUCAUGAAAACAACAUUCUUUUUCUUUUUUUUUUCUCCUCAAUAAUUUCAGAUAUAAUAUUUUAACUAAGUUUGUAACACUGUUGAUUGAAAUUAUCAAGUACGAAUGUGUGUAGAUUUUAACAUGUGCACUCAUAAUUAUUAUUGUGCAGUUUUAGACUUAGUUGGGUAUUGAGGUGCUAAAACUUUUGCCGUAAGAAAAAAAAGUUUUAAGUAUAAAAUAAAAUUUAAUAGUAUCUAAUAAAUUUAGUUUUUUAAUAAUAUGUUGAGUACAUAAAAGCCCCAGGUCGGCCAUGCUACUAUUUUCACCCCGGCAUGGAUCACCUUAGCCAAAUGGUAUGAGCAGAACGCAGGAUAAACACGAGCCAACCAGAGACGAGUACCGGCCAGGGUAAUGUACCGACCAGAAUCAUAUACCGAGCCGACACCAAUUCCCCAAAAAAGCGGGAACACGAUCCCACAGAAUCACGGUAGUUGCGCUUUUCCCAGAACCGUUGUGGGAGAUGCGAGAUCCCACGUUUGCCCACAAUGUAGCAGUUAAAAUCCCAUGAGAGGCUACCACUACCCGAGAAAGGGGGGGAUGAAGGGUGAGUGAAAACGUGGGACAGCGGCUAUAAAAGAAGAAGAAACCGAUUAAGAAGGGGAGAGAAAAAUUGAGAGAGGGAAAACGCUGCCAAAUUGCAAUCAUGCCAUUUUCUGACAAGACUCCGAAUAAUUUAGAAACCAUUUUUAGAUCUAAAUUGCACUGUUUUCCCGUAAACACCUUGAGCUAACUUAGGCAUUGGAGGGUUUUCGCCGGCAAAACCACCGGCGACUCUGAUCCGUUUUUGGUGAACGCAGGUCUAGUAAGAGAAAGGAGGGUGAUUCCAACCUCAGAGGUUCGAGCAACAGUCGAUAACGUAAACGUUGGUGAAAGAAUCUGGUCGGUCAAAAGGCGAGCAGAUUUAAGCAUCAACAUUUUGGCGCCGUCUGUGGGGAGCUGGAUAAAAAGCUACCACCGAAUUAGUAGUUACCGGAGAAACAACGAACGAUUAGACAUGGAUUUGCCAAGGAAGGACGCUUUGAGGGAGGAUAACGAAUCGGGGGAGACAAGCACCCUUCGGGAAAUUGCAAAUGAAGCCCGAGAGAGGGUGAUGCAAGAUCGAUUGGAAUAGAUGGAGAAGCAAAUGGAGACUCUCGCUACCAUACUGAAUGAGCUGAGAGAUGAGCGGAGAAGGGAUUGCGAAAUCCCCGUGGGGAGAGAUGAUGUGGGAGCAGAACCCAACCUCCGGAGGCGUAGAGUCGAGGAGAUCCCUCCGCCGGUGGACCAACCUUAUGGGGUGCAUCCCCACAGAAGCACUGGUUGAGUUCCUGGAGAACAAAUAGAUGAAGGGAGGAACUAACCUCGCCCCAGGCGAGCACUGGAAGCUGAUGGCCGAGGAGCCAGUGCUGAUGAAGGAGAGUUAAGACAGCGGUUGCAGAAUGUCGAGCAGGAGCGAGAUCAGAUAGCUGCACGUGAUCCUGACCGUGAUGUAGAAUUGGAGGGAGAGGUGCGCAGAUUAGCGCAAGUGAUAAAGGAGAUACAGGGUAAGAGGAAGCCCCCGAGCUGGAGGAUAAUGCUAGAUGAAGAAUCUCCACUAUCAACUGAGAUCGUGGGUACCAUAAUCCCAAGAGAUUUCCGCUUCCCCGACCUCAAAUACUCCGAGCGAAGUGACCCGCUGGUGCACAUUGAGCGUUUCAACGACAUGAUAGGUGUGCAGGGGCUGACACCAGCUCAGAGGUGCAGGGUGUUCCCGUUGACAUUAGAGGGACGAGCCCGAGAAUGGUACCGCAAGCUGCCCCGAGGAAGUAUAAAGGGGUAUGAGCAGAUGUGCCAGGAGUUGGCCGAGUAGUUCCGAGGGGCAGUGGCCCCAGAGGACGACAUGAUGGAACUGAUGAGGAUGAAACAGGAGGAGCAUGAAUCCCUUCGAGAUUUUGUAAAACGAUAUCACCGAGCCGUGCUAGAUCUGGGGGCUUUUAAUCACCCGCAGGCGUUGAGGGGAUUAAAAGAAGGUGUAAGAAUCGGCCGACUGUGGUAUAACUUAAGAAGCCCCCUUGUACAGAAUUACUCGUCGGGGUAUGAGCAGGCGAGGCGAGAUAUAGAAAUCGAAGAGGAGAAAUCAGCAAGAAUAAAAAGUGAACAGCUGGACGAGCUGAGGCGAAAGGAACGGAGAGCCCCAACAGGGAGCGGGUCGGGAAAACGAGCUGGAGAAUCUUCAGUGAUGGGCGGAAUAUCGGCUCGGUCCCGCCCUUACCCCAUAGCUCCGAGAUCGCAGCAGUUCCAGCACAACCGGGCUCAACCUCCGCGUCCCCCAUUUCCGGAUCGGCAACGAGAAUUCCGGCAGAUGGCUGCCCACCCCUAUCACAACACUCCCAGAGCAUUACAUGCAACCAAUUCCAGGGCUAGUCGACCAGAUCAGUUAGCAACUGGGCCAGCCUGAGGUGACAUUCAUGAUAGCCGAGCAGUUCAGCUGGUAGACCAGAGCUUGGCGUAUAGACAGUACACUCCAUUAAAGAUCUCCAUGGAGGAAUUGUAUGAGAGGAUCGAGGGACGAGGCUUGUUAUACCCUCCAGCCCCUAUAACAAAACCGGCUCACCGACGGGAUAAGAGCAAAUUCUGCAAAUUCCACGACACUCAUGGUCACACUAUCAGCCAAUGUCGUGACCUGAAAAUUCAGGUGGAAGAUUUGGUGAGAAACCGUUAUUUGGACGAAUAUGUAGAUGGAAUGUCCCCCGUCACUGAAUCACAGUACACGCGGGAUGAAGGAGCUGAGAUGGGCCUGGAACGUGAACAGCCGACUAUCCGUAUAAUAGCAGGGGGGCCAACAUUGGCUGGGGAUUCGAACAGGGCACGGGAGAACUAUGGGAGAUAUGCCCUGACUAGCAAAGAAGUGCUUUUCAAUUUUCCGGCAACCAAGAAGGCAAAAGUGCGGCAAGUUCCCAUUAUGUGGACAGAUGACGAUGAAGAGGGUAUCUUAUAUCCGCAUGAGGAUGCAUUGGUGAUCAAGGCAAUGGUGGCUGGUACAGAAUUGCGACGAAUACUAAUAGACACAGGCAGCUCGGUUGACAUCCUGUUUAAGUCGGCUCUAGAUGAUAUGGGGAUUGCAGACUUGAAAUUGGAGCGGACAAAUACAUCCUUAAAGGGAUUUGGAGGGGGAUGGUUAACUCCCAUGGGGAUCACCGAACUCCCAAUUACUAUGGGGACAAAGCCAUUUGAAAGAACAAUGAUGCUGGAUUUUGUCGUGGUAGAGAAAAGAAGCCCUUACCAGAUGAUACUGGAGAGACCGUUCAUGAGGAUAAGCCAAUGUGUUGUAUCCACGCAUUACUUGGCACUGAAAUACAGAGUAAAUGGGGUGGUUGGCGUAGUAAAAAGCGACCAGAGGAUGGCAAGGAGUUGUUAUGCUACAGCAGCCAAGGAGACACUGCAGGUUACUUCUCUAGAUAAUCGAGGAAAGUCUAAAAAGGGCCGCCAAGAGCCUGUUGAGAAGCUGGAGGAAGUUGCGGUAAGCAAAAGCAACCCGAGCAGAGUAGUGAAGAUCGGGUCAGGAUUGGUUGGGGCAGUAAAAGGCGAGCUGAUAAAUUACCUACAGUCUCAUGCGGAUAUAUUCGCCUGGUCUCAUGAAGAUAUGCCCGGAAUUGAUCGCGGGGUAGCUUGCCACAAGUUGGCAAUCAAGAAGGGGGUAAGGCCGGUGAGACAGAAGAGGAGAUGCUUCAACCAGGAAAGGUACGAGGCCAUAAACGCCGAGGUGGAGAAGCUGUUGAAAGCAGGAUUUAUAAGGGAAGCCAAGUACCCAGAAUGGAUUUCAAAUGUCGUCCUGGUAAAAAAGGCCAACGGGAAGUGGAGAAUGUGUGUGGACUUCACGGACCUCAAUAAGGCAUGCCCAAAGGACAACUUUCCCCUACCCAAAAUAGAUCAGCUGGUGGACUCAACAGCAGGUCACAGUCUGCUCAGUUUCAUUGAUGCCUUUUUCUGGAUACAACCAGAUACCCAUGGACGAGCAGGAUGAGGAGAGCACUGCCUUUAUAACUAACAUGGGUUUGUUUUGCUACAGGGUAAUGCCUUUCGGCCUAAAAAAUGCAGGAGCCACCUAUCAAAGGUUGGUAAACAAGAUCUUCAAACCGUUGAUUGGACACACUAUGGAGGUAUAUGUGGAUGAUAUGAUUACGAAGUCCAAAGAGCCGAGGGAUCAUGUGAAGCAUCUAGAAGAGACCUUUGAAUUGCUGAGGAAGUAUGAGAUGAAACUAAACCCGGAGAAAUGCGCAUUUGGGGUAAGCUCGGGCAAAUUUCUGGGAUUCCUGGUAAGCCACCAAGGGAUUAAGGCCAACCCCGAAAAAAUACGAGCGGUUACAGAUAUGAGAUCUCCGCGGACAGUUAAAGAGGUGCAGAGCCUUACAGAGAAGUUGGCAGCAUUGAACCGAUUCAUCUCGCGGGCCACAGAUAAAUGCCACCCUUUCUUCCAAAUCAUAAAGAAAGGGAGAAAGAUGGAAUGGACAUUAGAGUGCGAGGAAGCAUUUGGGCAACUGAAGGAAUAUCUGGCCCGUGCACCGUUACUGUCAACUCCGAGAGAGGGUGACCAGCUGUUUUUGUACUUGGCAAUCUCCAAGCAAGCUACCAGCUCAGUCUUAGUCAGGGAAGAAGAAGGGAAGCAACACCCGGUAUACUACACGAGCAAGGCCCUGGUGGACGCAGAAACCAGAUAUCCACUAAUGGAGAAGUGGGCGCUGGCUCUGAUAACGGCAGCACGCAAACUCCGACCAUAUUUCCAAGCCCACCAGAUCGUUGUGAUGACUGACCAGCCCCUUCGGCAAGUGCUUCAAAAACCAGAUGCGUCUGGUCGGUUAGUAAAAUGGUCAGUGGAGCUGAGCGAAUUUGACCUGACCUACAGGCCCCGAGGAGCAAUCAAGGCCCAAGCCCUGGUAGAAUUUAUGGUAGACCGAGCUGAGCCAGGGGAAGGAGAUCGGGAGUAGCAACCGUUAGAGCAGGAGAAAACAGAGGGGAUGUGGUUGGUAAUGGUUGACGGAUCAUGUAGUGAGCAAGGAUCCGGAGCAGGAGUUGUAAUACGGAGCCUAGAAGGAUCCGAAAUAACGUAUGCAGUAAAGUUUGAAUUUCAGCUCGCAAACAACCAAGCUGAAUAUGAAGCCUUUAUCACCGGGCUCGGACUCGCACAUGCCUUAAAAGCAAAAAGGGUAAAAAUUCGAGCAGAUUCCCAAUUGGUAUGUAAUCAGCUCAAUGAUCAGUUCCAAGCAAGGGGAGAGAAGAUGGGCCUUUAUUUGAAGAAGGCGAAGUAGAUGGUCGGGCUUUUCCAAGAGGUGGAGGUGAAGCAGAUAUCUCGGAAUGAGAAUUACCGAGCAGAUAUUUUGGCUAGGAUGGCUGCAGUUGCAGAUCCGAAAUUACCUAAGUCGGUUCCACUAGAGGUAAGGACCUCGCCAAGUAUAGGAGAGGAGGUAGAGGUGAUGAGAGUAUGCAUUGGAGAAUCAUGGAUGGACCCGAUUCGCGCAUAUAUCCGGGAUGGAAUCUUACCAGAGGACAAACAGCAAGCCAGGAGAUUAAAAUGCCGAGCAGCGAGGUACACUCUACUAGAUGGAGUGCUGUAUCGCCGAGGGUUCACCUUACCCCUUUUGAGAUGUGUGGAUGAUGAGGAGGCAGAUUAUGUACUGAGGGAGAUUCAUGAAGGAAUAUACGGCAAUCACUCGGGAGCAAGAACUUUAGCCUUCAAGGCACUCCGGCAAGGAUACUUUUGGCCAACUAUGCACCAGGAUGCGAAAAGGAUGGCAAAGAACUGUAAAACCUGCCAAAGCUUCUCUAAGGUUCCUGCACAACCCCCAGAGAAGCUGACCACUAUGACAUCCCCGUGGCCUUUCGCUCAAUGGGGAAUCGACUUGAUUGGUCCGUUACCUAAGGGCCGAGGAGCGGCGACACAUGCAAUUGUGGCAAUAGACUACUUCACCAAGUGGGUAGAAGCGGGAGUCCUCAGCCAAAUCACCGAGAGGAAGACAACAGAUUUUAUUUGGAGAAAUAUCAUUUGCAGAUACGGGAUCCCCUAUGCCAUCAUUACAGAUAAUGGGAGACAAUUUGACAACAGCAACUUCAGGGAAUUUUGCCGAAAUUUGGGGGUGGACCUGAAGUUCUGCACCCUCGCACACCCCCAGGCAAACGGACAAGUGGAAGCAGCCAACAAAGUAAUAAAAAAGCUUUUGAAAACUAGAUUGGGAGAGAAGAAGGGAGCCUGGGUUGACGAACUACCAGGAGUAUUAUGGGCCUACCGGACAACUCACAAAACCGCCACAGGGGAAACCCCGUUCGCUUUAGCCUUUGGUCAUGAGGCGGUAAUCCCAGCAGAAAUCGGAGUAGGAACACAUCGAACAGAAUAUUUCGCUGAGGAGAAAAACGACGAGCAGAUCUGCUUAAACCUGGACCUGCUGGAGGAGAAAAGGGAAGGGGCCUCGCAGAGAGUGGCCCAGUGUCAGCAACGGGUCAUGCGCUAUUACAACAAGAACGUACGCGUGAGGCAGUUCCGAGCAGGAGAUUGGGUACUUAGGAAGGUGAACCAAAACACCAGGAAUCCUAACCAUGGCGCUCUUGGCCCAAAGUGGGAAGGCCCGUAUAGGGUGGUACGAGCCACUGGACCAGGAGCUUAUAAGUUAGCGUACCUAGAUGGACGAGACGUGAGGAGGUCAUGGAACGCCGAGCACUUGAAGAAGUAUUUCCAGUAAGCAAAGUGCUCUACCAAAUCUUCAUUUUGACAAAUUGUUUGUGUUAACUGCAUGAUGGCUUGAUGCAUAUGUAUGUAUUCAGUAUUUUUGUAACACAUUCAUGUUUCAAAUAAAGAUGAAUUCAGCAUGAAAUCCCCCUACUAGCAAAGCCAAAUAAAAAUUCUACGAAGGCAAGCAAAUGCCUACUUCUGCUUGGUCAACGAAAGACCAGCAGCUAAUUUUACGAGAAAUUCACUAAGGAAAGUGAGUGCCUGUUUCUGCUCGGUCAACGAAAGACCAGCAGCUAAUUCCGCAAAAAUUCUAUUAAGGCAAAUAAGUGCCUAUUUCUGCUCGGACAACGAUAGACCAGCAGCUAAUCUACGAAAAUUCUACUAAGGCAAGUAAAUGUCUGAUUCUGCUCGAUCAAUGAAAGACCAGCAGCUAAUCUACGAAAAUUCUACUAAGGCAAGUAAAUGCCUGAUUCUGCUCGGUCAAUGAAAGACCAGCGGCUAAUCUACGAAAAUUCUACUAAGGCAAGAAAAUGCCUGCCUCUGCUCGGUCAACGAAAGACCAGCAGCUAAUCUACUAAGGCAAGUAAAUGCCUGCCUCUGCUCGGUCAAACGAAAGACCAGCAGCUAAUCUACUAAGGCAAGAAAGUGCCUGCCUCUGCUCGGUCAGCGAAAGACCAGCAGCUAAUCUACGAAGGCAAGUGAGUGCCUGCUUCUGCUCGGUCAACAAAAGACCAGCAACUAAUCCUACGAAAAUCCUACUAAGGCAUGAAAGUGUCUACUUCUGCUCGGUCAACGAAGGACCAGCAGCUAAAUUUAUGAGACUUUUACUAAGGCAAAUAUGUGUCUGCUCCUGCUCAGUCACCGAAGACCAGCAGGCGAUUUUGCGAAAAUUUUUACCAAGGCAAACGGAUGCCUAUUCCUGUUCGAUGCACUAAAGAACCAACAGGCGAAACCAGACAAAAAAGCCAAUAGAGAGCAUUUAAAAAAUUUUAUAAACGUUCAAAUGUUUACAAAGCAAAUGAAAAACUAGAGUCUUUACAAAAAUAGACCUAAGGAUUAGGAGGAUCAACGGCCUCAGCAGGUGAAGGGUCAGCUAUCUCGGGAGGUGGAAGGUCAGCAAUAUCGGGAGGAGGAGGCACGGACCCCUGCCCCACUUCAAAAACACGCUGCCCAGCUUCUCCCUCCUGCACCCCAUUCAAAGGAACCUCCACCUGCUCCUGCUCAUCCUGCUCCUUAUCUCCUUGGCCGGCCCCAGCCAUAUACCUCUCCACCCCAGAUUCCAGCUUGCUCAUGUCGAGCUCGGGGUAUUCUUCCUUGAGUACAGACAUGAUGCACUUAUAGCUGAAAGCAACCCCGGAGUUAUACUCAGCAUCCAACCGAUCAUCCACAUCAGCGGAUUUGCCUUUCUCUUCAGCCAGCUGGUCACUCAGGGAUUUGAUCUCUCCCUCAAGGGCGGUCCUCAGAGUAUCUCUUUCACUUUGAGUAGCCUGAAGAUCGGACUUCAGAUCACCCAGCUCACCCUCAAGCUUGGAGGAAGUAGACUCAGCAACCGCAACUUUCUCCUCAAGCUCCGUAAGCUGCUUGUUCAGCUCGGCCAGCUUCUCUUUGGACCGAUCAGCAGAUUCGGCUUUCUUUUUCAACUCCUGGUUAUCAGCUUGAAGCUUCCUCUCAUGACGCGCGGACCCGGUCUUGUAGCACGAGACCAUUGUGGCCAGCCUGAAAGAGACUCUUUGAACAGAAGCAGCUAACUCGGAGAGGUCCAUGCUCUCGAUGUCCUUCACCAUCUUGGGCCCAACCGAUUUUUUGUAAUCUUUCUGGUAUAGGCUCAGGUAGUCACCUUGAUCCCGAGAUGGAAGAGGAGCAGAUCGGUCCCCAGACUGCAAGCUGACCUCAGGACUCUUGUCGGAGGUUUUCUCCCCACCACUCUUACAGGGUGGGGGAGGGGGCAGAGCAGGGACAGGAGCCUUGGAGGGGCCGACACUAUUCUUCUUUGGAGGAGGAGGAAGGUUGCUGGAGCUGCUUGGAGCCCGACCACGCUUCCUGCUCAUUGCGCUGAGGAUCUUGUUAUCCAUUCCAGCGGCUAUGUCCACUAGGCCCGAACCGACCAGGUUUGUUGGUGACAGGAGGUCUUGGCAGGUAGACGCGUUCACCAGAGCAGUUUCCACCUGAAGCAAAGGCCGAUCUUCAAGCCCCUUUAUCAAACCCCACGACUCUGAAAGAACAAACAAGGUUAAAGAACCCAAUAAGUAACAAGUCGAGAAAGAGUAUAGGCAAAAAAUAAACGACCUGGGGUGACAAAAUGUGUUGGAAGGUAAAUAUCACCACCCAACGAAUGAGCUGCUGGACACUAAGCUCCUCCAGCAAAGAAGAAUUUGUUCUUCCAAUUUUUGCACGAGGAGGGGAAGCCGGUGAUUGGUUUCCUCUUCGCAGAGCUUGACAUGAAGUAAUACCAGCUUGCUUCCUUCGGGCUACUCCUCAGCUGGUAUAGAUGCUUCACUUCAACGAGGGAGGGCUCCUCUGAUCCACACCUCUUCCACAACACAUAUAUAGCCGAGAGAACCCUCCACCCAUUGGGAUAUAGCUGACCUAGGGCCAGAUGCAUACCACCCAAUAUCUUAGCGAAAUAACGUUAAAGGGGCAGCCGAGCUCCUAAUUUGAAGCUCUCCAGGUGCAUCGUCACAUACCCCCGCGGAGGCCGACUAGGGACGUCACCUUUUCCUGGAACUACCAGGAGAAUCUCCGCAGGAAUGUCGUAAAGGUUCCUCAGCUUGAACAGAUCAGUUUGGGUGGUGACACAAGCUGUGUAGUCAAUAGGGUAAAAAUCCGCCUCUACCCUAUGACCAAGGUGCCUUCUCUGAGGAGGUCCGCUCGGUCCAGAGCUGCUCCCCUCACCAUCACCAACUCCUUCAAGGAUCCCAACCCCAUCAAAGCUGUGCUUCUCACCAGAGCCCGACGCAGGUCCACCUCUAUUCCCUACAAGCUCUAGUUCGGGGGAGGGAGAGACAACCAAAGGGCGUGGGUACUCAAGGGUAUCCCUGCCAUGGGAAGGACCUACACUACUGGAGGGACCUAAGAAAUCGGUGGGUAUUGGCACGUUGAGGCCCGAAUCCCCUGAUUCUUCCUCGCCCUCAUCAACAAUUAACUUUCUUUUCCGGUUUGACAUAUCGGAAUCCCAAAAGAAAGCAAAGAAAACUCGAAUGUACGGAUACAAAAGGGGGCAACACGGAACCCAAUCAACAACAACAAGAGAAGAGAUUAAAAGCAGUACCUGAGAUUAACUGGCCCUGAUAGCGCUGCCGUGACAGAGAAAAAACCAGCAAGUAGAAACUCCGGACGCAGGAAGUGUGAGUAAAGUUCAGAGAGGGGGCUGGUUAACGGUGGAGAAACGGAUAAACAAAGCAAUGAGGAUUUCAACCUAGGGAUUUGAAGUGAAAAGGGGAAAGAUAGAAGCAUUUAAGUGAUGAGGAUGCCAGCUCACUCACCACAUAUCGAGGGUGGAUAGCCCGUCGUUUCAAAUUUCAAAUACGAAGAGUCUGGUGAUGCCACGUCACUAACCGUUACAAGAGGCCAGGAUAGAUGUAAGCCCAGAUAUGCAAUGGACAUGUUCACUUAGGCCCAUGCUCAGGUCGGAGUCUCCCCAGAAGAAAAAUGGUACAUCAGGUCAGGCCCAUCCCAAUAAACAGAGGACCAGAUGAGAAGCUCCCCGGGUUGGUGAGAUUUGACCAUCAGUUUCUACUCUUAACUCAUUUCACUCGCCAGACCAGAAACUGGGGGACUGGUGUUGAGUACAUAAAAGCCCCAGGUCGGCCAUGCUACUAUUUCCACCCCGGCAUGGAUCACCUCAGCCAAAUGGUAUAAGCAGAACGCGGGAUAAACACGAGCCAACCAGAGACGAGUACCGGCCAGGGUAAUGUACCGACCAGAAUCAUAUACCGAGCCGACACCAAUUCCCCAAAAAAGCGGGAACAUGAUCCCACAGAAUCACUGUAGUUGCGCUUUUCCCAGAACCGUUGUGGGAGAUGCGAGAUCCCACGUUUGCCCACAAUGUAGCAGUUAAAAUCCCAUGAGAGGCUACCACUACCCGAGAAAGGGGGGGAUGAAGGGUGAGUGAAAACGUGGGACAGCGGCUAUAAAAGAAGAAGAAACCGAUUAAGAAGGGGAGAGAAAAAUUGAGAGAGGGAAAACGCUGCCAAAUUGCAAUCAGGCCAUUUUCUGACAAGACUCCGAAUAAUUUAGAAACCAUUUUUAGAUCUAAAUUGCACUGUUUUCCCGUAAACACCUUGAGCUAACUUAGGCAUCGGAGGGUUUUCGCCGGAAAAACCACCGUCGACUCUGAUCCGUUUUUGGUGAACGCAGGUUUAGUAAGAGAAAGGAGGGUGAUUCCAACCUCAGAGGUUCGAGCAACAGUCGAUAACGUAAACGUUGGUGAAAGAAUCUGGUCGGUCAAAAGGCGAGCAGAUUUAAGCAUCAACAUAAUAAUUUUGAUAAAAUUAGAAAAGAUAUAAUAAUUUUUUUAUUAUAUAAGUGUAAAAUCAAAUCAUCUUAACUUCUAAACUACAACAACUAUAACAUUUGAACUAUUCAAUCUCAAUUCCUAAUAGACUCUUAAUUUAUAAUUAGAUUGUCACUAAAAGAUUUUAAGUAUGUAUUUUAGAAUUUAACGAAUACACUUUUAAACUACCUUUGCCGGAUGAAAUGUUGGGAAAUUUUUAUUAAGAUCCAAAAGUAUUUGAAAUAAAUUUAUGUUUUUAUGAUGCCAAAAAAAAUAAAAAAUUAUGAACAUUUUUGUGAAGCUUAGGCGAAAAUUUUUGUUAGGCUCUAUUGGGCUAGAUGAGCAGCUCGGGCAGUUAAUUGUCGCCCAAGAAGCCCAACCCAGAUUACAACAAGCUGGGAUUUAGUUAGCUCGUUGACGGCCAUUUGGGUAUGCAUGAAUUGGGUGGAUGAUUAAUAAAUACGUUUUAUUAAUUAUUUCGCCGAUUGGGAUAUUCUCCUAAUUUAAUCUUUUCUAAUAUUAUAAUAAAGAGAUUUUGACAUGUGUAAUACAUGUGUUAUUUUAAUAAUCCAAUAGAUAAUAUCUACUUUAUUUUUAUCUUUCGUUAUUAAAUACAAAAACACUAAUAAAAAAAAAAUGACUUAACUCUUUUUAUAUUUUUAAUUUUUAUUUAUUUCCUUUUAUUGCUUUCCUAGCAAUGUUCAUCUUUUUACUAUACAACAUCCAUAACCUUAACUUUGGAAAUAAAAGAGAAUAUGUGAAAGUAUAAGUAGGAGAAAGACUUCAUUGAAAUCAAACAAAUUGGGCAACGUUAGAUUUUUCUUUAAAAUUCUCAUGAGAUAUUAAUUAGUAGUAUUAUCACUGCUGCCUGCCUAUUUCUAACCUCAACCAAUAUAUGAUCAAUGCUUGAUUUGGUCAAUCUAAAUAAUUAUGAUCGAUGAUUGGAUAUUGUUGAAGGGCGGCCCUAAGGAUGAGAGAGGGGAAUGCGUGUGCAAGCCACAUGUGUGAAGAAAAAGAAAAAGGCAAGAGUGAAGAUGACGACGAUUAAAAUCUUGUUUGAUUUCUUUUUCUGAUAAUUUUGUUAAUCUGCUGUUGUUAGUUCCAAAAUUUUAGUUAGCAACAAAAUGACAUGUUUUUGUGUUUAAUAAGGAAAAAGUAAAUAAUAUAUUUUCUAUAGGAUUCUUAGAAUGGAUUAGAUUAGACUACGGAGAGAAAUAUAUUUGAGAAUAUUAGUGUUGAGUUAUUCUAAUGUCUUUAAUAGUAAAUUCAAUUAAGACUAUUUUAGUAAUAUAUUUUUUUUAUUGAAAUUAGAGUGUUCAAAGUUAUAAAUAAAAAAUUCAAUAAUUUUUUAUUGAAUUUAUAUAACUCUGGAUUCUUUUUUUUUUUUUCCAACACUGAUAUGGUUCUGUUCUGUGUAUUUAUAUACAAUUUAAUGUUUACAUACAAAUUAAAUAAGAUCAAUUUAAUGUUUAUAUACAAUCCUUCAAGUCGUAACUCAAUUUUAUGGAGGUUUAUACAUCUGCACGCAUUCCUUGAAUUUCUCCUAGAUUGGAACUUCUUAAUUGAUCCAAUGCAUUUUUCCAACAGUCAAGAUCCUUAGUUGUCAGAGCAUUUGCAAUCGUACUCAGUGCACCAGGCAAACCUCCGCAUCUUUCAACGAUCGAGGAGUAUUUUUGUUGAAUCACCGACUAUAUUCUCAAAUAACUGCAAUGCUUCUUUUUUUGAUAACGCAUCGAUCGAGGAAUUUUUCUGAGAUUUCAUAUCAUUGCACAAUAAUAAAUCUCGACUUCUAGACGUCAAUAUUAUUUUGCAUUGUCUCUGAUCGUCAACAUCCCCGGAAGUUAAUGAACGGAAUUCUUUUAUCCUUUCUAUCUUUCUCAUCAACAUCCCCGGAAGUAACCACAUCGAACAACUUAUCUUCCCUCACUUGCUUUGCAACAUCUUGGAAUACUUUCAUUCUGGAAUCAAAGGCUACGUAAUCUUUCACUUGCACGUACUCUGUACUCUCUGGAGCAGGACGGUAGGAAACAUGAUUACAGAUGUUAAAUUCGCCUUUUUUCACAAGUUUAUCAGCUUCGUUUGCGGCCUCUGCUGCUUGUUUACCAAGCUUGUAACGAGAAAUCAAAUUUGGGCACAACCCUUUGAAGCAGAACAUCUUAGCUCUAUCUUUAUCAUCAAUCAUGGAUUUUGCAACCCCUUCACUGAAUUCAGCAACUCUAUUUAGCCAGUCUCAGACACCCUUAUAAAUCUCAUCUCCUUGUAGAGUAGCCUCUCUAACCAGCGUUUUCACCCUUUCUCUUAUAUAUUCCAGCUCCUUCACUCAAUCUUUUAGCCCAUCUAUGUAGCUUUGGUAUUCGAACACAUAAGAUAUGUGCCGCAUAAUCGGUUCGAAUAAUGCUUUUGAACCUUGUGAUACAAUGCUGGAAAAAGCAGGGAGACACCCUUCAACAGCCAUUGCCUGUUGCUUAACAAUAUAUAUAUAUAAAUACAAGUGUCAAAGAAAGGAAUGCAAAUAAAUUAAAAUGAACUAGAGGGAAAGAUAGAGAAUGAAAAGAUCACAAACAAUAUGGCUAUAUUGAUCUUGAACCAACUAAUAACUAAAUAGAGAAUUUCUUUUUCUUUCUUAAGGAUAAGAGGUUUUACUAUUAACAAAAAGUUAUUUUGAGGGUCUGAAUAAAAAACCAACCAUAAAUUAUCAAAAGCUAGUAAAAACACAGACAUAAAUAAUGAACAAUUACUUAAGCAAAACAAACUAUGAAACAAAGAAAAUCUAAUAAAAUGACAAAGAAAGAAAGAAAGAAAAUACAACAAAAAGUAUUGAAGUAUUGAUCAUGAGCCAACUGAUAUUUAAACAGAUUUUUUUUUUAAUUUUUAGUCUUUUGCUAAAGGAUUAGAGUUUUUGCUAUUAACAGAAAUGUUUCAAAAAUCUAACACUACUAGAAAAGUAUUAAAUAAUGACAGAAAUUUGAUGACAUAUAUCGUUGUGUCACGAAUGUGUCAUAAAAAUAUGAUAGAUUCAUAAUAUAUAUUCAUAUGUCCAGAAUAUAUGACAUAUUCAUGACUUAUAAUUUAACCGUCCUAGAUAAAUGAUACAUAUAAGUCAUGCUUAGGUUUUGUGAACUUAUAAGAUUGUAAAACAGUGUUGUUUAAAUUAACGACACCGUUCUGUAUAACUUAAAACACAUCAACACUUACAGCCAAAUUUUGGCUAAGCGUUGAAUGAAUCCCUCUCUCUCCACUGGCCACUGCAACCUAAAAUGAAUGUUUAAAUUAACGACACCGUUGAAUUAAAGCCUAGCUCAAAUUCCUUUUUUCAAUCGAAAUAAAACGUAGCCACAAAACCCUAAUUCACCACACCAAAUUAUCUCUGCUCGGUAUUCAUUUAAACCCUACCUCGCGGUUCAAUGUCAUUCAAUACGAUUGCAGAUGCCGUUUCAACUUGUCAUUUAGUUAGCGCCAUCCAGUUCCCUAUGGUAAGCCUUAACCCUAACGCUAGUAAGAUUUGCUAAAAAUUUCAUAUUUUGUAUUGUUCCAGUUGAAUUUCAUGUUAAUUUAAUUCUUCUUUGCCUUCUUUUUUCUUCUUCUUUAUAGUCACGCUCUGGCUUUGGUGCUAUGCUUAGUGCAGUUUGUGGUUUCAAGAUUAAGUCAUGUUUAUUUGAUGGCAUCGAUUCCAUCGUUGAGGAUUGGAUUGUUGAUCAAAUGCACCUAGUAAGCUCUUCUUAUUUUAUCUCAGUUUCAAUUUUCUUUUAUUAUCUGCCUCUACCUAAAAAUGGACGUGUUUUACUAGUAAGCAUAGACUUUGUUUAUUUAAUUGAUAUUUUAAUUUUAUGUAUAAGAAUGGAGGUUUAUUUUGAAAAAAAAAAAAGGAAAUUAAAAAAUAGAUUCUGUUGAAGCUAAUUAGUACUGAAUUUUUUUGGUGGUGCGACCAGAGGUGGAAACAGGGUAUGAAAAUGUGUUACUGGUGAGGUUGCUGCUUAAGAUGAGAAUGCAUUCUUUUCAAAAAUCCUUGGUAGGUGUUAUCUAAUUAUCUUUGAUGGAAUAUCAAAUGGCUAAAAAUCUGUCAUACGUUCAAACUUUGUUUGUGUUUAGAAGAAUGGUGUUGACUGUAUAUUCGUUUGGAAGAAUGGUGUUGAUUGUAUAUUCAUUUGCUUAGCCUUUUGACAGAUGGAUUGUAUAAUUGUGUUUGCCUCACUGUUUUUUUUUUAUGAGAUCUAUAAUUGAUCUGGGGAUAUUACUUUCUAGUUCUCAUGCAAGCAAGUUACUACCUUCCCACUGCAUCUCGUCCUUUAUCUGCUAUUCAAGAGAUGCGUGCCAUAAUCUGGUGUUACCUCUGCAAGAUUGUGAAUGAAUAUAAUGCCUCUAAAUUUAUUUUAUACAUAAUGCUGAUGCUGAAUAAUAUAUUGUAGCUCCUGUCAUAUUCUACUUUGACUUUUUAUAUUCUGUUUCAUAUAAAAAUCUUAUUCAACUUUAGUUGUUCAUGAGCAAAUGUCGCAUGUAUAAGCCCAAAUGAUGUUUAAAGGUAGCGCGGCUACCUUUAGUUUGAGCUUACAAUGGAUGAAAAAGAAAUUGAAACUGUUUUUCUGAUUUUUCAAAGUAUUUUAGAUCCUGACUUUUGUUUGGACUUGAUGGUUAUAGAUUGUGUCUAGAUUUGUUAAGUUGUUUCCAACACCUCGUGCCAAAUGAAAGCACAAUCUUUCUGAUUCAGAUGUUUGGUUAAUUAUGCUUCAUUUUUUUGUUAAAGAUUGGAUGGUUGCAUGGAUUGAUGGAGUUGGAGUUCAACCAAUAAUUCUAAUUUUUUGGACUUAAAAUGCCUUUUUCUUCUGUAUAAAAACUUUAGUAAGUGCUAUUGAGUUGACAGAAGUUGAAUACUUACAGGUUGUUUCACACUUUUUAAUAGUUUUACAUAUAUGAAUUUCUGUUUUUUGAAUUGCAGAAAGGAGGUGGAACUAUUGAUUUGGAGCCUUAUCUUACUCACUCAUCGACAACGGAGCCUACCCUCGCUCCCAUGGCAGUGGAACGGACAACGACUACUAGGGCUGCAACAUCAGUUGGUUUGGGUCUGUUUUGAGUUUAUUUUCAUUUAUUUGGCUAUGUUUUGAUAGCGAAUUUUGAUAUGUCAAUAUAAUGUGUAAUUGUUUUGGGUUGAGCUGGUAUUUAUGCUGGAUUAGAUUGGUUUGGUUUUGGUGCUUCUCUGAUGGAACACUGCUUCUUUUAGAAAUUUUGAAUGUAAUAUGAGACUACAUUUAGUUUAAUUGAACACUGCAUCUAGUCUAAUUACUAGAAGUGUGGCAUUUGGUUUGGUUUAUCCGAUAUUCUCCAGAAUUUCACUUGCAUCUGGUUUUGUUGCAUAUGUUUGCUUGCAUUUGAUGGCAGUAGCAGACUGUUUGGUUUUGUGACAUUUGACGGCAGUUUGGUCUGUUCUUGGUGUUGAUUUAAGAUUGUUCCUGUUGUGCUGAUGUUAAUUGCAGGUGCUGGAAUCAGCUAGGGUUGCUGGUUUAUUCAGAUAGUUGACUCAGGCGUUGUUACUGGUUAAUUCAGGUGGCUGACUCAAGUUGUUCAUUUAAUGUUAGGAAGCAAAUUAAGAAUUAAUGAAGUAUUCAUUUAACUAUAAUUAUUGUAGUUAUUUUAUUUCAUAACUGAAUUAUAAUCUAUGGUACUUGUGAACAAAUUAGAGAAUUUUUAUAUAUGAAUUAUAUAUAUGUGUGUGUAUGUACAUUUUGCUAUUUAUGUAAUAAUUUAAAGAAUAUAUUUCAAUUCCCACAAAAAAAAUGGCUCCAAUUUCAAUAAUUCCCGCCAAAUAAUUAAUUUUUUUUUAAUUUACCACUAAAAUAUAUCUUAAAGAAAUUUUAGUUAUUCUUGCUAGAUUUAACAAAAAUAAUUUGUAGGAUUAACAUUUAAUUAAAAUAAUUAAAAAAUUUUAUUAUUCCAAUUAAAAAUGUCAUGUUUAUACGAUAGACAAUAUUCAUGAAUGGGAAGUAUUAGUUACAUAUUUUUCCUUGGGAUUUCAGGCAAAUGAAAAAAAGAUUGAGAAUGAUUUCAAGAGGACAGGUGGAUGAUAAGUAUUCAUUUUUGUAUAUUUGGCUAGUGGAUUUUUAUGGUAUUGAUCUUUUUUUAAAAAAAAAAAAAAAUUUCAAUUAGUUGCAGCCCUAGAGGAAGAGCAGGCUGAUCAAAUUGAUUUGUCUUGUUUUUCGGGCAAUCUACGACACGAUGACUGUGAUAAUGCUCGUGACUGCUGGAAACUUUCUGAUGGAAAUAACUUUAGAGUUCGUAGCAAGCAUUUUUGUUAUGACAAAACAAAGGUUCCCCCAUAUUUUGUUUGUUUGUUAUGGUAUUUAUAUAUCCUGCAUAGGCUAGGUAGACAGGUUAUGAUGUAGUUUGGUUGGCUCUUCUUGUGCUUGUGCAAUUUGUAACUGCAGAUACCUGCGGGAAAACAUUUAAUGGAUCUUGUUGCUGUUGAUUGGUUCAAAGACACAAAGAGAAUGGACCAUGUAGCUAGGCGUCAAGGCUGUGCUGCACAAGUAACUAUUCUUUUCUUUUUAUUUUUCCUUUUCCAUUGAUGCAUUAGGAGAAAAUACUGCCUGUGAGAUACUACAAUGUAAAUAACUUCUCAUGGUUCAUUGAAUCUAUAACACACUGACCCUCUUCUAAAAAAUGUAGGUUGCUUCUGAAAAAGGGCUUUUCUCACUGAUCUUUAAUCUUCAAGUAAGUUUGUUUCAUUUCAGAAGGUAUUAAGUUUCAAACUUAUUGUAUUGGGAGGUUGUAUAGUUGUAACCUAAGCAUCUGCAGGUUCCUGGAUCAACACAUUAUAGUAUGGUAUUUUAAUUAGUCGCAAGGCAAUUGGUUGUGGGAUCACUUUUGCAACGGUUUGUUGAUGGCGAUGAUGAGUUUCGCAAUAGUAGGUUGAAAUUUAUUCCAUCUGUUCCUAAGGUAUCCAUCUUGGCCUUCAUGUAUUAGGACUAUAUUAACGUAUACUAACCCUUUACUGCAUGGUACACUUCAAUUUGUCCAAAGAAGGCAUGCAUUUAGGUGUAAAUGUAUUGAUGGGUUGUACCUUCAAACUUCGUGUCCAUUUUUACCCUCUUGAAUUUGUUUUGCACUUGUUCUUGAUUUUAAGCACUGAAUCAUGCAGGGGUCAUGGAUGGUGCGCCAAGAGUGUUGGAAGCACCCCUUGUUCAUUAGUGAAAGUGGUUGAUUGUAACUACAGAUGAAUUGUUCCCCUUUCAAAUAGCGUCCGAUACCAUUAACAUGGUUUAACAUUGUUCAUCUUUCUGUAGAUUAAUGUUGACAUCGGUUCUUCUACUGUUGCUAAUGGAGUUUUGGGCCUUGUAAUUGGUGUAAUUGCGACAUUGGUGGUUGACAUGGCUUUCCUUGUACAGGUAUGUAUGAUUGUUUUUUUCCCCCACUUCUAAAUGGACACAAGGGAAAAGACAUGAUUUUGAGAUAUUGCACUGCAAUUUGCAUUUUUGCAUACUUGAAUGUUCUCAGAAUGGUAUAAUGCUUCGUGUGUGUCUUCUUUAUCUUGCUCUUCUGUAUGCAGGCAAAUACUACAGAUGAAUUACCGGAGCGGCUGAUUGGUGCUGUACGUGUUUCUCAUAUAGAACUCAAGUCUGCUGUUGUCCCAAAGUUGGAACCAGAGAUAUCAUGACUCUGGUUUCAUUUCACCUCAACUGUGUUUUUUUUUUAAUUAAAAAAAUCAUUUGUUUUAGGUAUACAUACAUGUAUUUUGAUUCUAUUUUCAUUGUAAUUUCUCAUUUACUUUGAAUGAAAGUCAUUGGUGUUUUCGAAUGGGAAUUUUGCAUUAAAAAAUGAAGAAUAGUGAUUUUUGGAGUGUAAUUAGUAGUAAAGUUGGUUUCUACUCGCAAACAAGUGAACUGCUCGAUUCCCGAGUGGUAUCAACCAGUUUCCAACUUUUUAAUAUACACUAAUUGUUAUUGUUUAAUAGCUACUACUAUUAAAACUCGACAGCUAACAAAAAUACUUAAAAAAAACGAUUUUUCUUAUGAUGCUGUGAAAAAAAUUACGGGUUUACUUCUUUCCACGAGAUCUAUAACAUGGUCUUGACUUCACGAAAUUCUUUUAAUUUAAAGCGUGCUGGUGUGAGAAGGUCAGUUUGACUGAUUAAUUCUUUUUAACAGUGGUCGAGAUAAUUUUACUAUACUCAAAAAUAUUCUUAUUCUGAUAAUGCCACAAAUGUUAUGUUGUUUUCUUAGGCUAAGGAUCUUCUAUCAGGAGAGGUUAGAAAUUAAAUGCUUAAAAGAGAAUAAUACAGAAAUUUAGACAGAAUCUAAUCGAAUAUUGCAUGAAACAUGAAACAUCAAUUCAAGUCCUUUCUUUAAACAGAGAAUGCAUCAAACAAAAUCCAAAGUGUCUUGCACGUCUGUAGCAUGAGCAAAAAAUUGUAAAUAUGUAGAACCAAAUUAUUCAAGUAUAGAAGAACGAGCAAGCUAAAUCAUGUAUAAGAGAUUGGCCUGGUUCGAGAUAGCUUCUUCACUGUACCUGAAGGGUUGGCUCAAUAUCUUCUUUAGAAUUCUGCACAUUUUGUAAUUACUCGUGUAAGCAAGCAUACAUUGCCACCAUAAGAAUAAUAAAGCUAGAGUAAUGAUAGGACCACCACCUCUUGUGCACAAACAAUAUUGUAUAAACUAAUGCGAGAUAAUAUGAUUGGUUAAAUAAAAACAUUAUAUGGUCCUCAUAAUUUAUUUAUUUAUUUAUUAUUAUUAUUAUUAUUAUUAUUAUUAUUAUUAUUAUUAUUAUUAUUAUUAUUAUUAUAUAUUUUCAGUCAACCAAUCAUAUUAUAUCACAUUAGUUUCUAUAAAAUAAUUUACUAAAUAGCACCAAAACUUAAUUGAUACUCACCAUUUCAUUGAACAAUUUUUUUAUGGUGUCAUUGAGGUUGCCUUCCCAACAUGCUUCAUCAUCAUCAUCUUCUUCAUCCUGAUCAUCCUUUUCUUCUUCGGUGACGUUCACUUUGUUUAGCAUUGGUGUGUCUAAGACUCCUUGAGAGAAGAUCUUCAUUUUUGGACACUGUCUCACAACUACUUGUUUCAAGGACGGGAAUUCAAGAGCGUAAUUACCCAAACUAAAGCUUGUUAGGCUUGGCAAACAAUCAAGUGUCAAGUACUCCAAUUCCCUGAAAACAAUGCAGUCUUUCGCUUCUUCUCCAACCUGCGAUUGUAUGAUUUCUUCUAUCAUUUUGCAAUCAGCUAUCUUCAUUCUUUGAAGAUUCACUAGACUUUCAGAUGUCGAGAAUGUCAACACAUUUAUCAACCCGUGACAUUUUGAUACUUUCAAAGCCUCAAGAUUUUCCAAAUGCCACGAAGGUGGUACUAAUUUUUGCAACUUACUACAUUCCGAUAUUUUUAGACUUUCCAAAUUUGCAAAUACUUUGUUGGAUUCGGCAUUUUCCUUCCAGAGAUGCUGCACUUUGUGUAAUCUAGACAGCCUUAACUUCCUCAAUUUAGGGAAUGCAACCUGAAAAUCAACAAAAUUAAGUUGUAAAUGAAAAUAUGUAUCCAAUCUCUGGAGUCUUCCCCUGCAUAUUUUAUGGACAAGAUUAAUCACGGCAUUUUAUAUUUUAUCUCCAAAUUAGUAUGCUUUGUAGUAGGAUCCCAAAUAUAAGUAUCAAAUCGAUUACCCUUUGAAACACAUAAAUGAAAUCUGAUGCUAAAUCCAAUAUGAAUUAGCUAGGAAAACAGAGAUGUUACACACAUAAUUAAUAUAGUUCAUCACCUCGUGUUACUAGGCAUCCAAUUAAUUUCAGACAUUUUUAUAAUUCAUACUAUAAAGAUAGUUAAUAACUGCGGUUAUAUUGUUAAAUCAGAUAUAAAUUAAGAUGACAUGCAAAAAGAUGAGUCAUUAAAUUUGACUUGAUUCUAAUGAAAUUACAUCUAUGCGAACGAAAGUGAAGGGAAAAAUAAUAAUAAUAAUAAUAAUAAUAAUAAUCACCUUUUCAUCAAAGAGGGGUUGUACUUGAUGAGCCAGCAAGAAGUUCUCUUCUGAUGUUAAUUUUUCAGGUUUCUUGUUAUCUGUUGUCACGUGCACUACAGAGUUGGAUAUGAAUGUUUCCAUAUCAGGGCAAUUCUCAAUAGUUAGAUUCUCCAACUUAGGCGGUUCAAUUAUAUUCCCAGUGAAGUUGCAGAAUCUUUUGAGUUUUGGAAGAUCAAUGAGCCUUAGCUCGGAAAGCUUAGGAAACGGGGGGCCUAUAUGUUCUUUGUCAGCAUUUAGCUCUUCGAAAUGAAACACCUCUUCUAUUGAAUCACAAUUCCUCACUUCCAGCCAUUCCAAAUUGUUCAAGCACCGUAGCAGAUUGGCAGGAAUAGCACUCGACAUAUUCGUGCAGUCAUCCACCACCAGCUGUGCUAAAUUGUUGAAGAAGCUGACAGGCAGUGCUUGGCCAUGCCAUAUUUCUUGCAAGCGUGGAAAAUGCGAGAGUUGCAAACGGUUUAUAUCAAGGAAUCCAAUCUGCACAAACCAAAACAAUUUUGUUUUUGAAAGGCAUUAUAUAUACACACAUUAAACUUACAUGUUUUGUGUUUUAACUUCUAAAAAUAUAUAUACAAGGGAGGUGUAUAUGCUUAAAUGUGCAAGUGCAGGGGAGAUGCAUGAACAAUUUGGUUGAAUCGAUUAACACAUACCAUUUCGUCAUAGCACUUUUGUAUAGUGGAACUAAGGUUAUUGCCUUCCCAAUGGUGCAGUUCACCCUCUUCCUUUUCAGUCACUUGUACUUUGCAUGGCUUUGGAAUGGAUAAGAUUCCGUGAGAAAAAUUCUUCAUGUUCGGACAAUGUGUCAUAGAAACUCGUUCCAGUGAUGGGAAUUCAAGAGUGUAAUUCUCCAAACAAAAGCUGGUAAGCCUUGGUAAAUCAUCAAGUAUCAAAACUUUUAAUUUGCUGAAAGCAAUACGAUUCUCCUUCACUUCUUGUCCAACAUGUCCUACGAUUUCUUCUAAUUUUGGGCAACCCGAUACUUUAAGAUUCACCAGGCUACUAGGAAUUCCAACCUAAAAAUAAGCAAAAGUGUGUGUACGUUAAAAAAGUAAAAAUGUAAGAAUAUCAUUCAACUAGGUUCAAAGUAUGUUUAAUCAUACAAUUAUACAUUUUAUGAACAUAACAAAUUAUGAAAUGUCUACUAGAUAUUUUUUGUUAAACAAAAAUAGAACAAGAUAAAUAAAUAAAUAAAAGCCAGAUAAAAAAAGAUAAUAAAAAUGCAUUUACACUAUUUAGUAUUAGAAACGUAGAAAGAAUUUAAGGCAAUUUCUAAAUAUUUUAGACUUCUUUUGCAUCUUGAUAUCAGUUUUUAAGCAUAAAUUUGCAAAUUUCAACUAUUCCUUUUUUUUUAAAAAAAAAAACUCAACCAUUUUUCCCUUUUCCUUGGUUCCUUUUUUUAAUGUAUAUUUAAAAAUGGAAAAAAAAUUGGAAAAGAUUUCCCAAUACUGUCAACAAGGGACUACUGUAAAGUGGAUCUUUAUUAAGUACUUCCAAACUCGAGGAAAUUUCUUUACAAUCAAGGGUCAGUUGUAAAUAAUCAUGAAUUUGUGGUUAAUUAAUGGCAUAAUCAAUUCGUAACUAAACUAGAGAUAUUAAUUAAAUUUGAAGACUUUUAUUUUUUUUUCCAAUCGAAACGUGAAGAAUUAAGGAAAAGAGAAAUAUAUAGAUGAAUUUGUGAACCUAUAAGAUGAGAGACGAUCCUUUAAUUUUUGAAAAUCGUACUUUUAAGAUAUGAGCAAAAACAAUUAAAUUGAAAACCGGACUUAAAACGUAGAUUUCAGAGUAGUGGUUAAUUUGAAGUACAAUACAAAAAUGGUUAAAAAAUGGUUGAAUUUUAUCUGGGAAAAAAGAUUCGAAAUGAAUACAGCAACCUUACCAAUGGAGGAAAAAUAUUUCUUAGGUUAUCACACCACCAUAUGUCCAAAUUCUUCAAUUUGCUGAAAGACUCCGAAGCAAGCUGGUGGUGCCAUAUUCUUCUCAAAUUAUCCAUCAUCUCCAUAAGUAAUACCUCCACCCUAGGAAGUCGUACCUGGCAGUUAAAGAUUAAAUAACUAAUUAAUCAAUUAAUGGCAUAAUCAAUUGAUAACUAAAUUAGAGGUGGAUAUUAACUAAAUUUGAAGACUCAAGGAAAAGAAAAAUUAAGUAUUGUGACUAAAAUUAAUUUUUUUAUUAAAAAAAAAAACCUUUUCGUCAAAAAGAGGAGGAGGUUGCAUUUCAGAAUGAAUGGUGUCUUCUGGUGAGCUCGUAGAGAUGAAUCUUAACAUAUUACUGCAACCACUAAUCCGGAGUUCUAGCAAAGAAGGGAAUUCAACAACUAAAUCUGAAUGAAUAUGUCCCGUAUUGGCGAAGCUUGUUAGUUCUGGAAGACAAUGGAGCUCGAGGGAGUGUAGUUUAGGGAAAUGAAUAUGUCCUUCAUCUCUUUCUGACCACCCCGUGGUGUCGACUACCCCUUCCAUUGACUUACAAGCUCUUAUCUCAAGAUGUUGGAGUAGCAAAAGACUAUUAACCAUAGAAUACGAAAACAGAUACUUCAUACGAUCACAACUGCUCACGAUCACCUUUGUUAAAUUUUGACAACAGUACAUUCCUUGAUUAUGAUCGGCCCAUAAUUUUUUCAUGUUUCUUAAUAGCGUGAGAUUCAAUUCCUCUAAGCUCGGAAGAAUAACCUGCAAAGAAAACCCGUACAUUUUUGUUCCUUCAAGUACAACCGUCUAGUAUAAUAUUCUUUUGAUGAUCGAAGAUUAAUCGUGAUAAUAAAUUAAUCAAUUAAUUAUUGUACAGAAAAUUAUCACCUUUGGAGCGGUAUCAUCAUCAGCAAUGAUUUCGUUGAAUCCCAAAGAAGUUGUUGGUUUCUCCCUGUCGGGUCCUAUAAACAAACAAAAACAAUAUACAUAAUUAAUCUUUGUCGUAUUUUUUUUUCAAAAUAAUUGAGGUGAAGUCCAUAAUCCCACCAGUACUUAAUUUCAACACUUACCAACAAUCAUUUCCAGAUCACCGCCAAAUAACACUUCUACCUUUUGAAGCCGCAGUAGGUUUUUGGCCAUGGAGAAUGAGAAAAGAUGCUUCAAUUUGUCACAGCCGCGUACUAUUAUAAUCCUUAAGUUGCUGAAAGAUUGAUCUUCUGUGAGUUGGCUGUCACAUAUUGUCUCCAACUUGCUCAAACACCAAAGAGACAAUGACUCCAGCAAGGGGAAGACUUUGCGACGAACCCGUCCAACUGAACCGACAAUGUGUAAAAUCUCAGAACAACUUUCUACGUGAAGAUGCUUCAAUCGUGGAAAACCUUCCCCAUCAUCUAAUUCAUGAACAACAUUCUGAACACCCUUCAGUUCUUUUAGAUAGAGAUAUUCAGUUCUCUCCAACAACAGUUUCAUCCUGUAAUUCUGCAAAAGAAUGCCAAACUUUUCUAGCCCCUGGAGCUUCAUCAAUCUUGAUAAUCCAGAUUUAACGGACCGGCUGCUCCACCACUCAUUUCCUAUACAUAUCCUAUAGCUUUGCAAUUCCACAGAGACCAAAUCCUGCGGUAGAAUUUCGGCAUCCCGAACGUGUAUCUCCAAAGUAGUUAGCUUUGACAACCCAUUCAAUUCAGCAAGACUGGCGUUACUUCCUCCUUCAACCUUCUCCCAUUGUGAAAAGCUGUUACCAAUGUAUAGUUCUUCUAAUCGAGAUAAUUUUGAUAUGACAUUUGGAGCUAUCACCACAAGGCUGCUACAAUUUCUCAAAUCUAGCAACUGUAAUCUCGUCAAUUGUCCAAUUACAAGUGGCAACUCCUUAACAUCAGAAUCUCGAAAGCUGAGAAUCUCUAAUUUCUUUAGCUGUCCAACUAUUGCUAUAUCGUUCAGUCGGCAACCAUCUAAACAUAAUGUUUGAACGUUAAUGAGGCAACCAAGUGAUGAAGGUAAUGAAGAGAAAAAUAUUCCAGUAAAGUCUAAAACUUUGAGUUCUUCUGCCCCUUCAAAAAAGAGGUGUGAAAUUUGCAAAGAGCUAUCAUGCUUUGCAAACAAAAAAAAUAACUUGAGUUGGGGACAUUCCAACCUCUCAGGGAGCUCUUGAAUAUCUCUAUAAGGUAAGGAAAUAGCGAUUGGACCUUUCCGUAUUGUCUCUUCCAUCUCUCUCUCAAAGUCAGCAACAUUUGGAAUAUUAAACAUAAGCUUCUCUGCGGCAAUUGAUACAGCAACAACAUGAAUGACGUCAUGCAUUUUAGCUUCAUCUUCAGCAUCACCGUCCAACAAUAAGCAUGAAGCUUUUAGACUGUCGAUCAAUGCAUCCACUCUAUUCCUUGCUGCUUCCAAUGUGUAAACAUUUCUAAAUAGACCCAAACCCAUACCAUAUCUCAAUAAGUAAUGUACGUAUAUAGGAUGACCUUCACCAAACAGAGUACAAAGAAGGAACAAAGAUUUUGCUUCAUCACUUUCCAAGAAAUCGUAACUCAAUUUUAUGGAAGAAUACACAUCUGCAUCCAUACCACGAAUUUCUCUUAGAUUGGAACUUCUUAGCUGAUUCAAUGCAUCCUUCCAACUGGCAAGACUCUUAUUUUUCAGAGCACUUGCAACUGUUCUCAGUGCAACAGGCAAUCCCCCGCAUUU
rnacentral:lncRNA from 1 species